UCUGUUCAAACGUCGGUCAACAGUUCAGUGGUACAAAUUACAAUAAUUACCACAGACUAUUUUAUUUAAUCUGAAGUCACAGUGGCACAAUUUGAGUGAAUUCAAUUGAAGUCACGGUCACACCUCCACACAUUGAUUAAAUUAAUUAUGCAUGGGUAAGACAAUCUAACUACAACAAAUCACCAAUGCCAAUAUAACAAAAAAAGUGUUAUAAUCCUAACCCUAAAGCCAAACCCUAGAACCCUAACCCUAGAAUAGUAGAAUCCCAAUCGGGGAAAAGAGAGAAUAGGGAUGGAUAACUUACACCACGCCGCCGAAGGAGGAGGCAAAGUUGUGGCAGCCUGUCGGAUUUGCCUUCACCGCUUGGGCGAAGCCAGUAGCCGUCGCGUACUCAAAUGAUUUCCCCGUGCCGGCGGUUGGGGAGGAGGCGGCACCUAAGAAGGAUUCGAGCUCCCCACACCUCAGGUGGAUCUCCAUCACCACCAUCCGGAGCAUCACCAGCGGAAGAGCCGCCGCUGCCAGAUUUCAUUGUCACCAUCUGUGGGAGCCUGCGGGAGAGAAGUGCAAGCGAGAGAGAGUGGAUGCGGUCGGUCAGUCCAACGCGAGCCGACCGCAUCGUUUGAGAAAAUGGCGCCGUCCGCGCGGCUGUUAUGCCACGUCAUCAGUUUCGGGCCCCAGCUAUUGGAAAUGCCAUCAAACGCUGCAAAGCAUGCGGUCAAUCCUCCUUGCAAAAAAAGUUUACCGUAUACGCAGUGACUUUUGCAAAUAAUUAGAGGCCAGGUAGUUUUCUGCAAACGGAGCCCCAAAUGUGGUGGUUUAACUCUCAGAUUCGGAUGUCUGUGAAAGUUUGUUUCUAUACCUAUUUCUAGGUGUGUUUCUUUGUUUUGCUUCAUGUUGUAUAAUUAGUGGCAAAGCUCAAGGCCCGUCAUCUGACAUAUCUGUAUCAGUCACUACAAACUAUUCGAGGGCAAAACUUGUAUUGUUGUUGUACUUGAAAAUUCCGAGUUGCCUGGUGGGCAUGGUCAACGUGGCAAAGGAAGUGUAGAAGAUUUGCAAAUCCUACAAGAAUUCCUUCAAUCCAAAGAGCCCUCAGAGAUACUGUACAAAUCUGCUUGGCUUUUUAUUUACAACGAAAAAUGCUACCGAUAUAUAUCUUCAUUUUGAUUUCAGUAUUUUCUUUGUAUGUGCUUUUUGUGAUCUAUCAUGUUUGAAGUGAUAUCAACAUUUGUUGAACUAUUUGAGUGAUUUAUAAUCACGCAUCAACACCCAAUAUGCAAUGGUUGUGGUCGCAUUUAGCCUUUAUCUUAUAGAGCAUUCCCUAAAUAUGGUGUUGAGUUGGAUCUCAUUAAUUAAUAAUAAAAAAUAAAGUUUUGCCUGUAAGACUGAGAGAAAAGAGAGUGCCAUCCUUCUAACUUCCAGUUCACCUGUUGGUCUACUAAGUUAUGCUUCAAUUUUCAGAUCAUGUACAACUUUUUUCAGUGCACAUGUUUUAGGGGUUAUAUUCAGUACAAAAUGGUCAAUUGAAAAACCUGCAAGCACCGCUAAUUAGCUAUCGCUCCAUCUCAUUUUGUUAUGUUUAUCACAAAGCAUUGUUCGGUAUUGACAUGUAGCUAAUUUAAUAGCAUGUUGUUAGUAUGUAAUGUUUUUUGUGUUUUUCUUAUGUGGACUUAACUGAUUUAAUCUAGCAUACAAAAGGUAUGGGAAGGGAUAGAGAUAAUAGUGAAUGUGUUGCAUCUCUUGUUCGCUUAAAGUAGUUUUGUAUUAUGCUCUAAUUAGAACAGAAGACCAGUGAUGGUGCAAAUUAAAGCUAUAAGGUCAAGUGGCGUGGCCAUCAAGUUCAAAUAUAUGGACCAGGACCAGGAGCAAUUUUGAUGCCGACGGUGAGCUUAUACUUCUUCGUUUGCUUUGCACUUGAGCUAUAUUGAGUUAAUCCGUUCUACAUUAGCAAGUAGCCACAAUGAAUUUUAUUAUUACUUGCUCAAGAUUAAAGGAUGGAAGAAAUGGAAUAAUACAUCUCACAGAGAUAAGCAAGUUUCAUAUAUUCUCUCAGCCUCUCUUAUAGAUUGGAUAAAUCAAAUAUUGUUGCUUCCAUUGUGAUCCAUCGAUUGGUCAUAACCAAAAUAGUUAACAAAAUAUGUGGUAUAGUGCCAUCUUUAUUCUAUCCUUCUUAUAACUUAGGUGAAUGGAGUGCUUUUGGUUAGUUAACCUGAGGUCAACCAAGUAAUGGCAAAUAGUUAACCUGAGGUCAACCAACCUGGUGGUGCGCUUUAAAAAUGCAUAUUAUUGUCCACUUGUUUCUCCAAGGUCGUUUCUUCUCUUACUUCUUUAAAAAAUUGUAAAUUCAAAAAAAUGACACGAAUGGUAUGUGCAUUGUUUGAGACAUGUGUUGCAUGUGCUAGUUGUAUUAUUAGCUUACUAGUAAAAACACACAAUUUACACCCAAAAAAUUUCUGAAGCCUGUGACAACUAAAUGUAAAUAUUGAAAUAUACUCUAUAAUUUAGUUGCUGCCAAGAUGUGAGUGCAGUCACACAUGACACAUGUAUGUCUAUGUUCUACCACUGAUUUUAGACCAAAAAAAUCACAUUUCAUCAUAUAUUCGACUGUCCCUAAAUAUGUGUCGCAGUCUGUUGGUUUCAAUCCCAAUUGGCUAGUAUACUAUCGCAGGUAAGAACAUACCCGGUGCACCACAUGCCAAAAAAACUCUCAUGAAAUCACCAAAAACAUUUCAUGGAUAAUAGACAUAACACAGAUAUAUCAUACAAGAAAUUUCACAUUCAAUUUCAACCCACGUAUAGAGAAACAAAAGGAGACAAAUAAUUCUAUGAAUCGUUCCAUUUUGGAUUGGGCUGUGAAUUUAGUUAUUAGCACCUACCACAACUGAAUUUGUUAAAAAAAAUCUUGAGGUAUAUUUUGAAUCGAGGUUUGAAAUUUGAUGGCCUAGUAGAUAUAUACUGCACUCGUAUAACAAAAAUGUUUAGAACUUUUCGUAACUUCAGUGUGUGCUUCCGAGCUUGGGCAUAUAUACCUUUUGCACCAUAAGCUUGGGUGCUUUCAUUCUCAACUGCAAAUUAGAUUAUUAGCUUUGUCAAUCGUGAUUUUAUUGAUGAGCGUUCCUAGUGUUCAAACUUACUAGGACUGGUUACGACUUGUGACCUCUCUCCAAAAAAAAUCUUUUUUAGAGUGCUCCAAAAGAAUAUGUUGAUUCUGAAUAUGUAUCCAAAACUUAAGAUCCUCCGCUAGAGCUAUAUCUCGCCUUAAGCGAGACAGAAGGAGCUCUAAAGGGUUUGAGCAUAUGGGCCUGCCUAUUAGCGUAGGUUCGAUCGCUUUGCUCGCUACCACUCGCUAUAGGUAGUUCUAAAAAAACACUCGCCAUAGGUCACUAUACGUUUUUUGGGUUUUUUUCGCUUUCUUUUGAUUUUUGGUUCUUUUGUUUUUUUUCAUCCAAUUUUUUUAUUUUCUUUUUUCUUUGUUAUAACUUCAGUUUUACACCGGUUUCUUUUUUUCUUUCUCAGUUUCACAGACUUUUCUUUUCUUCCCUUUUUUGUUUCUCUAUGGUUUUCUUUGUUUCUUUCCCUUUUUUUGUUUGUUUGUUUAUUUUUUGUUUACUUCUUUCUUUGGUUUUCUUUAUUUCUUUCUUGGUUUUAUUGGGUUUUUUCUUUUCUUUNNNNNNNNNNNNNNNNNNNNNNNNNNNNNNNNNNNNNNNNNNNNNNNNNNNNNNNNNNNNNNNNNNNNNNNNNNNNNNNNNNNNNNNNNNNNNNNNNNNNNNNNNNNNNNNNNNNNNNNNNNNNNNNNNNNNNNNNNNNNNNNNNNNNNNNNNNNNNNNNNNNNNNNNNNNNNNNNNNNNNNNNNNNNNNNNNNNNNNNNNNNNNNNNNNNNNNNNNNNNNNNNNNNNNNNNNNNNUUAUCAAGUGCAAGUUUAAUUUUUUUAUAUGUGGUCAACAUUUCUUGAAUACAGACUUAACAUUGUUUUUCAGAACCCUGAUUUGGCAUUUUUAUUGUACAUGGUCAACAUUUGUUUCUAUACACAUUUAACAUUUUUCAAUUACAAAUUUAAGAUUUUUUUUUAACACUUAUUCAACAUUUUUCAAAUGCUUGGACUAACAUCGUUUAAGUACAUGGCCAACAUUUUUUCUAUACACAUUUCGUGGUGUAUGUUUUUUGUAUACCUGAUAAACAUUUUUAUACACAUUUAACAUUUUUAAGUGCUUUAUUAACAUUUUCUAAAUGUUUUAUGUAAAGUAUUUUUGUAAUAUAGAAUAUCUGGAAAUAUAAAUAAAGUAAAAGAAAACAAAAGACGUAAAAACGAGAAUAUGGCAUGUGGCCUCUGGUCAGCGGGAACAUAUAUGGUGCACCAAGGCAAUUGGUGCUACCGGUGCACCGGACCUUUGCACAUUAAAAAGCGUUUCAAAAUAACAAAAAAUAAUAGUGCAGUGACACAACAUCAGUGUAUCUUGUCACAAAAAUUCAAAUCAAAAUUCAAAACACUGCUUGAGAUACAAAAAUGAAAAUUUUGACAUUAAUGUGUUAAUGGGCCAAAACUGAAGCCCAACAUGUGUUAUGUACUAUUCAGUGUCAAAUUUGUUUUUUUUUGUAUCUCAAGCAAUGUUUUGAAUUUUGAUUUGAAUUUUUAUGACAACAUACAUUAAUGUCGUGUCAAUACACUAAAAAACUGGAUUUCUUCUUUCUGUACAAUGGGGGACCGGUGCACUAGUAGCACCAAUAGCCCCGGUGCACCAAAUACAUCCCCUCUGGUCAGCAGUGCGAUGGGCCGGCCCAAUAUGGAGCUUGCCUUCAGCUAGAAUUCCUCUCGCUGUAGUAGGCCAAACAUAUCAGCGCCUAAGAUCCUCUUGCAAUGCAGAAACAUCAAACAAAUUAGUUUAUAGAUGGGCCUUAGCUUAUAGUAGCAGUCGACACAUAUUUUUUCCCAAAAAAAUAUUUGGGAGAGAGGGCUUAGAAUGGCCGAUAGAUUUCCUAGCCCAUGGCCUACAUUACUCUGCGCAACUCUAGACCCCUUAUGUGUGCGUGUGUGUGUGAUUGUGUGUGUGUGUGUGUGUUUGCACGUUGCACAAGUGAAUUGUUUUGAAUUGCACUGGCAAAAAUGCCCAAUAUUUUCUACUGCAAACUUGCAAGUCCAUGUCACUAUCAAAAUAAGGGCGUCUUCAACGAUGACACGCAAUGGCGCCUCGCAAAUCUUUCUCCUGCAUCCGUCCGCGGAGAGGGGGGCAGUCUGUGGACAAGGAUGCGGGAGGCUGCCAUCCAACCGUAGCCGCAUGCAUUUCAAACACUUUUUCAACAAACCGGAUGAAAUUCAUGCAAACACGGCCGGGAUUUCAUACAAACCGGACAAAAACGUUUACAUUUUGGACAUAUUUUAACUAAAAAAGUUAAAAAUAUAUGCGCAUACGGUCGCGCGGAGCUCCACUCCCAUGACACGGAUACACUACACUAGUCUAUGGCCGGCCGCAGCAGAUCUCUUUGUCUUCUCCAUGUCCGGCAGCUCGCUCAUCGGAUUGUCGAGAGCCCCGGAGGUAUAUUCUUUCCCCCGUAUCUUCUCUAUGUCUUGAUGCGCUGCUCAUCGGAGUGGCAAUGAGGGUGCUUCAACCGGAGGGGAAGGGGGGCUCCUCCGCUUCCGUGGAGUCCGGGUGGGGGGCGAGGAUGGUCUAAGAUGAAGAAUCGGACAGGUCACCGGGUAUACAAGCCAGCGACACGCCGGCGAUGGCCUUCCUAGGACCCAAUCGGCGGUGGCUUCCCGUGUUCUACUUUCCCUCGAUGUCGGUGGCGGGCGCGCUGGCCACUGACUCGUCGAUCUCCGUGCAGCCUACUUCUUUCUCUGUCUGCAGGGCACGGUUACGCACGCGUUGUCGGCCGAUGGCGCGGUCGUAGGCACGGGAGGCGCGGUACGACGCGACGUCGUCCACGGCAACGAUGAUGCCUGUGCCGUCGUGCCCCCCCCCUCCUGUGCCGGUCUGGAGCAACUCGCCACUCCUCCACGAGCUGGCUUGGUGCAGCGAGGUGUUAAACCACGCGCCGGCUAUUAUGCCUCGCUCCAUCAGGCUAGGGCGAGGGAGAUGGAGCAGCGAGUUGCCUCACUCGUAUCCAGCGGGCUGGCGGGCCACCCAGCUGGCUUUUAUGCCAGAGAACUACUAUUCCUGCUCGUCGGAUGCCAUCGAAAGUGUGGAAAAAAUGGUGGAAGGAGAAGAUGGGGAGCGGUGGACUUGGUGAUGCGAUUCUUGCCCAGCGUCUAGCCUCCUUUAAAUAGAGGGUGCACGGGAGGAGCUUUGCCCUGCAUUGUGUUUAAUGUCGGCCCACUCGUGAAUGGACAUGUGACCGGAGUAGGUUUGUCGUCUUCCACACCGGUUUAAUGGAGGCAUUUGAAUGCGGCGAGGAGGCAUGUUCUGCCGGCGUGCAGCGGGCGACGCCCUCGACUGGUGCGCCGUUUUAAUGGUCGAGGCAGUGAGACGUCGCGUCCGUUCUAAGCCGUCUUCAAUAUGGAGGGGCACGCUCUACAGCAACAAGAAUGCGGGCAGCUGGCGCCAGGCGGGAACGCGUGCGGGCGAUGGAGGAGUGGUUCGGGUGGGCCACGGCGGACGGGUGUGGGUAGUGUCGGAAUGCCCGCAAAGCCCAUAUUUGUCUUCGGUUUACGGGAGAAACAACGUCCAAAUCAAACAGCGAAGGUCCGCGUUGGAUGGGGUUCCGUGAUCCGAACGUAUGCGGAUGAUUUAAAGGUAAGGUGUCGAAGAUGCCCUAGCAUAGCACGCUCUCUUUUCUGGAGCGUGCCUGAAGCUAGCGACUGAACAACCCAGAAGUGGACUUCUACGUCCUUUCAGCCCCAGCUCGGCUCCAAAGUCCAAGCUUCCAAAACAGAGGAGCUCAUGAGCAAACGCGGCGCGUAGCCUAGAACCGUCCACAUGACGAGACCUGCAAAUCUCAUCCGGUAGGAGAGCCAUGGACCAUAUCCGGCCUGGGGCUUGGGCGGCGACGGCGUUUGGCAAAGCGCCAAACGCUACGGUUGCGCCGGCCCGGACCACCGCCCGCCGCCCCCCCAGAGGAUUACCACGCACACGAGUCCUUUUCGAUCGCCGAAUGAUUUUGAUCUAGCACGUUCCCGCGGUUUCCCUCCACAGUUGAACGUUGCCCUCGCCAGGAUUAAUACUAAUCCCGUCCAUUCUCUUUGGGGUUGCUUUGCCUUUGCUCCCAUAAAUUCUUUCCGUCCGCCUCGUGUUGCUUCCCGACCAAGUCUGCAGCUUCCUCUCCUCGCCAGCAAGAGCGCGGAUUCCAUUCCAUCCGGAUUUCCUUCUCGAUCGCACUCACAGCCUAGCCUAAUAGCCGAUCAAACAAACCCGGCCUUCCGUAGCCCGCCCGAGACCCCAAGUCACGCACAAAUUUUCUUCAUCUUCUCCCGCAAUGGCGGAGCCUGCUCCUGCUCCGGCGCAGCCAAGAACCGGCGGUGACGAUGUCAUUUCUGCCAGGAUGCAGCGGGCUCUGGAGCUCUUGUUCCCGUCUAAUCUCGCCGGGAAGGCGGUGCUGUUCGCCGUCGUGGUGGCGCUGCUGCGGAUGCUGCCGACGAGCCAGACCCCCGGGAUCUGGGACCUGCCGCACAUCCUCCUGCUCGGCCUCGUCAUCUCCUACGGCGUCUUCGGCCAGAGGAACGCCGACGCCGAUGUGGUGGUGCCCCCGGUGGCCGCUUCUUCCAAGGUCACCGACGACGACGAGUCCGUGGAGGCCUUCGUCUCCCAGAUACUGCAAGGGCCGCUGGUCUUCGAGGGGAACAGCGGCGACGGAGGCAGCGGCGGCGCCAGGGACGGCGCCGUGCAGGCGUGGAGCUCGCAGUACUACCCCGACGAUGCCCUCGUCGUCGUCGCCGACACGGGCGACGCUGGCGAGAAGCCGAUUCUCCUGCCGGUGAGGAAGCUCAAGCCAUUGGCCGAAGAAUCUGCACCGGGCAAUGUAAGUGAUGACGCUACCGAUGAAGAAGCAGAGUUCCUCCCCAAGGAAGAAAUAGGAUACGGCAGCGCGCGCGAAAAAGCCAUGUCGUCGCCGUCCUCCGUCCUCGAAGCCGGCUUGACCCUCUCGCCGUCCUCGCCUCCUCCCCCGCCGCCUCCACCGCAGUUUCGUGGCGGCGCGCGUGGCCUCGGGAAGGCGAGAGCAAGAAGCUUCAACGAAUAUGGGGUUGGAGACAUGAGCAUGAGCGGACGGACGGGUUUACGGAGCAGGUUCCGGUCAAACUCUUCCAUCCAAGCAACGAGGAGGAGCACUUUCACCGACUACGAUCCUGUGGCUCCGUCCGACGAUCAAGCGGCCGCAGACGAUGAGGCUGACGAGAUGGCCGCGGCCUCGGACAGCUCGUUCAGCGACGACAUGGCCAGGGACGGCGACGAUGAACACGACGAGGAGGAAGACAACUACGACGAAGAGGGAGACGAGGAGGGGCGGCAAGGUGACAACUCCUGCGACGAAGAGCUUUUCGAGCUGGCGACGAGGCCCGAGCCGGAGGAGGACGAGGUGGACAAGAAGGCUGACGAGUUCAUAGCCAAGUUCAGGGAGCAGAUUAGGAUGCAGCGGGCUCAUCCGGGGCCGGGCAGAAGAUGAGCCAUCUCAUGUGUAAUGCACCGCAUUUUAAUGUUUUUUUUCUUCUUUUGAUUGCUCUCAUGUAACUACAACCUGAACAAAUGGUGUCAAUCAGUGGAAUAAGUGUGCGCGGGAUAUUGUGCGCAUCCUCUUUUUCUCACAUUUUGUUUGAUAAAGCACGUUUUAUUGACUCUUAGACAAGAGUAAUGCUGCACAUACAUAGAUUUACCGGACUUAGGCAGUUGGGUUUUGAUCGGAGAUUAAAGGGGGGAGAGGGCACCCCGUGAAAAUCAGGGAGAGGUUAGUUAGAAAGAAAGAAUCUUAGUCAGCGUUAUACGUUUAGCAUUAUUGCUUAGACAACAUAGCAAAAGCAUAACCAGAAGAGGGGAGUGAAAAGGUUCAUUUUUUGUCUCUCGAUAUAGCGACUUGUGCAGUUUUUGUCACUCAACUUCAAAGCCAGACAACUUUUUUGCGAAGCUAAACUACACAACUUGCACCCGAACUUUUCAAACCGGACAAGAUUGGUCUCUCGACCCUGAUUUGAAUGCUAACUCAUUGUGGUUUUGACCAAUAGCCGCCCAUGGGGCAAUGUAUCUCUUCCCUACUCAAUGGCCUUCAAAUGAGCCACACUUUCUUCUCUCUCCAUUUUUGCAAGCUGGAACUGAAUGAGGCCGGACUGAUGAGAUGGAGGCAACACACCGUUGUGACAUCGAUGAUUGCUUAGGAUACAUCGCCUGGUACGAUGGAGAUUCGAUAUGUUGUGUAGGAUCCAUGACUUCUCAUAUCUCUACUAGUGCAUAAAGAAAACAAAUCUUUCACAUCCGCCAUUUAUGAUGGCAAUUGUGCUUUAAAGAUGAGCAUUGGUGUUGGGCCCAAGAUUCAAAUCUUCACGGUUCCAUGCCAAACACUCUAACAAGGUGGCUUCGUGCGCCGCCCUUCUCCCUUAAGAGAAGUAUUGGAUCGCAUUGGUGUUAUUCUGGUAUUGUAUACCUAUGUCAUUAUAUGCUGUAUGAUCAUACCACUCAUAGUUUGGUUUUCCUUUUCGUUUUUUCCAAAUAUGAGUGUAUUCGAUCUCUAUACGACAAUGUUUGCACUCUAUUCCAAGCCUUCUUAUUCAAAGACAAGCUUUCAUCCUUGCAAGAGUCUCUUUUGAUCAUAUUCAUAUAGCUGAUUUCAUUGGGGUGAGUAUCCUCGAUUUGUGGAGCCUUUUGAACAGUUUUCGAGGAAGCCUACAAUUCGCUACGCACCCUAGAGAUGUCCUUCAAAAAAAUCACAAGUCCAUGGAUACCCCCAGGCACCUGGUCUCAGUCCAACCACCCGGUCCCCUUUGCUCCGGGCACCCGGGGUACACAGGCCGAUCGGCUAUAUAAGUGGGAGGGCGUGGGGACUAGGGUUUCUUCCGACUCCAGUUGCCCCCACGGCCCCCAAACCGCCGCAUGUCGCCUCUUCCACUGUCGUUGCCAUCGGUGACCCUCCAGUCCUCCCGACCUCCUCCGGGCGACUUUUUCGAACCCCUUGGCAUCCUCCUGCAGUACAUCCUUGAUUACAUCCGUGCUUUUUGCUCAAAUCUCCAUUAUCUUCGUAUCUAGAUGAGAUUCAAUUAGGGUUGCAUAUCAUAGGAUUUCUCAUAGUGGAUCUAGUUUUACAUGAGUGUGGCCUCGAUGGUAGUCAGUUUGCAUCUCGAUUUUUUUAGAUCCGCUGAUGAGAUGCUAAAACUAACGUUCCUUCGGGUGCCUGGUUUGUGAUGUCCGCUGCGAUGGUGGGUUGGACGCGGAUGGGUAGGAAGGUAGUCUUAUGGAAAUUCAACAAGAGGCGCAGUAGCGUUAGCAAACAAUCCAGAAUUUUUCUGAGUUGUGUGGCAGUGCCAGCAAAGGUGUGGGUGAUGAUGAGCGUAUCAUCGGCAUAUUGAAGGACGGUGGGGAGGUUUUGAUCUAGGGGGUGGUGAAGUAGACCGUCAAUGUGGGCACGAAAGAUUAGGCGUUGCAAGAUAUCGGUGACGAGAAUGAACCAAAAGGGGGGAAAGGGGGUCCCCUUGUUUGAGACCGUUUUUACAAUUUAUCCAGGGGCAGAAACACUGUUUAGCACAACCACGGUUUCAUCCCUGGUUUCAUCUACAGAUUUGUGUUUCAAGGGUUAUAAUCCCUGGUUUCAUCUAUUGAUAAUCAAGAGAACAUAAAAUCGGAGAUUUGUACGAUAACAAGCACAUGAUAUUGUGAAUGUUACCAAAGUCUGCCAUUAUGUUGAUUUAAAAUUACAAAAUAUAUUUUCAGUAAAGAACAUACUUAUUGACUGUAGCAAAGUUAUAUUUUAAUGGAAAAUUUAGAAAAGGAUAGCAGUCAGCAAGGCUUAUGGAAAUCGAAUAUCUACAUAAGAGCUGAGAUAAAACCUUGCAAAAACAUGGUGGUAUAUCCACUUCCGCUCCACAAAGGGACAACAAAAUAUCGGCUACAAAAAAAAUUAGUUAAGAAAAUAAUUCAUAAAACAAUCACGGUGAUGCAAUCAAACAUCCAACCGACAAAGAAAUACUCCCACGGUAGCAUAUGAGUACCAUGUAGCCGAUCUAUGUUUCAAGAGAUGGUAAAGCUUUGCCUUCAUAGAUACACAUAUGUGACCUCUUCCCAAGUUGUACUAAUGUUCCAGGACAAGAAUAGUGACAGAAACAAAUUGGACAAAAGUUAUGUCCGCAUGGAUACGAGACUAUGAGUUAACAAUGGAAAUGCAGUUAGCGGUGUGCGCAGAUACAAAAUAAUGCAUUAAUGUCAGCAGCAUAAGAUAAAAAACCUUUUAGUGACUCGAUGACAACUAGUUUUGCUAAUAUUCUAGGUUAACAGGACAAUAUGUGAGAAUUAGAGGUCAUGAAACUAGCCUUUUGAAUACAAAAGUUUCAAGAGAAGAUAUAGCUUCCUCCCCACCCUUGAUGCAAAUCGAUACUGAGAUGUAGGGCAUGGUGCAGAGCAAAUAAUCAAAUCAGCAGACCUUGGUCAUUUCAACAUCUUGCAGUUGCUGGGUGUCUUCAGGUAGGGGCAUGACAGAUUUUACAGCUAGGGGCAUGUCACAGAGCCUGAGUGGAUGGAUUGCAUCUCUUCUGCAGAUUGCAACUGGUGUCAAAUACAUGAACAGAUAAAAGGAUGAUUCAGUACAGAUAUGCGAUCUGAAAUGAGAAGCAACGAGUUUCAAAUAGUUAAACAGAUAAAAAACUGAUUCAGUACAGCUAUGCGAUCAAAACUGGCAAGCAACGAGUGACAUAUAUACAAACAAAUAAAAGACUGAUUCAGUGCAGAUAUACGAUCUAAACAGAGAAAUCAAAUGGAUCAAAUCAGUCAGUCUUAAAAAAAACACAAUUCAGCAGUGAAGCAUUUCGCCAGGAUUCAGAAUAGAAGUGAUUGCAUUGAACAGAAGUACAGAGCAAGGUAUUACACAGCCUACUGAACCCCAUGACAGAAUACAACCGGCGCACGCCAAAUCAGUAAAUCUCAUCUACGACAGCACAGAUCACAGAGCAAACGAGGAAGUUGCUUCACCACACAAAUCUAGCCUCCGAAGCCGUAGAGGGUGCGGCCCUGGCGCUUGAGCGCGUAGACGACGUCCAUGGCGGUGACGGUUUUGCGGCGGGCGUGCUCGGUGUAGGUGACGGCGUCGCGGAUGACGUUCUCGAGGAAGAUCUUGAGGACGCCGCGGGUCUCCUCGUAGAUGAGGCCGGAGAUGCGCUUCACGCCGCCCCUCCUGGCCAGCCUCCGGAUCGCCGGCUUGGUGAUGCCCUGGAUGUUGUCGCGGAGGACCUUCCGGUGCCGCUUGGCGCCGCCCUUGCCCAGCCCCUUGCCGCCCUUGUCGCGCCCAGACAUGGCCGCUCCUCUCCGAGAUAGUGUGAUUAGGAAGAAGAGGAGCUGCUGCCUGCUUUGGAGGGAGUCUGAUGCUUGCGAUGGGAUUAGGGAUCUGAGGGCGGGGGGUUGGUUUAUAUGGGGAGGAUUUAGGAGGGAACUGCAAGAUUUGGGGGACUUUGGGGGCGGGAGGGACUUCGCUGGGUCGAUCCGCGAGACGGUGGAGAUGCGACGUUGGAUUGAGAUCAGAAGGGUGGGAUGAGGUGGGAGGGUGCUGGCCCGGAUCCAUGAUGUGGCGCCGGAUGUGGGGUCUGGGCGGUUGUUUUAUCGUAUAUGUUUUGUUAGGAGUAAUAGUAUUAGUAUUAGGCUAAUUAGGCGAUCAGUAGAUUCCUUAGAAUAUCCUAACUGGUCGUUGGAAUCCUGGCGUUGUCCAGACGCAGUACCUAGCGAACAAUCAUCGUGUCUUUCCAAACCAUCGUCGUGUCUUUCCGAAUCGACGCGAACACUGUAACCAACUUGUACUUGCGACUGUUUAGGAGAUAUAAAACCUGCAGUCACUAUCAAUGAAAGCACUCAUUCACUUCAAUCUUUCUUUUCUUCUCACGUUAUCAUGCACGCAUCGCUCUCGUACAGAGAGAAUAGGCCAAGAUGAAGAAAGGUGAGAACAAUGGCAUUGUUGCCGGACCUUGCUUUUGCCUUCGCCAGGUUCGUGGCCAGGGAGCAUCGUCGUUUCCGUCUUCCUCGACGGACUUUUGGUCUGGCCGUUGUUCGUCGUCGGAACUAUGGACGUCGCCUGAACAGGAAUGGCGGCCUCCGCCGCCACAGUGCACCAUAUCGUGCUCCUCUUCGUCACUACGGUCCUGGUGGUGGCCUCCUUCGCCGCCAUGCUUAUCGCCAGCGCCUCCACUGUGCUCACCGCUGGGUGCACGACGGCAACUCCCCUGGAGCGCCAGGACCGAGUACCAGGGCGGAUGCGCCCAGGGAAGAGUUCCUGGUCAUGCCCCAACAGGUUGCUGCCGCUCCAAACGAUGUCGACGAACAGGUUGAUCCAGUGCCGAACGUCGCUGCAGGGGUCGGGAUCGAGUACGAGGAUGAGGCCUCUGCCUCCAACAUCACAACGGAUGCCACCGAACUACCGCCUCCUCCGCCGGUGUAUGCGCCCAUGGAGUGGAUGCUUGCCGGACCAAGCGCCGCAUGGCUCGUCGAUGACCCAGAUCGCUACUUCUCCGAUGAGGAACUCGCAGCGCCGCCUACGCUGAUAUACUCUUGCCCGGGCUACGGGUACGGGUCGGGCCUCCUGUCCCCGACGCCAUCUGACGAGGACCCAGAGCACUUCAACCCGCCGGGCUACGAUCCACUGCCAGAGUUCUCCUCACCGCCUGUUGCAGUCCCCCUGGACGCAUGAUACGUCCAUUUUGCAUCAUGUUUCCUUACUAUUAUUUAUGACGUUUUUAUCCAUAAUAUGCUUUUUAAAGUAAUUAUAAUGUCUUUUCUCUCAUAAUUUACAAGGUACACACAAAGAGGGAGAAUUCCGGCAGUUGGAAAUCUGGACCUGAAAAAGCUACGUCAGGCUACCUAUUCUGCACAACUCCCUAUUCUGCACAACUCCAAAUAAGCUGAAACUUCACGGAGAUUUUUUAUGGAAUAUUUGAGAAAUAUUGGAGCAAAUAACUGCCAGAGGGGGCCUACCAAGUGGGCACAACCCACCUGGGCGCGCCCUGGUGGGUUGUGCUCACCCAGGGCCACCUUCGGUGCCCAUCUUCUGGUAUAUAGGUCAUUUUGACCUAGAAAAAAUAAGGAGAGGACUUUCGGUACGGAGCGCCGCCGUCUUGAGGCGGAACUUGGGCAGGAGCACUUUUGCCCUCCGACGGAGCGAUUCCGCCAGGGGAACUUCCCUCCCGGAGGGGGAAAUCAUCGUCAUCAUCAUCACCAACAACUCUCCCAUCUUGGAGAGGGCAAUCUCCAUCAACAUCUUCAACAACACCAUCUCAUCUCAAACCCUAGUUCAUCUCUUGUGUUCAAUCUUGUUACCGAAACUAUAGAUUGGUGCUUGUGGGUGACUAGUAGUGUUGAUUACAUCUUGUAGUUGAUUACUAUAUGGUUUAUUUGGUGGAAGAAUAUAUGUUUAGAUCUAAUAUGCUAUUUAAUACUCCUCUGAUCAUGAGCAUGAUUAUCAUUUGUGAGUAGUUACUUCUGUUCUUGAGGUCACGGGAGAAAUCAUGUUGCAACUAAUCAUGUGAACUUGAUAUGUGUUCGAUAUUUUGAUAGUAUGUAUGUUGUGAUUCCCUUAGUGGUGUCAUGUGAACGUCGACUACAUGACACUUCACCAUAUUUAGGCCUAAGGGAAUGCAUUGUGGAGUAGCACUUAGAUGAUGGGUUGCGAGAGUGACAGAAGCUUAAACCCCAGUUUAUGCGCUAUUCCGUAAGGGACCGAUUGGAUUCAAAAGUUUAAUGCUAUGGUUAGAAUUUAUUCUUAAUACUUUUCUCGUAGUUGCGGAUGCUUGCAGGAGGGUUAAUCAUAAGUAGGAGGUUUGUUCAUGUAAGAACAGCACCUAAGCACCGGUCCACCCACAUAUCAAAUUAUCAAAGUAGCGAACACGAAUCAAACCAACAUGGUGAAAGUAACUAGAUGAAAUUCCCAUGUACCCUCAAAAACGCUUUGCUUAUCAGACCGUUUUGGCCUGUCCUUUGCCUCAAAAGGAUUGGGCUACCUUGCUGCACUUUUGGUACUACUAUCGAUACUUGCUCGUUACAAAUUAUCUUGCUAUCAAACUACUCUGUUACUUACAAUUUCAGCACUUGCAGAUAUUACCUUGCUGAAAACCACUUGUCAUUUCCUUCUGCUCCUCGUUGGGUUCGACACUCUUACUUAUCAAAAAGAGCUACAAUUGAUCCCCUAUACUUGUGGGUCAUCAAGGCUAUUUUCUGGCGCCGUUGCCGGGGAGUGAAGCGCCUUUGGUAAGUGGAAUUUGGUAAGGAAAUAUUUAUAUAGUGUGGUGAAAUAUAUUUUCACUUGUUACUAUGGAAAACAAUCCUUUGAGGGGUUUGUCCGGGGUAUCUUCACCUCGACCGGAACCCCGGGGUAUCUUCACCUCGACCGGAACCACAAUUAGCUACCUCUCAACCUACUGCACCUAUUGAAAAUAUUGAAUAUGAAAUUCCUUCGGGUAUGAUAGAACAACUGCUAGCUAAGCCUUAUGCAGGAGAUGGAACUGAACAUCCUGAUAUGCACUUGAUAUAUCUAGAACAAAUUUGUGGAUUGUUUAAGCUUGCAGGUUUACCCAGGGAUGAAGUUAUGAAAAGGGUUUUCCCUUUAUCUUUGAAGGGAAAAGCAUCGGCAUGAUAUAGGCUAUGCGAUGAUAUUGGAUCUUGGAAUUGGAAUCGAUUGAAAUUGGAGUUCCACCAAAAAAUUAUGCUAUGCAUCUAGUUCAUCGUGAUCGGAAUUAUAUAUAUAAUUUUUGGCCUCGUGAAGGAGAAAGUAUUGCUCUAGCUUGGGGAGGCUUAAGUCAAUGUUAUAUUCAUGCCCCAAUCAUGAGCUCUCAAGAGAAAUUAUUAUUCAGAACUUUUAUGCUCGGCUUUCUCGUAAUGUUCAGACCAUGCUUGAUACUUCUUGUGUUGGUUCUUUUAUGAAGAAGACUAUUGAAUUCAGGUGGGAUCUUUUGGAAAGAAUUAAACGCAACUCUGAAGAUUGGGAAAAGGUAAAGAGAAGCUUAAGUCUGAUUGUGUUAAGUCUUUUAUGGAUACCGAUGCUUUUCAAAAGUUUAGCACUAAAUAUGGACCUAACUCUGUGAUAGUAGCCUCCUUUUGUGAAUCAUUUUCUACUCAUGUUGAUCUCCCUAAAGAGAAGUGGUUUAAAUAUCACCCACCUAUUAAAGAAGAAAUCAAAGAACCGGUACCAGUUAAAGAAGAAACUAUACUUUAUAAUGUUGAUCCAGUUGUUCCUUCUGCUUAUAUUGAGAAACCACCUUUUCUUGUUAGGACAAAGGAACAUGCUAAAGUUUCAACUGUGGUUAACAAAAGCUAUAUUAGAACACCUAAACCUGAUGAACAAAUUAAAGUAGAACCUAGUAUUGCUAUGGUUAAAGAUCUCUUAAAAGAAGAUAUAGAUGGGCAUGUUAUUUACUUCUGUGAAGAAGCUGCUAGAAUUGCCAAACCUGAUAAAAAAGAUAAACAUAGACAUGUUGUUGGCAUGCCCGUCGUCUCAGUUAAAAUAGGAGAUCACUAUUAUCAUGGUUUAUGUGACAUAGGUGCUAGUGUGAGUGCUAUUCCUUACACUUAUAUCAAGAAAUUAUGAAUGACAUAGCACCCGCAUAGAUAGAAGACAUAUAUGUUACUAUUAAACUUGCUAAUAGAGACACUAUAUCACCAAUUGGGAUUGUUAGAGAUGUUGAAGUCUUGUGUGGGAAAAUAAAAUACCCUACUGAUUUUCUUGUUCUUGGUUCCCCACAAGAUGACUUAUGUCCCAUUAUCUUUGGUAGAGCUUUCUUGAACACCGUUAAUGCUAAAAUAGACUGUGAGAAACAAACUGUCGGUGUUAGUUUUGGUGGUGAAUCUCAUGAGUUUAAUUUUUCCAAGUUUAGUAGAAAGCUUCAUGAAAAAGAAUUGCCUAGUAAAGAUGAGUUAAUUGGUCUUGCUUCUAUUGUCGUGCCUCCUACUGAUCCACUAGAACAAUAUUUGCUAGACCAUGAAAAUGAUUUACAUAUGCAUGAAAGAAAUGAAAUAGAUAAGAUUUUCUUCGAACAACGUCCUCUGCUUAAACACAAUUUGCCUAUCGAAACUCUGGGAGGUCCUCCUCCACCUAAAGGUGAUCCUGUGUUUGAAUUAAAACAAUUGCCGGACACUUUGAAAUAUGCUUAUCUUGAUGAAAAGAAGAUAUAUCAUGUUAUUAUUAGUGCUAACCUUUCAGAACAUGAAGAGGAAGGAUUACUGAAAGUUCUAAGGAAGCACCGAGCUGCUAUUGGAUAUACUCUUGAUGAUUUAAAGGGCAUUAGUCCCACUCUAUGUCAGCACAAAAUUAAUUUGGAACCUGAUGCUAAACCCGUUGUUGAUCACCAACGUUGGUUAAAUCCGAAGAUGAAAGAAGUGGUAAGAACGGAAAUAUUGAAACUUCUGGAAGCAAGUAUAAUCUAUCCUAUAGCUGAUAGUAGAUGGGUAAGUCUUGUUCAUUGUGUUCCUAAGAAAGGAGGUAUAACUGUUGUUCCUAAUGAUAAGAACGAACUUAUUCCACAAAGAAUUGUUACAGGCUAUAGAAUGGUAAUUGAUUUUAGAAAAUUAAACAAAGCAACUAGAAAAGAUCAUUACCCUCUGCCUUUUAUUGAUCAAAUGCUUGAAAGAUUAUCUAAGCACACACAUUUUUGCUUCCUUGAUGGAUAUUCUGGUUUUUCACAAAUACCUGUUUCUCAACCUGAUCAAGAAAAGACCACUUCUACUUGUCACUUUGGAACUUAUGCUUAUAGACGUAUGCCUUUUGGUUUAUGUAAUGCACCUGCUACCUUUCAAAGAUGUGUGACUGCUAUAUUCUCUGACUUUUGUGAAAAGAUUGUUGAGGUUUUCAUGGACAAUUUCUCUGUUAUGGGAAGUAUUUUGACGAUUGUUUAAGCAAUCUUGAUCGAGUUUUGCAGAGAUGUGAAGAAACAAAUCUUGUCUUGAAUUGGGAGAAGUGCCACUUUAUGGUUAAUGAAGGUAUUGUCUUGGGUCAUAAAAUUUCUGAAAGAGGUAUUGAAGUGGACAAAGCUAAGGUUGAUGCAAUUGAGAAAAUGCCAUGUCCUAAAGAUAUCAAAGGUAUUCGUAGUUUCUUAGGUCAUGCUGGUUUCUAUAGGAGAUUUAUCUAAGACUUUUCGAAAAUUUAUAGGCCUCUUACGAGUCUUUUGCAAAAGGAUAUUCCUUUUGUUUUUGAUGAUGAUUGUUUAGAAGCCUUUGAAACGCUCAAGAAAGCCUUAAUUUCUGCACCUAUUGUUCAACCACCUGAUUGGAACUUGCCUUUUGAAAUUAUGUGUGAUGCUAGUGAUUAUGCUAUUGGUGUUGUUCUAGGACAAAGAGUUGAUAAGAAACUGAAUGUUAUUCAUUAUGCUAGUAAAACUCUAGACAGUGCUCAAAAAAAUUAUGCUACUACUGAAAAAGAAUUCUUAGCAGUUGUGUUUGCUUGUGAUAAAUUUAGACCUUAUAUUGUUGAUUCCAAAAUAAUUGUUCACACAGACCAUGCUGCUAUCAAAUAUCUUAUGGAAAAGAAAGAUGCUAAACCUAGACUUAUUCGAUGGGUUCUCUUGUUACAAGAAUUUGAUUUACAGAUCACUGGUAGAAAAGGAGCUGAGAACCCCGUAGCUGAUAACUUGUCUAGGCUUGAAAAUUUGUGUGAUGACCCACUACCUAUUGAUGAUAGUUUUCCUGAUGAGUAGUUAGCUGCAAUAAAUGUUGCUCAUAGUACUCCUUGGUAUGCUGAUUAUGCUAAUUACAUUGUUGCUAAAUAUUUACCACCUAGCUUUACAUACCAACAAAAGAAAAAAUUUCUUCUAUGAUUUAAGACAUUACUUUUGGGAUGACCCACAUCUUUAUAAAGAAGGAAUGGAUGGUAUUAUUAGACAUUGUGUACCUGGGCAUGAACAGGGAUAAAUCCAACGGAAAUGUCACUCUGAAGCUUAUGGAGGGCAUCAUGCUGGAGAUAGAACUGCUCACAAGGUAUUGCAAUCUGGAUUUUAUUGGCCUACUCUCUUCAAGGAUGCCUGUAAGUUCGUCUUACCCUGUGAUGAAUGUCAAAGAAUAGGUAAUAUCGGUAAGCGUCAAGAAAUUCCUAUGAAUUAUUCACUUGCUGUUGAACCAUUUGAUGUUUGGAGAUUUGUUUACAUGGGACCUUUUCCUUCCUCUAAUGGGUAUACACAUAUUUUGGUUGAUGUUGAUUAUGUUACUAAAUGGGUAGAAGCUAUUCCAACCAGUAGUGCUGAUCACAACACCUCUAUUAAGAUGCUUAAGGAAGUUAUUUUUCCAAGGUUUGGAGUCCCUAGAUAUUUAAUGACUGAUGGUGGUUCACACUUUAUUCAUGGUGAUUUCCGUAAAAUGCUUGCCAAGUAUGAUGUUAACCAUAGAAUUGCAUCACCUUAUCAUCCUCAGUCUAGUGGCCAGGUUGAACUUAGCAAUAGAGAAAUAAAAUUAAUUUUGCAAAAGACUGUUAAUAGGUCCAAGAAGAAUUGGUCUAAGAAAUUAGAUGAUGCACCUUGGGCUUAUAGAACAGCAUAUAAAAAUCCUAUGGGUAUGUCUCCUUAUAAAAUGGUUUAUGGAAAAGCUUGUCAUUUGCCUCUUGAGUUAAACAUAAAGCAUAUUGGGCCAUCAAAGAGCUCAACUAUGAUUUCAAACUUGACGAUGAAAAGAGGUUAUUUGAUAUUAGCUCUUUAGAUGAAUGGAGAACCCAAGCUUAUGAAAAUGCAAAAUUAUUCAAAGAAAAAGUUAAAAGAUGGCAUGACAAAAGAAUACAAAAGCAUGAGUUCAAAGUUGGAGAAUAUGUUCUUUUGUACAACUCUCGUUUCAGAUUCUUUGCAGGAAAACUCCUCUCAAAAUGGGAAGGCCCAUAUGUUAUCGAGGAGGUUUAUCGGUCUGGAGCCAUCAAAAUAAAUAAUGCCGAAGGUACUAACCCGAAAGUCGUCAAUGGGCAACGAAUAAAACAUUAUAUCUCAGGUACGCCCAUUAAUGUUGAAAGUAAUAUUAUCCAAACUUUGACACCGGAAGAACACAUAAAAGAGUCCUUCCGAAACACUCCAGAAUCGUGAAAAUAAGGAGGUAUGUGAUACGGUAAGUAAACGGACUCCGAAAAAUCCGCAAAAAUAUUUUUUAUCAGUUUUCGAAUAUUUAGAAAAAUAGGAAAAUAAGAAACUUCCAGGAAGCAUACCCUGGUGGGCAUAAGACACCAGGGCGCACCAGGCUUGCCUGGAGCCUGGCGCGCCCAGGUGGGUUGUGCCCACCUGGGACACCUUCCGGACUCCGUUUUUUUACAGUUUGCUUGUCCCCCAAGAUAAAAAAUCUAUAUAUACUUCCUGAACCUGUUAACCACCGUAUCGCGGAGAAAUCCUCUGUUUUUUUCCUUGUUGUUUUCUGUCAAAUCCCAUCUACCAUGGCUGCUUCAAGCUCCUCCAAGGACAAGUUCUUCAAGAACAUCAUCAACCCAUAUCUGCGGGAGGUGGUGCAGCACCUUCAAACCAUCCAGAUGCAUGAGGGGGUGCUUCACCUCCACAAUGUGCAAGGACCCAAGGGGACCGGUGACGGUGUCCUGGACUAGGGGGUGCUCACCACGUCGUCUCUGGACAGGGUGGAUCGGGCCGAGGACCCCCAUGGCGGUUCUAUCAUGGGCCACUUCGGACAGCCCAUGCCGCAUACAAUGAAGAUUCCACAAGACUUGGCGCCCAAGACGAGGACUCUCCAAAACCCUAAGCCUCCGGUGUGCUAUAUAAACCGAGGCCAGGCUAGUCAAUAGACCAUCUCAUAUUCAUUACUACAAUCUCGUGGUAGAUACAUGUACUCUGUACUAUACCCCAUAUAAACACAAACAAAGCAGCAUGUAGGGUAUUAUCUCUUCGAGAGAGCCCGAAGCUGGGUAAAAUCCCAUGUCCAUGUUACCAUCGCUCCAAGACGCCUAGCUUAGGACCCCUACUACGAGAUACGCCGGAUAUAGAACCGAUGUUGGUGCUUUCAUUGAGAGCCUGCUGGGUGAUCGUCACGGAUCGAUGGGAUGAUCAGGUGAUAUUUUUUCAGUCACUUUCAUGUAUAUUUUCUCUUUUGCGAAAUCCUUGCUAUCACCUUUUGCUACGUUGUUCGUAGUCAGAUCGAAAUCCAAAAGGUUUUAUGCGGCGGCAGCCAUAUCCGUCGUUCGAGGAUACCUUGGAUCCGAGUUACCCAUAGGCCAUUAAGGUCCUGGAAAGCCGCGCAUGUAAACAGCAGCCUUGCUGCAUGGAUCAACGCGAAGAUUAUAGGGCAAUCUGAGCAGCAACACAGGCCAGCCGAGGAGAUAGCGAGCGUAUUGCCCAUCCCCACGCAGAAGCAGUACAAGAGGGCCGUCUGACAAGAGUCCUGAUCGGCGGCGGCAUGCAGGGAAGUUUCCAUACAUCCUCCUUUAUCCUUAUUACUCACCUUUUAAUUAUGUGUGGAGGAAGGCUACACUUUUUGCUAGUAGCCUACGUAGUUAUGGGUGCACUUCCUAAUUGCAAUGCAUGCAUGCACAAAGCACAUGCAUUGGUCAAUUUUCUUUUAAUACUUGCAUGCAAUGAUUUAAUGCACCUUGAAAUUUGAACAUGUGAUAGGGAACAACCAAAUUGAGCCUUAUAAAACGGGAAAACUAAAAAUUUGAGAUAAGCCUUAUAAACCGGAAAGGAGGGAGUAUUAAUUAAAGUGUGCUAAUUGUUUGAUUGCUUGGAAGUUUUUCCACCAAUUUAAAAUUCAAGAGAAACUUACAAUAGAAACACUACAGUUGUCGACACGGAUUUCUCCUCAAAAAUUGCUGAAACCCUUCAACUGGAUCCAGAGCCAAAAUCUAUGAAAGAGUGCCUCAAAUGCUCCGAUUAGCCUAAAUGGAAGGAGGCAAUUGAGGCAGAAUUAUGCUCGCUUAAUAAAAGAGAGGUAUUUUCUAAAAUAAUACUACUCCUCAUAAAGUCUUCCCUAUGGGAGCAAAAUGGGUUUUUGUUCGCAAAAGGAACGAAAACAAUGAGGUGGUGAGAUACAAAGCGAGACUAGUAGCUCAAGGGUUUACGCAGAGACCCGGUAUCAACUACGACGAUACAUAUUCUCUUGUAAUGAAUGGAAAUACAUUUUGAUACUUAAUAUAUUUGGCAGUACAAAUGAAUCUAUCAAUGCAGUUAAUGGAUGUGGUGGCCGCUUAUCUAUAUGGCUCACUUGAUGCAAAAAUUUAUAUGAAAGUUCCUGAUGGACUUAAAAUUCCGAAUCCAAAUAUAAAUCGCAACAUCUUUAUCUAAAACUACAAAAGUCACUCUAUGGCUUGAAGCAGUUGGGCAAAAUGUGGUAUAACCGACUAAGUGAGUUCCUUCUCAGUAAAGGAUACUCGAAUAACAUUGAUUGCCCAUGCGUAUUUAUAAAUAAAUCCUCAAAGGGAUUUUGCAUCAUCUCUGUAUAUGUUGAUGAUCUCAACAUCAUUGGCAACACAUCAGAUAUAACUGUAGCAUGCAAUCAUUUAAUGACGGAGUUUGAGAAGAAAGAUUUCGGAACAACCAAAUUCUACUUAUGUAUACAACUUGAGCAUUUUCCCUCAGGAAUACUCGUUUAUAAACCCGCUUACAUUCAGAAAAUUUUGGAAAAUUUCAACAUGGAUAAAUCAUAUCCCAUCCAAAACACCUAUGGUCAUCAAAUCCCUUGAUAUGAAUAAGGAUCCUUUUAGACCUAGGGAUGAUAAUGAGGAGGUAUUGGGACCUGAGUUCCCAUACCUUAGUGCCAUAGGAGCACUAAUGUACCUGGCAAAUUGUACUAGACUAGACAUUGCCUUUGUUGGGGAACGCAGUAAUUUAAAAAAAAAUCAUACGCACACGCAAGAUCCAUCUAGGUGAUGCAUAGCAAUGAGAGGGGAGAGUGUUGUCCAUGUACCCUCGUAGACCGAAAGCGGAAGCGUUAUGACAACGCGGUUGAUGUAGUCGUACGUCUUCACGAUCCGGCCGAUCCUAGUACCGAAAGUACGACACCUCCGCGAUCUGCACACGUUUGGCUCGGUGAUGUCCCAUGAACUCUCGAUCCAGCUGAGUGUCGAGGGAGAGCUUCGUCAACACGACUGCGUGAUGACGGUGAUGAUGAAGAUACCGACGCAGGGCUUCGCCUAAGCACUACAACGAUAUGACCGAGGUGGAAUCUGUGGAGGGGGGCACCGCACAUGGCUAAGACAACUGUCAACUUGUGUGUCUAUGGGGUGCCCCCUUCCGCCGUAUAUAAAGGAGUGGAGGAGGGGGAGGGCCGGCCCUCUCAUGGCGCGCCCCAAGGGGAGUCCUACUCCCGGCGGGAGUAGGAUCCCCCCUUCCCUAGUUGGAGUAGGAGAGGAAGGAAGGAGGAGAGAGGGAGAAGGAAAGGGGGGCGCCGCCCCCCUUCCCUAGUCCAAUUCAGACCCAAGGGGGAGGGGGCACGCGGCCUGCCCUGGCCGCCCCUCUCUCUCUCCACUAAGGCCCAUAUGGCCCAUUAGACUCCCCGGGGGGUUCCGGUAACCCCCCGGUACUCCGGUAAUUGCUCGAACUCACCCGAAACCAUUUCGAAGUCCAAACAUAGUCGUCCAAUAUAUCAAUCUUUAUGUCUCGACCAUUUCGAGACUCCUCGUCAUGUCCGUGAUGACAUCUGGGACUCCGAACAACCUUCGGUACAUCAAAACACAUAAACUCAUAAUACCGAUCGUCACCGAACGUUAAGCGUGCGGACCCUACGGGUUCGAGAACUAUGUAGACAUGACCGAGACUCAUCUCCAGUCAAUAACCAAUAGCGGAACCUGGAUGCUCAUAUUGGUUCCUACAUAUUCUACGAAGAUCUUUAUCGGUCAAACCGCAUAACAACAUACGUUGUUCCCUUUGUCAUCGGUAUGUUACUUUACCCGAGAUUCGAUCGUCGGUAUCUCAAUAUCUAGUUCAAUCUCGUUACCGGCAAGUCUCUUUACUCGUUCCGUAAUGCAUCAUCCUGCAACUAACUCAUUAGUCACAUUGCUUGCAAGGCUUAUAGUGAUGUGCAUUACCAGGAGGGCCCAGAGAUACCUCUCCGAAACACGGAGUGACAAAUCCUAAUCUCGAUCUAUGCCAACCCAACAAACACCAUCGGAGACGCCUAUAGAGCAUCUUUAUAAUCGCCCAGUUACGUUGUGACGUUUGAUAGCACACUAAGUGUUCCUCCGGUAUUCGGGAGUUGCAUAAUCUCAUAGUCAUAGGAACAUGUAGUCAUGAAGAAAGCAAUAGCAACAAACUAAAUGAUCAAGUGCUAAGCUAACGGAAUGGGUCAAGUCAAUCACAUCAUUCUCUAAUGAUGUGAUCCCGUUAAUCAAAUGACAACUCAUGUCUAUGGCUAGGAAACUUAACCAUCUUUGAUUCAACGAGCUAGUCAAGUAGAGGCAUACUAGUGACACUCUGUUUGUCUAUGUAUUCACACAUGUACUAAGUUUCCGUUUAAUACAAUUCUAGCAUGAAUAAUAAACAUUUAUAAUGAUAUAAGGAAAUAUAAAUAACAACUUUAUUAUUGCCUCUAGGGCAUAUUUCCUUCAGUCUCCCACUUGCACUAGAGUCAAUAAUCUAGAUUACACAGUAAUGAUUCUAACACCCAUGGAGUCUUGGUGCUGAUCAUGUUUUGCUCGUGAGAGAGGCUUAGUCAACGGGUCUGCAACAUUCAGAUCCGUAUGUAUCUUGCAAAUCUCUAUGUCUCCCUCCUUGACUUGAUCACGGAUGGAAUUGAAGCGUCUCUUGAUGUGCUUGGUUCUCUUGUGAAAUCUGGAUUCCUUUGCUAAGGCAAUUGCACCAGUAUUGUCACAAGAGAUUUUCAUUGGACCCGAUGCACUAGGUAUGACACCUAGAUCGGAUAUGAGCUCCUUCAUCUAGACUCCUUCAUUUGCUGCUUCCGAAGCAGCUAUGUACUCCGCUUCACACCUAGAUCCUGCCAUGACGCUUUGCUUAGAACUGCACUAACUGAUAGCACCACCGUUCAAUAUAAAUAAGUAUCCGGUUUGUGACUUAGAGUCAUACUGAUCAGUGUCAAAGCUUGCAUCGACGUAACCAUUUACGACGAGCUCUUUGUCACCUCCAUAAACGAGAAACAUAUCCUUAGUCCUUUUCAGGUAUUUCAGGAUGUUCUUGACCGCUGCCCAAUGAUCCACUCCUGGAUUACUUUGGUACCUCCCUGCUAAACUAAUAGCAAGGCACACAUCAGGUCUGGUACACAGCAUUGCAUACAUGAUAGAACCUAUGGCUGAAGCAUAGGGAAUGCCUUUCAUUUUCUCUCUAUCUUCUGCAGUGGUCGGGCAUUGAGUCUGACUCAAUUUCACACCUUGUAACACAGGCAAGAACCCUUUCUUUGCUUGAUCCAUUUUGAACUUCUUCAAAACUUUAUCAAGGUAUGUGCUUUGUGAAAGUCCAAUUAAGCGUCUUGAUCUAUCUCUAUAGAUCUUGAUGCCCAAUAUAUAAGCAGCUUCACCGAGGUCUUUCAUUGAAAAACUCGUAUUCCAGUAUCCGUUUAUGCUAUCUAGAAAUUCUAUAUCAUUUCCAAUCAACAAUAUGCCAUCCACAUAUAAUAUUAGAAAUGCUACAGAGCUCCCACUCACUUUCUUGUAAAUACAGGCUUCUCCAAAAGUGUGUAUAAAACCAUAUGCUUUGAUCACACUAUCAAAACGUUUAUUCCAACUCCGAGAUGCUUGCACCAGUCCAUAAAUGGAUCGCUGGAGCUUACACACUUUGUUAGCAUCCUUUGGAUUGAUAAAACCUUCGGGUAGCAUCAUAUACAACUCUUCUUCCAGAAAUCCAUUCAGGAAUGCAGUCUUUACAUCCAUUUGCCAAAUUUCAUAAUCAUAAAAUGCAGCAAUUGCUAACAUGAUUCGGACGGGCUUAAGCAUCGCUACGGGUGAGAAAGUCUCAUCAUAGUCACCUCCUCGAACUUGUCGAAAACCUUUCGCAACAAGUCGAGCUUUGUAGACAGUAACAUUACCGUCAGCGUCAGUCUUCUUCUUGAAGAUCCAUUUAUUCUCUAUGGCUUGCCGAUCAUCGGGCAAGUCAACCAAAGUCCACACUUUGUUCUCAUACAUGGAUCCCAUCUCAGAUUUCAUGGCCUCAAGCCAUUUCGCGGAAUCUGGGCUCAUCAUCGCUUCCUCAUAGUUCGUAGGUUCGUCACGGUCAAGUAACAUGACCUCUAGAACCGGAUUACCAUACCACUCUGGUGCGAAUCUUACUCUGGUUGACCUACGAGGUUCAGUAGUAACUUGAUCUGAAGUUACAUGAUCAUCAUCAUUAGCUUCCUCACUAAUUGGUGUAGUAGUCACAGGAACUGAUUUCUGUGAUGAACUACUUUCCAAUAAGGGAGCAGGUACAGUUACCUCAUCAAGUUCUACUUUCUUCCCACUCACUUCUUUUGAGAGAAACUCCUUCUCUAGAAAGGAUCCAUUCUUAGCAAUGAAUGUCUUGCCUUCGGAUCUGUGAUAGAAGGUGUACCCAACAGUCUCCUUUGGGUAUCCUAUGAAGACACAUUUCUCUGAUUUGGAUUCGAGCUUACCAGGUUGACGCUUUUUCACAUAAUCAUUGCAGCCCCAAACUUUAAGAAACAACAAUUUGGUUUCUUGCCAAACCACAGUUCAUAAGGUGUCGUCUCAACGGAUUUAGAUGGUGCCCUAUUUAACGUGAAUGCAGCCGUCUCUAAAGCAUAACCCCAAAACGAUAGCGGUAAAUCAGUAAGAGACAUCAUAGAUCGCACCAUAUCUAAUAAAGUGCGGUUACAACAUUUGGAUACACCAUUACGCUGUGGUGUUCCAGGUGGCGUGAGUUGCGAAACUAUUCCGCAUUGUGUCAAAUGAAGACCAAACUCGUAACUCAAAUAUUCUCCUCCACGAUCAGAUUGCAGAAACUUUAUUUUCUUGUUACGAUGAUUUUCCACUUCACUAUGAAAUUCCUUGAACUUUUCAAAUGUUUCAGACUUAUGUUUCAUCAAGUAGAUAUACCCAUGUCUGCUCAAAUCAUCUGUGAAGGUCAGAAAAUAACGAUACCCGCCGUGAGCCUCAAUAUUCAUCGGACCACAUACAUCAGUAUGUAUGAUUUCCAACAAAUUCGUUGCUCGCUUCAUUGUUCCGGAGAACGGAGUUUUAGUCAUCUUGCCCAUGAGGCAUGGUUCACAAGUACCAAGUGAUUCAUAAUCAAGUGAUUCCAAAAGUCCAUCAGAAUGGAGUUUCUUCAUGCGCUUUACACCAAUAUGACCCAAAUGACAGUGCCACAAAUAAGUUGCACUAUCAUUAUCAACUCUGCAUCUUUUGGUUUCAAUAUUAUGAAUAUGUGUGUCACUACUAUCGAGAUUCAAGAAAAAUAGACCACUCUUCAAGGGUGCAUGACCAUAAAAGAUAUUACUCAUAUAAAUAGAACAACCAUUAUUCUCGGAUUUAAAUGAAUAACCUUCUCGCAUCAAACAAGAUCCAGAUAUAAUGUUCAUGCUUAACGCUGGCACCAAUAACAAUUAUUCAGGUCUAAAACUAAUCCCGAGGUAGAUGUAGAGGUAGCGUGCCGACGGCGAUCAUAUCAACUUUGGAACCAUUUCCCACGCGCAUCGUCACCUCGUCCUUACCCAAUCUUUGCUUAAUCCGUAGUCCCUGUUUUGAGUUGCAAAUAUUAGCAAUAGAACCGGUAUCAAAUACCCAGGUACUACUGCGAGUAUUAGUAAGGUACACAUCAAUAACAUGUAUAUCACAUAUACCUUUGUUCACCCUUAUCCGCCAAAUACUUGGGGCAGUUCCGCUUCCAGUGACCAGUACCUUUGCAGUAGAAGCACUCAGUCUCAGGCUUAGGUCCAGACUUGGGCUUCUUCACUUGAGCAGCAACUUGCUUGCCGUUCUUCUUGAAGUUCCCCUUCUUCCCUUUACUCUUUUUCUUGAAACUGGUGGUCUUGUUGAUCAUCAACACUUGAUGCUCCUUAUUGAUUUCUACAUCCGCAGCCUUUAGCAUCGCGAAGAGCUCGGGAAUCAUCUUAUCCAUCCCUUGCAUGUUAUAGUUCAUCACGAAGCUUUUGUAGCUUGGUGGCAGUGAUUGAAGAACUCUGUCAAUGACACUAUCAACCGGAAGAUUAACUCCCAGCUAAGUCAAGUGAUUAUGAUACCCAGACAUUCUGAGUAUAUGCCCACUGACAGAACUAUUCUCCUCCAUUUUGUAGCUAUAGAACUUACUGGAGACUUCAUAUCUCUCAAUACGGGCAUUUGCUUGAAAUAUUAACUUCAACUCCUGGAACAUCUCAUAUGCUCCAUGAUGUUUAAAACGUCGUCAAAGUCCCGGUUCUAAGCCGUAAAGCAUGGCACACUGAACUAUCGAGUAGUCAUCAGCUUUGCUCUGCUAGGCGUUCACAACGUCCGGCGUUGCUCCUGCAGCAGAUCUUGCACCUAGCAGUGCUUUCAGGACGUAAUUCUUCUGUGCAGCAAUGAGGAUAAUCCUCAAGUUACGGACCCAGUCCGUGUAGUUGCUACCAUCAUCUUUCAACUUAGUUUUCUCUAGGAACGCAUUAAAAUUCAUAGGAACAGUAGCACGGGCCAUUGAUCUACAACAACAUAGACAUGCAAAAUACUAUCAGGUACUAAGGUCAUGAUAAAUUAAAGUUCAAUUAAUCAUAUUACUUAAGAACUCCCACUUAGAUAGACAUCCCUCUAUUCAUCUAAGUGAUCACGUGAUCCAAAUCAACUAAACCAUGUCCGAUCAUCACGUGAGAUCGAGUAGUUUUCAAUGGUGAACAUCACUAUGUUGAUCAUAUCUACUAUAUGAUUCACGCUCGACCUUUCGGUCUCAGUGUUCCGAGGCAAUAUCUGCAUAUGCUAGGCUCGUCAAGUUUAACCCGAGUAUUCUGCGUGUGCAAACCUGGCUUGCGCCCGUUGUAUAUGAACGUAGAGCUCAUCACACCUGAUCAUCACGUGGUGUCUCGGCACGAUGAACUUUUGCAAUGGUGCAUACUCAGGGAGAACACUUGUACCUUGAAAUUUAGUGAGAGAUCAUCUUAUAAUGCUACCGUCGAACUAAGCAAAAUAAGAUGCAUAAAGGAUAAACAUCACAUGCAAUCAAUAUAAGUGAUAUGAUAUGGCCAUCAUCAUCUUAUGCCUUUGAUCUCCAUCUCCAAAGCACCGUCAUGAUCACCAUCGUUACCGGCGCGACACCUUGAUAUCCAUCGUAGCAUCGUUGUCGUCUCGCCAACUAUUGCUUCUACGACUAUCGCUACCGCUUAGUGAUAAAGUAAAGCAAUUACAUGGCGAUUGCAUUUCAUACAAUAAAGCGACAACCAUAUGGCUCCUACCAGUUGCCGAUAACUCUGUUACAAAACAUGAUCAUCUCAUACAAUAAAAUUUAGCAUCAUGUCUUGACCAUUUCACAUCACAACAUGCCCUGCAAAAACAAGUUAGACGUCCUCUACUUUGUUGUUGCAAGUUUUACGUGGCUGCUACGGGCUGAGCAAGAACCAUUCUUACCUACGCAUCAAAACCACAACGAUUUUUCGUCAAGUGUGCUGUUUUAACCUUCAAUAAGGACCGGGCAUAGUCACACUUGAUUCAACUAAAGUUGGAGAAACUGACACCCGCCAGCCACCUGUGUGCAAAGCACGUCGGUAGAACCAGUCUUGCGUAAGCGUACGCGUAAUGUCGGUCUGGGCCGCUUCAUCCAACAAUACCGCCGAAUCAAAGUAUGACAUGCUGGUAAGCAGUAUGACUAUUAUCGCCCACAACUCUUUAUGUUCUACUCGUGCAUAUAACAUCUACGCAUAGACCUGGCUCGGAUGCCACUGUUAGGGAACGCAGUAAUUUCAAAAAAAUUCCUACGCACACGCAAGAUCCAUCUAGGUGAUGCAUAUCAACGAGAGGGGAGAGUGUUGUCCACGUACCCUCGUAGACCGAAAGUGGAAGCGUUAUGACAACGCGGUUGAUGUAGUCGUACGUCUUCACGAUCCGACCGAUCCUAGUACCGAAAGUACGGCACCUCCGCGAUCUGCACACGUCCGGCUCGAUGACGUCCCAUGAACUCUCGGUCCAGCUGAGUGUCGAGGGAGAGCUUCGUCAGCACGACGGCGUGAUGACGGUGAUGACGAAGUUACCGACGCAGGGCUUCGCCUAAGCACUACAACGAUAUGACCGAGGUGGAAUCUGUGGAGGGGGGCACCGCACAUGGCUAUGACAACUGUCAACUUGUGUGUCUAUGGGGUGCCCCCUUCCCCCGUAUAUAAAGUGUUGGAAAUAUGCCCUAGAGGCAAUAAUAAAUUGGUUAUUAUUAUAUUUCCUUGUUCAUGAUAAUCGUUUAUUAUCCAUGCUAAAAUUGUAUUGAUAGGAAACUCAGAUACAUGUGUGGAUACAUAGACAACACCAUGUCCCUAGUAAGCCUCUAGUUGACUAGCUCGUUGAUCAAUAGAUGGUUACGGUUUCCUGACCAUGGACAUUGGAUGUCGUUGAUAACGGGAUCACAUCAUUAGGAGAAUGAUGUGAUGGAUAAGACCCAAUCUUAAGCCUAGCACAAGAUCGUGUAGUUCGUUUGCUAAGAGCUUUUCUAAUGUCAAGUAUCAUUUCCUUAGACCAUGAGAUUGUGCAACUCCCGGAUACCGUAUGAAUGCUUUGGGUGUACCAAACGUCACAAUGUAACUGGGUGGCUAUAAAGGUGCACUACAGGUAUCUCCGAAAGUGUCUGUUGGGUUGGCACAAAUCGAGAAUGGGAUUUGUCACUCCGUGUAAACGGAGAGGUAUCUCUGGGCCCACUCGGUAGGACAUCAUCAUAACGUGCACAAUGUGACCAAGGAGUUGAUCACGGGAUGAUGUGUUACGGAACGAGUAAAGAGACUUGCCGGUAACGAGAUUGAACAAGGUAUCGGGAUACCGACGAUCGAAUCUCGGGCAAGUAACAUACCGAUUGACAAAAGGAAUUGUAUACGGGAUUGAUUGAAUCCCCGACAUCGUGGUUCAUCCGAUGAGAUAUUCGUGGAACAUGUGGGAGGCAACAUGGGUAUCCAGAUCCCGCUGUUGGUUAUUGGCCGGAGAACGUCUCGGUCAUGUCUGCAUGGUUCCCGAACCCGUAGGGUCUACACACUUAAGGUUCGAUGACGCUAGGGUUAUAGGGAAUAGAUAUACGUGGUUACCGAAUGUUGUUCGGAGUCCCUGAUGAGAUCCGGGACGUCACGAGGAGUUGCGGAAUGGUCCGGAGGUAAAGAUUUAUAUAUGGGAAGUCCUGUUUUGGUCACCGGAAAAGUUUCGGGUGCUAUCGGUAACGUACCGGGACCACCGGGAGGGUUCCGGGGGUCCACCAGGUGGGGCCACCAGCCCCAGAGGGCUGCGUGGGCCAAGUGUGGGAAGGGACCAGCCCCUAGGUGGGCUGGUGCGCCUCCCACAAGGGGCCCAAGGCGCAGGGAAGAGGGGAAGGGGGAAACCCUAGGCUCAGAUGGGCCUAAGGCCCACCUAGUGGUGCGCCCCCCUCUCUCCCCCCUUGGCCGCCCCCUAGAUGCAUCUAGGGCUGGCCGCACCCCUUUGGGGGGAACCCUAGAUGGGGGCGCAGCCCCUCCCCCUUCCCCUAUAUAUAGUGGGGGUUUGGGGCUGCCAUACACAUGAGAACAUCUCCCUCAUAGCGCAGCCCUACCCCUCUCCCUCCUCAUCUCUUGCGGUGCUUGGCGAAGCCCUGCUGGAGUGCCACGCUCCUCCAUCACCACCAUGCCGUUGUGCUGGUGCUGGAUGGAGUCUUCCCCAACCUCUCCCUCUGUCCUUGCUGGAUCAAGGCGUGGGAGACGUCACCGGGCUGCACGUGUGUUGAACGCGGAGGCGCCGUGGUUCGGCGCUUAGAUCGGAAUCAACCGCGAUCUGAAUCGCUACGAGUACGACUCCUUCAUCCGCGUUCUUGCAACACUUCUGCUUAGCGAUCUACAAUGGUAUGUAGAUGCACUCCCCUUCCCCUCGUUGCUAGAUUACUCCAUAGAUUGAUCUUGGUGAUGCGUAGAAAAUUUUGAAUUUCUGCUACGUUCCCCAACAGUGGCAUCAUGAGCUAGGUCUAUGCGUAGUUUCUAUGCACGAGUAGAACACAAAGUAGUUGUGGGCGUCGAUUUUGUCAAUUUACUUGCCGUUACUAGUCUUAUCUUGAUUCGGCGGCAUCGUGGGAUGAAGCGGCCCGGACCGACCUUACACGUACUCUUACGUGAGACAGGUUCCACCGACUGACAUGCACUAGUUGCAUAAGGUGGCUAGCGGGUGUCUGUCUCUCCCACUUUAGUCGGAUCGGAUUCGAUGAAAAGGGUCCUUAUGAAGGGUAAAUAGAAAUUGGCAUAUCACGCUGUGGCUUUUGCGUAGGUAAGAAACGUUCUUGCUAGAAUCCCAUAGCAGCCACGUAAAACAUGCAACAACAAUUAGAGAACGUCUAACUUGUUUUUGCAGGGUAUGCUAUGUGAUGUGAUAUGGCCAAAAGGAUGUGAUGAAUGAUAUAUGUGAUGUAUGAGAUUGAUCACGUUCUUGUAAUAGGAAUCACGACUUGCAUGUUGAUGAGUAUGACAACCGGCAGGAGCCAUAGGAGUUGUCUUAAUUUAUUGUAUGACCUGCGUGUCAAUGAAAACGCCAUGUAAUUACUUUACUUUAUUACUAACCGUUAGCCAUAGUAGUAGAAGUAAUAGUUGGCGAGACAACUUCUUGAAGACAUAAUGAUGGAGAUCAUGGUGUCAUGCCGGUGACGAAGGUGAUCAUGCCGCGCCUCGAAGAUGGAGAUCAAAGGCGCAAGAUGAUAUUGGCCAUAUCACGUCACUUUAUGAUUUGCAUGUGAUGUUUGUCAUGUUUACAUCUUAUUUGCUUAGAACGACGGUAGCAUAAAUAAGAUGAUCCCUCACUAAAAUUUCAAGAGACGUGUUCCCCCUAACUGUGCACCGUUGCGAAGGUUCGUUGUUUCGAAGCACCACGUGAUGAUCGGGUGUGAUAGAUUCUAACGUUCGAAUACAACGGGUGUUGACGAGCCUAGCAUGUACAGACAUGGCCUCAGAACACAUGUGAAACACUUAGGUUGACUUGACGAGCCUAGCAUGUACAGACAUGGCCUCGGAACACAAGAGACCGAAAGGUCGAACAUGAGUCGUAUAGCAGAUACGAUCAACAUGGAGAUGUUCACCGAUGAUGACUAGUCCAUCUCACGUGAUGAUCGGACACGGCCUAGUUUGACUCGGAUCAUGUAUCACUUAGAUGACUAGAGGGAUGUCUAUCUGAGUGGGAGUUCAUUGAAUAAUCAGAUGAACUUAAUUAUCAUGAACAUAGUCAAAAGGUCUUUGCAAAUUAUGUCAUAGCUUACGCUUUAGUUCUACUGUUUAAGAUAUGUUCCUAGAGAAAACUUAGUUGAAAGUUGAUAGUAGCAAUUAUGCGGACUGGGUCCGUAAACUGAGGAUUGUCCUCAUUGCUGCACAGAAGGCUUAUGUCCUUAAUGCACCGCUCAGUGUGCUGAACCUCAGCGUCGUCUGUAGAUGUUGCGGAACAUCUGACAUACACGUUUUGAUGACUACUUGAUAGUUCAGUGCGUAAUGCUAACGGUUUAGAAUUGUGGCACCAAAGACGGUUUUGAAACGUCGCAGAACAUAUGAGAUGUUCCAAAGACUGAAAUUGGGAUUUCAGACUAAUGCCCACGUCAAGAGGUAUGAGACCUCUGACAAGUUUCUUAAACCUGCAAACUAAGGGAGAAAAGCUCAAUCGUUGAGCAUGUGCUCAGAUUGUCUGAGUACCACAAUCGCUUGAAUCGAGUGGGAGUUAAUCUUCCAGAUGAGAUAGUGAUGGUUCUCCAUAGUCACUGCCACCAAGCUAUUAGAGCUUUGUGAUGAACUAUAACAUACCAGGGAUAGAUAUGAUGAUCCUUGAGCAACUCGCGAUGUUUGACACCGCAAAAGUAGAAAUCAAGAAGGAGCAUCAAUUGUUGAUGGUUAGUAAAACCACUAGUUUCUAGAAGGGCAAGGGCAAAAGGGAUACUUCAUGAAACAUCAAAUCAUUUGUUGCUCUAGUGAAGAAUCCCAAGGUUGAACCCAAACACGAGACUAAGUGCUUCUGUAAUGAGGGGAACGGUCACUGAAGCAGAACUACCCUAGAUACUUGGUAGAUGAGAAGGCAGGCAAGGUCGACAGAAGUAUAUUGGAUAUACAUUAUAUGAAUGUGUACUUUACUAGUACUCCUAGCAGCACCAGGGUAUUAGAUACCGGUUCGGUUGCUAAGUCUUAGUAACUCGAAAUAAAAGCUGUGGAAUAAACGGAGACUAGCUAAAGGUGAGAUGACGAUAUGUGUUGGAAGUGUUUCCAAGGUUGAUGUGAUCAAGCAUCGCAUGCUCCCUCUACCAUCGAGAUUGGUGUUAAACCUAAAUAAUUGUUAUUUGGUGUUUGCAUUGAGCAUAAACAUGAUUGGAUUAUGUUUAUCGCAAUACAGUUAUUCAUUUAAGGAGAAUAAUGGUUACUCUGUUUAUUUGAAUAAUACCUUCAAUGGUCUUGCACCUAAAAUGAAUCUCGAUCGCAGUGAUACACAUGUUUGUACCAAAAGAUAUAAAAUAGUAAUGAUAGUACCACAUACUUGUGGCACUGCCAUUUGAGUCAUAUUGGUAUAGAACGCAUGAAGAAGCUCCAUGUAGAUGGAUCUUUGGACUCACUCGUUUUUGAAAAGAUUGAGACAUGCGAACCAUGUCUAUUGGUAUAUAUAUAUAUAUGCAUGAAGAAACUCCAUGCAGAUGGAUCGUUUGGACUCACUUGAUUUUGAAUCACUUGAGACAUGCAAAUCAUACCACAUGGGCAAGAUGACUGAAAGGCCUCGUUUUCAGUAAGAUGGAACAAGAGAGCAACUUGUUGGAAGUAAUACAUUUGAUGUGUGCAGUCCAAUGAGUGCUGAGGCACGCAGUGGAUAUCGAUAUGUUCUUACUUCACAGAUGAUUUGAGUAGAUGCUGAGAAUAUUUACUUGAUGAAACACAAGUCUGAAUUAUUGAAAGGUUCAAGUAAUUUCAGAGUGAAGUUGAAGAUCGUCGUGACAAGAGGAUAAAAUGUCUAUGAUAUGAUCAUAGAGAUAUCUGAGUUACGAGUUUGGCACACAAUUAAGACAUUGUGGAAAGUGUUUCACAAUUAAUACCGCCUGGAACACCACAGUGUGAUGGUGUGUCCGAACAUCAUAACUGCACCCUAUUGGAUAUGGUGCAUACCAUGAUGUCUCUUAUCGAAUUACCACUAUCGUUUAUGGGUUAGGCAUUAGAGAUAACCGCAUUCACUUUAAAAGGGGCACCACGCAAUUCCGUUGAGACGACACCGUUUAGAGAAACCUAAGUUGUCGUUUCUUAAAAGUUUGGGGCUGCGAUGCUUAUGUGAAAAGUUUCAGGCUGAUAAGCUCGAACCCAAAGCGGAUAAAUGCAUCUUCAUAGAAUACACAGAACAGUUGGGUAUACCUCCUAUUUCAGAUCUGGAAGCAAAAGUAAUUGCUUCUAGAAACGAGUCCUUUCUCGAGGAAAAGUUUCUCUCGAAAGAAUUGAGUGGGAGGAUGGUGGAGACUUGAUAAGGUUAUUGAACCGUCACUUCAACUAGUGUGUAGCAGGGCACAGGAAGUUGUUCCUGUGGCACCUACACCAAUUGAAGUGGAAGCUUAUGAUAGUGAUCAUGAAACUUCGGAUCAAGUCACUACCAAACCUCGUAGGACGACGAGGAUGCGUACUACUUCAGAGUAAUGCGUGAUCCUGUCUUGGAAGUCAUGUUGCUAGACAACAAUGAACCUACGAGCUAUGGAGAAGCGAUGGUGGGCCCAUAUUCCGACAAAUGGUUAGAAGCCAUGAAAUCCGAGAUAGGAUCCAUGUAUCAGAACAAAGCAUGGACUUUGGUGAACUUGCCCGAUGAUCGGCAAGCCAUUGAGAUAAAUGGAUCCUUAAGAAGAAGACGGACGUGGACGGUAAGGUUACCGUCUAUGAAGCUCGACUUGUGGCAAAGAGUAUUUUCACAAGUUCAAGGAGUUGACUACGAUGAGAUUUUCUCAUCCGUAGCGAUGCUUAAGUCCGUCGGAAUCAUGUUAGCAUUAGCUGCAUUUAUGAAAUAUGGCAGAUGGAUGUCAAAACAAGUUUCCUUACCAGUUUUCGUAAGGAAAGGUUGUAUGUGAUACAAUCAGAAAGGUUUUGUCGAUCCUAAGGAUGCUGAAAGGUAUGCUAGCUCCAGCGUUCCUUCCAUGGAUUAGAGCAAGCAUCUCAGAGUCAGAAUAUACGCUUUGAUGGAGUGAUCAAAGUUUUUGGGUUUAUACAAAGUUUGUUAGAAACUUGUAUUUACAAUAAAGUGAGUGGGAGCGCUACAACAUUUCUGAUAAGUAUAUGUGAAUGACAUAUUGUUGAUCCGAAAUGAUGUAGAAUUUUUGGAAAGCAUAAAGGGUUGUUUGAAAGGAGUUUUUCAAAGGAAGACCUGGAUAAAGCUGCUUACAUAUUGGGCAUCAAGAUCUAUAGAGAUAGAUCAAGAUGCCUGAUGAUACUUUCAAAGAACGCACACCUUGACAUGAUUUUGAAAGAGUUCAAAAUAGAUCAGCAAAGAAGGAGUUCUUGGCUGUGUUACAAGGUGUGAGUAUUGAGUAAGACUCAAGACCUGACCACAGCAGAAGAGAGAGAAAGGACGAAGGUCGUCCCCUAUGCUUUAGACGUAGGCUCUACAGUAUGCUAUGCUGUGUACCGCACAUGAAGUGUGCCUUGCCAUGAGUUGGUCAAGGGGUACAAUAGUGAUCCGGGAAUGGAUCACAUGACAGCGGUCGAACUUAUCCUUAGUAUCUAGUGGACUAAGGAAUUUUCUCGAUUAUGGAGGUGAAAAGGAGUUCGUCGUAAAGGGUCACGUUGAUGCGAACUUUGACACUAAUCCGGAUGACUCUGAGUGGUAAACCGGAUUCGUAUAGUAGAGCAGUUAUUUGAAAUGGCUCCAAGUAGCGCGUGGUAGCAUCCACAAGAUGACAUAGAUAUUCGUAAAGCACACACGGAUCUGAAAGGUUCAGACCCGUUGACUAAUAACCUCUCUCACAAGCAUAACAUGAUCAAACCAGAACUCAUUGAGUGUUAAUCACAUAGUGAUGUGAACUAGAUUGUUGACUCUAGUAAACUCUUUGGAUGUUGGUCACAUGGUGAUGUGACCUGUGAGUGUUAAUCACAUGGUGAUGUGAACUAGAUUAUUGACUCUAGUGCAAGUGGGAGACUGUUGGAAAUAUGCCCUAGAGGCAAUAAUAAAUUGGUUAUUAUUAUAUUUCCUUGUUCAUGAUAAUCGUUUAUUAUCCAUGCUAAAAUUGUAUUGAUAGGAAACUCAGAUACAUGUGUGGAUACAUAGACAACACCAUGUCCCUAGUAAGCCUCUAGUUGACUAGCUCGUUGAUCAAUAGAUGGUUACGGUUUCCUGACCAUGGACAUUGGAUGUCGUUGAUAACGGGAUCACAUCAUUAGGAGAAUGAUGUGAUGGACAAGACCCAAUCCUAAGCCUAGCACAAGAUCGUGUAGUUCGUUUGCUAAGAGCUUUUCUAAUGUCAAGUAUCAUUUCCUUAGACCAUGAGAUUGUGCAACUCCCGGAUACCGUAUGAAUGCUUUGGGUGUACCAAACGUCACAACGUAACUGGGUGGCUAUAAAGGUGCACUACAGGUAUCUCCGAAAGUGUCUGUUGGGUUGGCACGAAUCGAGAAUGGGAUUUGUCAUUCCGUGUAAACGGAGAGGUAUCUCUGGGCCCACUCGGUAGGACAUCAUCAUAAGGUGCACAAUGUGACCAAGGAGUUGAUCACAGGAUGAUGUGUUACGGAACGAGUAAAGAGACAUGCCGGUAACGAGAUUGAACAAGGUAUCGGGAUACCGACGAUCGAAUCUCGGGCAAGUAACAUACCGAUUGACAAAAGGAAUUGUAUACGGGAUUGAUUGAAUCCUCGACAUCGUGGUUCAUCCGAUGAGAUAUUCGUGGAACAUGUGGGAGCCAACAUGGGUAUCCAGAUCCCGCUGUUGGUUAUUGGCCGGAGAACGUCUCGGUCAUGUCUGCAUGGUUCCCGAACCCGUAGGGUCUACACACUUAAGGUUCGAUGACGCUAGGGUUAUAGGGAAUAGAUAUACGUGGUUACCGAAUGUUGUUCGGAGUCCCGGAUGAGAUCCGGGACGUCACGAGGAGUUGCGGAAUGGUCCGGAGGUAAAGAUUUAUAUAUGGGAAGUCCUGUUUUGGUCACCGGAAAAGUUUCGGGUGCUAUCGGUAACGUACCGGGACCACCGGGAGGGUCCCGGGGGUCCACCAGGUGGGGCCACCGGCCCCAGAGGGCUGCGUGGGCCAAGUGUGGGAAGGGACCAGCCCCUAGGUGGGCUGGUGCGCCUCCCACAAGGGGCCCAAGGCGCAGGGAAGAGGGGAAGGGGGAAACCCUAGGCUCAGAUGGGCCUAAGGCCCACCUAGUGGUGCGCCCCCCUCUCUCCCCCCUUGGCCGCCCCCUAGAUGCAUCUAGGGCUGGCCGCACCCCUUUGGGGGGAACCCUAGAUGGGCGCGCAGCCCCUCUCCCUUCCCCUAUAUAUAGUGGGGGUUUGGGGCUGCCAUACACAUGAGAACAUCUCCCUCAUAGCGCAGCCCUACCCCUCUCCCUCCUCAUCUCUUGCGGUGCUUGGCGAAGCCCUGCUGGAGUGCCACGCUCCUCCAUCACCACCAUGCCGUUGUGCUGCUGCUGGACGGAGUCUUCCCCAACCUCUCCCUUUCUCCUUGCUGGAUCAAGGCGUGGGAGACGUCACCGGGCUGCACGUGUGUUGAACGCGGAGGCGCCGUGGUUCGGCGCUUAGAUCGGAAUCAACCGCGAUCUGAAUCGCUACGAGUACGACUCCUUCAUCCGCGUUCUUGCAACGCUUCUGCUUAGCGAUCUACAAUGGUAUGUAGAUGUACUCCCCUCUCCUCGUUGCUAGAUUACUCCAUAGAUUGAUCUUGGUGAUGCGUAGAAAAUUUUGAAUUUCUGCUACGUUCCCCAACAUAAAGGAGUGGAGGAGGGGGAGGGCCGGCCCUCUCAUGGCGCGCCCCAAGGGGAGUCCUACUCCCACUGGGAGUAGGAUCCCCCCUUUCGUAGUUGGAGUAGGAGAGGAAGGAAGGAGGAGAGAGGGAGAAGGAAAGGGGGGUGCCGCGCCCCCUUCCCUAGUCCAAUUCGGACACAAGGGAAAGGGGGCGCGCGGCCUGCCCUGGCCGCCCCUCUCCAUCUGCACUAAGGCCCAUAUGGCCCAUUAGACUCCCCGGGGGGUUCCGGUAACCCCCCGGUACUCCGAUAAUUGCCCGAACUCACCCGGAACCAUUCCGAAGUCCAAACAUAGUCGUCCAAUAUAUCAAUCUUUAUGUCUUGACCAUUUUGAGACUCCUCGUCAUGUAUGUGAUCACAUCCGGGACUCCGAACAACCUUCGGUACAUCAAAACACAUAAACUCAUAAUACCGAUCGUUAAGCGUGCGGACCCUACGGGUUCGAGAACUAUGUAGACUUGAUGAGACUCAUCUCCGGUCAAUAACCAAUAGCGGAACCUGGAUGCUCAUAUUGGUUCCUACAUAUUCUACGAAGAUUUUUAUCGGUCAAACCGCAUAACAACAUACGUUGCUCCCUUUGUCAUCGGUAUGUUACUUUGCCCGAGAUUCGAUCGUCGGUAUCUCAAUGCCUAGUUCAAUCUCGUUACCGGCAAGUCUCUUUAUUCGUUCCAUAAUGCAUCAUCCCGCAACUAACUCAUUAGUCACAUUGCUUGCAAGGCUUAUAGUGAUGUGCAUUACCGAGAGGGCCCAGAGAUACCUCUCCGAAACACAGAGUGACAAAUCCCAAUCUCGAUCUAUGCCAACCCAACAAACACCAUCGGAGACACCUGUAGAGCAUCUUUAUAAUCACCCAGUUACGUUGUGACGUUUGAUAGCACACUAAGUGUUCCUCCGGUAUUCGGGAGUUGCAUAAUCUCAUAGUCAUAGGAACAUGUAUAAGUCAUGAAGAAAGCAAUAGCAACAAACUAAACGAUCAAGUGCUAAGCUAAUGGAAUGGGUCAAGUCAAUCACAUCAUUCUCUAAUGAUGUGAUCCCGUUAAUCAAAUGACAACUCAUGUCUAUGGCUAGAAACUUAACCAUCUUUGAUUCAACGAGCUAGUCAAGUAGAGGCAUACUAGUGACACUCUGUUUGUCUAUGUAUUCACACAUGUACUAAGUUUCCGUUUAAUACAAUUCUAGCAUGAAUAAUAAACAUUUAUCAUGAUAUAAGGAAAUAUAAAUAACAACUUUAUUAUUUCCUCUAGGGCAUAUUUCCUUCAGCCUUUGUAGUAAAUUUACUAGCUCGACAUAGUGCAGCUCCAACAAAACGCCAUUGGAUGGAGUAAAGAAUAUCUUCAGAUAUUUACAAGGUACUAAAUAUUUUGGUUUAUUCUAUCAAAAAAUCAAGACAUGACCCUGAUUGGUUAUAGUGAUGCUGGAUAUCUUUAUGAUCCCCAUAAUGCCAGGUCACAAACCAGGUUUGUAUUUUGACAUGGUGGAACUGCUAUUUCAUGGAACUCAACUAAACAGGCAUUAGUAGCAACUUCCACUGAUCACUCUGAAAUAAUUGCAUUAUUCAAAGCCUCACGAGAAUGUGUAUGGCUUCGCAGAGGGAUAAAUUAUAUUCAGACAUCAUGCGAUAUUGGUUCAUUAGAAUCACCAACCAUUAUCUAUGAAGAUAAUGUUGCAUGUGUUGCUCAAAUGCAUGUGGGAUAUAUUAAAAGUAAUAUCAAAAACAUAUCUCUCCAAAACUAUUUUUUCCUCAUGAAUUACAGAAAGAUGGAGAGAUUAAUAUUUUGCAAACAAAAUCUUGUGACAAUCUUGCGGAUUUGUUCACUAAGUCUUUACCAGGAACAACAUUUCAAAAAUGCAUUCAUGGUAUUGGUAUGAGAUGACUACGAAAUUUGCAAUGUUGAGGGGGAGAAAUUUCCUAGAACUAAACUUAUGAGUUUUCCAACGGAUUUCUCAUGUGGUUUUAAAUAAGUGAGAGCAUCUCCAACAGGCGCCCAAAAAGAGCUCCGCGCACAAAAAAAUUAUAGUAGAAGAUUAAAAAUUCUCAAAGUUAUAUCCUAAAUUUCUAUAGUUCCUCUUAUAUUUUCCUACAGGGACAUAAAUAGUAGAAGAUUAAAGAUUCUCAAAGUUACAAGAUCAAGGACUAUCAAGAAGAUGCAAGACUUUUGAUACUCAAGAUAUAUGUAGAUUCUCAAGACAAUGAAGAUUAAGAACAGCGCUGUCCAAGGGGGAGUGUUAGGAAUCUAAUAGUAUUAGUAUUAGACUAAUUAGACGAUUAGUAGAUUCCUUAGAAUAUCCUAACUGGUCGUUGGAAUCCUAGCGUUGUCCAGACGCGGUACCUAGCGAACAGUCAUCGUGUCUUUCCGAACCGUCGUCCUGUCUUUCCGAAUUGACGCAAACACUAUAACCAACUUGUACUUGCGACUGUUUAGGAGAUAUAAAACCUGCAGUCAUUAUCAAUGAAAGCACUCAUUCACUUCAAUCUUUCUUUUCUUCUCAUGUUUCACAUAUAAUUAUAGCCAUCUCUAGCCCAUCCCGAAAAAUCAUUUUAAGGUUCCCGUGAAAACAGUUUUGUGGCUAUGAUCUGUUCGACGUAACACAAUUUUGCGAUAUGAGUUCACGGGUUCUGUUUCGUCGGAACCCUCCCAAUAUAGCAAACCGAUUUUUGUGUGUGGGAGCCGGCCAUACUAAUUUUUUUAGAAAACAUCUAAUAUAUUCAUCUUCAAUCAUGUUAGUAAAAUGAACACCAAAAAUAAAUAAAAUUACAUCCAUAUUCAUAGACCACCUAGCGGCGACUAUAUGCACUUAAGCGAGCCAAAGGCGUGUCGCCGUUAUUGUCCCUCCCUCACCGAUGCCGGGCAAAACUUGUUGUAGUAGACAGUCGGAAAGUCGUCAUGCUAAGGCUCAAUAUAACCAACGCACCAGCACAACAAUCACCGUCAAUAAAGAGUAUCGUAGAUCAAAAGGAUCCAAUAUGAAUACACAUAAACGUAGGCGAAUGACGAACAGAUCCAAGCAAAUCCACCAAAGACAGAUCCGCUGGAGACACACCUCCACACGCCCACCGACGAUACUAGAUGCAUCACCGGAACGGGGACUAGACGGGAGAACCUUAUUUCAUAUUUAGGGAGUCGUCGCCGUCUCCCCUUCAUAAGUAGGACACAAACCCUAACAAAACUCGAAAACACAUCUAAAAAUAAAGCCCUCCCACCGCCAAGGGUCAUGAUCCACCGCUUCCCCAUGGCCCUAAGGCCACCGGAGACAAAGCGGACCGGCGGCGGCGGCGGGAGGCGGAGGAACCCUGAUUCUUUAGAAGAUGAGAACUAUUUGAUACUGUGUAUUGGAAAACAAACGUAUCCGCCGGCCAUCCUAUAUGACCGCCCAUGUGACCACACCCUCAUUUGCAAACGUCAAAUUCAUGCAAACACUUGUACGUCAAUCAUUGAGUACACACAAGAAUGAAUGUGAACGCACAAAUCAAAAUUAUUCAGAGAGAAAAAUAAUAGUUUAAGUGUUGAACACAAAAAUUAUUGGAAGUGCAUAAUUCGAACCUAAAAUUCAAUAAUUCCAGUGUGAAUUCACAUAUACUCCACAAAAUGAUUAAGUAAUUGCAUGCGCGCCUGUGUAUCUCAAAGUUAUGUAUGUAUCUCUACAAAGUUCCCAGCAUGUUGUGUGUCUUGUUCCGGGAGGCGAACAUCUACACCGGACUUCUCAAAAUCAUGUGUGUGGGAUGACCCUUCGCCCACAUCCUCCAAAAUCAUAUCAUGCAAGGUUACACGAUGGUUCAUCACUGUUGAAAUAUAUUGCACGUCUCUCUUCAUCAUAUCGGUCUUUUCGUUGUAUUGGCUAGAGCAUGCACUUAUACAUAGUAGGCCUGCGGGAGCUACACGUGAGGGAGAGUGUUGACAUAUAAAUGUAUUGCCUAGUCUCUUCCAUCAGAUCGGUCUUUUGGAUUAGUUGGUUGGAGCAUGAAUUCAAUAUGGUAUCUGAGCCAAGAGGUCUUGAGUUCAAGACCCUGCCAAAGCUAUAUUAAAUAAAAUGAUUCUGCAGCCUACAUCAAUCUCACAUCCCUAGGCGUGAGGGGGUGUUUAAAUAUAUUGUCCGCCUCUCUUCAUCAGAUCGGUCUUUUGAUUGCAUUGGCUAGAGCAUGCACUUCUACAUGGUAUUGGAGCCAAGAGGUUUUCAGUUCAAGACUCGGCUGGCUGCAAUUAAAUUGCAGCCCACUUUUGGUCCAUGUUUAGGCCCGAGGGAGCAUGGAGCAUCCACUUCUACAAUCACCUACCACAUUGUUUAUGCAUUCCACAUCAUUGCAGCUCCAGGAACUAUACCUCGAUGAGCUUGGAGCAUUUCAAAUAUCCUCUCCACAUCUUUUCUAACACCUUCUUGCAUUUGUGCAAAGAGACUUCUUUUAUUGCCUUGGGGAUUGGGUAUGGUCUUCACAAACGUCGUCCAUUAAAGAUAGAUACCAUCUACUAGGUAGUACCCCCAAUGUUCUAGUCAUACCCGUUUACUGUGUAGGUCCAUAUCAGAUCAUCCCCAUCACAAAGUCUCUUGAACAACGGUUUGUUGAAGCACAUUGAUGUCAUUAUGAGUUUCGAGCAUGCCAAAGAAAGGAUAUGUUAAAUCCACAAGUCUUACGACGAUGUUGCUUCAAAUAUGAUGGUGGCCUCCUUGAUGUGACCUUGAUACUGCCUGCACAAACUUAUCAGGCAGCUCUUCCAUGGAAGCAAUCGACCGGCCCGAGCAUACCUAAAAACCUCUUGAUGCUCUAAUUGUGAAUAGCUUUUUUGUGUCCUUGGCAUUUGGUUCUCUCAGGAACUAUGAUCCAAACACCUUCACCGCCUCCAAGCAAAUGUCAGAUUUGCGUCAAUGCAUGUGCUCUUUCCCAUCCGGACAAUCUCAUUAACGACAUCUUCGGUUGUAUCAUAUGCAAGCAUCCUCAAAGCAGUCAUGCAAUUAUGCAUAGGAGAGCAUAAUAUCCUACAUUUUAUCGAACCCUUGAAGUUGAGAAUAUGUUCCUCUUUCUUCUCCGUUUCUUCCUAGAUACUCACCAUCAUGUCAGCAUCUUUGUCAUCAUCGAUAUCUGAAUCCAACGAAUCAAUGAGUUCCUUGAACAUGAAUUCAUCGAGCUCAUUGUAAUCAAACUCUUCAUUUGAUGAAUCCAUCGUUUGCCUAGAAAAUGAUUAAAAUAAUCUAAAAACAUGCCCCGAUAAUUCGUCAAACACAUGGAGGGUGAGGUGUAUGUCUGGCGGACUAGGAAUUAUCGAGGCUUAGUCCGAACAGCGACGGAUUCGGGGCGACAAAGGACGUCCUGGAAGGACUGGAGGUAUUGGUGGCGACACUGUGGGUUGGGAACGAUUGCAGAGCUACGUGGAGACGCAGUUGGGCGAGUGUUGGAGACGAUUAAGAGGCAUUUGAAGUGAGUCCAGCCUGUUGGAUCUGACGUGGCGCGUGUGUCCGGUCCGUCAAGGUGGCCCCAAAUCCGCACCGACAUAUGGGAUGGGUUUAGGGGUGCCGGGCAGCCCGAACAUAUGAGCUACGUUUGGGGGGUUCAUGUUGGGUGGUUGUUUUUGGUCCAGGUGGUGUCUGGAUUGUCUGCCCAGAUGUUUAGGGGGGGAGUUGGGGAUCCGGUUGGAGAUCUCUUACAUGUUAGUCUUUACUUGGAGAGAUAUAAUGGAAUAGAUUUGAUCCAUCUAUCAUCUUAUGUAAAACUGAUGAGAUUACCUCUUAUAUGCACACCUACAAUAGGAACAAUUAUCCUUCUACCCAAGUCUUGUGAUGCUACAAGAGUGAAGGAUUUUUGGACGGUCAGUCUUAUGCAUUCUAUCGCAAAAGAAUGUUUGUAAGUUGUUGUCCCCUGCUCGCAGAUGGCCUUCGUAAAAAAAUCAAUCGAUCCAAGACAAUUUUCAGCAUGUCAAGAAUGCUAUGCAAAAGGUGCACAAAAACAAGGACCCGACUUUGUUGCUGGAAUUGGAAAAUCUUCAAAGGAGAAACUCAACCCGGACAACUUGACAUGGAGACAUACCAUCCUCCAUGUGUCUCCUAGUGAUGCAAAGUAGCACCAUCGAAAUGAGGACAAAACGGAAAUGACGUGUUUCAUGUCGUCGACGACACCGUCGUGUCACCAACGAGGUUUGCACGAAAACCUAACCCUACCACCACCUGUCAAAAAGGGGUCUUUGUCCCCUCCUAUCGUCGAAAUAGCGGUCUGAGGGAGAGGGGGUCUAUUUUCUCGCCGAGGAGAAGGUAGAUCGCCGCCGUAGCUCCCGAGGUCCUGUGGGAGGGUGGAAAAUGUUCCUGGUCCUAAAAGGAAAAGAACUACUACCUCCUUUCUUGUUUAUAAGGCUUGCGCGUAUCUCUAGGUUGAUAGAUUGACCAACAUAAUAUAAGUUAUAUAUAAAAAAAUCAUUAGAAAUUUUAAAUCGUCUACUUUCUAAUGGUAUAAUUUUUAGACUACAAAACUCAUCUUAUGUUGGUCAAAUUAUAGACUUAGGAAUACGCACAAGCCUUAUAAACCAAAAAGGAGGUAGUACGUGUGUUAUAGAGAUGCUUAAUACCCCUCCUAUCCACAUUAAUUAUCGCUGAUUUAGUGCAGCUUUGCACUAAAUCGGCGUAAUAUGGAUCAGUGGGAGUAAAUCUUUACGUGUGUUUAGGCUCGCAGCCAAUGUCAUUUGUUGCGAACAAAUAAAUGAGGGCGAUGGCAGCAAAGUGUGCACCCUGAUGGUGGCUAAACUUUGGUAGAUUCCAAUAUAUUAACUCGUUUUAGCUCCUUGGUUGUUAGCAGUGGCGGAGCGUGAAUGAAAUUUAAGGAGGGGACAAAAGAGCUAGAGAGAUUAGAGAGGGUGGGAGAUUAGCAGGGAUUUUAGGCUUAACAAGAGCUCAUCUUUGUAAUAUUUCUCUUGGAAGGGGGGUCGGGACCCCCUUUGGUCCCGCUGACGCUCCGCUAAUGGUUGUUAGUAAGAUUUUCAUGAGAGAAAAAUAAAAGGUAUCUUAAUGUGGUAAACUAUAGAGAGAGCAAAAGUAACUCAGAUUGUUGGUUGUCAUUGACAUGUUUCCUUAUUAUUAUUUUGGAAGAAACAAAGCCUCUAGCCUGUGCAUCAUUACCAUGCACAAGUCAAGUUUAUUAAAUCAGAGAAGAAUGCCACAAUGGUGCCAGUGUCAUACAUGAAAGUGGCGUCAAUUCACUCCCUCUGAAAGAGUUCCUUCUUAGGGCAUGAGUUAUGGACGCAGCUGAAUUGUGUCGUCUCAAGUUGUUCACAAAGAUAAAAUUGAAUGAAUCGGUUGGGUUGUACCACAAUCAUCCAAGGAGAGCUACUCCCUAUGAUGUCAUCUUCUUACUCUUUUUCUCUUUCCCCUGUUGUCGGACACGUUCAACCUUUCUCUCUUCCCUUUUUCUCCAUUUCAGGGUUCCUUUGAUUCAAAAGAUUUUCAUAGGAAUUCUCCAAGAUUAGAAUCCUUGGGAAAUUUUCCUAUGUUGUUUGUUUGAUUCAUAGGAUUGAAUCCUAUAGGAAUCUUCCCUAAGGAUUCCUCUGUGCUACAUUCCAUAUUAAUUUUCACAUUCACUCAUACCUCUUGAAAAGAAUUAUUUGUUUUUCCUAUUGUUGUGAAUCGAAGAGGCCAUAUCACACCUUUUGAGCCAAGGAUGCAGUCUCUGCAAGAUGCACCUUUGGUCUUCAGGCUAUGGCUUUCAUGCCAACACAUCAACUGAGCCGGGCUAGUACAUGGGCGGGGUAGCGAGUUGGCCAUGCCCUUAACGGUCCUCUUAACAAUGUUGACAAUGUGACAUUAGUGAAUAGCUUUUUAGCUUAAUAAGUGAAGAUUUAAAGAACCAUAGGAUAGUGCAGCCGCUGUUGUCUAAGCUCACCUCAAGUGACAGCACUACAACGACCAAUUUCAACGUUGUACCAAAAGAUUGGAGAUUUGGUAAAAGGAAUUAUUUGAAAAAAAAGCCACAAAAGCUUUGUAUCUCGAUGCAUUUGAUAGAAACAAAGUUUGGUGCUAGCAUUUACAACUGAACACUCCUACUACCAGCUAGGUGCCGCGAGCCGCAAGACCCAACACUUACCUUGACCAUGUCGAGUAGACUAGCGAUGUUUCGUCACAAGCGAAUUUGGCAAAACACAAGCAAUCCCUGCUCCAGAGAAUGACUAAUAGCACCUUACAAUUUCUCAAAAGAGAAGAGAAGCAACCUAUGAGUUGGUUGCACUGUAUAAGCAGUGAGAAAAAACAGAUUUUUAGGAAAAGUAUAUUAUCUCUACUGUACAAUUCUCAAAGCGACAGUACUAUUAUUAGGACGAAAAAAAAGUUCAAUGCAGAGCCUCAGAUAGUCGUUCUACGUAUUAGAGGCACUUGUUAAUUUUGUAUGUACCAUAUCAACUCUGAUAGUUGCUCCAAAGGAUUGAUGUAGCGUUCAGAAACAGACCACUAAAAACAACAGAAAAGCUCACACUUCAUUCCGCAGUCAAGCCAAACCAAAACAUGGACGAUGUGCUUACCUUGGGCAGGGGAAUGAGAGUUUGCAUAAGAGUGUUUAUGGAGGGAGUAGUCAUGGGAAGUAGAUUUUUACUCCCAUUCCCUUGUUUGGUAUAUGAUGGGAAUUAGCGUGAGAUAAAACUCUACUCACGAAUUAACAGGGUACCCCCUGGGAAGAAAUAGGUGGGAAUUGGCUUUCUCAACUCCCAUUCCCCUUCCCACUUAAACUCUCAUUCCCUCUAAUCAAACAGUGGACUUUUAUCUCCUCACCCCUCAACUCCCAUUCCCCAUCUCGAAUUCCCCCGAACCAAACACAUUGUAAGAGGAAGUAUUGCAACGAUCCCCUUACAGCCAUACUAUCUAAAAUAAAAUGAGAAGCAACGAGAUUCAAAUACUUGAGACUGAGUCAGUAUAGCUAUAGGAUCUAAACUGGGAAGCAACGAGUGUGAAAUGCUUGAACAAAUAGAAGACUUAUUCAGUACAGCGACGCGAUCUAAACAGAUCAAAUCAGUCAGUCUUAGAAAAGCAAAAUACAAUUCAGCAGUGAAGCAUUUCGCCGGGAUUCAGAAUCAAACUGAUUGCAUUGAACAGAACAGGGUAUUACACAGCCUACUGAACCCAAAGACAGAACACAACGACGAACAACAAAUCAGUAAAUCCAUCCACCAUAGCACAUAUCACACAGAGCACACGAGGAAGUUGCUCCGCUACACGAAUCUAGCCUCUGAAGCCGUAGAGGGUGCGGCCCUGGCGCUUGAGCGCGUAGACGACAUCCAUGGCGGUGACGGUCUUGCGGCGGGCGUGCUCGGUGUAGGUGAUGGCGUCGCGGAUGACAUUCUCGAGGAAGAUCUUGAGGACGCCGCGGGUCUCCUCGUAGAUGAGGCCGGAUAUGCGCUUCACGCCGCCCCUCCUCGCCAGCCUCCGGAUCGCUGGCUUGGUGAUGCCCUGGAUGUUGUCGCGGAGGACCUUCCGGUGGCGCUUGGCGCCGCCCUUUCCCAGCCCCUUGCCGCCCUUGCCGCGCCCAGACAUCGCCGCUGCGAGAGAGGGUGAUUAGGAUGAAGAGGAACUGCUUUGGCGGGAGUCUGAUGCUUGCGAUGGGCUUUGGGAUGUGAGGGCGAGGGGGUUUAUAUGGGAGGAUUUUGGGUGGGAAGUGCAAAAUUUUGGAGGAUUUGGGGCGGGAGGUGCUUUUGUGGGUCGAUCCGCGAGACGGUGGAGAUGGGACGUUGGAUUAGGAUCAGAAGGGUGAGAUGAGCUGGGAGGGUGCUGGUGUGGAUCCAUGACGUGGCGCAGGAUGUGAGGUCUAGGCGGUUGCUUUAUUCGUAUAUGUUUGUUAGGAAUCUAGUAGUAUUAGUAUUAGGCUAAUUAGGCGAUUAGUAGAUUCCUUAGAAUAUCCUAACUGGUCGUUGGAAUCCUGGCGUUGUCCAGACGCAGUACCUAGCGACAGUCAUCAUCGUGUCUUUCCAAACCGUCGUCGUGUCUUUUCGAAUCAACGCGAACACUGUAAUCGGCUUGUACUUGCGACUGUUCAGGAGACAUAAAACCUGCAGUCAUUAUCAAUGAAAGCACUCAUUCACUUCAAUCUUUCUUUUCUUCUCGCGUUAUCAUGCACGCAUCGCUCUAGUACAGAGAGAAUAGGCCAAGAAGAAGAAAGGUGAGAACAAUGGCAUUGUUGCCAGACCUUGCUUUUGCCUUCGCCAGGUUCGUGGCCAGGGAGCAUCGUCGUCUCCGUCUUCCUCGCCGGACUUUUGGUCUGGCCGUUGUUCGACGUCGGAACUAUGGACGCCGCCAUCAGCAUCGCCUGAACAGGAACGGCGGCCUCCGCCGCCGCAGUGCACCAUAUCGUGCUCCUCUUCGUCACUACGGUCCUGGUGGUGGCCUCCUUCGCCGCCAUGCCCAUCGCCAGCGCCUCCACUGUGGUCACCGUAGGGUGCACCGCGGCAACUCCCCUAGAGCGCCAGGACCGAGUACCAGGGCGGAUGCGCCCAGGGAAGAGGUUCUGGUCAUGCCCCAAGAGGUUGCUGCCGCUCCAAAUGAUGUCGACGAAUAGGUUGAUGCAGUGUCGAACGUCGCGGCAGGGGUCGGGAUCAAGUACGAGGAUGAGGCCUCUGCCUCCAACAUCACAACGGAUGCCACCGAACUACCGCCUCCUCCGCCGAUGUACGCGCCCAUGGAGUGGAUGCUUGCCGGGCCAAGCGCCGAAUGGCUCGUCGAUGACCCAGAUCGCUACUUCUUCGAUGAGGAACUCGCAGCGCCGCCUCCGCUGAUGUACUCUUGCGCAGGCUACGGGUACGGGUCGGGCCUCCUGUCCCCGACGCCAUCUGACGAGGACCCGGAGCACUUUAACCCGUCGGGCUACAAUCCACUACCAGAGUUCUCCUCACCGCCUGUUGCAGUCCCCCUGGACGCACUCAAGCCCAGGCUCGUCAUCAACCUCUUGCCGAACGUGAAGACAGAGAAGAUCGAGGCCGUUGCGCCGACGCCCGCUCUCCCAGCGCGCCGCGACCUCAACCUCCCGGCGCUGGAAGUGGAGGAGGAGCACCAGGAAGCACCGCCGCUGUCCGCACUGUUGGGGAACGUAGUAAUUUCAAAAAAAUUCAUACGCACACGCAAGAUCAUGGUGAUGCAUAGAAACGAGAGGGGAGAGUGUCGUCCACUGAUACGUCCAUUUUGCAUCAUGCUUUUAUAUCGAUAUUUGUUGCAUUAUGGGCUAUUAUUACACAUUAUGUCACAAUACUUAUGCCUAUUCUCUCUUAUUUUACAAGGUUUGCAUAAGGAGGGAGAUUGCCAGCAGCUGGAAUUCUGGGCUGGAAAAGGAGCAUAUAUUAGAGACCUAUUCUGCACAACUCCAAAAGUCCUGAAACUCCACGGAAGUUAUUUUUGGAAAUAAUGAAAAAUACUGAGCGGAAGAAAUACCAGAGGGGGCCCACACCCUGGCCACGAGGGUGGGGGCGCGCCCUACCCCCCUGGGCGCGCCCCCUGCCUCGUGGGCCCCCUGUUGGCCCUCUGGUGCCCAUCUUCUGCUAUAUGAAGUCUUUCGUCCGAAGAAAAAUCAUAAGCAAGCUUUCGGGACGAGACUCCGCCGCCACGAGGCGGAACCAAUCUAGGGCUCAGGCGGAGCUGUUCUGCCGGGGACACUUCCCUCCGGGAGGGGGAAAUCAUCGCCAUCGUCAUCACCAACGCUCCUCUCAUCGGGAGGGGGCCAAUCUCCAUCAACAUCUUCACCAGCACCAUCUCCUCUCAAACCCUAGUUCAUCUCUUGUAUCCAAUUCUUGUCUCUAAGUCUGGGAUUGGUACCUGUAGGUUGCUAGUAGUGUUGAUUACUCCUUGUAGUUGAUGCUAGUUGGUUUAUUUGGUGGAAGAUCAUAUGUUCAGAUCCUAUAUGCAUAUUAAUACUCCUCUGAUUAUGAACAUGAAUAUGCUUUGUGAGUAGUUACGUUUGUUCCCGAGGACAUGGGAGAAGUCUUGCUAUUAGUAGUCAUGUGAAUUUGGUAUUCGUUCGAUAUUUUGAUGAGAUUUAUGUUGUCUCUCCUCUAGUGGUGUUAUGUGAACGUCGACUACAUGACACUUCACCAUUAUUUGGGCCUAGAGGAAGGCAUUGGGAAGUAAUAAGUAGAUGAUGGGUUGCUAGAGUGACAGAAGUUUAAACCCUAGUUUAUGCGUUGCUUCGUAAGGGGCUGAUUUGGAUCCAUAUGUUUCAUGCUAUGGUUAGGUUUACCUUAAUACUUCUUUUGUAGUUGCGGAUGCUUGCAAUAGGAGUUAAUCAUAAGUGGGAUGUUUGUCCAAGUAAGGGCAGCACCCAAGCACCGGUCCACCCACAUAUCAAAUUAUCAAAGUACCGAACGUGAAUCAUAUGAACGUGAUGAAAACUAGCUUGACGAUAAUUCCCAUGUGUCCUCGGGAGCAUUUUCCUUCAUAUAAGAGUUUGUCCAGGCUUGUCCUUUGCAGUGCUUGCAGAGAAUACCUUGCUAAAAACCGCUUAUCAUUUCCUUCUGCUCCUCGUUGGGUUCGACACUCUUACUUAUUGAAAGGACUAUGAUAGAUCCCCUAUACUUGUGGGUCAUCAAGACUCUUUUCUGGCGCCGUUGCCGGGGAGUGAAGCGCCUUUGGUAGGUGGAAUUUGGUAAGGAAAAAUUUAUAUAGUGUGCUGAAAUUUAUUGUCACUUGUUACUAUGGAAAGUAAUCCUCUGAGGGGCUUGUUCAGGUAUCUUCACUCCGACCAGUAGAGCAAAGAGUUGCUCCUCAACCUAUUGAACCUACUGAAAAUGAAAAUGUCUACUUUGAAAUUCCUUCGGGUAUGAUAGAAAAACUGCUAGCUAAUCCUUUUGCAGGAGAUGGAACAUUACAUCCUGAUGAGCACCUAAUAUAUGUGGAUGAAAUUUGUGGAUUAUUUAAGCUUGCAGGUAUGCCCGAUGAUGUUAUCAAGAAGAAGGUCUUCCCUUUAUCUUUGAAGGGAGAUGCAUUGACAUGGUAUAGGCUAUGUGAUGAUAUGGGAUCAUGGAACUACAAACGAUUGAAAUUGGAAUUUCAUCAGAAGUUUUAUCCUAUGCAUCUUGUUCAUCGUGACCGCAAUUAUAUAUAUAAUUUUUGGCCUCGCGAAGGAGAAAGCAUCGCUCAAGCUUGGGGGAGGCUUAAGUCAAUGUUAUAUUCAUGCCCCAAUCAUGAGCUCUCAAGAUAAAUGAUUAUUCAAAAAUUUUAUGCUCGGCUUUCUGAUAACAAUCGCACCAUGCUCGACACUUCUUGUGCUGGCUCUUUUAUGAUGAAGACUAUUGAAUUCAAAUGGGAUUUAUUAGAAAGAAUUAAACGCAACUCUGAAGAUUGGGACCUCGACGAAGGUAAGGAGUCAGGUAUGACACCUAAUUUUGAUUGUGUUAAAUGUUUUAUGGAUACCGAUGUUUUCCGUAAAUUUAGCACUAAAUAUGGACUUGACUCUAAGAUAGUAGCUUCUUUCUGUGAAUCUUUUGCUACUCAUGUUGAUCUCCCUAAGGAGAAGUGGUUUAAAUAUCAUCCUCCCAUAGAAGUAAAAGUAGCUGCACCUAUUAAAGUUGAAGAAAAGACUAUCACUUAUAACGAUCCUAUUGUUCCUACUGCUUAUGUUGAGAAACCACCUUUCCCUGUUAGAAUAAAGGAUCAUGCUAAAGCUUCAACUGUGGUUCGUAAAAGCAAUAUUAGAACUUAUACACCUCCUGAGCAAGUUAAAGUUGAACCUAAUAUUGCUAUUGUUAAAGAUCUCUUGGCUGAUAAUAUUGAUGGGCAUGUUAUUUAUUUCUGUGAUGAGACUGCUAGAAUUGCUAAACCUUGUGCUAAAGAUAAACAUAGACCUGUGGUAGGCAUGCAUGUUAUUUCUGUUAAAAUAGGAGAUCAUUGUUAUCAUGGCUUGUGUGAUAUGGGUGCUAGUGCUAGUGCAAUACCUAUUGACUUAUACAAAGAAAUUAUGCAUGAUAUUGCACCUACUGAGUUAGAAGAAAUUGAUGUUACAAUUAAGCUUGUCAAUAGAGAUACUAUAUCACCCAUGGGAAUUGUUAGAGAUGUUGAAGUCUUAUGUGGGAAAACUAAAUAUCCGGCUGAUUUUCUCGUUCUUGGUUCCCCACAAGAUAGCUUUUGUCCCAUUAUAUUUGGUAGACCCUUCUUAAACACUGUUAAUGCUAGGAUAGACUGCGAAAAGGAUGUUGUUACUAUUGGUUUAGGUGAUAUGUCUCAUGAGUUCAACUUCUCUAAAUUUCGUAGACAACACCGUGAAGAGGAACUGCCUAGUAAAGAUGAAAUUAUUGGUCUUGCUUCUAUUGCCGUACCUCCUAGUGAUCCUUUAGAACAAUAUUUGCUAGACCAUGAAAAUGAUAUGUUUAUGAAUGAAAGAAGGGAAAUAGAUGAAGUGUUCUUUAAACAGGGACCUAUUCUGAAACACAACUUGCCUGUUGAAAUCCUAGGGGAUCCUCCUCCACCCAAGGGUGAUCCCGUGUUUGAGCUUAAACCAUUGCCUGAUACUCUUAAAUAUGCUUAUCUUGAUGAAAAGAAGAUAUACCCUAUUAUUAUUAGUGCUAACCUUUCAGAGAAGGAGGAAGAAAAAUUAUUGAAAACUCUGAAGAAGCACCGUGCCGCUAUUGGAUAUACUCUUGAUGAUCUUAAGGGUAUUAGUCCCACUCUAUGCCAACACAAAAUAAAUUCGGAGAAAGAUGCCAAACCAGUUAUUGAUCAUCAACGACGGCUGAAUCCUAAAAUGAAAGAAGUGGUAAGAAAGGAAAUACUAAAGCUCCUUGAGGCAGGUAUAAUCUAUCCCGUUGCUGAUAGUCAGUGGGUAAGUCCUGUCCAUUGUGUCCCUAAGAAGGGAGGUAUUACUGUCGUUCCUAAUGACAAAGAUGAAUUGAUUUCGCAAAGAAUUAUUGCAGGUUAUAGGAUGGUAAUUGAUUUCCGCAAAUUAAAUAAACCUACUAAAAAGGAUCAUUACCCCUUACCUUUUAUUGAUCAAAUGCUAGAAAGAUUAUCCAAACAUACACAUUUUUGCUUUCUAGAUGGUUAUUCUGGUUUCUCUCAAAUACAUGUGUCAGCUGAUGAUCAAGCUAAGACCACUUUUACAUGCCCUUUCGGUACUUUUGCUUAUAGAAGUAUGCCUUUUGGUUUAUGUAAUGCACCUGCUACCUUUCAAAGAUGCAUGAUGGCUAUAUUCUUUGAUUUUUGUGAAAAGAUUUGCGAGGUUUUCAUGGACGACUUCUCCGUCUAUGGAUCCUCUUUUGAUGAUUGCUUGAGCAACCUUGAUCGAGUUUUGCAGAGAUGUGAAGAAACUAAUCUUGUCUUGAACUAGGAAAAGUGCCACUUUAUGGUUAACGAAGGCAUUGUCUUGGGGCAUAAAAUUUCUGAAAGAGGUAUUGAAGUUGAUAAAGCUAAAUUUGAUGCUAUUGAAAAGAUGACAUGUCCCAAGGACAUCAAAGGUAUAAGAAGUUUCCUUGGUCACGCUGGAUUUUAUAGGAGGUUCAUUAAGGACUUCUCAAAAAUUUCUCGGCCUCUGACUAAUCUAUUACAAAAAGAUAUACCAUUUGUCUUUGAUGAUGAUUGUGUAGAAGCAUUUGAAAUACUUAAGAAAGCAUUGAUUUCUGCACCUAUUGUUCAGCCACCUGAUUGGAAUUUACCCUUUGAAAUCAUGCGUGAUGCUAGUGAUUAUGUUGUAGGUGCUGUUCUAGGGCAAAGAGUUGAUAAGAAAUUAAAUGUUAUUCAAUAUGCUAGUAAAACUCUAUACAAUGCCCAAAGAAAUUAUGCUACUACUGAAAAAGAAUUCUUAGUAGUUGUAUUUGCUUGUGAUAAGUUCAGACCUUAUAUUGUUGAUUCUAAAGUAACUAUUCACACUGAUCAUGCUGCUAUUAAAUAUCUUAUGGAAAAGAAAGAUGCUAAACCUAGACUUAUUAGAUGGGUUCUCUUGCUACAAGAAUUUGAUUUGCAUAUUAUUGAUAGAAAGGGAGCUGAGAACCCCGUUGCAGACAACUUGUCUAGGUUAGGAAAUGUUCUUGAUGACCCACUACCUAUUGAUGAUAGCUUUCCUGAUGAACAAUUAAAUGUCAUAAAUGCAUAGGAAGUGGGUUAGACUUAAAUAUGCUAGUCAAAUUCUUCAUGAUGCUCUCUUCAUGUUUCAAUUCUUAUGUCUUAUGUGAGCAUCAUUGAAAUCAUCAUGCCUAGCUAGGAGCGUUAAACGUUAGCGCUUGUUGGGAGGCAACCCAAUUUUUAUUUUUGUUCUUUCUUUUUGGUUAUGUUUAGUAAUAAAUAUUUGAUCUAGCCUCUGGUUAGAUGUGGUUUUAUGUUUUAAUUAGUGUUUGUGCCAAGUAAUACCUAUAGGAUCUUCUUGGAUGAUAGUUAUUUGAUCUUGCUGAAAAUUCCAGAAACUUUCUGUUCACAAAAACAAUUGUUAAAAAUCACCAGAACGUGAUAAAAUGUUGAUUCCAAUUGCAGUAAAUCAAUAAACAAAUUAUCUAGGUCGUCCUAUGUUGGUAGAAUUUUUGGAGUUCCAAAAGUUUGCGUUAGUUACAGAUUACUACAGACUGUUCUGUUUUUAACAUAUUCUGUUUUUCGUGUGUUGUUUGCUUAUUUUAAUGAAUCUAUGGCUAGUAAAAGAGUUUAUAAACCAUAGAGAAGUUGGAAUACAGGUUUAACACCAAUAUAAAUAAAGAAUGAGUUCACUACAGUACCUUGAAGUGGUGUUUUGUUUUCUUUCGCUAACGGAGCUCACGAGAUUUUCUGUUAAGUUUUGUGUUGUGAAGUUUUCAAGUUUUGGGUAAAGAUUCGAUGGACUAUGGAAUAAGGAGUGGCAAGAGCCUAAGCUUGGGGAUGCCCAAGCCACCCCCAGGUAAUAUUCAAGGACAACCAAGAGCCUAAGCUUGGGGAUGCCCCGGAUGGCAUCCCCUCUUUCGUCUUCGUUCAUCGGUAACUUUACUUGGAGCUAUAUUUUUAUUCACCACAUGAUAUGUGUUUUGCUUGGAGAGUCAUUUUAUUUUCUUUAGCUUUGCUUGCUGUUUGAAUAAAAUACCAAGACCUGAAAUUCUUAAAUGAGAUAGAGUCUUCACAUAGCUACAUAAUUAUUUAACUACUCAUUGAUCUUCACUUAUAUCUUUUUGGAGUAGUUCGUCAUUUACUCAUGUGCUUCACUUAUACCCUAUGAGUAAAUGGUUGAAUGAUUUGAAUGUCAUAAAUCUAAAAUUAUAUAUGUUUCAUAUGGCUUUCCCAUGGGGAGUAAUGACUUCACAUAUAAGAAGUAGAGGUGGUACAUUUUUUGAAGGUUAGCAAACAUUGUAUUGGUCACUUGAACAAUUCAUGAAACAAUAUUGAAGGAAGAGAGAUUUCACAUAUAAAUAUACUAUCUUGGACAUCUUCUAUGAUUGUGAGCCCCAUUAAUUAUUUUCAAACCUGAGAAAAUUAGUUGAAGUUGGACAAGGAAGACAACAUAAUGAGUUAUGCUUGGGUAUAUUUGUAUAGCAGUUAUAUUGUUAUGGAUCCUCUAACAUGUGGUGCUUGCUAUUUAGAAUCCUUUGCUAGCCAAAAUAUCUGUACUAAGCGGGAAUACUAAUUGUGCAUCCAAAUUCCUUGAACCAAGUUACUUCCAUGAGUGUCCACCAUAUCUACCUAUAUGCGGUAUUUACCUGCCGUUCCAAGUAAAUUUGCAUGUGCCAAACUCUAAACCUUCAAAUAAUAAUCUGUUUUGUAUGCCCGAAUCGCUCAUGUAGCGACUAGGGGUUGUCAGUAUCUUCCAUGCUAGGUGGGUUAUUCUCACGAUGAGUGGACUCCGCUCAUCAUUCACGAGAAAAUGGCUGGUAACUGGGAUGCCCAGUCCUAUGAUCAAAAGAUCAAAAACAAAUUCGCAAAUAAUUUAAACAAAACUCCCCCAGGAAUGUUGAUAGUUGGACGGCACCCGUUGUUUCGGACAAGCCGUGGAGUGUGAAUGUUGGUGGAGGGGGAGUAAAAUCUUUACCUUUCUACGUGGGAACCGCCUAUAAUGUAUCUAGUAUGGAAGAUAUUGGGAACUCUUGGUUGUUAUGUUGACAAUGAAAGCAUACCUCUCAAAAUUAUUUUCAUCUCUGUUUUUGCUUCGAGCUCUGGCACCUCUGCAAAUCCCUGUUUCCCUCUGCGAAGGGCCUAUCUUUUAAUUUUAUGCAAGAGUCAGUAGUAUUCCUUCUCAUUCCAACCUACUCUUUAGUUGGCAAGCAUCAUGUGAUGGAAAGAUCUAAGCAUAUAUGGCCAUUCAAAUAUAUUUGAGCAUGAAUUAUUAUUGUUGACAUUACCCUCGAGGUAAAAGGUUGGGAGGCGAAACAUUAAGCCCCUAUCUUUCUCUGUGUUCGAUGAAUACUAUUUGUUCUAAAAAUAUGCUUUGAGUGGUAGUAAUCAUGGAAGACUAUAUGAUGGUUGAGUAUGUGGGAUUUGCUAAAUCAAAGCUCUAACAUAGACUCUUCCUGAAAAUAAGAUGAAUUGUAAUUGUUUGAUGACUAAUAACACGGUUUGUUAGUUUUCAAGAAAGUUUAUGAUCUAUACUUUAACAUGUGAAUAGUUUGUUACUUGAUCAUGCAAAGUUCUAUGAGUUGAGCUACUAUUAUGACAUAUAUGAUGCUAGAAAAGGUGAUUGAAAUUAUCAUUGAUCAAACUUAUGCACCUGCUAGCAUUCACACUUCAUAAAUUCUUUCUUUUAUCAUUUACCUACUCGAGGACGAGCAGGAAUUAAGCUUGGGGAUGCUGAUACGUCUCCAACGUAUCUAUAAUUUAUGAAGUAUCCAUGCUAUUAUAUUAUCCAUCUUGGAUGUUUAAUGGGCUUUACUAUGCACUUUUAUAUUAUUUUUGGGACUAACUUAUUAAUCCAGAGCCCAGUGUCAGUUUUUGUUUUUUUCCUUGUUUCAGUGUUUCGCAAAAAAGGAAUAUCAAACGGAGUCCAAACGGAAUGAAACCUUCGGGAGAGUUAUUUUUGGAACAGAAGCAAUCCAGGGGACUUGGAGUGCAUGUAAGGGAAGCAACGAGUGAGACACGAGGCAGGGGGGCGCACCCACCCCCUGGGUGCGCCCUCCACCCUCGUGGGCCCCUCGUGGCUCCCCUGACCGACUUCUUUCGCCUAUAUAUAUCCAUAUACCCUAAAAACUUCGGGGAACACAAUAGAUUGAGAGUUCCGCCGCCGCAAGCCUCCAGAGCCAUGAAAAACCAAUCAGGACCCUGUUCCGGCACCCUGCCGGAGGGGGGAUCCCUCACCGGUGGCCAUCUUCAUCAUCCCGGUGCUCUCCAUGACGAGGAGGGAGUAGUUCACCCUCGGGGCUGAGGGCAUGUACCAAUAGCUAUGUGUUUGAUCUCUCUCUCUCUCUCUCUCUCUCUCGUGUUCUUGAUUCAGCAUAAUCUUGAUGUAUCGCGAGCUUUGCUAUUAUAGUUGGAUCUUCUGAUGUUUCUCCCCCUCUACUCUCUUGUAAUGGAUUGAGUUUUCCCUUUGAAGUUAUCUUAUCGGAUUGAGUCUUUAAGGAUUUGAGAACACUUGAUGUAUGUCUUGCGUGGGCUACCCGUGGUGACAAUGGGGUAUUCUAUUGAUUCAGCUGAUGUAUGUUUUGGUGAUCAACUUGCGGGUUCCGCCCAUGAACCUAUGCAUAGGGGUUGGCACACGUUUUCGUCUUGACUCUUCGGUAGAAACUUUGGGGCACUCUUUGAACUACUUUGUGUUGGUUGAAUAGAUGAAUCUGAGAUUGUGUGAUGCAUAUCGUAUAAUCAUACCCACGGAUACUUGAGGUGACAUUGGAGUAUCUAGGUGACAUAGGGUUUUGGUUGAUUUGUGUCUUAAGGUGUUAUUCUAGUACGAACUCUAUGAUAGAUUGAACGGAAAGAAUAGCUACGUGUUAUUUUACUACGGACUCUUGAAUAGAUCGAUCAGAAAGAAUAACUUUGAGGUGGUUUCGUACCCUACCAUAAUCUCUUCGUUUGUUCUCCGCUAUUAGUGACUUUGGAGCGACUCUUUGUUGCAUGUUGAGGGAUAGUUAUAUGAUCCAAUUAUGUUAUUAUUAUUGAGAGAACUUGCACUAGCGAAAGUAUGAACCCUAGGCCUUGUUUCCUAGCAUUGCAAUACCGUUUGUGCUCGCUUUUAUCAUUAGUUACCUUGCUGUUUUUAUAUUUUCAUAUUACAAAAACCUAUAUCUACCAUCCAUAUUGCACUUGUAUCACCAUCUCUUCGCCGAACUAGUGCACCUAUACAAUUUACCAUUGUAUUGGGUGUGUUGGGGACACAAGAGACUCUUUGUCAUUUGGUUGCAGGGUUGUUUGAGAGAGACCAUCUUCAACCUAUGCCUCCCACGGAUUGAUAAACCUUAGGUCAUCCACUUGAGGGAAAUUUGCUACUGUCCUACAAACCUCUGCACUUGGAGGCCCAAAACGUCUACAAGAAGAAGGUUGUGUAGUAGACAUCAGUAUGUGGUACGGUAAGUAAACCGACUCCAAAACAGUUCUAAUGGCAAUUUUUCUCCAUUUUGGAAUAUUUAGAAAAAUAAGAAGCAGUCCGGGAAGGACACGAGGGCUCCACGAGAGUGGAGGGCGCGCCCUACCCCCUGGGCACGCCCCCUGCCUCGUGGGCACCUCGUGCGCUCUCCGGACUCCAUUUUCUUGCACGUUACGUAUUUUGGUCGGUAAAAAUUCAUUAUAUAAUCUCCCGAAGGUUUUGACUCCGGUAUCACGCAAUUGUCCUCUGUUCUUGUUUCGAGCUGUUUUCUGCCGCAGAUUAGAGCAAGAUGUCUUCUCAAGAGUCAGUCGGGGAGAGUCGGGUGUCUCAUCCGACACCAGGUCCAGGGGCAAACAACGAUGCCUAUCACUUUGGGCCCUCAACGGAGGAAGAGAUGGAAGCUGACUUGAAAAGGAUAGAUGCCAUGGAGGAGGAUCAAGAAGUUACUUCUCAUUUCCGGGCAGGCUUCACAAUGGGGGAACUACAGAGCUCAGCUAUCCCAAACUCGGUCAUCCCCUCCAAUGUUAAAUUUCUCUCUUAUGAAAAUAUGAAAAAGAGUGUUACUUGUUCUCCCGCAGCUAUGCAGCAUCCAUGGGUGCAAGGAGCUUUAACCGUCACAGGUAAGCUCCGUAAGGAAAUAAUGGAUCUUAAGCGGCAGGUUAACAAGCUCGAGGAGGAGAAUCGUAUCCUGAGGGGUAUCAUAGCCAAGAAUAUCACCACCCCCGAAAAAGGAGAUAUAAUCACAUGGGUAUGGGCACUCCCCUUGGCAACUGCCAAGCUUGGGGGAGGUGCCCCGGUAUCGUAUCACCAUCACAUCUCUAUCUUUACCGUUUUCUUAGUUCGAUCCUUUUAGUAGUAUCUUGAUCUAGUAGAAUAAAUUUUUAGUAUGAACUAGUUUUGAGUUUUGCUUUAUGAUCCCUCUAUGUAAUCGAGUCUGUGAGCUAUAUAAUAAAGAUUAGUGUUGAGUCAAGGGCUUGAUUAUUUUGCUAUGAUCUUGAGGGAAUAAAAGAAAAAGAAAGAAUAAAAAGAAAUAAAAAGAGAUCAUAUUGAUCUUAUGGAUAGUAAUGACUUCACAUAGAAAGAGUAUGAUGAUUGAAAGUUGUUGAGAGUUAACAAACAUGGUUUUGGUCAUCGUUGCAAUUAAGAGGGGUUUCACAUAUAAAUAUACUAUCUUGGGCAUCUUUUAUGAUUGUGAGCACUCAUUAAAAUAUGACAUGCUAAAGAGUUGAUGUUGGACAAGGAAGACAACGUAAUGGGUUAUGUUUUCUUAUAUCUAAAAAUAAAGCAUAUUGUCAUGGAUCAUCCAACAUGUUGAGCUUGCCUUUCCCGCUCAUGCUAGCCAAAUUCUUUGCACCAAGUAGAGAUACUACUUGUGCUUCCAAAUACCCUUAAACCCAGUUUUGCCAUGAGAGUCCACCAUAUCUACCUAUGGAUUGAGUAAGAUCCUUCAAGCAAGUUGUCAUCGGUGCAAGCAAUAAAAAUUGCUCUCUAAAUAUGUAUGAUUGAUUAGUGUGGAGGAAAUAAGCUUUAUACGAUCUUGUGAUGUGGAAGAAAUAAAAGCGACAGACUGCAUAAUAAAGGUCCAUAUCACAAGUGGCAAUAUAAAGUGACAUUCUUUCGCAUUAAGAUUUUGUGCAUCCAACCCUGAAAGCGCAUGACAACCUCUGCUUCCCUCUGCGAAGGGCCUAUCUUUUACUUUUAUCUCUCACCCUUAUGCAAGAGUCAUGGUGAUCUUCACAUUUCCUUUUUAUAUUUUAUCCUUUGGCAAGCACAGUGUGUUGGAAAGAUCCUGACAUAUAUAUCUAAUUGGAUGCAAUUUAGCAUAAACUAUUAUUGUUGACAUUACCCUUGAGGUAAAAGGUUGGGAGGCGAAACUAUAAGCCCCUAUCUUUCUCUGUGUCUGAUUAAAAUUCCGUAACCACAAGUAUUGCGUGAGUGUUAGCAAUUGUGAAAGACUAAAUGAUAGUUGAGUAUGUGGACUUGCUGAAAAGCUCUAACAUAGACUCUUUCUGAUGUUAUGAUAAAUUGCAAUUGCUUCAAUGACUGAGAUUAUAGUUUGUUAGUUGUCAAUAAAGUUUCUGAUUCAUACUUUGCAUUGUGAAUAGAUUAUUACUUGAGCAUAAGAAAUCAUACGACAUUAUCCAUAUAUGUUGCUGUUAUGAGAAUAUUCAUGAUGCCCUCAUGUCCGUAUUUUAUUUUAUCAGCACCGCUACCUCUAAACAUGUGGACAUAUUUAUCGUUAUCGGCUUCCGCUUGAGGACAAGCGAGGUCUAAGCUUGGGGGAGUUGAUACGUUCAUUUUGCAUCAUGCUUUUAUAUCGAUAUUUAUUGCAUUAUGGGCUGUUAUUACACAUUAUGUCACAAUACUUAUGCCUAUUCUCUCUUAUUUUACAAGGUUCACAUAAGGAGGGAGAAUGCCAGCAGCUGGAAUUCUGGGCUGGAAAAGGAGCAAAUAUUAGAGACCUAUUCUGCACAACUCCAAAAGUCCUGAAACUCCACGGAAGUUAUUUUUGGAAAUAAUGAAAAAUACUGAGCGGAAGAAAUACCAGAGGGGGCCCACACCCUGGCCACGAGGGUGGGGGACGCGCCCUACCCCCCUGGGCGCGCCCCUGCCUCGUGGGCCCCCUGUUAGCCCUCCGGUGCCCAUCUUCUGCUAUAUGAAGUCUUUCGUCCGAAGAAAAAUCAUAAGCAAGCUUUCGGGACGAGACUCCGCCGCCACGAGGCGGAACCUUGGCGGAACCAAUCUAGGGCUCCGGCGGAGCUGUUCUGCCGGGGACACUUCCCUCCGGGAGGGGGAAAUCAUCGCCAUCGUCAUCACCAACGCUCCUCUCAUCGGGAGGGGGCCAAUCUCCAUCAACAUCUUCACCAGCACCAUCUCCUCUCAAACCCUAGUUCAUCUCUUGUAUCCAAUUCUUGUCUCUAAGUCUGGGAUUGGUACUUGUAGGUUGCUAGUAGUGUUGAUUACUCCUUGUAGUUGAUGCUAGUUGGUUUAUUUGGUGGAAGAUCAUAUGUUCAGAUCCUAUGUGCAUAUUAAUACUCCUCUGAUUAUGAACAUGAAUAUGCUUUGUGAGUAGUUACGUUUGUUCCUGAGGACAUGGGAGAAGUCUUGCUAUUAGUAGUCAUGUGAAUUUGGUAUUCGUUCGAUAUUUUGAUGAGAUGUAUGUUGUCUCUCCUCUAGUGGUGUUAUGUGAACGUCGACUACAUGACACUUCACCAUUAUUUGGGCCUAGAGGAAGGCAUUGGGAAGUAAUAAGUAGAUGAUGGGUUGCUAGAGUGACAGAAGCUUAAACCCUAGUUUAUGCGUUACUUCUUAAGGGGCUGAUUUGGAUCCAUAUGUUUCAUGCUAUGGUUAGGUUUACCUUAAUACUUCUUUUGUAGUUGCGGAUGCUUGCAAUAGGAGUUAAUCAUAAGUGGGAUGUUUUCCCAAGUAAGGGCAGCACCCAAGCACCGGUCCACCCACAUAUCAAAUUAUCAAAGUACCGAACGCGAAUCAUAUGAACGUGAUGAAAACUAGCUUGACGAUGAUUCCCAUGUGUCCUCGGGAGCGUUUUCCUUCAUAUAAGAGUUUGUCCAGGCUUGUCCUUUGCUACAAAAUGGAUUGGGCCACCUUGCUGCACUUUAUUUACUUUUCUUACUUGUUGCUCGUCACAAAUUAUCUUAUCACAAAACUAUCUGUUACUUAUAAUUUCAGUGCUUGAAGAGAAUACCUUGCUGAAAACCACUUAUCAUUUCCUUCUGCUCCUCAUUGGGUUCGACACUCUUACUUAUCGAAAGGACUACAAUAGAUCCCCUAUACUUGUGGGUCAAAAUCCACGUACCCUCGUACACCGUAAGCGAAAGCGUUAUGACAACGCGGUUGAUGUAGUCGUACGUCUUCACGAUUCGACCGAUCCAAGUACCGAACGCACGACACCUCCGAGUUCAGCACACAUUCAGCUCGGUGACGUCCCACAAACUCACGAUCCAGCAGAGCUUCGAGGGAGAGUUCCGUCAGCACGACGGCGUGAUGACGGUGAUGAUGAUGCUACCGACGCAGGGCUUCGCCUAAGCACCGCUACGAUAUGACCAAGGUGGAUUAUGGUGGAGGGGGGCACCGCACAUGUCUAAAAGAUCAACAGAUCAACUUGUGUGUCUAUGGGGUGCCCCCCUCCCCCGUAUAUAAAGGAGUGGAGGAGGGGAACGGGCCGGCCCUCCUAGGCGCGCCCCAAGGGCAGUCCUACUCCCACCGGGAGUAGGACUCCAACCCUUCCAAGAGUAGGAGUAGGAGAGAGGGAAGGAGGAGAGAGGGGGAAGGAAAGGGGGGCGCCGCCCCCUUGUCCAAUUCGGACUAGAGGGGGAGGGGGUGCGCGGCCUGCCCUGGCCGCCCCUCCUCUUCUCCACUGAGGCCCAAUAGGCCCACUACACUCCCCGGGGGGUUCCGAUAACCACCCGGUACUCCGGUAUUUGUCCGAACUUGCCCGGAACCCUUCCGAAGUCCAAACAUAGUCAUCCAAUAUAUCGAUCUUUAUGUCUCGACCAUUUCGAGACUCCUCGUCAUGUCCGUGAUCAUAUCUGGGACUCCAAACUACAUUCGGUACAUCAAAACACAUAAACUCAUAUUACCGAUCAUCACCGAAUGUUAAGCAUGCGGACCCUACGGGUUCGAGAACUAUGUAGACAUGACCGAGACUUGUCUCCGGUCAAUAACCAAUAGCGGAACCUGGAUGCUCAUAUUGGCUCCUACAUAUUCUACGAAGAUCUUUAUCGGUCAAACCGCAUAACAACAUACGUUGUUCCCUUUGUCAUCGGUAUGUUACUUGCCCGAGAUUCGAUCGUCGGUAUCUCAAUACCUAGUUCAAUCUCGUUACUGGCAAGUCUCUUUACUCGUUCCGUAAUACAUCAUCCCGCAACUAACUCAUUAGUUGCAUUGCUUGCAAGGCUGAUAGUGAUGUGCAUUACCGAGAGGGCCCAGAGAUACCUCUCCGACAAUCGGAGUGACAAAUCCUAAUCUCGAUCUAUGCCAACUCAACAAGUACCAUCAGAGACACUUGUAGAGCACCUUUAUAAUCACCCAGUUACGCUGUGACAUUUGGUAGCACACAAAGUGUUCCUCCGGUAUUCGGGAGUUGCAUAAUCUCAUAGUCAUAGGAACAUGUAUAAGUCAUGAAGAAAGCAAUAGCAAUAUACUAAACGAUCAAAUGCUAAGCUAACGGAAUGGGUCAAGUCAAUCACAUCAUUCUCUAAUGAUGUGAUCCCGUUAAUCAAAUGACAACUCAUGUCUAUGGCUAGGAAACUUAACCAUCUUUGAUUCAACGAGCUAGUCAAGUAGAGGUGUAACGCCCCGAAUCCGAUGCGCCAGGUGUCUCCCAGUUAUUCGCCGUCGUUGCCAUGUCAUUUGCUUGGGUGUUGCUCUUUGCUAUGUCAUCAUCUGCAUUGCAUCAUCAUGUUUUCAAAACUUGCAUCCGUCCAGGUCUCCCAGUUCUCUCCGUUGUCCGUUCCGAGCCCUUUCACACUCGCACGCGCCCGCGACACCUCCGAAAUAUUAUUUUAUAAGUGGCAUAAAAAUGUUCUUGGAUUGGGAUGAAAGUUGGCGUGCGGUCUUGUUAUAGUGUAGGUAGACCGCCUGCCAAGUUUCAUCGCAUUCGGAGUCCGUUUUGAUAGCCCAACCGUUAAAGAUACGCAAUAUAGCCGGUCAAACGUCGGAUGUUUUCGGUCUCCGGAAACCCGUGCCGGGCCGCCUUCUCUUCUCUCCCCUCAGCCCAAGCCCCUCUCCACAACCCACCUAACCUAGCUAACCCCCCUCUCGAUCGGAUCCGUCGGAUCACGAUCGUACGGUCUGAAACGGCCUAAAACACCUAACCCUAGCCCCAUGUUUAUAUAUAGACCACCCCCUGCCAGAUGGACUAACCUAGCUCUUCCCCUACCCCUAGACCCCCUCCCUCCGAUCCAGCGCCGCCCCUUCUCCUCGGAUCCACCGCCGACCACCUCCUCCCCGCCACUUGGCGCCGUCCCACUCGCCAGCGCCACCGCAAGCCGCCUUCUCACCCAACCCGCAGCUGCCACCCGUCGCCCCUGCCUUUCCCGCGCCGCCGCAGCCCGCGCGGCCCAGAUCGGGCCCGCCCCGGGCCGAUCCGGGCCCGAGGCGCCCGCUCCCCGCGCCGCCGCUCCCGCUGGGCUCCUGCCGAGCGCUCCCGCUCCAGCGCACCCGACGUCGCCCAGAUCGGCCCCGCCGCCUCACGUCGCUACUCCAACCACCAGGCCUCGCCGGAGUUCCGACCUCGUCGGAGAUGAGUGACCGCCGCCCUGUUCCGCUCCUCCUCCCUUUGGUUCUCCCUCUUCUUCCCCUCUCACGAUCCCUCUCUCUCCCGCAAGCCCCAACCGCCGCCAUGGAGUUGCGCCUCCUCGAGCGCCGUCCUUUGCCGGGAACGGGUUCCCUGGGGCCAGAUCCGCCCGGAUCCGGCUGGAACCACCGCUCCCAUGGCCUCCUCCGGCCUCGCCGGCCCUGCCUGAGCCCACCGCCGCCGCCAUGACCGUGCUCGGGAGCGAGCAGAGGAGCUGCUCCUCCCGUGCGCCUCGUGGGCCCCGCAGCCUCCCAAGGCAGCCCAGCCGCGGCCUUCCCCGCCUCCAAGCCCAGAUGCCACCCCGAGCAGGACCAUUUGGCCAUGGUGAGCUUCCCACUAAGCCCUACCUUUGUGCGCGAGAUAGCUAUCAUGCGCCCGUGUGUUUUUUUUCCAGAAAAGUGACCGUCCUUAGAAUUUCAGCUUCAUGCAUACAUUUUGUAUUCACUAUAUCUUUGUGGGUGCUACUCCGCUUUGCGUGCAUGAUAUAUCAAAAUGUUCAUUGAGAGAUGCUCUUCAUUUCAUUCCAUUGUGGAAUGCUUGUUUGAAUUCAUCUUGAUGCCCUAAUCAUCUUUGCAAGAGUGCUAUGUGAUGUUAACCUGCUGAGACUGUUAUAACUUGAUGAUUUGUCAUUUUUGUUGCAUUUUGUGUGUGCAUCCUAUGAGCAUGAUGUCUACAUGUUUGUGAAGAAUCUCCAUGCCAUCUUUACAGUGGUGCAAGACUUGUAUUUUGUCAUGCCCUGUAGUGAGUUCAUCAAGCUUGUGAAGUGGACUAUUUGCUGUUAAUGUUCUGUCAAUGCUGAAACUGCUAUAUCAUGUUGCUAUCUUUGCUUGAUGCUACCAAUUAAUCCAUGCAUAUUCUGGAGAUGUUCAUUAAGGAUGUUUUUCUAUACAUGUGAUGUGAUGCUCUAUCCAUCCAUGCCUUCGUUUGCAUUUAUAGCCUGCUGUAGCUUAUUGUAAUCUUGCUCUCAAAUUGCUAAAUAAUGUUGCUGUCAGCCUGUUAACAUUAAGUUCAGCUUUUCCAUGUGUUUUGCUAGUGAUUCAUGCACCCUAUGAACUUUCUAUUGCCAUGCUUAGCUUCAUGAACAUGUGUUCUUACUGUUGGUUACCUUUUCAUGCCAUGUAAUGCUAUGUAGUGAGUUGUACAAGCUCGCCAACAUGCCUACUUAUUGUUGUUCCUGCCAUGUGCUGUUAUUUUCAGUCUGAAUCUGCCAUAUCUUUUGCCAUGUUUGCGUGGGUGCUAGCAUCUUUUCUAUUGAUCUUUGGAAUAAGUUCAAUAAGGGAGUUUUGUUAAUUGCUCUUAGUACUAGCAUACCAUGCUCAAGUUUUCCAUGUUAGCUUGCUGUAACAUGUUGUUUGAUAGCUCUAAACAUUGCAACCUGAUGUUAUUUCUGCCAUGUCUAGUGAAUUUCUGCCAAGUCUGUGAACUGUUAUUAUUUGCAAUCUUUCCAUGUCCUUUUGAUCAUGUCCUAGUGAUUUCUGGAGAUAGCUCAGUGUUCAUGUUUUGUUAUAAUUUAUCUGAAAAUCAUGUCCAUACCUUUUGUUCUCAUUUUGAGGUGCUGUAGCAUGUUGUUUUGAUGCUUGCAAGAUGUCUAGUUGCUGUUUUGGACAGCUUGUCCUUUAAACUUGUUUCAUGUGUAUGUGUUGAACCGUUGCUCCGUUUUGAGUGUGCUCUACAUGAAACUUGCUUAGUUUUGCAUGUAGUUUCAUGUUACCUUGUUGCAUCCAUGUUUUGAGUGUGUUUGCUUGAUGUUUGAAUGCAUUUUGCAUCAAUGCCAUGUUUAACUUGUUUUGCUCAUAUCUUCUAGGCCGUAGCUCCAAAUUAAAUGAACUUUAUAUGUAACUUGAUUAGAAUUUCAUGUAGAUCAUCUUGGUGCAUCUUAACUUGUUGUUUAACAACUUGAACAUAAGAUUUAUUCAGAUCUGGACCAAUUUCGAAAUUUGCAUAUGAGGACUUACCGGAAUUGUUAUAUGUUGUUUCCGGCCUCAUCUAAACUUGCUUUGAUGUGUUGCUCUUGUAUGCAUCAUUUCUUGCCAUGCGUAGCCUCAUGUAGCCUUGUCAUGCAUCAUACUUGGUUGAGCAUCAUGCCUUGUUCAUGUGUGGUGUGUUUACCAUGUUGUGUGCUUAUCCUCGAUAGUUCCCGUUUCGUUGCGAUCGUGAGGAUUCGUUCGUCUACGCUGGGUUCGUCUUCGUGGCUUCAUCUUCUUCAUGGACUCGUUCUUCUUCCUAGCGGGAUUUCAGGCAAAAUGACCGUCACCUUGGAUCUCAUUACUAUCAUUGCUAUGCUAGUUGCCUCGAUGCUAUCGCUAUGCUGCGUUACGUACCACUUGCUUAUCAAGCCUCCCAAAUUGCCAUGAACCUCUAACCUUUGUCACCCUUCCUAGCAAACCGUUGUUUGGCUAUGUUACCGCAUUUGCUCGGCCCCUCUUAUAGCGUGCUAGUUGCAGGUGAAGAUGAAGAUUGCUCCAUGUUGGAUUAUGUUUAUGUUGGGAUAUCACAAUAUCUCUUAUAUUAUUAAUGCAUCUAUAUACUUGGUAAAGGUUGAAAGGCUCGGCCUUAUGCCUAGUGUUUUGUUCCACUCUUGCCGCCUUAGUUUCCGUCAUAUCAGUAUUAUGUUCCUGGAUUUUGCGUUCCUAACGCGGUUGGGUGUUAUGGUAACCCCUUGACAGUUCGCCUUGAAUAAAACUCCUCCAGCAAGGCCCAACAUUGGUUUUACCAUUUGCCUUCCUACCACCUAUACUUUUCCCUUGGGAGUAAUUAAACCGAGGGUCAUCUUUAUUUUAGCCCCCCGGGCCAAUGCUUCUCUAAGUGUUGGUCCGAACUAGAGCCACUUGCAGCGCCACAUCGGGGAAACUUGAGGGCUGGUUUUUAGUUUUACGUAGUGCUCAUCCGGUCAUGGCCUGAGACGAGAUACGCGUGGCUACUAUCAGGGUGUCGGCACGCCGGGAGGUCUUGCUGGACUUGUUUUACCAUUGUUAAAAUGUCUUGUAACCGGAAUUCUGAGACUGAUCGGGUCUUUCCGGGAGAAGGAAUAUCCUUCGUUGAUCGUGAGAGCUUAUCAUGGGCUAAGUUGGGACACCCCUGCAGGGUUUGAACUUUCGAAAGCCGUGCCCGCGGUUAUGUGGCAGAUGGGAAUUUGUUAAUAUCCGGUUGUAGUAAACUUGAAGUAAACUCUUCUAAAAUACACCAACCGCAUGUGUAACCGUGAUUGUCUCUUUUCGGGGUUGUUCGAGAGGAGAACACGGUUUUUGGGUUAUGUUUGACGUAAGUAGGAGUUCAGGAUCACUUCUUGAUCAUUACUAGUUGACGACCGCUUGUUAAGCUCCUCUUCUCGCUCUUGUUUCGUAAGUUAGCCACCAUACUUUGCUUAGCCGCUGCUGCAACCUCACCACUUUACCCCUUCCUUACCCAUUAAGCUUUGCUAGUCUUGAUACCCAUGGUAAUGGGAUUGCUGAGUCCUCGUGGCACACAGAUUACUACACCAACAGUUGCAGGUUCAGGUUAUGCGAUGAUCAUGACGCGAGAGCGAUGUUUACUUGUUUUGCAGUUCUUCUUCUGCUUCUUCGAUCAGGGGAUAGGUUCCAGGUCGGCAGCCUGGGCUAGCAGGGUGGAUGUCAUUUGAACUUCUGUUUGUGUUUCAUCCGUAGUCGGAUGAUGAUCUUAUAUAUGAUGUAUUGAUGUAUUCUUGGGGCGUUUGUGCCCUUUGUAUGUAACCCCAUCUAUUAGGUAAUGUUGAUGUAAUGAUAUCCACCUUGCCAAAGAGUGUCAAUAUGCGGUUCUAUCCUUGGUGGGACCUUCGAGUCUCUUUAGGAUAGUAUCACAUAUUGGGCGUGACAAGAGGCAUACUAGUGACACUUAGUUUGUCUAUAUAUUCACACAUGUACUAAGUUUCUGGUUAAUACAAUUCUAGCAUGAAUAAUAAACAUUUAUCAUGAUAUAAGGAAAUAUAAAUAACAACUUUAUUAUUGCCUCUAGGGCAUAUUUCCUUCAGUCUCCCACUUGCACUAGAGUCAAUAAUCUAGAUUACACACUAAUGAUUCUAACACCCAUGGAGUCUUGGUGCUGAUCUUGUUUUGCUCGUGAGAGAGGCUUAGUCAAUGGGUCUGCAACAUUCAGAUCCGUAUGUAUCUUGCAAAUCUCUAUGUCUCCCUCCUUGACUUGGUCGCGGAUGGAAUUGAAGCGUCUCUUGAUGUGCUUGGUUCUCUUGUGAAAUUUGGAUUCCUUUGCCAAGGCAAUUGCACCGGUAUUGUCACAAAAUAUUUUCAUUAGAACCGAUGCACUAGGUAUGACACCUAGAUCGGAUAUGAACUCCUUCAUCCAGACUCCUUCAUUUUCUGCUUCCGAUGCAGCUAUGUACUCCGCUUCACACGUAGAUCCCGCCAUGACGCUUUGCUUAGAACUGCACCAACUGACAGCUCCACUGUUCAAUAUAAAUAUGUAUCCGGUUUGUGACUUAGAGUCAUCUGGAUCAGUGUCAAAGCUUGCAUCGACGUAACCAUUUACGACGAGCUCUUUGUCACCUCCAUAAAGGAGAAACAUAUCCUUAGUCCUUUUCAGGUAUUUCAGGAUGUUCUUGACCACUGUCCAAUGAUCCACUCCUGGAUUACUUUGGUACCCCCCUGCUAAGCUAAUAGCAAGGCACACGUCAGGUCUGGUACACAGCAUUGCAUACAUGAUAGAGCAUAUGGCUGAAGCAUAGGGAACAUCUUUCAUUUUCUCUCUAUCUUCUGCAGUGGUCGGGCAUUGAGUGUGACUCAAUUUCACACCUUGUAACACAGGCAAGAACCCUUUCUUUGCUUGAUCCAUUCUGAACUUCUUCAAAACUUUAUCAAGGUAUGUGCUUUGUGAAAGUCCAAUUAAGCGUCUUGAUCUAUCUCUAUAGAUCUUGAUGCCCAAUAUAUAAGCAGCUUCGCCGAGGUCUUUCAUUGAAAAACUCUUGUUCAAGUAUCCUUUUAUGCUAUCCAGAAAUUCUAUAUCAUUUCCAAUCAACAAUAUGUCAUCCACAUAUAAUAUUAGAAAUGCUACAGAGCUCCCACUCACUUUCUUGUAAAUACAAACUUCUCCAAAAGUCUGUAUAAAACCAUAUGCUUUGCUCACACUAUCAAAACAUUUAUUCCAACUCCGAGAUGCUUGCACCAGUCCAUAGAUGGAUCGCUAGCGCUUGCACACUUUGUUAGCAUCCUUUGGAUCGAUAAAACCUUCAGGUUGCAUCAUAUACAACUCUUCUUCCAGAAAUCCAUUCAGGAAUGCAGUCUUUACAUCCAUUUGCCAAAUUUCAUAAUCAUAAAAUGCGGCAAUUGCUAACAUGAUUCGGACGGACUUAAGCAUCGCUACGGGUGAGAAGGUCUCAUCGUAGUCAACUCCUUGAACUUGCCGAAAACCUUUUGCAACAAGUCGAGCUUUGUAGACAGUAACAUUACCGUCAGCGUCAGUCUUCUUCUUGAAGAUCCAUUUAUUCUCUAUGGCUUGCCGAUCAUCGGGCAAGUCAACCAAAGUCCACACUUUGUUCUCAUACAUGGAUCCCAUCUCUGAUUUCAUGGCCUCAAGCCAUUUUGCGGAAUCUGGGCUCAUCACCGCUUCCUCAUAGUUUGUAGGUUUGUCAUGGUCAAGUAACAUGACCUCCAGAACAGGAUUACCGUACCACUCUGGUGCGGAUCUUACUCUGCUUGACCUAUGAGGUUUGGUAGUAACUUGAUCUGAAGUUACAUGAUCAUCAUCAUUAGCUUCCUCACUAAUUGGUGUAGGAUUCACAGGAACAGUUUUCUGUGAUGAACUACUUUCCAAUAAGGGAGCAGGUACAUUUACCUCAUCAAGUUAUACUUUCAUCCCACUCACUUCUUUUGAGAGAAACUCCUUCUCUAGAAAGGAUCCAUUCUUAGCAACGAAUGUCUUGCCUUCGGAUCUGUGAUAGAAGGUGUACCCAACAGUCUCCUUUGGGUAUCCUAUGAAGACACAUUUCUCCGAUUUGGGUUCGAUCUUAUCAGGUUGAAGCUUUUUCACAUAAGCAUCGCAGCCCCAAACUUUAUGAAACGACAACUUUGGUUUCUUGCCAAACCAUAGUUCAUAAGGCGUCGUCUCAACGGAUUUAGAUGGUGCCCUAUUUAAUGUGAAUGCAGCCGUCUCUAAAGCAUAACCCCAAAAUGAUAGCGGUAAAUUGAUACGUCUCCAACGUAUCAAUAAUUUUUGAUUGCUCCAUGCUAUUAUAUAUUCUGUUUUGGAUGUUUAAUGGGCUUUAUUAUACACUUUCAUAUUAUUUUUGGGACUAAUCUAUUAACCCAAGGCCUAGUGCAAAUUGCUGUUUUUUUGCCUAUUUCAGUGUUUCGCAGAAAAGGAAUAUCAAACGGAGUCCAAACGGAAUGAAACCUUCGGGAGCGUGAUUUUUGGAACAAACAUGAUCCAGGGGACUUGGAGUGGACGUCAAGUAAUCAACGAGGAGGCCACGAGGCAGGGGCACGCCUACCACCCCUGGGCGCGCCCUCCACCCUCGUGGCUCCACCGACCUACUUCUUCCUCCUAUAUAUACCUACGUACCCCGAAACCAUCGAGGAGCACCACGAAAACCUAACUCCACCGCCGCAACCUUCUGUACCCGUGAGAUCCCAUCUUGGGGCCUUUUCUGGCGCUCCGCUGGAGGGGGCAUCGAUCACGGAGGGCUUCUACAUCAACACCAUAGCCUCUCCGAUGAUGUGUGAGUAGUUUACCACAGACCUUCGGGUCCAUAGUUAUUAGCUAGAUGACUUCUUCUCUCUCUUUGGAUCUCAAUACAAAGUUCUCCUCGAUCUUCUUGGAGAUCUAUUCGAUGUAACUCUUUUUGCGGUGUGUUUUUCGAGAUCCGAUGAAUUGUGGGUUUAUGAUCAAGAUUAUCUAUGAACAAUAUUUGAAUCUUCUCUGAAUUAUUUUAUGUAUGAUUGGUUAUCUUUGCAAGUCUCUUCGAAUUAUCAAUUUGGUUUGGCCUACUAGAUUGAUCUUUCUUGCCAUGGGAGAAGUGCUUAGCUUUGGGUUCAAUCAUGCGGUGCUCGAUCCCAGUGACAGUAGGGGAAACGACACGUAUUGUAUUGUUGCCAUCGAGGAUAAAAAGAUGGGGUUUAUAUCAUAUUGCUUGAGUUUAUCCCUCUACAUCUUGUCAUCUUGCCUAAUGCGUUACUCUGUUCUUAUGAACUUAAUACUCUAGAUGCAUGCUGGAUAGCGGUCGAUGUGUGGAGUAAUAGUAGUAGAUGCAGGCAGGAGUCGGUCUACUUGUCACGGACGUGAUGCCUAUAUACAUGAUCAUGCCUAGAUAUUCUCAUAAUUAUGCACUUUUCUAUCAAUUGCUCGACAGUAAUUUGUUCACCCACCAUAAUACUUAUGCUAUCUUGAGAGAAGCCACUAGUGAAACCUAUGGCCCUCGGGUCUAUUUUCCAUCAUAUUAAUCUCCCGUCAACAAGCUAUUUCUGGCGCCGUUGCUUUUGCAAUCUUUACUUUUAAUCUUUAUCAUAAAAAUACCAAAAAUAUUAUCUUAUCAUCUCUAUCAGGUCUCACUUUUGCAAGUGGCCAGGAAGGGAUUUACAACCCCUUUAUCGCGUUGGUUGCAAGGUUCUUAUUUGUUUGUGUAGGUACGAGGGACUUGCGUGUGGCCUCCUACUGGAUUGAUACCUUGGUUCUCAAAAACUGAGGGAAAUACUUACGCUACUUUGUUGCAUCACCCUUUCCUCUUCAAGGGAAAAACCAACGCAUGCUCAAGAGGUAGCAAGAAGGAUUUCUGGCGCCGUUGCCGGGGAGUCUAUGCACAAGUCAAGACAUACCAAGUAGCCAUCACCAACUCUUAUCCCUCGCAUUACAUUAUUUGCCAUUUGCCUCUCGUUUUCCUCUCCCCCACUUCACCCUUGCCAUUUUAUUCGCCCUCUCUUUCCGUUCGCCUCUUUUUCGCUUGCUUCUUGUUUGCUUGUGUGUUGGAUUGCUUGCUUGUCACGAUGGCUCAAGAUAAUACUAAAUUGUGUGACUUUGCCAAUACCAACAAUAAUGAUUUUCUUAGCACUCCGAUUGCUCCUCUUACCGAUGCUGAAUCUAGUGAAAUUAAUGCUGCUUUGCUGAAUCUUGUUAUGAAAGAUCAAUUCACCGGCCUUCCUAGUGAAUAUGCCGCUACCCAUCUAAAUAGCUUUGUUGAUUUGUGUGAUAUGCAAAAGAAGAAAGAUGUGGACAAUGAUAUUGUUAAAUUGAAGCUAUUUCCUUUUUUGCUUAGAGAUCGUGCCAAAACUUGGUUUUCGUCUUCGCCUAAAAAUAGCAUUGAUUCUUGGAAUAAGUGAAAAGAUGCUUUUAUCUCUAAAUAUUUUCCUCCCGCUAAGAUCAUUUCUCUUAGAAACGAUAUUAUGAAUUUUAAGCAACUUGAUCAUGAACAUGUUGCACAAGCUUGGGAGGGAAUGAAAUUAAUGAUAUGUAAUUGCCCUACACAUGGUUUGAAUUUAUGGAUGAUUAUACAAAUUUUUUAUGCCGGAUUGAAUUUUGCUUCUAGAAAUCUUUUAAAUUCGGCCGUGGGAGGCACUUUUAUGGAAAUAAUUUUAGGAGAAGCUACUAAACUCCUAGAUAAUAUUAUGGUUAAUUAUUCUCAAUGGCACACUGAAAGAUCUACUAGUAAAAAGGUGCAUGCAAUUGAAGAAAUUGAUGUUUUGAGUGGAAAGAUGGAUGAACUUAUGAAAUUAUUUGCUAAUAAGAGUGUUUCUUCUGAUCCCAAUGGUAUGCCUUUUUCUACUUUGAUUGAGAAUAAUAAUGAAUCUAUGGAUGUCAAUUUUGUUGGUAUGAACAAUUUUGGUAACAACGCUUAUAGAGGAAACUUUAAUCCUAGGCCGCAUCCUAGUAAUUCCUCUAAUAAUUAUGGUAAUUCCUACAACAACUCUAUGGAAAUUUUAAUAAGAUGCCCUCCUAUUUUGAGACUAGUGUUAAAGAAUUUAUGAUUUCUCAAAAGAAUUUCAAUGCCUUGCUUGAAGAAAAAUUGCCUAAGAUCGAUGAAUUGGCUAGGAACGUGGAUAGAAUUUCUCUUGAUGUUGAUUCUUUGAAACUUAGAUCUAUUCCACCUAAGCAUGAUAUCAAUGAGUCUCUCAAAGCCAUGAGAAUUUCCAUUGAUGAGUGGAAAGAAAGAACCGCUAGGAUGCGUGCUAAGAAAGAGUGCUUUGUAAAAGCGUCUUCUUCCAGUUUUCGUGAUAAUAAAGAUGAAGAUCUAAAAGUAAUUGAUGUGUCCCCUAUUAAAUCUCUGUUUUUCAAUAUGAAUCUUGGUAAUGAUGGGACUGGAUAUGAGUCAACUUUAGUUAAAAGGCGUCCCAAUGAUUCGGAGUUUUUAGAUCUUGAUGCAAAAUUUGGUAAAAAUGGGAUUGAAGAGGUCAAAACUUUACAUAGCAAUGAACCCACUAUAUUGGAUUUCAAGGAAUUUAAUUAUGAUAAUUGUUCUUUAAUAGAUUGUAUUUCCUUGUUGCAAUCCGUGCUAAAUUCUCCGCAUGCUUAUAGUCAAAACUUUACAUAGCAAUGAACCCACUAAACAUAGCGUUGAUGCUUUAAUGCAAUCUUAUGAAGAAAAACUUGAAUUGGAAGUUUCUAUCCCUAGAAAACUUUCUGAUGAGUUGGAACCUACUAUUAAAAUUAAAAUUAAAGAUCAUGAAUGCUAUGCUUUGUGUGAUUUGGGUGCUAGUGUUUCCACGAUUCCAAAAGCUUUGUGUGAUUUGUGGGGUUUCCGUGAAUUCGAUGAUUGUUCUUUAAACUUGCACCUUGCGGAUUCCAUCAUUAAGAAACCUAUGGGAAGAAUUAAUUAUGUUCUUAUUGUUGCAAAUAGGAAUUAUGUGCCCGUAGAUUUCAUUGUUCUCGACAUAGAUUGCAAUCCUACAUGUCCUAUUAUUCUUGGUAGACCUUUCUUUAGAACGAUUGGUGCAAUUAUUGAUAUGAAAGAAGGAAAUAUUAGAUUCCAAUUUCUGUUAAGGAAAGGCAUGGAACACUUUCCUAGGAAGAAAAUUAAAUUACCUUAUGAAUCUAUUAUGAGAGCCACUUAUGGAUUGCAUACCAAAGAUGAUAAUACCUAGAUCUAUUCUUGCCUUUAUGCCUAGCUAGGGGCGUUAAACGAUGGCGCUUGUUGGGAGGCAACCCAAUUUUAUUUCUUGAUUUUUGGUUCUGUUUAGGAAUAAAUAAUAUAUCUAGCUUCUGGUUAGAUGUAUUUUUGUGUUUUAUUUAGUGUUUGUGCCAAGUAGAACCUUUGGGAAGACUUGGGUGAAGUCUUUUUGAUCCUGCUGUAAAAAACAGAAACUUUAGCGCUCACGAGAUUAGCCACAAGUUUUUACUGGAGAGUGAUAUUUAGUUGAUUAUUUUUGAAGAUGAUUAAUAGAUAAAUUCCUCACGUCCAGAAAUUUAUUUUAGAAUUUUUGGAGUUCCAGAAGUUUGCGUUAGGUACAGAUUACUACAGACUGUUCUGUUUUUGACAGAUUCUGUUUUUCGUGUGUUGUUUGCUUAUUUUGAUGAAUCUAUGGCUAGUAAUGGAGUUUAUGAACCAUAGAGAAGUUGGAAUACAGUAGUUUUAACACCAAUAUAAAUAAAGAAUGAGUUCAUUACAGUACCUUGAAGUGGUGUUUUGUUUCUUUCGCUAACGGAGCUCACGAGAUUUUCUGUUAAGUUUUGUGUUGUGAAGUUUUCAAGUUUUGGGUAAAGAUUUGAUGGAUUAUGGAAAAAGGAGUGGCAAGAGCCUAAUCUUGGGGAUACCCAAGGCACCCCAAGGUAAAAUCUAAGGACAAUCCAAAAGCCUAAGCUUGGGGAUGCCCCGGAAGGCAUCCCCUCUUUUGUCGUCAUUCAUCGGUAACUUUACUUGGAGCUAUAUUUUUAUUCACCACAUGAUAUGUGUUUUGCAUGGAGCGUCUUGUAUGAUUUGAGUCUUUGCCUUUUUAGUUCACCACAAUCAUCCUUGCUGUACACACCUUUUGAGAGAGAUACACAUUAUUCGGGAUUUAUUAGAAUACUCUUUGUGCUUCACUUAUAUCUUUUGAGCUAAACAAUUUUGCUCUAGCAUUCACUUAUAUCUUUUAGAGCACGGUGGUGGUUAUAUUUUAUAGAAAUUAUUGAUCUCUCUUGCUUCACUUAUAUUAUUUUGAGAGUCCUUUAGAACAGCAUGGUAAUUUGCUUUGGUUAUCAAAUUAGUCCUAAUAUGAUAGGCAUCCAAGAUAAAAACUUUAAAGUGCAUUGAAUACUAAGGGAAGUUUGAUACUUGAUAGUUGUUUUGAGAUAUGGAGAUAGUGAUAUUGAAGUUGUGCUAGUUGAGUAGUUGUGAAUUUGAGAAAUACUUGUGUUGAAGUUUGCAAGUCCCGUAGCAUGCACGUAUGGUAAACGUUGUGUGACAAAUUUGAAACAUCAGGUGUACUUUGAUUGUCAUCCUUAUGAGUGGCGGUCGGGGACGAGCGACGGUCUUUUCCUACCAAUCUACCCCCCUAGGAGCAUGCGCUUAGUGCUUGGUUUUUUAUGACUUGUAGAUUUUUUCAAUAAGUAUAUGAGUUCUUUAUGACUAAUGUUGAGUCCAUGGAUUAUACACACUCUCAACCUUCCACCAUUGCUAGCCUCUUCGGUACCAUGCAUUGCCCUUUCUCACCUUGAGAGUUGGUGCAAACUUCGCCGGUGCAUCCAAACCCCGUGAUACGAUACGCUCUAUCACACAUAAACCUCCUUACAUCUUCCUCAAAACAGCCACCAUACCUACCUAUUAUGGCAUUUCCAUAGCCAUUCCGAGAUAUAUUGCCAUGCAACCUUCCACCGUUCCGUUUAUUAUGACACGCUUCAUCAUUGUCAUAUUGCCUUGCAUGAUCAUGUAGUUGACAUCGUAUUUGUGGCAAAGCCACCAUGCAUAUUAUGUCAUACAUGUCACUCUUGAUUCAUUGCCCAUCCCGGUACACCGCCAGAGGCAUUCAUAUAGAGUCAUACUUUUGUUCUAGUAUCGAGUUGUAAUCAUUGAGUUGUAAAUAAAUAGAGGUGUGAUGAUCAUUAUUAAUAGAGCAUUGUACCCCAAAAAGGAAAGGCCAAAUGAAAAAAAUAAGGCCCCGAAAAAAUAGAAAAUAUAAUAAAAAAGGGACAAUGCUACUAUCCUUUUUCCACACUUGUGCUUCAAAGUAGCACCAUGAUCUUUAUGAUAGAGAUUAUCUUGUUUUGUCACUUUAUUAUACUAGUGGGAAUUUUUCAUUAUAGAACUUGGCUUGUAUAUUCUAACGAUGGGCUUCCUCAAAUGCCCUAGGUCUUCAUGAGCAAGCAAGUUGGAUGCACACCCACUUAGCUUAUUUUGUUGAACUUUCAUACAUUUAUAGCUCUAGUGCAUCUGUUGCAUGGAAAUGCCUACUCCUUGCAUUGACAUCAAUUGAUGGGCAUCUCCCUAGCCCGUUGAUUAGCCGCGUCAAUGUGAUACUUUCUCUUUUUUUGUCUUCUCCACACAACCCCCAUCAUCAUUAUUCCAUUCCACCCAUAGUGCUAUAUCCAUAGCUCACGCUCAUGUAUUGCAUGAAAGUUGAAAAAAGUUUGAGAUUACUAAAGUAUGAAACAAUUGCUUGGCUUGUCAUCGGGGUUGUGCAAUAUGAGAGCAUCUUGUGUGACGAAAAUGAAGCAUGGCCCAACUAUAUGAUUUUGUAGGGAUGAGCUUUCUUUUCCUAUGUUAUUUUGAGAAGACAUAAUUGCUUGAUUAGUAAGCUUGAAGUAUUAUUAUUUUGAUGUUAAUAUUAAACUUUUAUCUAGAAUCUUUCGGAUCUGAACAUUCAUGCCACAAUAAAGAAAAUUACAUUGAAGAAUGUGCUAAGUAGCAUUCCACAUCAAAAAUUCUGUUUUUAUCAUUUACCUACUCGAGGACGAGCAGGAAUUAAGCUUGGGGAUGCUUGAUACGUCUCCAACGUAUCUAUAAUUUUUGAUUGCUCCAUGCUAUUAUAUAUUCUAUUUUGGAUGUUUAAUGAGCUUUAUUAUACACUUUCAUAUUAUUUUUGGGACUAACCUAUUAACCCAAGGCCCAGUGCAAAUUGCUGUUUUUUUGCCUAUUUCAGUGUUUCGCAGAAAAGGAAUAUCAAACGGAAUGAAACCUUCGGGAGCGUGAUUUUUGGAACAAACGUGAUCCAGAGGACUUGGAGUGGACGUAAAGCAAUCGACAAGGAGGCCACGAGGAAGGGGGCGCGCCUACCCCCCUGGGCGCGCCCUCCACCCUCGUGGGCCCCUCGUGGCUCCACCAACCUACUUCUUCCUCCUAUAUAUACCUACGUACCCCGAAACCAUCGAGGAGCACCACGAAAACCUAACUCCACCGCCGCAACCUUCUGUACCCAUGAGAUCCCAUCUUGGGGCCUUUUCCAGCGCUCCGCCGGAGGGGGCAUCGAUCAUGGAGGGCUUCUACAUCAACACCAUAGCCUCUCCGAUGAUGUGUGAGUAGUUUACCACAGACCUUCGGGUCCAUAGUUAUUAGCUAGAUGGCUUCUUCUCUCUCUUUGGAUCUCAAUACAAAGUUCUCCUCGAUCUUCUUGGAGAUCUAUUUGAUGUAACUCUUUUUGCCGUGUGUUUGUUGAGAUCCGAUGAAUUGUGGGUUUAUGAUCAAGAUUAUCUAUGAACAAUAUUUGAAUCUUCUCUGAAUUCUUUUAUGUAUGAUUGGUUAUCUUUGCAAGUCUCUUUGAAUUAUCAGUUUGGUUUGGCCUACUAGAUUGAUCUUUCUUGCCAUGGGAGAGGUGCUUAGCUUUGGGUUCAAUCAUGCGGUGCUCGAUCCCAGUGACAGUAGGGGAAACGACACGUAUUGUAUUGUUGCCAUCGAGGAUAAAAAGAUGGGGUUUAUAUCAUAUUGCUUGAGUUUAUCCCUCUACAUCAUGUCAUCUUCCCUAAUGCGUUACUCUGUUCUUAUGAACUUAAUACUCUAGAUGCAUGCUGGAUAGCGGUCGAUGUGUGGAGUAAUAGUAGUAGAUGCAGGCAGGAGUCGGUCUACUUGUCACGGACGUGAUGCCUAUAUACAUGAUCAUGCCUAGAUAUUCUCAUAAUUAUACACUUUUCUAUCAAUUGCUCGACAGUAAUUUGUUCACCCACCGUAAUACUUAUUCUAUCUUGAGAGAAGCCACUAGUGAAACCUAUGGCCCCCGGGUCUAUUUUCCAUCAUAUUAAUCUCCCGUCAACAAGCUAUUUCUGGCGCCGUUGCUUUUGCAAUCUUUACUUUUAAUCUUUAUCAUAAAAAUACCAAAAAUAUUAUCUUAUCAUCUCUAUCAGAUCUCACUUUUGCAAGUGGCCGUGAAGGGAUUGACAACCCUUUUAUCGCGUUGGUUGCAAGGUUCUUAUUUGUUUGUGUAGGUACGAGGGACUUGCGUGUGGCCUCCUACUGGAUUGAUACCUUGGUUCUCAAAAACUGAGGGAAAUACUUACGCUACUUUGCUACAUCACCCUUUCCUCUUCAAGGGAAAAACCAACGCAUGCUCAAGAGGUAGCAUAAAUCAGUAAGAGACAUCAUAGAUCGCACCAUAUCUAGUAAAGUACAAUUACGACGUUCGGACACACCAUUACGCUGUGGUGUUCCGGGUGGGGUGAGUUGCGAAACUAUUCCGAUUGUUUCAAAUAAAGACCAAACUCGCAACUCAAAUAUUCUCCUCCAUGAUCAGAUCGUAGAAACUUUAUUUUCUUGUUACGAUGAUUUUCCACUUCACUCUGAAAUUCUUUGAACUUUUCAAAUGUUUCAGACUUAUGUUUCAUCAAGUAGAUAUACCCAUAUCUGCUCAAAUCAUCUGUGAAGGUGAGAAAAUAAUGAUACCCGCCGCGAGCCUCAACAUUCAUUGGACCACAUACAUCAGUAUGUAUGAUUUCCAACAAAUAUGUUGCUCGCUCCAUUGUUCCGGAGAACGGCGUUUUAGUCAUCUUGCCCAUGAGGCAUGGUUCGCAAGUACCAAGUGAUUCAUAAUCUAGUGAUUCCAAAAGUCCAUCAGAAUGGAGUUUCUUCAUGCGCUUUACACCAAUAUGACCUAAAUGGCAGUGCCACAAAUAAGUUGCACUAUCAUUAUCAACUCUGCAUCUUUUGGCUUCAAUAUUAUGAAUAUGUGUAUCACUAUUAUCGAGAUUAAAAAAGAAUAGACCACUCUUCAAGGGUGCAUGACCAUAAAAGAUAUUACUCAUAUAAAUAGAACAACCAUUAUUCUCUGAUUUAAAUGAAUAACCGUCUCGCAUCAAACAAGAUCCAGAUAUAAUGUUCAUGCUGACACUAGCACCAAAUAAGAAUUAUUCAGGUCUAAAACUAAUCCCGAAGGUAGAUGUAGAGGUAGCGUGCCGACCGCGAUCACAUCGACUUUGGAACCAUUUCCCACGCGCAUCGUCACCUCGUCCUUAGCCAAUCUUCGCUUAACCCGUAGUCCCUGUUUCGAGUUGCAAAUAUUAGCAACAGAACCAGUAUCAAAUACCCAGGCACUACUACGAGAAUCAGUAAGGUACACAUCAAUAACAUGUAUAUCACAUAUACCUUUGUUCACCUUGCCAUCCUUCUUAUCCGCCAAAUACUUGGGGCAGUUCCGCUUCCAGCCAGUCCCUUUGCAGUAGAAGCACUCAGUCUCAGGCUUAGGUCCAGACUUGGGCUUCUUCACUUGAGCAGCAACUUGCUUGCCGUUCUUCUUGAAGUUCCCCUUCUUCCCUUUACCCUUUUUCUUGAAACUGGUGGUCUUGUUGACCAUCAACACUUGAUGCUCCUUCUUGAUUUCUACCUCCGCAGCCUUUAGCAUUGCGAAGAGCUCGGGAAUUGUCUUAUCCAUCCCUUGCAUAUUAUAGUUCAUCACGAAGCUCUUGUAGCUUGGUGGUAGUGAUUGAAGAAUUCUGUCAAUGACACUAUCAUCCGGAAGAUUAACUCCCGGUUGAAUCAAGUGAUUGUUACACCCAGACAUUUUGAGUAUAUGCUCACUGACAGAACUAUUCUCCUCCAUCUUGCAGUUGUAGAACUUAUUGGAGACUUCAUAUCUCUCAAUCCGGGCAUUUGCUUGAAAUAUUAACUUCAACUCCUGGAACAUCUCAUAUGCUCCAUGACGUUCAAAACGUCGUUGAAGUCCCGGUUCUAAGCCGUAAAGCAUGGCACACUGAACUAUCGAGUAGUCAUCAGCUUUGCUCUGCCAGAUGUUCAUAACAUCUGGCGUUGCUCCUGCAGUGGGUUUGGCACCUAGCGGUGAUUCCAGGACGUAAUUCUUCUGUGCAGCAAUGAGGAUAAUCCUCAAGUUAUGGACCCAGUCCGUGUAAUUGCUACCAUCAUCUUUCAACUUUGCUUUCUCAAGGAACGCAUUAAAAUUCAACGGAACUAUAGCACGGGCCAUCUAUCUACAACAACAUAGACAUGCAAAAUACUAUCAGGUACUAAGUUCAUGAUAAAUUAAAGUUCAAUUUAUCAAAUUACUUAAGAACUCCCACUUAGAUAGACAUCCCUCUAAUCAUCUAAGUGAUCACGUGAUCCAUAUCAACUAAACCAUGUCCGAUCAUCACGUGAGAUGGAGUAGUUUUCAAUGGUGAACAUCACUAUGUUGAUCAUAUCUACUAUAUGAUUCACGCUCGACCUUUCGGUCUCAGUGUUCCGAGGCCAUAUCUGCAUAUGCUAGGCUCGUCAAGUUUAACCCGAGUAUUCUGCGUGUGCAAAACUGGCUUGCACCCAUUGUAUGUGAACGUAGAGCUUAUCACACCCGAUCAUCACGUGGUGUCUCAGCACGACGAACUUUCGCAAUGGUGCAUACUCAGGGAGAACACUUAUACCUUGAAAUUUAGUGAGAUAUCAUCUUAUAAUGCUACCGUUGAUCUAAGCAAAAUAAGAUGCAUAAAAGAUAAACAUCACAUGCAAUCAAUAUAAGUGAUAUGAUAUGGCCAUCAUCAUCUUGUGCCUUUGAUCUCCAUCUCCAAAGCACCGUCAUGAUCACCAUCGUCACCGGCGCGACACCUUGAUCUCCAUCGUAGCAUCGUUGUUGUCUCGCCAACUAUUGCUUCUACGACUAUCGCUACCGCUUAGUGAUAAAGUAAAGCAAUUACAUGGCUAUUGCAUUUCAUACAAUAUUUCAUACAAUAAAGCAACAACCAUAUGGCUCCUGCCAGUUGCCGAUAACUCGGUUACAAAACAUGAUCAUCUCAUACAAUAAAAUUUAGCAUCAUGUCUUGACCAUAUCGAAUCACAACAUGCCCUACAAAAACAAGUUAGACGUCCUCUACUUUGUUGUUGCAAGUUUUACGUGGCAUCUACGGGUUGAGCAAGAACCGUUCUUACCUACGCAUCAAAACCACAACGAUAUUUCGUCAAGUAUGUGAUGUUUUAACCUUCACAAGGACCGGGCGUAGCCACACUCGAUUCAACUAAAGUUGGAGAAAAUGUCACCCGCGAGCCACCUGUGUGCGAAGCACGUCGGUAGAACCAGUCUCGCGUAAGCGUGCGCGUAAUGUCGGUCCGGGCCGCUUCAUCCAACAAUACCGCUGAAUCAAAGUGUGACAUGCCGGUAAGCAGUAUGACUUGUAUCGCCCACAACUCACUUCUGUUCUACUCGUGCAUAUAACAUCUACGCAUAAACCUAGCUCGGAUGCCACUGUUGGGGAACGUAGUAAUUUCAAAAAAAAUCCUACGCACACGCAAGAUCAUGGUGAUGCAUAGCAACGAGAGGGGAGAGUGUCGUCCACGUACCCUCGUAGACCGACAGCGGAAGCGUUAUCACAACGCGGUUGAUGUAGUCGAACGUCUUCACGAUCCGACCGAUCAAGUACCGAACGCACGGCACCUCCGAGUUCAGCACACGUUCAGCUCGGUGACGUCCCACGAACUCACGAUCCAGCAGAUCUUCGAGGGAGAGUUCCGUCAGCACGACCGCAUGAUGACGGUGAUGAUGAUGCUACCGAUGCAGGGCUUCGCCUAAGCACCGCUACGAUAUGACCGAGGUGGAUUAUGGUGGAGGGGGCCACCGCACAUGGCUAAAAGAUCAACUGAUCAACUUGUGUGCCUAUGGGGUGCCCCCUCCCCUGUAUAUAAAGGAGUGGAGGAGGGGAAGGGGCCGGCCCUCCUAGGCGCGCCCCAAGGGGAGUCCUACUCCCACCGGGAGUAGGACUCCAACCGUUCCAAGAGUAGGAGUAGGAGAGAGGGAAGGAGGAGAGAGGGGGAGGAAAGGGGGCGCCCCCCUCCUUGUCCAAUUCGGACUAGAGGGGGGGUGCGCGGCCUGCCCUGGCCGCCCCUCCUCUUCACUCCCCGGGGAGUUCUGGUAACCCCCCGGUACUCCGGUAUUUGUCCGAACUUGCCCGGAACCCUUCCGAAGUCCAAACAUAGUCAUCCAAUAUAUCGAUCUUUAUGUCUCGACCAUUUAGAGACUCCUCGUCAUGUCCGUGAUCAUAUCUGGGACUCCAAACUACCUUCGGUACAUCAAAACACAUAAACUCAUAUUACCGAUCAUCACCGAAAGUUAAGCAUGCGGACCCUACGGGUUCGAGAACUAUGUAGACAUGACCGAGACUUGUCUUCGGUCAAUAACCAAUAGCGGAACCUGGAUGCUCAUAUUGGCUCCUACAUGUUCUACGAAGAUCUUCAUCGGUCAAACCGCAUAACAUACGUUGUUCAUCGGUAUCUCAAUACUUAGUUCAAUCUCAUUACCGGCAAGUCUCUUUACUCGUUCCGUAAUACAUCAUCCCGCAACUAACUCAUCAGUUGCGUUGCUUGCAAGGCUUAUAGUGAUGUGCAUUACCGAGAGGGCCCAGAGAUACCUCUCUGACAAUCGGAGUGACAAAUCCUAAUCUCGAUCUAUGCCAACUCAACAAGUACCAUCGGAGACACUUGUAGAGCACCUUUAUAAUCACCCAGUUAUGUUGUGACGUUUGGUAGCACACAAAGUGUUCCUCUGGUAUUCGGGAGUUGCAUAAUCUCAUAGUCAUAGGAACAUGUAUAAGUCAUGAAGAAAGCAAUACCAAUAUACUAAACGAUCAAAUGCUAAGCUAACGGAAUGGGUCAAGUCAAUCACAUCAUUCUCUAAUGAUGUGAUCCCGUUAAUCAAAUGACAACUCAUGUCUAUGGCUAGGAGACUUAACCAUCUUUGAUUCAACGAGCUAGUCAAGUAGAGGCAUACUAGUGACACUUAGUUUGUCUGUAUAUUCACACACGUACUAAGUUUCCGGUUAAUACAAUUCUAGCAUGAAUAAUAAACAUUUAUCAUGAUAUAAGGAAAUAUAAAUAACAACUUUAUUAUUGCCUCUAGGGCAUAUUUCCUUCACGCACUCCCGACGCCCUCGUCGAAAGCCUGUGUACUACUCCGCCGCUUCGCAUCAACCAUGGUUGCCUGCCCCGCUGGAAUCCGCACCGGCACUUGGUCCCCCGAGGCACUCGGUCUCACCGGCCAUGUCGCGGAUCUCCCUGAACGGGUGUCAUGCCUAUCCUUGAAGCACAUUCUAAUGCUCAUUUUACUAGUAAAUUCGGAAACCGUAAAAGGAACUUCCGAAAAUUCAAGGGAAAAUUGAAAAAGAACAAUGGUCAGAAGACCAACGGUCAAAUUAAGGGGAAGGUCAUUUCAAGAAAAAUGAUCAUAUGACUUCUCUCAAACUUGUCAAAGGUGUGGAUGCAUGAAUCAUUGUACUAAUCAAUGUCGAAUUCCCAAGCACCUUGUGGAUCUGUACAUGAAGUACGGUGGAAAAGGCAAACAAGUUCAUGGAAAUAAAGCUGAAGCUCACUUCAACGCCAUUCAAGUGUAACACCCCGAGAAUCAUGCUACAGUAACUCUCUGUGAUUAAGCUAAUCAUGUCGCUAAACAGGGCUUGAUCACAUUGGAAUCACAUUUCUUUUCAAACUCCUAAUCCAAACUUCAAUUAAAUUUAAAAGUGGAAAAUAAAAGUUUUCAAAAAUUUAAACAAAAAUGUUCGGGCCAUGUCAAUUAUUGCAUCGGUAAUUAUGGUGAAGUAAUCACAUUUUUAUAAAAUGCCUAAAUGCUUUUAAAUGAAUUAAAAUAGAAAAGAAAAUAAAUAAAUAAAGAGAAAACAGAACAAAAAGAAAAAGAAAACAAACAAGAAAAAGGAACCCCCCCUUCCCCCACUGGACCCUGGCCCAACUGGGCCGACCCCAGGCCCAGCCGGCCUAGCCCACCUCCCCGGGUCGCCCUCCCCUUCCCUGUUCCCCUGACCGGGGUCGGAACAGGGGCAGGUCCCUGCCGCACCACCUCGCCCGCGACGGGGGAGGAUAAGGCCGCCCCGACGCCUCGGCCUCCGCCCAUCCCUCCCACUUGCCCCUCUCGCUCGCCUCUGCGCCCCCCUCCCCCAGAUCCACCUCUCCCCUCACCCUCUCCUUCGUUCUGGAGAGGAGACCGACGCGGUCGCCGCCGUUCUCCAUCAUUCACGCGGCCACCGAGCCCCGUUCCCCUCCCCGACGUGUCCACGAGCUCCGCCGCGUCGAGCCCGUCCUCCCCGACCACCUGCUCGAGCCGGGACCCCUACAUCACCCUCCAACGCCGUCGCCUUCUUCCUCGGGUCGCCGCCGUCUUCUUCGACUCCGGCGACUGCUGCUGCUAUUAAGCCACCCACGGGCCUUUCUUGCGCCGCGCGGUGAGCCCCUCAUCCUCUCCCCUCGCUCUCCUGGCCUCUUGAGCUCUUGUAGCCGCUGCUCUGCUUGCGCCCGAACGCGUCGCCGCGGAGCUCGCCGCCGGCAAGGCUCCGGUGACCUUUUGGUCACGGGCUCAAGCCCGUUGCACUCCCCACGGCGCGUAGAUGCUCCCCAGCCCCUCCGCUUGCUCGAUAGCACGCCAUAGCCCCGUUUCCGUCGGGCACCCGUGCACGCCGCCGCCUCCGCCGCUCGCCGGCGCCGAUUCCGGCCAAGUCCGGCGAAGCUACGGCCACCACCGGAUGCGGCGCUGCGAGCUCCUUCGAAUGAGCCUAGCCCCGCUCCUCCCCGAGCCCCGUAGCGCGAUUCCGGCCAACUCCGGCGAGGGGCCGCCUCUGUUUUGGUCGCCGAAGUCGCUCCGGCGCCGGCCGCCGACGUGGCUGGCCUGGGGCCACCCUAGAGCCACUGGCAGUGGGCCCCGUGGGUCCCAGUUGACUGGGCAGGCCCCAGUCAACUGCUGACUGGGCAGGCCUCACCACUUAAUCCGAUAAUUAAAACGUUUUAAUAAUUAAAACUAAUUAGUUUAGGUAAUUAGACUAUGACAGGUGGGGUCCAGUAGUUAAUUAAUCUAAUUUUAGUUAAUUUAAUCUUCUGAUUAGACCACUGUCUAUGACAGGUAGGACCCACCUGUCUGGUUUGACUGGUCAGCCGACCUGUUGACCUGCUGACGUCAGCAUUACCUCAUGCCGACGUCAUAAUUCAUUUUUGCUAAAUUCAAAUAAUUCCAGAAAUUCAAAUAAUCUUCAAAAAUUCAUACCUUUUAAACCGUAACUCGGAUGAAAAUGUUUUCUACAUGAAAGUUGCUCAGAACGACGAGACGAAUCUGGAUAUGCAGUCUGUUCGUCCACCACACCUCCCUAACCUAUCGAACCCGCAACUUUCCCCCUCCGGUCCAUCUGUUCGAAAACGCAAAACAUCGGGAAUACUUUCCCGGACGUCCCCCCCUUCGCCGGUACCACCUACUGUCGCGUUAGGACACACCUCGCACUGCUCAUUGUCAUGUCACGCAUCGUCUUGCUUAUGUUUGCAUGGUAUUUACUGUUUCUCCCCCCUCUUCUCUCCGGUAGACUACGAGACUGACGCUGCUGCUGCCCAGUUCGACUACGGAGUCGACGACCCCUCCUACUUGCCAGAGCAACCAGGCAAGCCCCCCCCUUGAUCACCAGAUAUCGCCUAUUCUUCUCUAUACUGCUUGCAUUAGAGUAGUGUAGCAUGUUACUGCUUUUCGAUAUCCUAUCCUGAUGCAUAGCCUAUCCUUGCUACUACUGUUGAUACCUUUACCUGCAAUCCUACAUGCUUAGUAUAGGAUGCUAGUUUUCCAUCAGUGGCCCUACAUUCUUGUCCGUCUGCUGUGCUAUACUAUCGGGCCGUGAUCACCUGGGCGGUGAUCACGGGUAUAUACUAUAUACAUUAUAUACAUGACACAUGUGAUGACUAAAGUCGGGUCGGCUCGUAGGAGUACCCGCGAGUGGAUCUUGGUGACGAAGCGACAGGGCAGGUUGAGACCGCCUAGGUGAGAGGUGGGCCUGGCCCUGGUCGGCGUUCGCGGUUACUUAACACGCUUAACGAGAUCUUGGUAUUUGAUCUGAGUCUGGCCAUUUGGUCUAUACGCACUAACCAUCUACGUGGGAGUAGUUAUGGGUAUCCCGACGUCGUGGUAUCAGCCGAAGCUCUUUUGACGUCAGCGACUGAGUGGCGCGCGCCGCAUUGGACCGUAAGCUCGCGCUUGUAUUAAGGGGGCUAGGUCUGCUUCCGGCCGCGUACGCAACGUGCAGGUGUGCAUAGGGCGAUGGGCCCAGACCCCUGCGUGCAUAGGUUUAGACCGGCGUGCUGACCUCUCUGUUGAGCCUAGGUGGGGCUGCGACGUGUUGAUCUUACGAGGCCGGGCAUGACCCAGAAAAGUGUGUCCGGCCAAAUGGGAUCGAGCGUGUUGGGUUAUGUGGUGCACCCCUGCAGGGAAGUUUAUCUAUUCGAAUAGCCGUGUCCCUCGGUAAAAGGACGACCCGGAGUUGUACCUUGACCUUAUGACAACUAGAACUGGAUACUGAAUAAAAUACACCCUUCCAAGUGCCAGAUACAACCCGGUGAUCGCUCUCUAACAGGGCGACGAGGAGGGGAUCGCCGGGUAGGAUUAUGCUAUGCGAUGCUACUUGGAGGACUUCAAUCUACUCUCUUCUACAUGCUGCAAGAUGGAGAUGACCAGAAGCGUAGUCUUCGACAGGACUAGCUAUCCCCCUCUUAUUCUGGCUUUCUGCAGUUCAGUCCACUGAUAUGCCCCUUUACACAUAUACCCAUGCAUAUGUAGUGUAGCUCCUUGCUUGCGAGUACUUUGGAUGAGUACUCACGGUUGCUUCUCUCCCUCUUUUCCCCCCUUUCCUUCCUAUCUGGUUGUCGCAACCAGAUGUUGGAGUCCAGGAGCCAGACGCCACCGUCGUCGACGACACCUACGACACUGGAGGUGCCUACUACUACGUGCAGGCCGCUGACGACGACCAGGAGUAGUUAGGAGGAUCCCAGGCAGGAGGCAUGUGCCUCGUUCGAUCUGUAUCCCAGUUUGUGCUAGCCUUCUUAAGGCAAACUUGUUUAACCUAUGUCUGUACUCAGAUAUUGUUGCUUCCGCUGACUCGUCUGUGAUCAAGCACUUGUAUUCGAGCCCUCGAGGCCCCUGGCUUGUAUUAUGAUGCUUGUAUGACUUAUUUAUGUUGUAGAGUUGUGUUGUGAUAUCUUCCCGUGAGUCCCUGAUCGUGAUCGUACACAUUUGCGUGCAUGAUUAGUGUACGGUCAAAUCGGGGGCGUCACAUCAAGAUAACCCUCAAGUUGGUCCUUCUCAAAGCACUAUUCAAGUAUACAAGCCAAAGGACAAUAUCAUCGUCGAUGAAGACAUGCUUGUGGAUUACACCCAAGAUGUUUUUGGAGACCUCAGUUAAUCUCCAUAAAAGUUGAUGUCACUUAGCUAUUUAAAAACUACAAGAUGUUAUAUAUUGUAUAACAAUAAGUAGAAUAAAGUCUUUCAGACUAUGUAUAUUGUAUUAUGUGAAUCAAACAUAAUAUUGUAAUGAAUUUAUAUUUAAUAUUGUAAUAUAAAUAUUGUGUAUGUAAUCUGAUGAAUAUAUGAAUAGAAGUAUAUUUAUUCUAAAAUAUUCUCUUUCUAUCUAUAGAACUUUUACGGGAACAAUCCGAUGGAAGAAGAGUUAUGUUUAGUGGAUAGUGCUACCACUAACACAAUUUUAAGGGAAGCAAAAUAUUUCCAAACUCUUACUGGAAUAGGUAUGAUGAGAAAAAUUAUAAGUAAUUCUGUUGGUUAUAAUUUACCAAUUAAAAGAUUUCCCAAAUCAUCAGAUUUUGUAUGCACCGCCUGUGCUACCGGAAAAUUAAUUAUUAAGCCAUCUUACCUUAAAGUUAAAAAUGAGUCACUUAAUUUUCUUGAAAGAAUUCAAGGAGAUAUAUGUGGUCCAAUACAACCUCUAUCUGGACCAUUUAGGUUACUUCAUGGUGCUAAUCGAUGCAUCUACUAGAUGGUCACAUGUGUGUCUAUUAUCCACACGUAACCAUGCUUUUGCCAAAUUAAUUGCUCAAAUUAUCAAAUUGAGAGCGAAUCAUCCUGAACACAGGAUAAAAACAAUAAGAAUGGACAAUGCUGCUGAAUUUAGUUCACGCGCGUUUAAUGAUUAUUGUAUGGCUUUAGGAAUCCAUCUAGAACAUUGAGUACCCUAUGUUCAUACUCAAAAUGGAAUGGCUGAAUCUUUAAUCAAAAGAGUAAAAUUAAUUGCUAGACCAUUCUUACAUAAUUGCAAUUUACCAACCUCUUGUUGGGGAUUUUACAUGCCGCGGAUCUGAUACAAGUCAGACCAACUGCAUAUCAUGAAACCUCCCCAUUUCAAAUAGUACGUGGCAAUCACCCAAGUAUUUCCAAACUGCGAAAAUUCGGUUGCGAUGUAUAUUUACCGAUAUCACCACCGUAGCGUACCUCUAUGGGCCCCCAUAGAAAAUUAGGAAUCUAUGUGGGAUAUAUUUCUCCGUCAAUUAUAAAAUAUUUAGAACCCCUAACAGGGGACCUGUUCACAACCCGGUAUGCUGAUUUAAUUUUUGAUGAGGAUCAUUUCCCGACAUUAGGGGGAGAAACAAACCACAAAGAAUGUCAGGAAAUAGAUUGGAAUGUUACAGGCAUUCAGUCCUUAGAUCCACGUACUAACGAAUCUGAAUCUGAAGUUCAGAAAAUUAUAGAUUUGCAACACUUUGCAAAUAACCUACCAGACGCAUUUACUGAUCACAAAGGUGUCACUAAAUCUUGGGGAUUUUGAUUUGUUGCCACGACUUAUUUGGGACAUUGACAAUUUGCCAUUGUCUACUUUGCAAUUGAUAUUUUACCACUUCUUAGUUGGAACUUUGAGGAUUUGCCCUUGCCCACGUGCAAUACCGAAUUUGCCCAUGUUCUCAAUUGGCCGAGCAUGCAGAGAGCUCUUCCUGUUCGUUCAUUCCUGUCAGAGCUGCUAUACUGAUUAUUUCAUGAGAGUAUGGCGAGCAUGCAAGCAGCUGGUCGAUUCUUCUAUGAUAGCAAACGAGGUUUUUUUCUAUGCUAAUACACAUCACUGAUUGCUCCUGCUCCAAGAGCCAGGAUUAUGCAUCACAUCAGCUGCCAUUCGUUCAGAGCACAAGAGUCUACGCGGCUGGCCAGAACGGAGGCACAAGACGUGAGCAGCACCAACGGCACUAUGUGUGACGGCGACGACCAGAAGCAACUGUUGUAGCACUAGUAUGCGGGCGAGGAAGAGCAGGAUGGGGCAGGCGGGUGUCCCUGGCGAACUGAGUAGCAGGGAGCGGCGGAUGGAAGUGGCUGAACGGCUCGGCGGUAGCCUAAAGCACUCUCCGGUGCUCCCUAGCCGUUGCGGUGCACUCGCCGGCGCCGUUCCCGCUCCCUAGCCGCUGCGGUGCGCUCGGCACCGCACAGGUCCUCUCUGCAGGGGCCGCCCGGGAGCAACAAAGGCGACAACGGCGGGGCAGUAUCAGUAUGGGCGGCGGCGGCUGAGUUACGAGUUAGGGUUCAUCCUAAUUUGGGAGGAGGCUGUGCAGUCAAACAGGUAAAAGGGUAGUUUUGUCCUCUGUUUUGUGCACUUAUUCUGUCUCUCAUUUACAUAGAUUGUUUUUGUGUUGAAAAGUGGCAAAAAAUCAAAACGCAAACUAAGAAGUGUCACCAGAUCAAUUUCAGUGUAAUGAGUGGCAAAAUGUCAAAGUCCAAAGUAACUAAUGGCAAAUAAUCAAAUCGCCCCUAAAUCUCAUAUCUAUGCAGUUAAUGCACCAGAACGAGUAGAGGUACCAAAUAAAACUACUCAACCCCCAAUUGCAAAUAAAAGGGGGAGAAAUCUGGUCAGUGGGGAAAAGGCUUCUCUAAAGCCUCCGCGGAAACAAAGAAAAUUAAAAUCUAUGACGGUAAAUGCAAAUCAACCUCAAGUUGAUGGACACCAAAUAGAUGUUCAACAUCAAGAACCCAACAUAAAUGUGCACACAAAUUAUAAUGUUGGGAUAUCGAAACAAUCAGGCUAUGUUGUUAUGGGAAAUCACACAGUGCCUGAAGAAAUUAAUGAAAUAUCCAUAAAUUAUAUUAAUUCAAGAGAAACUUAUAAUAGAAACACUACAUUUGUCGACACGGAUUUCUCCUCGAAAAUUGUUGGAACCCUUCAACUGGAUCCAGAGCCAAAAUCUAUGAAAGAGUUCCUCAAACGCUCCGAUUGGCCUAAAUGGAAAGAGGCAAUUAAGGCAGAAUUAUGAUCGCUUAGUAAAAAAAGAGGUAUUUUCUAAAAUAAUACUACUCCUCAUAAAGUCCUCCCUUUGGGAGUAAAAUGGGUUUUUGUUCAAAAAAGGAACGAAAACAAUGAGGUGGGGAGAUACAAAGCGAGACUAGUAGCUCAAGGGUUUACGCAGAGACCCGGUAUCAACUACGACGAUACAUAUUCUCCUGUAAUGAAUGAAAAUACAUUUCGAUACUUAAUAUCUUUGGCAGUACAAAUGAAUCUAUCAAUGCAGUUAAUGGAUGUAGUGACCGCUUAUCUAUAUGGGUCACUUGAUGCGGAAAUUUAUAUGAAAGUUCCUGAUGGACUUAAAAUUCCGAAUCCAAAUAUAAAUCGCAACAUGUAUUGUGUAAAACUACAAACGUCACUCUAUGGCUUGAAGCAGUCGGGUAAAUUGUGGUAUAACUGACUAAGUGAGUUCCUUCUCAGUAAAGGAUACUCGAAUGACAAUGAUUGCCCAUGCGUAUUUAUAUGUUGAUGAUCUCAACAUCAUUGGCAACGCAUCAGAUAUAACUGUAGCACACAAUCAUUUAAUGAUGGAGUUUGCGAUGAAAGAUUUGGGAAGAACCAAAUUCUGCUUACGUAUACAACUUGAGCAUUUUCCCCUAGGAAUACUCGUUUAUCAACCCACUUACAUUCAGAUAAUUUUGGAAAAAAUCAACAUGGAUAAACCAUAUCCAUCCAAAACACUAUGGUCGUCUGAUCCCUUGAUAUGAAGAAGGAUCCUUUUAGACCUAGGGAUGAUAAUGAGGAGGUAUUGGGACCUGAGUUCCCAUACCUUAGUGCCAUAGGAGAACUAAUGUACCUUGCAAAUUGUACUAGACCAGACAUUGCCUUUGCAGUAAAUUUACUGGCUCGACAUAGUGCAGCUCCAACAAAACGCCAUUGGACGAGGGUAAAGAAUAUCUUCAAAUAUUUACAAGGUACUAAAGAUUUUGGUUUAUUCUAUCAAAAAAAUCAAGACAUCACCCUGAUUGGUUAUAGUGAUGCUGGAUAUCUUGCUGAUCCCCAUAAUGCCAGGUCACAAACCUUGUAUUUUGACAUGGUGGAACUGCUAUUUCAUGGAACUCAACUAAACAGACAUUAGUAGCAACUUCCACUAAUCACUCUGAAAUAAGAAUUUGUAUAGCUUCACAGAGUGAUAAAUCAUAUUCAGACAUCAUGCGAUAUUGGUUCAUUAGAAUCACCAACCAUUAUCUAUGAAGAUAAUGUUGCAUGUGUUGCUCAAAUGCAUGUGGGAUAUAUUAAAAGUAAUAUCAAAAAACAUAUCUCUCCAAAACUAUUUUUUCCUCAUAAAUUACAGAAAGAUGGAGAGAUUAAUAUUUUGCAAACAAAAUCUUGUGACAAUCUUGCGGAUUUGUUCACUAAGUCUUUACCAGGAAAAACAUUUCCAAAAUGCAUUCAUGGUAUUCGUAUGAGACGACUACGAAAUUUGCAAUGUUCAGGGGGAGAAAUUUCCUAGAACUAAACUUAUGAGUUUUCCAACGGAUUUCUCAUGUGGUUUUAAAUAAGUGAUUAAAUAUACUAAUGAUAUAUCAAAUUUCUAUAGUUCCUCUUAUAUUUUCCUACAUAAAUAGUACAAGAUUAAAGCUUCUGAAAGUUACAAAAUCAAGGACUAUCAAGAAGACGCAAGACUUUUGACACUCAAGAUAUAUGUAGAUUCUCAAGACAAUGAAGAUUAACAAACAUCCUGUCCAAGGGGGAGUGUUAGGAAUCUAAUAGUAUUAGUAUUAGGCUAAUUAGGCGAUUAGUAGAUUCCUCAGAAUAUCCUAACUGGUUGUUGGAAUCCUAGCGUUGUCCAGACGCAGUACCUAGCGAACAGUCAUCGUGUCUUUCCAAACCGUUGUCGUGUCUUUCCGAAUCGACGCGAACACUCUAACCGACUUGUACUUGCAACUGUUCAGGAUAUAUAAAACCUGCAGUCAUUAUCAAUGAAAGCACUCAUUCACUUAAUCUUUCUUUUCUUCUCAUGUUUCACAUAUAAUUAUGGCCAUCUCUAGCCCAUCCCGCAAAAUCAUUUUACGGUUCCCGUGAAAACAGUUUUGUCACUAUGAUCUGUUCGACGUAACACAAUUUUGCGAUACGAGUUUACGAUUUUGUUUCGUCAGAACCCUCCCAAUAUAGCAAACCGAUUUUCGUGUGCGGGAGCCGGCCACCCUAUUUUUUUAGAAAACAUCUAAUAUGUUCAUAUUCAAUCAUGGUAGUAAAAUGAACACCAUAAAGAAAUAAAAUUACAUCCAUAUUCAUAGACCACCUAGCGGUGACUACAUGCACUUAAGCGAGCCAAAGGCGCGUCGCCGUCAUUGCCCCUCCUCACUGAAGCUGGGCAAAACUUGUUGUAGUAGACAGUCAGGAAGUCGUCGUGCUAAGGCCCGAUAUGACCAACGCACCAGCAUAGAAAUCGCCGUCGAUAAUUAAAGAGUAGCGUAGAUCAAAAGGAUCCAAUCUGCAUACACACAAACGUAGGUGAACGACGAACAGAUCCAAGCAAAUCCACCAAAGACAGAUUGGCCAGAGACACACUUCCACACUGUCGGAUUUCGGGUUGCGGCAAAACCCUUGAGGUUCGAACACAGGGGUGCGCACGAAGAUCUCUCCCUCCCCUAGCUCGCUCUCGCCACGAUCGCCAGGCCUAGCGCGUCGAACCCAAAGAACAAAGGGACACAAGAUUUAUACUGGUUCGGGCCACCGAUGUGGUGUAAUACCCUACUCCAGUGUGGUGUGGUGGAUUGCCUCUUGGGCUGAGGAUGAACAGUUACAAGGGAAGAACAACCUCCUAAGGAGAGGUGCUCUUGUGCUUGGUGAGCUGGUGUGGUGUCUCUCCAGCUGAUCUCGAUCCGUCCCCCGUCUAUGGUAGUGGCUAGUCCUACUUAUAGAGGCCCUGGUCCUCUUCCCAAAUAUUGAGCGGGAAGGGAUCCCACAACGGCCAAAUUCGAAGGGAGACAACUAGUACAAGUUAUCCUAAUUAAGGUGGUCUUUGCCUGCCAAAGGCUCUGGUGGUGACGCCGUCUUGGGCUCCAUGGUGACCUCUGUCCUGCCGUCCUGCUGGUCUUGGUCUCGUUGCACCGAUAUGGAAACCUUUGCCUGAUGCCUCGGGACUCCUCGCCUGCGCUUGCCUCUUUAGCACCAAAGAGGAAACGAGGACACUGCGCGCGCUGGCGCCCGCCUGUCCUUGGUCAUCAUGGCUUAUGUCAUGGGAACCUUGCGAGGUGCCCAUUGCCAUGAUCUCUCCGCCCCUUGCGAGCCAGCCUGGUGAGGCCGCGCCCAAGGAGGUCUUGCGUCGUCCGCCUCGCGAGGGUCUUGAGUGUUUGCUGGUGAAGAUGGGCCGUACGGGGCCACUGGUGGAGCCACGCCCUGGGCCGCAGGCAGGCAAGUCUGGGGACCCCUGUUCCCAGAACAUCGACAGUAGCCCCCGGGCCGAAGGUGUGCUCGGACUUGGCUUCGAGGCGAAGCCAAAGGGCAAGUGCGGAGCGCCGCGGACCCCCACAGCCUGCGGCCUUGGUCGACGCGUGGCGAUUGAUUGGACGUGGGCGUCUCCGCUUCCCCACGCAGCCUUGAUAUCCGCCUAGCUAGGCGGCCACCGUGGUUUACAUAGUUAUCCCCCAUUGCUUGGCGACGCGCCCCUCCUAGUCUCCUGCCUUUCCGAAUCAGCAACCUCCUCUUCCAAUCUGCCCCAAGCUUGGCCCUCCUUGUCGCCAUGGCACCCCGGCGAACGGAGAAGGGAAAGAAGAAGUCUGAGUCUUCAUCCGGGCCACCCCUGGCCAUUGAACCCGCCGUGGGCCGGUCAUUGGUGCUCAACCAGGAGGCCAUGGACAAGGUACGCCCCGCGCUCGCCGCUGACUCCAACAAAUGGGGGAGGACGGCGGCCUGGCCUGCAUCCUGCGCCUCCAUCGAUAGGACAACCACUGAGGUCCAAUUCUUCGUCGACGCCUUGUGGGCUGGUCUGAUUCCUCCCUUCUCCGCCUUCUUCAACGCCGUGCUCUCCCACUAUCAGAUCCAUAUAUUGCACCUGGGUCCCCAAUCGGUCGCCCUUCUUGUUGUCUUCGCCUUCGUCUGCGAGGCUAUGGUGGGCAUUGCUCCUUCCGUGGCCCUACUACGCCAUUUCCUCUCGCUGCACCUGACUGAUCCUCGGCAAAGCUCGGGAUGCCUGAGCUUCCAGGCCGUGUCUGCGACGGCCGGCUCGGGAAUUGACUUUGAGCUCCCACCAUCCGCGAGCGGGUUCUGGACACGUUGGGUGUAUGUGGAUGUUGGCGUGCUCAGCCCCCUGCUCUCGCCGCCGUCGGCGCCUGCCUUUCCCAGCUCCGGCUGGGGCAACGAGAAGCUCACGGACUCCCGCCUUGUCUUCGUCUGGCUCCGGUUGAAGAGGCUGAAGGGUCUCGGUGUGACUGCGCCCAUGGUGGUGAAGGAGUUCCUUCGACGCCGCGUCGCCCCACUCCAGCGCCAUUCUCGGCCGAUGUGGGCCUGUCCGGCGGCCAGGAUCGCAUGAGGCUUCAGGAGUCACUACAAAAAAAAGACACAUCCGUGACAUUUUGGGCCGAACAAUUUUUUUUCUGUCAUACAUAUGACACUUCUAUGACGAUAAUUGUGACAAAACCCGGUAUCAUCAUAGAUGUGGUGGGCUCCUACUUCUAUGACAAAAAAUCAUGACAGAAAAUGGGCUUUUCCUCCUGGGCGGGCCGGAGACGCAGCUGCAUGACAUUCUUUGGGCCGUCCAUGAUGGAAAAAACCAUGGUAGAAGCGAGGUCGAGGAAAAUUUCGGCGAGUUCCCAGUUACGGUGGGAGGUCGGGGGCCGAGCGAUGCACGUUUCUCUCGUACACAUAUGCGCGUGUGUGCGAGGCGUUGGCUCUAACUGAACCCGAGCGAGGCGUUGGGCUCUAACUGAACCAGAGCGAUUGCAUUGCAGGCUACGCGUUACUGAACCCGAGCGAUCGAUCGAUGGCUGUUAACUGAACCCGAUCGAGCGAUUCCUUCGCUACUGCUGCUAACUGAAGCCGNNNNNNNNNNNNNNNNNNNNNNNNNNNNNNNNNNNNNNNNNNNNNNNNNNNNNNNNNNNNNNNNNNNNNNNNNNNNNNNNNNNNNNNNNNNNNNNNNNNNNNNNNNNNNNNNNNNNNNNNNNNNNNNNNNNNNNNNNNNNNNNNNNNNNNNNNNNNNNNNNNNNNNNNNNNNNNNNNNNNNNNNNNNNNNNNNNNNNNNNNNNNNNNNNNNNNNNNNNNNNNNNNNNNNNNNNNNNNNNNNNNNNNNNNNNNNNNNNNNNNNNNNNNNNNNNNNNNNNNNNNNNNNNNNNNNNNNNNNNNNNNNNNNNNNNNNNNNNNNNNNNNNNNNNNNNNNNNNNNNNNNNNNNNNNNNNNNNNNNNNNNNNNNNNNNNNNNNNNNNNNNNNNNNNNNNNNNNNNNNNNNNNNNNNNNNNNNNNNNNNAGAUGAACAGUAUCCCGUGGAGUCCCGUUUUGCGGUACGCCACACCCCUCCCGAUGAACAGGACCCCCGUUUCGACCGUAGGAGGUCCGUUUCGUCCGUUUUGCGGUACGCCACACCCCUCCCGAUCAACAGGACCCCCAUUUCGACCGUAGGAGGUCCGUUUCAUCCGUUUUGCGGUACGCCACACCCCUCCCGAUCAACAGGACCCCCGUUUCGACCGUAGGAGGUCCGUUUCCUCCGUUUUGCGGUACGCCAGACCCCUCCCGAUCAAGAGGACCUCGUUCCGAACGUAGGAGGUCCGUUUCCUCCAUUGUGCGGUACGCCAGGCCUCCUUUCCAUCGCCUGUUCCGUCCAAGNNNNNNNNNNNNNNNNNNNNNNNNNNNNNNNNNNNNNNNNNNNNNNNNNNNNNNNNNNNNNNNNNNNNNNNNNNNNNNNNNNNNNNNNNNGGCCUCGUUACCAUCGCCUAUUCCGUCCAAGCCCUCCCGAUGAACACGACCACGCAUUCCGUUCCGACCCAGCCGGUUGGCUCCCACGCGUUCCGUUGCCUCCCGAUGAACACGACGCAUUCCGUUGCCUCCCCAUGAACAUGACGCAUUCCGUUGCCUCCCCAUGAACACGACGCAUUCCAUUGCCUCCCCAUGAACACGACGACGACGCUGUUUCUCCGUUCCGACCCAGCCAUGUACACGAGCCCUGGCCGUACGUAUGCGUGAGUAGGCGUUCGAGACCCCCGCCCGUAUGUACACAUAUGUGGCCGUAUUUUGUUUCUUGCACCCUGGCCGCUGUACGUACGUGUACAUGCUAUGUGCGCGCCUCUACUACGAAACGUACGCGCCUCUACUACGACACGUGCGCGCCUCUACAUCCACCAGUAUAUAUGUACGUACACGUUCGCGACCAGAAUGACAACGCUACGUACGCAUCGACUAGGUGGGUCCCGACUGUCAGGCACUUCCUUACCUGCGAAGAUGUAGCUGGUGGGUCCCAGCAGUCAGGGGGCGAAUCAUUUUUUUUUGCCCGGACGCACUUCCUUGCGUGCGAAGAUGUAGCUGGUGGGUCCCAGCAGUCAGGGGCAAACGUUUUUUCGUGAAAUCCGGUGGCCCGUCCGAUGGGUCCCCACUGUCAGGUGGAGGAAUAAUUAUUUUGCAUGUAAUAAGGAGGCACUUCCUUGCUACGGCCGUGGACCCAGCUGUCAGCCUCUCCACGUACAGUCCACGUCAGAUGGAAGCCGUUCCUUGACCACGUUGACCACGCCGUGCCGAGAGCACCAGGGCAGUGGACGACGGAGAGGCCUAGGAAGGGGACGACGCGGAGCCGGGGAAGACGCGGCAGUGGAUGCCCGCGCGUAGAGGAGUACGAGGGUUCACUGGUUCGCUGCGGUGUGAGGCUGCCGUCGCCGCAGAAUAACAGGGGGUGUGGGUGAGUGGAGGGAUGGCCUGGCCAGCGGUGGGAGUAGUAGGGGGCGGUGAGGCCUCCGCCGCAUUGCAGCCGGCCACGGGAGGCAGGAGCACGAGGCACGACUGGCGCUGGUUUUGGCGGCUGGAGCAAGAAGACCAGAUGUUGAAGAAGCACUACGGCCGUUGGAUGGACAUCGUACGGUCACUGGAGCUAGAAUCGUGCAUAUUGACUAAGUUGACAAAGCCCUCCAUCCCCGUCAACUUAGUAGGCCCACAAGUCAGCCUGCCACUAUACUGGGUCCCAGCUAACAGGGGAGUAUUCAUUUUUUUGUGCAUAAUAAGGAGGCACUUCCUUGCGUGUGAAGAUAUAGCUGGUGGGUCCGAGCUGUCAGCGGCGGUAAUGUUUUUUUCGCGAAAUACAGAGGCCCUUUCGGUGGGUCCCUGAUGUCAGGUGGAGGAAUCAUUAUUUUGCGCGUAAUAAGGAGGCAUUUCCUUGCGUGCGGCCGUGGACCCAGCUAUCGGCCUCUCCACGUAUAGUCCACUUCAGAUGCAUGUCGGUCAUUGACCAUGUUGACCAGGCCGCGCCGAGAGCACCAGGGCGGUGGACGAUGGCGAGGCCUAGGAAGGGAACGACACGGAGGCAGGGAAGACUCGGCAGUUGUUUCCCACGCGCAGGGGAGUAUGACUGUACGAGGGUUUACUGGUUCGUCUGCCGUCGCCGGAGAAUAACAGCAGGUGUGGGUGAGUAGAGGGAUGGCUAGGCCAGCGAUGGGAGUACGAUGGGGCGGUGAGGCCUGCGCAGCAGCACAGCCGGCCGCGAGGAGGAGGGAGCAGGCAGUCCCGCCGGCGCUUGUUUGAGCGGCUGGAGCAGGAAGAGCAGAGAUUGAAGAAGCACGACGGCCUUUCGAUGGACAUCCAACAGUCACUGCUUGUGUGUCAACCUUUUUUUUAGGAAAGCCUCAAAUCUGUGGAAAACAACAUACAACCCAUCUGCCAUUAUUUCUAAUAAUUUACAGCCCAUUUGCUAAUUCAUAAGGUUUUUUUGGACCCCAUAUUCUUUUUGUUAGCAUUACAGCCCAUAUUGUGGCCACGGUUAAAAAAUUAUACGAAAUUUUACAUAUUGCGGUGCGGUCCGAACUGUUUUAAUCCCGAAAUUUCUACGCACAUUCAAACUGAUUUAAAAUAUAAAUGUAUAUCAAUAUAAAAUCCAACAAAUUCUCCACGCAUAAAAAUUAAUGUAAUUUAAAAUCUCGAAAUGAAAAAAAGAUAUUUGAAACUAAUUGUCGGUUUGAUGUGUUUUAAAAAUGUACAACCCAUCUCGUUUCUCAUAGGCCAUUUUCUCGGCCAGCCGAAUGAAGCUCUCCUCAUCUUGAAAGAUUUGCAGCCCAAUAGGCCUGACAAAGCGACUUACUUGGCAAAUCACGAAAAAACUGGGUUGUGGCUGUGGACCCAGCUGUCAGCCUCUCCACGUACAGUACUCUUCCGAUGGAAGUCGGUCGUUGACCACAUUGACCACGCCGCGCCGAGAGCACCAAGGCGGUGGACAACGGGGAGGCCUAGGAAGGGGACGACGCGAAGCCGGGGAAGACGCGGCAGUGGAUGCCCACGCGGAGAGGAGUACGAGGGUUCACUGGUUCGGCUGCGGCGUGAGGCUAUCGUCGCCGCAGAAUAACAGGGGGUGUGGGUGAGUAGAGGGAUACCCUGGGCCAGCGGUGGGAGUAGUAUGGGGCGGUGAGGCCUCCGCGGCAUCAUAGCCGGCCACGAGAGGCAGGAGCACGUGGCAUGACCAGCGCUGCUUUGGGCGGCUGGAGCAAGAAGACCAGAGGUUGAAGAAGCACUAUGGCCGUUGGAUGGACAUCGUACGGUCACUGGAGCUAGAAUCAUUCAUAUUGACUAAGUUGACAAAGCCCUCCGUCCUCGUCAACUUAGUAGGCCCACAAGUCAGCCACCCACUAUGGUGGGUCCCAGCUAGCAGGGGGUAUUCAUUUUUUGGUGCGUAAUAAGGAGGCACUUCUUUGCGUGCGAAGAUAUAGCUGGUGGGUCUGACCUGUCAGCGACGGUAACGUUUUUUUCGCGAAAUACAGAGGCCCUUUCGGUGGGUCCCUGAUGUCAGGUGGAGGAAUCAUUAUUUUGCGCGUAAUAAGGAGGCAUUUCCUUGCGUGCGGCCGUGGACCCAGCUGUCGGCCUCUCCACGUACAGUCCACUUCAGAUGCAUGUCGGUCGUUGACCACGUUGACCAGGCCGCGCUGAGAGCACCAGGGCGGUGGACGAUGGCGAGGCCUAGGAAGGGAACGACAUGGAGGCAGGGAAGACUCGGCAGUUGUUUCCCACGCGGAGGGGAGUAUGACUGUACGAGGGUUUAACUGUUCGUCUGCCGUCGCCGGAGAAUAACAGCAGGUGUGGGUGAGUAGAGGGAUGGCUAGGCCAACGAUGGGAGUACGGUGGGGCGGUGAGGCCUGCGCAGCAGCACAGCCGGCCACGGGGAGGAGGGAGCAGGCAGUCCCACCGGUGCUUGUUUGAGCGGCUGGAGCAGGAAGAGCAGAGAUUGAAGAAGCACGACGGCCUUUCGAUGGACAUCCAACAGUCAAUGCUUGUGCGUCAACCUUUUUUUAGGAAAGCCUCAAAUCUAUGGAAAAUAGCAUACAUCCCAUCUGCCAUUAUUUCUAAUAAUUUACAGCCCAUUUGUUAAUUCAUAAGGUUUUUUUGGAGCCCAUAUUCUUUUUGUUAGCAUUACAGCCCAUAUUGUGGCCACGGUGAAAAAAUUAUACAAAUUUUUGCAUAUUUCGGUGCGGUCCGAACUGUUUUUAAUCCCGAAAUUUUGACUCACAUUCAAACUGAUUUUAAAAAUAAAUGUAUAUCAAUAUAAAAUCCAACAAAUUCUCCACGCAUAAAAAUUAAUGUAAUUUAAAAUCUCGAAAUGAAAAAAAGAUAUUUGAAACUAAUUGCCGGUUUGAUGUGUUUUAAAAAUGUACAGCCCAUCUCAUUACUGAUACGCCAUUUUCUCGGCCAGCCGAAUGAAGCUCUCCUCGUCUUGAAAGAUUUGCAGCCCAAUAGGCCUGACAAAGCGACUUACUUGGCAAAUCAGAAAAAAACUGGGUUGUGGCCGUGGACCCAGCUGUCAGCCUCUCCACGUACAGUACUCUUCCGAUGGAAGUCGGUCGUUGAUCACAUUGACCACGCCGCGCCGAGAGCACCAAGGCGGUGGACGACGGCGAGGCCUAGGAAGGGGACGACGCGGAGCCGGGGAAGACGCGGUAGUGGAUGCCCACGCGGAGAGGAGUACGAGGGUUCACUGGUUCGGCUGCGGCGUGAGGUUGUCGUCGCCGCAGAAUAACAGGGGGUGUGGGUGAGUAGAGGGAUACCCUGGGCCAGCGGUGGGAGUAGUAUGGGGCGGUGAGGCCUCCGCGGCAUCACAGCCGGGCACGAGAGGCAGGAGCACGUGGCACGACCAGCGCUGCUUUGGGCGGCUGGAGCAAGAAGACCAGAGGUUGAAGAAGCACUAUGGUCAUUGGAUGGACAUCGUACGGUCACUGGAGCUAGAAUCGUUCAUAUUGACUAAGUUGACAAAGCCCUCCGUCCUCGUCAACUUAGUAGGCCCACAAGUCAGCCACCCACUAUGGUGGGUCCCAGCUAGCAGGGGGUAUUCAUUUUUUGGUGCGUAAUAAGGAGGCACUUCCUUGCGUGCGAAGAUAUAGCUGGUGGGUCCGAUCUGUCAGUGGGGGGGGGGGGCGUUUCUUUUCGCGAAAUACAGAAGCCCUUCCCACGUACAGUGCACGUACAAUGCGUAAUAAGGAGGAACUUUCCUUGCAUGCGACCAUGGACCUCGUGGGUCCCAGCCGUCAGGAUCUCCACGUACAUUCCUCUUCUGAUGACUCUCGUAUGUUUACCACGCCGCGCCGAGCGCACCGAGGCGGUGGACGACGGCGAGGCCCCAGACUGGAACGACCCGGAGAUGGGGAAGACGCGGCAGUGGAGUCGCGGACGGAGAGGAGUGGGAAACUUGACUGGUUCGGGUCGGGGUGGGCCUACACUCGGCAGAGAAUAACAGGAGGUGCGGAGUCGAGGGAUGACCUGGCCGUCGGCGGGGUAGCAUUUCGCUGAGGAGCGCAAAACAACGCCGCUGGACGCCGAAGGCUGGAGCAGGUGGUUCCGACAGCGCUGGGGGAAGAAGACGAGAGAUUGAAGAAGAAUGUCGGCCGUUGGAUGUAAAUCCAACGCCUUCUUAGGCUUCGACCUACUGGCCCACAUGUCAGCCAGUCCAUUUGUUUUUUAGUCCAUUUGGUGGGCUGGGUGAAACAAUGAUGUAGCAUCUAUGCAGCCCGUUUAAAUCCCAUUUGCAUUUUUCUUGAAAUCCGCGGACUUGCUGGGCUGGGUGAAAAUAUCAUGUUGGGCUAGACGGAGAAAUGUUAUAAAAACAUAAACACAUGAUUGCACGUCAGUAAAAUCUUUGCAAGCUUAUGUACGCAAUCACUAGGAGUUAACUUGCCAAGUUAUAUAUAAACAAUUAUUAUUAUUAUUUUGUAAGAACUUUCAACUUACGAAAUAAAAUAUCAUUUUAAUUUGAUGAGUUAAUAGUACGUGGGGUAUUAUUAUUUUUUAGGCUAGACGUGGGACAGUUGAGUUGGUUCUAGGGGAAAGUACUGCGAGAAAACUCUGUUUACAUCGAAAAAGAAAGUGGGAGAAAAUUCAGAGACCUGCUGGGUCCACCUGAGGAGGGGAAUAUGUUGGGAGGAAGGAGAUUCAAAGCACGGCAGCCGAGUGAACUAGUUUUUUUUACGGACAAGUGAACUAGUUUACAUACAUAAGCAAUAGCCACUAAAAAAGCAAUUAGGUUAAUGGGUUCUUAAAAGAAAUAUUUCAGACAAAACAGAUAAUUACGACACAUAGGCUAAUGCAUGAAACACUCAGAUGAUAAAGGUGCUUAUAAACAGAUAAAGUACAACAUCUAGACCUUCCUGACAUGCUUGAUCAUGACGCUGCGGCUAUUCGUGUACUCGUCGGUUACGGGAAGCACACACGCCCUCAUGUCCAAGAUCUGCAUGUACAUGUCGUAGCAUGCGUAUGCGUCCUUGGCCGUGUAGGUUAUGUAGGCUAGAUUCAAAGGUACCUCCCAUGUGUUCAGGUCGUCUUCUUUCAUGUUGGCGUAUCAGGGGUCGAUGAUGGUCUCAACGAGGUCAACCACGGAGUCCUUCUCCUGCCCGUUGCUGAUGAUCUUGUAUUGCUUCUGGAUGUCGACAAGCUUGUUGCACCAGAUGGCCGAAUCAUCGCGUUCUUCCUUCUCUCCACCGUAGCGAAGGUGCAGUCGGUGCUGCCGAUGAAACAGGCGAAUGCUCCAAGACCUGGUGCAGCCAUAGGACUGAGGCGAGGCAGAGCUUCACUGAGUCCGUAUCGUUGGUGUACAUCACAUUCAACUUGGUGCAGCCAUAGGACUGAACGGCGAACUCAAAGGGGAACUCCUUGCUGAAGUCCAUAUCCAGCAGGCUCACCCCUCGGAUCGCCAUUGGAGUCUCUUCGAGUGAACGAGUGUGUAGGCGGCGGCAGCAGUUCGUUUUUCAGCUCUUGGGGAACUGGAUUCAACAGUAAGCUAAGUGUGUACGGGCGACAACAGUUACUACCCCUCCCUCGUCCGCUGCACGCCCGGCAGAAGAUGCACCCUCGGCUACACGUCGGUUCACGAGCGGGUCUGUAUUGGUACUGUAAUAACAGGAGUUACUGGUCACUUUACUUAAAUUUAAUUAGCUUUAAUAGAAAUUUAUACUUAAAACAAGCAAUGCAUUCGCUCGUUCUAUCAGUGCCACAGGAUCAACAUGCACAACAAUUAGAAUUAUUAUUCUCAGGACGCACACGAUCAGCACAUUUGUCGCACUUUCACAAAGAUAAUACUACCAAGUUUGAACUAUUUGUUAUGGUUGUUGUCCUCUGCAUCAUCAUGCCGUGUUUCCCAGCUUGCAAGAUUCAGAACCAACAAAUAAGAUCCAAAUAAUAAGUACAACAAAGAUGCCUACACAUCUCAUUGAUUCCCAGCUUGCAAGAUUCAGAACCAACAAAUAAGAUCCAAAUAAUAAGUACAACAAAGAUGCCUACACAUCUCAUUGAUUCCUAGCUUGCAAGAUUCAGAACCAACAAAUAAGAUUCAAAUAAUAAGUACAACAAAGAUGCCUACACAUCUCACUGAUUCCCAGCUUGCAAGAUUCAGAACCAACCCAUUAGAGCCUUUUGAUAAAGUGAAUAUCGGGAUUAAAUCCAUCUUGGCUAGCCAUGUCAUACAAUCGAAGAACUUGGCGAAUGCUCUUGACUGUCACAACAUCUGUAGUUGACUAUUCCUGUUUGCACAGCAUGUUUGCACAGCACAAACAAGGAGACAGGAGAGCAUGAUUUCGCUUUAAUAGCGGCCUCCUUGAACUCAACCUCCAGCUCUACUUGGAUGAGGUCUGCCUGGAGUUCCAUGCUUCAAUUCAUGCGCCUUUUUCUGCAGUUCACCUAAAAUGAAGCAAAGAUUGCAUCAUUCAGCUAGCAAGAAGUACUUGCUCUUGUGAGAUGGCAGGUUCUUCUUUAGUAGCUGCACUAAAAUUGAGGAAUUAAGGUUGGCUGUCCGGCUCAUGUAAGGUGCAACUAUAAUUUUCUUAUCCUUUUGUGCAGUUCCACUAAAAUAAAGUGCCAUUGUGGUGACAGUGAUGGCUCCAUCUUGCAAAGGCUAAUAAAAUGUUGCACGAGAUUACCAGCAGAACUUGACGGAGAUUUUGGAAACUCCAAUCACCAUUUUGUGCAAUUCCACCAAAAUUGAGAGAUGUUGCCCACGUGACAUUUUAGUUGAACUGCACAAGACACUCAUUCCAAAAAAAAGUGUUUUGUGCAGUUCACCAAAAGGUCACAAUAGCAACAAGGUGAAAUGGAUAUCCCUAUCUCCACAAAAAGAUAGAAAGUAAACAGUUGCUGGUGAAUAAGAAUAUACGAAACAUAUACAAAAUGAAAAGAAGCAUCUUAAUUAUGUUCAUGGCAAUCACGCAAGGACAGUAGAAAUUUUAAAACGUCAACAAUGCUUCAUGUUACCAGAAGCAUUACGAUCAACAAUGAGAUUCCUCAAAUAUGGGAUUACUUUAAUGGUGGCAUUGCUUGUUUACCAGACACAGUAAAUCAAUAGCAGCUAAAGAGUUGGUUUAAGGGCAUGGGACCGUGGGGACACCAGGACACUCAGCAGCGUAAAGGAGAAACUUACAUGCGCCCUUACAUUAACAACAGCAAAAGGUUGGUAUAAGGACAUGCGACAGUGGACGCAUCAGCACAAUGUACCUACAAGGAGGCAUAAAGUGGUGAUGCCGAGUUUGUUCAUGCUAUGUGAGGGCAGCAAACCUAAUCCUGGAGACCUUGUACUAUGUGAGGGCAGCAAAUCUAAUCCUAGAGACCUUUUACUAUGUGAGGGCAGCAAAUCUAAUCCUGGAGACCUUUUACUAUGUGAGGGCAGUAAAUCUAAUCCUGGAGACCUUUUACUAUGUGAGGGCAGCAAAUCUAAUCCUGAGACCUUUUACUAUGUGAGGGCAGCAAAUCUAAUCAUGAGACCUUUUACUAUGUGAGGGCAGCAAAUCUAAUCCUGGAGACCUUCUACUAUGUGAUGGCAGCAAAUCUAAUCCUGGACAUACUCUGUUGACUUGUCCACCAGCCGCCACUUUCUAUCCUUUUUUCAACCAAUAAUAGAGUUGUUCCUUAUCUAGUUUGUACUGCGUUUUCCCAUUAUUUCCCUUUUCAACCAAGAGACCGGUUGGGUAUCCGGUCUCUACUACUUUCACCAUAUUAUUUCCUCUUUGAAUCAAGUCCUAGAUUCAUGCUACAACUUUCCCCCUUUCUUCGUUGUUUGAACAAAGCCCUAGAUUCGAAUGCAUGAAGUAGCUUUACCUCUAAUAAUACUAAAAAUUUAGGUGGCUUUGGAAGAGCUGAUGGGAGUAGAAAAAGAUGCACAUGCAUACACGUGGGGAUCUGGGGCAGUAGAGCAAGGCCGCUUUCAAAGAAGUUAUACCUGAGGGUCGCCGGGAUGUCGAUGGCGGCAGGUCGGAUCUGCGGACAAUACGGCAGGGAGGAAGAAGGGUCGGAGGACCUCCCGAGCCAGCGCUGUGUCGGAGAGAACGGCACGGGCAGAGGAUCGGGCCCCUCCGGCAGCUAUGGGUUUCCUCCCUCGGCGGCGAUGACCGCGUGAACGACGCACCUUUUAGUCCUCUACACACACCGGCCGAAGGGAUCCGGCCGGAUCUGUGACCAGUGGUGAGCAGAGAGAAAAUGUCGCUACCGCUGUCUUGUUUAUAUCUGGAGAGGAUGAGAGAAUGAAGAGAGCAACCCUAGUAAAGCAAGCGCUCACGCCCCUGCGUCCAUAUAUAGUGGAGUGAUUAUCUUUUUUCUCUCCACAACAAGUGUUUCAAUUUGUGUACGUGGCAUUAAAGAAAAGAAACUCUCUAUUUAAGGUGACUACUGUACGACUCCUACUUACUACUAGUAGUACUACAGUAUUGUUCACUUGUGCUCCCCGCCCCUUCAUUCAUUGAACAACCCCACGGGUGAAUAAACAUACAGUAAGUACUGUAUUUAUAUAGAAUGAACAAGCUCGAACUAUUUUCGCGUAGUUAAAAGUUGAGGGCGGGGCUUUUCCCAGGCAGUACGCGCGGCAGUUUUCGGGUAGGCGGUUUGACAGAGAGGCGAGGAGGGUGAGCGAGUGGGGCUAUGUGAUUUGACGGCGCGUUACUGCUGGAAAGACUUGUGAUAUGACCACUCACUAUAGUCAUGAAUUACUGGCGCUCCGACCGGGGUGAUGCCCCCUUCCGUUCCGCGCUCUAAUCUGGUGCAUGACACGUCGACCCGGAUGCUGGCUCUCCCACAUGUCAGAGUAUUAAGAAGGAGCAAAGAAUGAUGCGGUAUAUACUAGUACUAUACUACUCCCUCCAUUCCUAAAUAUAAGUCUUUGGAGAGAUUUCACUAUGGACCACAUACGGAGAAAAAUGAGUGAAUCUACACAUAAAAUGCAUCUAUAUACAUCCGUAUGUGGUCCACAGUGAAAUAUCUACGAAGACUUAUAUUUAGGAACGGAGGGAGUACUACUCAGGUCGGAGGAGUGCGAACCACGGCAGCCCAGUGAACCAGCACUGCGAACCACGGUAGCCCAGUGAACCAGCAGUAGAAAACAAUGUGGUGAUAUGGCCAUAAAAAACAAUGUGCUACGGUCCACACUUUAGCAUGUACAGUAACACUUCCCUUUGUUUGGAUCCCUGAGUUAGAGCUAGUUUGGGUUGAAAUAGCCUCAAAUUAUCGAAACAAGAGGGGUUAGUUUGAGCUAGUUUGCUCUAACCCAGCUAAAAAAAUAGCUCGGUGGAGAGGUUUUAAUUGGGUUAGUUAUCCUCGGGCCCACUAAAAGAGAACUAAAAAAAUCUCCCCUGCCCGCACUAGAUCGCUCUCCCCCCCCUCUCGCACGACUCCUUUCUAUCCCCCAUAGGGCCGCUCGCCCUCUCUCUCCUCCGGCCGCCCUCUCCUUCCGGCCGCCCUCUCCUUCCGGCCUCCGCCGCCCUCUCCCUCCGGCCGUCGAAGGUCGCCCCGCUCCCCCUUCACCAGUCGUUUUUCUCCCUCUGUCGUGCACAGCAGCAGCGCAUCUACCAGGGAGGUCAUGAGAGGGGUGAGUUUGUUCGUUCCUUCUCUGUCUCAUGGCCAUAUCAUUGAUCUUGCUUGCUCUAGCGCUAAUUCUGAUUUGGAAAAGUAGAUCCUGAUCAAACUUGGUAUAAGUUUGUGGUGCACGCAUGGAAUUGUUUGAUGCUGCUUGAGGAGGUAAUAAAUCUUUCUAGAGGCCCAAAGAUUCAGGUCACCUUUCUAGGUAUUUCAAUUUCAGGCUUGCAUUAUUUCUAGAGGCCCAAAGAUUCAGUUCACCUUUCUAGGUAUUUCAAUUUCAGGCUUGCAUUAUUUCUAGAGGCCCAAAGAUUCAGUUCACCUUUCUAGGUAUUUCAGUUUCAGGCUUGCAUUAUUUCUAGAGGCCCAAAGAUUCAGUUCACCUUUCUAGGUAUUUCAGUUUCAGGCUUGCAUUAUUUCUAGAGGCCCAAAGAUUNNNNNNNNNNUGCUUGAGGAGGUAAUAAAUCUUUCUAGAGGCCCAAAGAUUCAGGUCACCUUUCUAGGUAUUUCAGUUUCAGGCUUGCAUUAUUUCUAGAGGCCCAAAGAUUCAGUUCACCUUUCUAGGUAUUUCAGUUUCAGGCUUGCAUUAUUUCUAGAGGCCCAAAGAUUCAGUUCACCUUUCUAGGUAUUUCAGUUUUAGGCUUGCAUUAUUUCUAGAGGCCCAAAGAUUCAGUUCACCUUUCUAGGUAUUUUAGUUACAGGCUUGCAUUAUUUCUAGAGGCCCAAAGAUUAAGUUCCCAGUCGGCGGCAAGCGGCCCUGUUACCCAUGCCGGUGUCGACCUCAACUCGCAAGGGCCGGUGUCGGAGGGGUUCCCAAGGCUUGGGCUCUACGGAGCCUUCCUCUAGAGCGACGAUGGCGAGCUCCUCCCUCGGUGCGUGAGGGGCUCCGGGCUCCCUCCCUAUCGUGAAUGACUUCCGUGAUGAGUUAGCUCAUUCUUUGUUUCAUGAAGUGUUUUUUUUAUUUUGUGAAGCUUGAUUGACGACUUGUAUGUUUAAGUGGGAUAUCUCAUUUGUAUGGACAAAGUAAAAAUUAUCAUGUUUUGCAUGCUUGAUUUGUAUAGAUGGUUCGUUUAUGUCAAUUGUGAGCGGGAGGAGGCCACAGAAGAGCCGGCCACACCAAGAGGGUGCUUGGAUCCAAGGGACUUAUUUUAGUCUGACUAAAAAUAGUCUCUUUAAGAGGCUAAAGUUCCAAGCACCCCUGACUAAAGAGGGGCUAAAACUAGUCUUGAGACUAAAAACUUUUAGUCAGGGGUACCCCUACUAAAAUGUGGAUUAGUCCUCUCUCUCCUCAUUUAACUCCUCUCCUUUAACACAGGUGAGUUCCGGAUUGGAGGGUUUGGAGGAUAAUAAAUGCUCAUUAACUUGAUUUUAGUCUCUUUAGUAUUUGGAUCCAAGCAUGGGUGAGGCUAGCAAGUUUUAGUCCCACUACUUUUAGUCAUGGAACUAAAACGUAUCCAAGCACCCUUCAAAUCCGGCAGGAAAUAGGGUCCAAAGUAGUCAAAUGAUUGAGAUAGAGCAUUUAUUGUCAAUCUAACCCUGCCAUCCAUACACCUCUUUGGUUUAGAGUUAGUUCAGGGUUAGAAUCUAACUCUAACCUCUAACUAAGUUAGAGUUCUCCUCGUCUCGGUUCAUCGCCAUCAUACUUUCCCCAUUCAUGUGUUUUCAGUAUCCUGCGAAUCAAAGAGGCCCUUUUUUGCGGGAAAAAUCAAAGAGGCCCUUAGACUGGUUUCGGUCCGGUCAUUUUUUAUAAACGUGUUAUGUCCAAAAUUUAAUGAACGUGCUCCGGUUUCCACGAAAAUAAUCCGGUUUCAUGUAGUAAUUCAUUCAUUUAUUUAUUCUUCUGCGGGGGGUUUGCAUGUAAUUCGUGAGGUCUGAAAUGUAAAGUACCCCGGCAUAUGCUCUGAGUCGUGCAUGCACUACGACCCAGAUGCUCUAUGUCCCACAUGUCGGUGAAUGGGAGCACGUGGAAAUAGCCUAGGAGUACAUAUAGGAGGAUAAAUGCGUGAAAUGUACUAUGAAGCGUAGCCGCGGUUUGAAAAGGAGACCUAAAGUGAUGACAACUAUAGGUCGCACGCACCCAACUAGUGGUACUAGACAUACGACUAAUUUUUUCCUCAAAAAAAAAGAGGCAUGAGUGCUGAGUACUCCUGUUCUAUAAACACGAGUCCCAUCUGACAACAGCGUCCGUGCUACAGCUAGCUCUCCUCCCUCGUUUCUCUCUUCUAAUUCUAAACUCGGCCGACGCCCGGUGGGCGGGGUGGGUUUGCUCAACUGCGGCCCCACCUCAUAGUGAAAACGUUAUGACUGGAAUAAAAAUGCCAUAUACUCCCUCCGUUCAUAAAUAUAAGCCUUUUUAGAUACUAUUUCAAAUGGAAUACAGCAUACAGAUGUAUGUAGACAUAGUUUAGAGUCUAGAUUCACUCAUUUUGCUCCGUAUGUAGUAGUCACUUGCUCGAAUCUUUAGAAAGACUUAUAUUUGGGAACGGAGGGAGUACUAUACUAAUAAAACAUUAAGGCCACGAGGUGAUGCAGUGCUGGUUACAGGAGGCAAGAAGAGAUGCAUCCAUCGACGACGUCCACCUCCUCGACUCAGGGCGCCGGCCCACCGAUAGGCGCCUAAGUAGCAGCGGCUUUCAUGGCCAGGUCGACGUGCUUCCGAACAAUGGCGUCCAAAGAUUCCAGCCGCUGGAAGAAGGCCAACAUCUUUCUUUCCUCGCUUGCCUUGUAGUGGCCUAUGUAGACGAUUUCCUCAUAGACGUGGAUGUGCAGGUCGACGGUUUCUUGCAUGGCGAGGCGCUGCACGGCGAGCGCGGCCUCGAGGUGCACAUUCUUCGUCGCGACCUCCGACACCUGUAGGGCCACCAGGGCUUGAAAGAGUUCGUCACCAUGGAGUCCUAUGAGGGUGGCAGGUAAUGAGGAGCCUGGGCGCGCGGGCUGGAGCAGUACGGCAAGGUCGUCAGCGCGCUUCUUGACGGCGGUGAACUUGCGGAUGGAGUUGACCAUCAUGUCAUCCAUGCGAGAGGCGAAGCCGGCGUCGGCGAGGGCUACGAUGCCUGCGGUCGCCAGCAUCGUCUGGAAACGCUGCACGGUGCGGGGCCGCAGGCCGGCGCCUUGGAUGAUUUGGCACAGCUGACUGCCGCUCGCGUCCAUCGCCUCCAUAGGUGCUUGUGGCUUCUGGUCACUUGGUCUUGGAUUGGAGUGAGCAGUGUUGCGCAGAGACUUGGGAGUAGAUGGAUUGGAGUGGUGGGGCGCCUUUAUUAUAUGAGAGUCCAAACUCUGUUGCAUUCACAUCGUGCUGGCUCUAUUCUGCUUCUCCAAUUAAUUCCCUCUGCAUGUAAUUGAGGAUGCAUCAUUGACCUUUCAACGUCUCGGGAACCGCUACCCUCUCCCUCCUUGGCAUUCAAGCACCUAUGGACCCGUCGACGACGAGGUGCCUAUGGUGACUUCGUAAAUUUCAAGAUGAUAAUGCCGUGCGUGUGUGCGUUCAUAGGGGUGAGUGUAUGUGCGUGUAUAUGAUUGCUUGCGUCUGCACUGUGUAAAAAAACGUAAAUGCGUGUCAAAAAGAGACUAGUCAGUAUACUCAAUAUUGUGCACCUCAAAGAGGAAAACGAUAGAACUAGUACGUAUUUAUUUACGGUGCAGAUUCACUCAUUUUGCUCCAUAUGUACUCCGUCUCGGUGUAAUCUAGUCACUUGUUGAAAUCUCUAGAAGGGCAAAUACUCCUUUCUGGUUUACAGGGCUAUACUAGCAAGUAGUGGUACGUACUAGUACAAUAGUGGGCUCACAUAGCAAUUUGUCUCAUGCAAGAUCCUGGCUAUAUGCGUGCUCCAAUGUUCGCAACUACAACGUUCGGUUUGCGCUUGGCUCUUCGCCUCUUCGAGAAGACGAACAAUGAUGUUACUACUACUGCUUCUACAGUGUCGAAUCCACUGCUGCAUGUCCGUCCACCACGAGUGGGACGGAUAGCUUGUUGUAGAAGUACUAAGCAAAAGCAUGUCCUCGUUUGCGAGCAACCGCGCGCAUGGGUGAGGGAGAAGGCGUGUAGUAAAAUCAAGCUUCUCCUCAUUGUACGAGUUGACGCGACACAUCAUAGCACUGGCCCCACAUGCUUGCCUCUAAACUUGGCUGAAAGACCCGCAGUGUACAAUAUAUUUUCUGCAACCUCUAACAUUUACCCACCACAAAUUAAAAUAUAUGUGGCCGUAUGCAUUGUUCUGAUGCAGAGGCCGGGGAGUCCCCCCUUUUCGAAAAAAAACAAAUUAAAAUAUAUAUUCCUGUCUUGACCAGAUGAGCGUGCAAACUACAAUCACUAGGGUGUCAGGUAGGGCCAGAAGACUAUUUUAAUUUUUUUUAAACUUCGAGACGACCACAUAGCAUGGAGCCGACCCCAACGAUUUUAAGCUUACAGGCAUGGUACACGCUAUCCUAGACUACUCUACACAUGAAACUGCCACACGAGCGUCCGGGCUGCGCUUGGCUCUUCACCUCUUCGGGAAGUCGAACAAUGAUGGAGUACUACUGCACUGGAGGAGUACUACAAUACGCUUCUGGCAAUCUGACACCGAUUGAACUGCUACAUGUCCACCGCGUGCGGGAGGGAGAGCGUGUAGCGAAAGCUUCUCCUAGUCUUGCCAGCCACCACGCUCAUGGGCGAGGAAGGGACGCUCCUGCCUUUGUGUGUAUGACAGGUGGGCCUGACAGGUGUGUGGCCAACCUGUCAUACAGCCAAAGGAAGGUGCAGUUAAGUCCGCGAGGGAGAGGAUAAUCAAACUUCUCGUUGAUGUACGAGUUGACGCGACACAUCAAAGCACUGCACUCGAUAUAUUUCAAUAAUUUGCGUUUACCGAUGCAUUAAUUACAACGCAUGCAUGCAUGUCGUGACUCUCCUUUUGAUACUUGCAUGUGUUGAUUUAAUGCACCUUGAAGUAGUAUAAAAUAUGUGACGUAAAGCUUCGUAAUACCCCGGCCCAAGUCGAGAGAUGGUUGUGCACGAGGAGGGCGAGAUCAUGCAGACCGAACAGGACCCCACGAUGGAGCUCUCUAAGGUCUCGAUGGACCUCACCGUGCUCCACUGCCCCUUGUGCCUCCGCCCCUUGACGCCUCCAGUGUAUGAGGUUCGAAUACACCUCGUCCGUUCGGCUGAUUGAGCAAGGUGCAGGUUUCUUGAAUGAUGUGUUGUUCGAUUGAUUUCUGUAGUGCAAGGGAGGGCACCUGGCCUGCGCGGACUGCCGCGUCGAGUGCCCCGGGAACCAGCGGCAGUGCCAGAAGUGCGAGCACGGCAGUGGCUUCGACGUGCGGAACACGGCGGUGGACUCCGUCCUUUCGUCGGUGAGGGUGGAGUGCCCGCACGAAGGCUGUGGGCUCUACGUCACUUACCACAAGCUCGCCGAUCACCAGAGCGUGUGUCCGCUCGUGCCCUGCAAAUGCCCCGUGCCCGUCUGCGGCUACGAAGGCCAGCCGCCGGCGCUCUACCACCACAUCAGCACCGCACAUCCCAUGCCCGUGCACAGGAUCCAGUACGGGAAGGUGCUCCAGCUGCAAGUGCCACUGUCGGAGCCACGGCUCUUGCUGUUCGCGGAGGAGGACCGCCGCGCGUUUUUCUUGGUCGGCGGCGUGCUCGACAUCGGCGCGCCUAUCGCCGUGUCGGUCGUCUGCAUCAGAGCGGGGGCGUCCCCACUGCCGCACUACGUGGCCAGGCUGUGGGUGAACGGCCCGUCGGGGGAGCCCAAAGGCACGACCGACGCCGUCAAGGUGGAAAUGGAGGUGAGAAGCAGCAAGGAUCCCGGCGACGUCGACGUGCAGGAGCUAACCUUCUUGACAGUUCCGCCCAAGCUGCUGGCCGGGGCUAAGCUUGUGUCCCUCCACAUUCAGAUUGACAAGCUCACGUCCUAAAUGUUUCUACAGUGCCUUUUGUUUAUCUUAGUAAUAUGCUAAUAUGGGGAUUACCUUGGUCUACUUUAGCUUAAGAAAUGGUGGGUUUUGGUGGCGAUGCAGCAAUUACUUCGACAUCAGAUCAGUAAUUUCCAACAGUCGAACGGAUAUUUUGUGUCUGUUGGAUAUAAAGUUCCUUUGGGAAAGAAGUACUACUUGUCAUCAAAAUGGAUAAAAGGAGAUGUAUGUAGACGUAUUUUAGUUCUAGAUACGUCCCUUUUUAUCCAUUUUGAUGACAAGCACUCCCUCCGUUCCACAAUACAUGCCUUCCAUUUGUCAAAAUAUAGAUGUAUCUAGACAUGUUUUAGUAUAUAGGUACAUCCAUGAUAGAGCCAAUCGGAUGGUUGAAAACACUACAAUUCGUAGCUACAGAUGCGUGUGUGACUCCCAGAUGCAGAGGCCGGGGGUCAUCAUCCUCCUUUUCAAGAAAAAACAGACGUGUGUGUGAGAGGAUGAGUGCGUGCGUGCACCUCUUCUCUUCUUGUAUAAUGUACUACUAAACUCAGAGUACAAAUUUUUGUGGGUGGCACGAUGGUGCGUGCGAGAAGUCCCGAGAGAUAGGUUUAAUGCGUCUGAAAAAAAGACUAGCCUAGAGCUCGCCACGCGGCUAUUUCUGUCGAAGGCCCCAUUAAUUGUAAGAUAUGUAUACGACGGUGCCAGUUAUUGCACGUACACAGCAGUACUCCCUCCUUUCCGGUUUAUAGGGCUUAAUUCAAAAAUCUCACCAACCAAGAUGGUGAGUGGUGGAAUAUAUUUUGUAGUUUGCAAAAGCACCUAAUUAAUGCUCUUGUUUUUCUAAAAAAAAUAUGUUUAUCAAUGCAUUAAUUGCAAUGCAUGCAUGCAUAAAGUACAUGCAUUGAUCAAUUUUCUCUUAAUACUUGAAUGCAAUGAUUUAAUGCACCUUGGAAUCUGAACAUGUGUUGGGGAACAACCAAAUUGAGCCUUAUAAAAUGGAAAAACUAAAAUUUUGAGAUAAGCCCUAUAAAACCGGAAAGGAGGGAGUAGAAAAAGAAGUACUCCAUCCGGGAAUAGUGCCGCACUUCGAAACUAGAACCGUCAAUAAAUUUUGAGCUUGCGUCUCGUCACAUUCCAAAUUACUCCACGCUCUAUUGAAUCGCAAACCUGUUCACACCGAUCACAACCUAAACGGUUUCCCACUUAGGAGCGUAUUAGUACCACGCUAUAUUGAAUUGCAAACCUGUUCACACCGAUCACAACCUAAACGGUUUCCCACUUAGGAGCGUAUUAGUACUCGGUUAUAAAUACUAGUAUGGCAAGAUGACUGCACAUUCCUCCUCAACUCCUCAUCCACAAAAACAAACAAGUCAUUCAGCACCCUUCCCUUGCGUCUGCCAUGGCCAGCGUGAGUUCUGGGUCGAGAGAUUGCCACCAGGGAGAGGCGAGCAUGGAAGCGGAAGCACGAGAGAUGUCCCGCCUCGCUGCGAGAGCAGCCGACAUGUCCCGCCGCGCGGAAGUAGCAGCACAGAGGUCCCGCCGCGCCACUGAAGCAGCACGGAGGUCCCGUCGCGCCGUUGAUGCAGCAGACUGGUCCGGCCGCGCCGCGGAAGCAGCAAAGAUGUCCCGCCGCGCCACGAAUGCAACAGAGAUAUCCUGCCGCGCCGCGGCGGCCUGGGAAAAUUUCUCGCGGGCAGGCGACGACUGUUACAGGCGCAUGCAUGCGAUCGUCCAUAGCCAGAUGGAUUAGAUCUCCGGCUGGGCGAGGUUGCAGGACGACAUGAAAGCCUCGUUUGAAUAGGCUACCGGCAUCAUCCGGCAACUAAGGGAGGGCAAUGAGAGGCUCCGGGCCGAGCACGACCUGCUGUGGGAGAAGAUCGUCCGAAGUGCAGACCAGCAGGAGGAGACCAGUGCCUUGUUGAAGAGGACCGGCAUCAUCGUCAAGAAACUUAUGGACGAGAAUGACAUGCUCCGCAACGAGCGCCAAAGGCUGGUGGAGGAAUCCGUGGAUGUUCUCAAGCAGUGUCUUGAGGACACGAAAGAGCUCAUCGCCGCUCGCCGCGGAGACUAGUUCCCGCGGCCUGCAGCAACGCAUCAAGAAAGUAGAGAUCAGCGAGCCAGAUCCUUGUCUUCCUUCUUCUUUUGCCCUUGGGCGUAGCCGCAUGUGGCUUUUUUAAUUAUCUUUCUGAUUAUGUAAGACAAUUAAUCGUCCUUAUCUUUCUGUGGAAGAUCAAUGUUGCGAGGCUGGAAUGAAGAAAACUCUUGCUGUGGCGACCCUGGCGUUGUUGUUCUUCUUGUUGCUGCUGGGCUUCCUUCAGUUUCCUGGUUUCUUUUGAUGUAAUAAUCGGUUUAGGAUGUGGAUUGUGUCGUCGGUUGUGAAAUGUUGGGUUCUAGCGCGGAUGUUUGGCCUUUGUUGGCCUCUUGGGAUGUUGUGAUUUCAAUCUGGUAGCUUUUAGUCCUUCGUGUUAGGCUGGAGUUGUGCUGAACUUGUUGUGAAUUGUGGUGGUUUUCAGUAAUGAAAAUUGGAAGGGGCAAGCCCUUCUUUGAUAAAAAAAUUAAUCGUCCUUAUAUAGUCAUCAGUCUUGCUAUAAGUCGCAGUAGAUGCUAUAUAGGUUCGUCGGACCUUACAUCAAGAUCCGUGCUUUCAGAUUUUCUUUUUUCUCUCUUAAAUCUCAGUCGAGUGAGACAUAGCCACACCAUUAAACAGAGGCUCGGGCGCCAUUAAUGGAGACCUUGGGAGAGAGGUGGACAGCAGAUGGAGGUCAAAGGGCUCUCCUCCCGAUAAGCACGCGCAGGGGUCUGAUCGCACGCCUCUCGUACUCAAAUAGCUACCCUGCACGGCGCCUCCUAGCUAAUAAAAAUGGGGAUGCGUGGCGGCACGUAACUGGUACUAGUAAGUAGAACGCCCACGGUUUCAAUAAUGCUUGUGUUUCCGAUUGUAACGUGACAACAGUUGUUCCAAAAUGACUUUGUUGAUUGUUAAUGUGUGCGCCUUCGCAAAUCGGACUACAAAUUUACCACAGCAUGUUGGUGCCAUGUCAUGGCACCAAGCCAAGUUUCAUUAUUUUCAUGCGUGUUUUGGAUUUACAGGAAUUAAAAAACUAAGUUUCUCAAUGUUUCCAACCCAGCCACGACGCCCAGAAUUUUGAAUUUCAUUCCCAUUUCUUGCAUGGAACCUAGAAAUUUACCCGAGGACACACAUGUGAUUUUUCAACCAACUUUGGUGCACUGGAACAUGUGCUUGUAUUUCAAAUUUGAAUUAUGCACACAAAGGUGACACGUUCCCUCCCAGAACCACGAGCCUUCUUGAGAGAAGCUCCGAUUUGCAAGAAGCUUAUACCAAAAUUUGUUCCUAUUCGGCCAAUUUUUUUACCACGGCAUGGUACUACCAUGACAUGACACCAUGCCAAGUUUCAUGAUUUUAAAACCAAGUUUCUCAAUGUUCUCGACCGAGCCACGAUGCCCAGAUGUUUGAAUUUUAUUCUCAUUUUUUGCAUGGGACCUACUCCCUCCUUCCAUCUAUAUAGGGCCUAAUGUGUUUUUCAAGACAGCCUUUGACUAUUGACAAGAUUAAUAGCACAUGAGAUGUAUACUAUGAAAAUUAUAUUAUUGGAAGCUCCUUUGACAUACAAAUUUGAAGGUGUGCUUUGUGUAAGUUGCAUGUCAUAUAUUAUUGCUCUAACGUUUGGUCAAAGUUAGCCUCGAAAAACGCAUUAGGACCUAUAUAGAUGGAAGGAGGGAGUAGAAAUUCACCCGAGGACACAAAUGUGAUUUUUCAACCAACUUUGGUGCACGAGAGCAUGUGCUUGUAGUUCAAAUUUGACUUAUGCACAUUAAAUGACCAGAAACUCAAUUAAUGUAUAAAAAAGACAAACGAACCCGGAAUAAUUCCAAAAUUUAACAGGGCACUAAUGUAGUUCUAUGUUGCCUUUGUUAAGAAACUCAAGGGGGGGGGCAGCGUAUAUCGUUUCACACUCAAAGGUGGCACGUUCCCUCUUAGAACCACGAGCUUCCAAAUCGGCCCAAUUUUUUACCACAACAUGUUAGUGCCAUGACAUGACACCAUGCCAAGUUUCAUGAUUUCCAGGCGAGUUUUGGAUUUACAUGAAUUUAAAAUCAAAGUUUCUCGAUGUUCUCGGCCGAGUCAUGACGCCCAGAUGUUUGAAUUUCAUUCUCAUUUCUUCCAUGGGACCUAGAAAUUCAACCAAGGACACACAUGUGAUUUUUCAACCCACUUUGGUGCACCGGAGCAUGUGCAUGCAAUUCAUAUUUAGAUUAUGCACAUUAAAAGUCUAGAAACUCAAUUAAUGUAUAAAAAGGCCAAAUCAACCCGAAAUAAUUCCAAAAUUUAACAGGGCACUCAUAUAGUUCUAUGUUGCCUCUGUAAAUAAAAUCAGGGGGAGGCAGCGUAUAUCGUUUCGCACACAAAGGUGACACGUUCCCUCUCGGAACCACGAGGCUUGUUGAGCGAAUCUCCGGUUUUGCAAGAGGCUUAUACCAAAACUUGUCCCAAUUCAGCCAAAAAUUAUACGUAUGAAAACAGGGUUUAGAUUAUCCCAAACAUCUCGUUACCUAGACCAAUAAUGUACUAUGAUUUGAAUUCAACAUAAAAUGGAUACAAAUAUUUGAAUUGGAGAGCUUAUGGUACAUGUAGUUCAUAGUGAAAUAUGAUUCUGCUAUAUGUAUGUUUUUUGUUAUCAAGGUAAUAUUUAAAUUAUUGUAUAACUUGACAACAAUCGUAUUCAAAUAAGGAAAAUUGAUUCAAAUUUAGUCCAUAUGGUAGACGACAAUAUAUAUGUUCACAUGGUGGAGUAAAAUGUUCAUAUAUGAUGGAAGAUCAAAAUGUACGACUACAUCAAUUAUAAACCGCAAGGUCACCUAACGAUAUAUUCGAAUUCAACAUAACGUGGAUUCAAAAAUUGAAAUUCGAGAUCAUGGCAUCUGUAAUCAUAUAAAAAGGGACAUUACUCUUUCUUUGGUGGGAAUUGAUUUGUUUUUUGUUGUUGUUGAGGGAAGUGCGAAUCGAUUUGGUACUGUGCAAGGUAAUCUUGUUCUCCCGAUUUUUUUACAUUUUUCUUGUAGUAUUUUAAUGGCAUCUAUAGCAAUAUAGUAAAAGGGGACAUGACUCUCUUGUGUCUUGUAUGAAUUGUUUUUUACACGUUAAGUUUGUUCUGCCGAAAAAGGAAUCCGCACCUUGUUAUCCCGAAAUGUUCAAGCUCGAGUAUCUUUUGUCUCACCUGCUUUGAAACUCCCGCUUCUUCAACCCGCGCCGCGCCUUGUUAUCCCGAAAUUUGGACGCGCGCGAGAACUCCCUCCUCAUCCGAAAUUGCUCCCGCAGCCCAGACACGCGAAAUCCCCCUUCUACCCCUCAGCCGGAAAUGAAGCUCCACGUCGUGGUGUCAAAACCGGUGGGGGUACGCUGGUAACUUACCCUACAUUUCGGACAAGCGCGUCCCUAAGCUUGGCUCCCCCUCCCCCUUCGCCCCCCCAUUCGUACACCGAGGCCGCCAAAACCCGCGAAACCCCACGCUCCUCCGUCGGCCUCCCGACCGCCGCCCAGCCGGAGACUCUUCCACGACUACGUCGUCCACCGCAACAGCUCGCCGUCCCUCAUCCACUGCACCGGAUGAGGAUCCGUUGUCGAUCUCGUCGUCCCGCCGGAUCAGCCGCCCCGUCCUCCACCUCCAAGGAGCUGCCCCUACGUUCGCCUCGUCUAUCGCGCCACCUCAAUCCCCAUAGCGUCGUCUUGACCUGCCCCACCGGAACCACAGCACCCUCACCAAUUCCUCCGAUGAAGCUGAGGCCAACUCGGCGCCACCAAGGAGGUUCUGCGCUCACCGCUGCAUUUUAUCUUUUAUUCGAUCUCAUGGGGCUGCCGGUGCUCGAUACCGAGCAGACAUGGCAUGUCUCCAUCGACGGCGCCGUCGCCGGCCACAUCAUCCAUGGCGUCUCUCCCCCAUGGAUGACUUCCACAACGCUGUUGCUUCCUUGGCGGCGACUUCCACAACGGCACUAGCUGCAGCUGCUCCGGCUCUCGCUCGCGCUGCAGCUCUGUUCUUGUUGUCGGUCGCGCUGCUGCACUGCUCCUGCUUUCGUUCGUGCUGCUACUCUGCUCUUGCUCUUGCUUGCGCUGCUGCUGCACGACCUCCGACAGCUACAGGAGUUGCUGCUUUAGCACUCGCUCGCGGUGCUACUGCACGACUUGCUCUCUGCUAGUGCGUUCCCUGCUCGAGCGUCUGCUGAUUUACAUCACUGCUUCUCUGCUACUAGUGCUCGAACGCCCUAAACAUCUAUUGCAAUGCUCUGUUACUAGUUCAAUCAGUUUCGACAGUAAAAUUCAGUUUCGACUAUGAAGUUCAUUUUCUUCAGUUAAGUUCAGAGUGAACAGUACUUACAGCAUCUGUCGGAGCGGCCGUGGCGCGGCUGAUGCGUUUUACAUCUAGCAAUUUUUGGUGAUGUAUUUUACAUCAUCUAUUGCAGAUGAUAUUAGGGUCCCACUUCAGAUUAACGUUGUCUGUCUUGUCAUGCUUCAGCCUCGUCGCCGUACACCUUAGCGGAGCUGCUCCAACGACGGAACCGUCCAUCACAGCGGAGCAGUACCCUCGGCGUCGUUUCCAGAGGCCUCGGAUCUUCUUCCCCGCCUCCGACAGUCACACCAGCAUCAUCACCAUCCUCCACGUCCAACCCAAUGAUGCUGAGGUCCACAAGGCUAUGCCAAAGAGGUUGUACACUCGUCGCAUCACUUUGUUUCUCCAUUCCUCUGUUCUUCCAACUCAUGUGAGCCAAACACCCAGGUUGACUGAAAUCCUAUGUUUCCAAAUGCUCUGUUUUGCACGUGCAUUCCUAUCCUAUUCCUGUGUUUUUCCUGUCCCUGCGUUUAUAGAAUCCUCCAAUUCUAAGGAGCCCUUACAGAUUUACUUCAUUUUCAGAUAGGCGUCAAAGAAAACUCUGUGUGUUAUGUCCUGCUCCUGCCGUGCCGUCAUCCACCCCACCUGAGGUGCACCAUCGACAGAAGCGUUCACUGCAGCAGAGAUCCCCCCUGCAGACUUCCUUUCGCCGCCUCAGAUCAUCUUCCCCGUUGCCGGCAGCCACGCCACUGCAUUACCAUCAUCGACUGAGAAGAUGAACCUGAGGACUACACAGUUCCGGAAGAGAGGUCGCAGUCUUUCGUGUUUGCUUACGUUAUACAUCGAUUAUUAUUACCUGCUACUUUAUCGUUCAAUCUUGAGUUUUGAAUUGACCAUGGGUCUCAUAUCAAGCCAGCAAUGAAUAGUAUCUGUCUACUAUCUGGUUCAGCUGGGGUCUUCUAUGUGGUUCAUGUUGGGUGGGCAACAAACAAUAGAUGAUCCAUUGUCUAUCUUUUUAAACUGAAGCUAUAAUCUACCAGCUAUCAUUAGUUUUGGAUCCAUCCACUCAUUUGCUACCAUGAGUCUUGAUUUUUGCAUGCACCCCUUAGGCCUUACAAAAUCUAGCUAUUUUUUUAUUAUGCAUGUCAGAUAUUGUACACAAUCGUACUGAACAUGUAGAGAAAAAGAGAAGACCGUUGCGUGCGAAUAUAAUGUCAUGCAGACGCCGCUCCAUGGUGGGCGAAGUGCCUCCCCUCCUACAUUUCUAGAUUGUAUUCCAGAGGAAGAUAACUGUUCAGAUGGAGAUUCAGAAGGAGCCGACCACGCCUGUUUACCACCUGAGGUGUUUGCUCUAACCUGGCAUGCUGAUGUUGGUCAUGUCAUGCAUAUGGCGCCUUGCAUUGCUUACAUUAUACAUCUUAUAUGUCAUCAGCUUAGUUUAGAUUUGCUUUGUGUGAAUGCCACCUGUUUGGUUUCUAUAUCAUACUCCCACCAUUCCUAAAUAUUCGUCUUUUAAGAGAUUUCAACAAGUGACUACAUACGGAACAAAAUGAGUGAAUCUACACUCUAAAAUAUGUCUAUAUACAUCCGGAUGUGGUAGUCCAUUUGAAAUCUCUAAAAAGACAAAUAUUUAGGAAUGGAGGGAGUAUAUGGGAAUUAUGCAAUGCCAUCUUCUUUAGCCAGGCAUCAUAUACGUGAAUCAUGCAAUGCCAUCCUGUUUAGCCAGUCAUCGUAUAUGUGAAUUGUAUUGUGCCAUAUUUUUUUCCAUAAUGUAUUCCAUUUGUCAACAAUGUUUAUACAUUCAUCUACUCUUCCUGUGCAUCAGCCAUUUGAGUCGGUCAUGGGAAAAUCUGGAGUGAAAACAAGGUCUUCCGAGUAGUCAGUGCUACCUGUUGAUGCAGAUUUCUUGCUGGUUACAGAUAGCUCCUCAGAGGAGGAUUCAGAGAGAGAUGACCAGUCGUAUUCCCCCACCCCCCGAGGUGCAUGCUCUAACUUGGCUGGGUUAUAUUGCUCAUAUCAUGCAUAUGGUGUCUUGCAUUGCCAUGCCAUCUGCUUAGAUUAGACAUGCUUUGUGUGAAUGCCUCCUGUUUGCUUUCUAUAUCAAAUAUGUGAAUUAUGCAAUGCCAUGUUUUUCAGCCAGUUAUCAUAUAUGUGAAUUACGCACCGCCAUGGAGCCAGGCAUCAUAUAUGUGAAUUAUCUCAUGCCAUCUUUUUUUUCAUUACGUAUUCCAUUUGUCGACAAUCUGUGUAUAUUGAACUACUCUUCAUGUGUAUCAGUCAUUUGAGCCGGUUAUGGAAAAAUCUGGAGUGAAAACAAGGUCUUCAGAACAGGCAAUGGUACCUGUUGAAGCAUAUAUCUCGAUGGUUACAGGGAGCUCCUCAAAGGAGGAUUCAGAGACAGAUGACCAGUCCUAUAUCCCACCUGAGGUGUAUGCUCUAAGUUGCAAUGUUUAUAUUUCUCAUAUGAUGCAUAUGGUGUCUUGCAUUGCUUAGUUUAGACAUCAUAUGCACAAUAUUGAAUUCUAUCUGCUUAGUUUAGAGAUCAUACAUGCGAGUGCCAGCUGCUUAGUAUAUGAAUCAAUUAUGUCAAUUAUAUCAUGCCAUCCUGUAUACUUAGACAACAUGUAUGUGAAUUAUUUCAUCCCAACCUAUUUUAGAAAGACAUCAUAUAGUUUUGUCAUGUCAUCCUGUUUAGGUACUCAUCAUAUGUUGAAUUAUGCCAUUAUAUCCUGUUAGGUUAUCCAUCAUAUAUCUGAAACUGUGUCAUGCUAUCCUGUUUAGUUAGGCAUCAUAUAUGUGAAAUUGUGUCAUGCUGUCCUGUUUGAUUAGACAACAUAUAUGUGAAUUACCACAUCUGUCUAUCAUACAAUGUCUGUACGUUCAAUUUCUUUUCUUGAUUAUCAGCCAUUUGAAUUGGAGGGGGUGAUGGCAGUAUCUAAGGGAGAAAAAACCCGUUCUUCACAAAAGACAGUGCUACCCGUCGAUGCAGAUAGAACCAUGGUUGUACUGGCCCACAAACUAGCCCCACCGCACAUAAUCGAGACUCUUCCAGAUUGCACACUUACACCGUUGGGCAGAGAACCAGCUACAACCCAUCUAACCGCAACCCCAGCGGAUAGUAGCCCACUUAUAGUUGACAAAGCACCAUGUCCACCACAUAGUACCCCCACACGAGCAGUUUGUAAAGCUACUGCAGUGCCCAGAGCACGAAGACCACCACAGCUAACCCAAACUCCACGUUUAAAGCAGAAGAGCAACUGUUCUCAGGUCAGAUUCCGUAGCUAUGGUCCAUACUCCUUGCUGUUGCAUCACUGUAUUUACUCAUACCAACUACUUUCGAAUUUGAAGGAUCCAAUUGAAACUCCAAUGGCGCAACAGGUAUGUUUUAAACCUAUUUCUUUAACUGGAUUGCUGUUCUAACUUCUUGCUCUAUCUUGAUUUCAGUUUAAGUUGUAUAAACAGUUAUGUUCUCAUGUGAUGCACAUUACAAGUGCUGCCAAUGUUGUGUAGUUUCUCACAUUUAUAUUCUGUCUUUGCUGCUGUGUCUUAAAAAUAUAUGAGUUGAACUUUGUCUCUAUCUUGAUUAGGUAACAUAAACUAGAAUGAUAUGGACAAUACAGUGACCAUAGUACAUAGAUAUAUGUUUGUUUCAUGCUGUUAUCAUGUCCACCUUACUACUGAACCGGUUUACCAAAAUGAGUUUCGUAUACUACAAGCUAAACAUGUGAUGUGUCUGCUUGUUUCUCUUGUAGUAUGCAAACAGAAUGUUGGAGAAGAGCACCCCACUAUGCAAUGGUAGAGAAAGUAAUGCAGAUAAGGUUCAAGAUAGUGAGACAACCCUGUUGGUCUCCAAGAAAGGUGAUAAAAACGAUCUUGUAGACAGUGAGAAAACCCCACAGUCCUGCGUUGAUGUAGUGUUCGAGUUACUGGCCAGUACCGCUGGCACAAGCUCUUCGAACUCGCUGCCUGAAUCACUUCGGCUUCUUCAGUCUCAGCUACAAGCUGAAAGGCAUCAGUCAGCUGUGCUGCGGCAAGAAGCCGAAGGACUGAGGAAGUCCCUGCAGAAUUCAGAUGCGUACUUUCUUGUGCAACAGCAAGCGCUGGAGGAUUUAAGCGCAAACAAGAGAAAGUUAAUAAGCUUGCUAAGCAUCUUGCCAGCAUUAUGGGUACCCAGGAUAUUGUUUCUUGAACUCUUCUGAAGUGGUUUCAGUUCUGGACUUGUUUUGCUGCGGCGUUUAUAUGCUGCUUUGUUCCCUAUAUUUGCACUGGUGGCGAACUUUGAUGGCCAGUGGAUGUAAUAUGUGUAAUAGCCGUGAUAGCCUAGCAUAAGUUGCUUGCUUAUUUAUUUCCUUGUUGUCUUGUUUAUUUGUUUGCUUGUAGUCAGUGCAGUUCUUUUUCCGCGGUUUGCUAGUGGCUGCAAUAACCUAUUUUUUAAAACUAGGCCACAAUAACCAUGGGCUAAUAUUUACUGUAGUGACACUGGGCCUCCUAAGGGCCAUAGAAACAGUGGGCCUUCUACGGGCCGUAGAAACAGUAGGCCUUCUACGGGCCGUAGAAACAAUGGGCCUUCUACGGGUCGUAGAAACAAUGGGCCUUCUAUGGGCCGUAUCAUCAAUGGGCCUUAUACGGGCUGUAUGAUCGAUUGGCCAAACAUGGGCCAAUAACAGGCCGCAUUAUGGCCGUAAACGGGCUAGAGUUGGAAUCGUCCGUUCAUGGGCCGACCAUAAUGGGCCAUCGUUAAUAGGCCGUAUUUGAUGACGCUAUGAAAACGGCCCAACGUAUUAACGGACCACAAACGGGCAGACUGUAACCACGGGCUGAAUUUGGCCCAGAAGCAGAAAAUGACAGUAACGGGCCGUAAGUAAACGAAUGCUGGAAAUGAGACCAAGAAUAAAUGGGCUCUGAGAAGGCCGAAAGAUAACAUGGGCUGGAAACGGCCCAACGGAAUAACGGGCCAUUAAUGGGUAUAAAGUGAUACACUGUUCAUUACGGGCCAGUUUCACCACGGGCCGUUAAUGGGUGUAAAGUGAUACAUUGUUCAUUACGGGCCAGUUUCACCACGGGCCGUUAAUAGGCCAAGAGUUACAUAGGGCCUCAUAUGGGCCGAAAGACGUCAUGGGCCAUACAUGGGCUAGAAGUGAAAACGGGCUGGAAUCAUAUUGGAUGGCCCAGAUGACGCUACUGGGCCUAAUUCGGAUAGGGCAUAACGGGCCUUGGGUUAGCGGGCUGUAAAUGGGCUAUAUGCGAACAAGCCGUUAACAGGCUUUCCAUGGGCCGGCCCGCCACCUUUUGACCAAGUCAAACGGGCCGGCCUUUUCACAGGAAUGGGCCUCUGUUGGGCCGUGCCACGUGUCGACGUAUCAUAGGCGCCUUCUGUCCAAUGAGUGGAUGACAUAUGUCCCAGCGAUGAGCCGACACGUGUUUCCUCCAGCCAAUGAUGAUUUUACACGUGGAAAAUCCCCAUUGGUCGGGGCUGUUAACGGGUUAUCGGAUCCAAAACCCGACCCGAUAGCUUAACGGCAUUCCGUUACGGAGGAUGCCACGUGUUGGUCACCCUUGACGAAAGCACUUCUGUGACGCGCGAUUUAUCAUCAUGGAAGUGCACACUUCCGUGAUGAUAAUUUUGGUAAUAUCAUGGAACACUUCUACGACAGCACAGGUAUGACUAUCUUGAUUCUGUCAUAAAAUCGUCAUGGAUGUACAUGCAUGACAAAAAAUGCGACCUACUGUGACAAACACGUAUCAUCAUGGAAGUGUAUUUUUUUGUUGUGAGUCGGGGCUCCCGCCCGAAGCACGGAGAACGAUGCUCGAGGUCUUGACGGGUGACCCCUCGCCAGCCGAUAUGCCGCAGGAUGGCUGUCUUUUGUACUGCUGCUCAAACAGGGUGGAGUUCGCGGGGCAGAUGCCCACCUUUGAUGAAUGGGGGCUGUGUCCAAUCGGCCUUGAAGGGCCCCACGAGAACCCUGUUUUCGUGGGCCCCCUCCUCGCCACCAGCGCUGAACUCACCCCGAGAGUGGAUGCAGGGGGCGAGCACAACUUGAGGCCGGGGGCGCUGAUGCUGACGUGUCGACGCUGCGCGAGGCUCUCGAGGUGCCAUCACCGGGAGCCCAUGACUCUUGUCCUGGGGUGACAGCCGAGGAGGCGACGCAAUCCGCUGCUCCUGAGGCCGAGGCUUCCGGGGUCUCAGCAGGUCACCAUGAGGCGGAGCCCGAGGGCUCCCCUCAGCCGGGCACUCAUGAGGCCGCCUCAUCGAGCGCCUCACCAGCCGCGCCCUGCGCUGGUUACCGCAUCCAACGCUUCGGUCGGCUCCGUCUGGACUUCGACGCGCUCCGCAAGAGGAAAGUGUCUCCAAGCUGCAGCAGUGGUGUUGUCUAGCCAUUGAAGCAUAGGAAUUAUAUCGCCAUAGACGAGUGAGUACCUUAUCUUUGUAAUUUCUCGAGUGCUGCUUCCCCUCCUGAUAGUGGCUCCUCAGGGUCCCCCUGCUAAGGCCGCGAAGUCUCCUGAGAAGCGACUUCCUCCUGCCUCGACUCCUUCACUAGCCUUGAGCGCCCCAAGCCAGCGUGCCGCUCCUGGCGCGAGGUCGGCCGGAGAGGCAGACUCGCCUGCCUGGCGCCUCGAACCCGCGUCUUUGCUGUCCCUCCUUUGUGGCCUCACCUGGGGUAUGGCAAGCGUGCCAAGGGCUCCUCCUUUGGUCAUGGACGGCGGCUGGAUGGCUUCGAUCCUGGCUUCUACUUCGAGCAGUGGACCCUCGCCCAUCCAGGCCUCCGCCGUGGCCUAGACAGUGAUUGGGGAAGCGCCAGCCCCCAGCCCCCUGCUGGGAGGGAGGGAGCCGCCUCGGGCCCCUUCGGGGACCCUACUGCAGGAGAUGGGCCUGGUCGCGGACUCAAGCUUGCGCGUGAGCGGAGUGCCGUCCGCCACGAGCUCUUUCAGGAGGCAAUGGGUGCGAUGAUCCGGCUUGGCGGAGAACUCGCGGAUGUUGACAUGCGCCUUGAAGCCGAGGGUCUCCGGCGGGCGGAGGAGUGGCAUCAACUGAAGGUGGCCAUCAACUUCGGGCGCCUCCAGCGUGAGCAUGCCAACGCGGAGGCUGAGGCAUCCCUGGCAACCUCCUGCGAGGCCAGCGCCCGAGCCUUGGAGGAGGCCAGGGAGGCCGACCGUCGCUGCGCGAUCGCCGAGGAGCGCAGGCGGGAGCUCCUGGCCUUGAACGCCUCGUUGGAGCAGCAGGUGGAGGUGCGCAGAGCCGCCCUCGCGUCGAUGAAGGGGACGCCUGCCGAGGAGGAAGAGAUCCGGAAGCGCGAGGAGGCGCUGGCGCUGGAAGCCACGGAGCGCGACCUUGAGCUUGAGUGGUUGGAGACGAGGGAGCACCAGGUUGCCCAAGCGGAGGAUGCCGUUAACGCGUGCGAGGCGAGGAUCCAGAAGGAGGUCAACAUCAGGGUGGCGGAGGCUUGUGCUGACCUCGACAACAGGUAUGGGAUGAAGCCGGAGCUUGUGGGAGCUGAAGUUGAUGGCCAGGGUUCUGCCUUGAGGUCGAGGUUGGCAGAGGUGGAGCAGCGCGAGCAAGCUGCCGCUGCCGCCCUAAUCUCUGUGCAGGCCGAACUGGCCUCUGCCCGCGCCGAACUACUCCCACUCCAGCAGUGGGUCACCGCCGCUGAGUCCCUCGUGCAACAGAGCAGGGAGGAAGCGCUUUGGCGGCAGACGCUGGAGCGCGAGCACGCCCCCAUGCUCCAAGGCCUCAGGAUCAGAGCCAACGCGGCGCUGGGCAACAUCUGCGACGAACAUGCUCCUCAUCCCCACACGAACGACUAUGCCAGCCACCUCCGUUUUUUUGCUGAUGUGGUGACGCGCCUAGAGAGCCGAUCCGAGAGGGCUCGUGAGCUUGUUGAAGAGAGGAGCCGCGGCCUGCUCGGGCGCGCGUUCUCCUGCGUCUUCAGCCACCUCCAGAACACCUACCCCAACUUCGAUUUUGACGCCGCCAUUGCCCCUGUACCCGAGGCCAUCCGGGGCGACCUGGCUCGCUGGGUGGAAGACAAUGUGGAUGCUCUAGUCAGGGCCUUCACUUUCGAGGACGAUGCGGUGGUGGUCGCGGGGGAUGAAGGCGACGUGGUCAACAAUGGUGAGGGCGGCGCCGGCGAUGGUGACGGUGAUGCCAGCGACGGCAACGACAUCACCAGCAACGCGUCUGAGGGCGACCCGGAGGACGCGGUGAGCGACAUGUCUGAUUGAGCCCGUGUUUCCUCGUCGUUGACCCUACAUGCGAAAGCCCGGGCACAGCCCUGGAAGUUGUAAGAGCAUUUUGGGAGGGGGAGCCCCUCAUCUAAACAGAUUACUGCUUUUAUUCCUUAAGCCAAGCUGAAGAUGUGUUUUCUUGAGCCCACGAGUCCCGGUGCAAGCUUGCUGCUGUAAUUUACCUUAGCUAGGACGAGUUCUGAGCCGGCUUGUGAGGUCGUGAGCUUCUAAGGAGUCUGCCGCUCCGUCCGAGAGAGCCUCGCGAGAAGCAAGUGCCGGCCAGGGCAGGACGUGCGCACAGCGCGGGUGCGUCGCGCCCAGCCCCCGCUCGCGAGGAGCUCGCGAGGGGGGGAAGCAAGUGCGAACUCCGAAUCAAGGCAAGGAACCAGAUCACAAGAAAUCGCACGAACGAGAAAAGACACCCCCCGCGCAUACCAAUGAAAAUUCAACUUCAGACAUAAAUCCAAAGCCAGAAAACAAGGCUACAGAAAAGAGGUCAAAAGCAAAUGGCCGCGUCCGGCACCUAGCUAGGCUUCUGGUCUUCGAGUCUUCCACCAGCGCGGAGCAUAGCGCCUCCACUAGGACGUGGGCGGGAGCCCCCGAGGCCCGAGGGCGGCUCUCCGGAGACUCCGGGGCGUGUACAGCCCCACUCAUUAUUACGGGAGAGUGUCACGAGCGCAGACCUUCACAGGCGUGAGCCUUGCUUCAUAUCGCCAGACGAGGGCACCGCCUUGCGCCGCCCUCGACCACCGUUGGGGCGUCCGGAAACCAGGACGAUGCCAAGGGGCAGAGGGGACGCUAGCGGCGCCCUCGGCAACCACGGGUCCUCUGCCGGGGGAAGGCUCACCAGCGCCUCCUCGGCAGAGGGCCUACCUCCGGACGACGCCUUGCUCCGUGCGACGCGGGGAGGGGCCUUGCUCCUGGCUCCUCCUACGCAGCCCCCAGUGCGUCUUCCCCGGUGGGAGGGGGGCUGCCGUGAUGGGGCCGUCAUCCGGUGCUGUGACCUGGUUCACUUGCGACCCAUGGUUAGCGUAAGCCUGCUCUUGAGAGAUUAGCGGUACCCUGUAGCUGUUGUCGCCGGCGUGGUCAGCGAGGUUCCCGGGUGGCUCCUGGAAGGCCUCAACUUACAGCGUCUCCUCUUCCCAACCCAGCUCGAGAAAAGUGUUGGGGUCAUCUUCUGGCGUGUACUCCUGGUCCAUCAUGCGGGGCACAUAGGCCUCCGGUGCCAUCGCCCCGGAACCUUCGCUGAAGUGCCCCGCGCUCCAUGCUGCCUGGCUCGGAGUGCCGCUCUGAGGGUGGUAGGGCGGCAUCCUGCCCGGGCCAUGGGCGGCGAUGCUCACACCUGCGCCCAUUGGAGAAGGCAUGGGUGCAGUUGGGUGGCCAGCGUCGUUGGCUGUGUCGAUGCCGACGAAACCUCCGGGUGCGCCCGGGGGCGCGCGGGCGCGUCGAGGCCCACCGUGCGAUCCGGUCGCAGUCUGAGGUGUAAGCAAGGAGCAGAAAGGUGGCGUACCCCUGGCUGCAGCAUCCAAUAGCUCGGCGACGCGCUCCAGCAACGCGUCUCGGCCGCUCUCCAUCAGUCGGCAUCGCAGCAGCUCCCGAGCCACCGUGAGCGCGGCCCUCAUGUUUGCUUGUUCCCGUUGGGUGUGCGGCGCCGUGGCCGCAGCGUAGGUUGAGGCCCUUGCGGCUGCCCGUGCUUGCCGUGGAGUAAGGGUGGAUGGCGCUUGACCGUGCCGCCCGCGCCCCGCAGCGUUUGGUGGUGCGCGUGCCGCCUGGAGCGCGGGGUCGAGGUCUUCUUGGGCGGACGACGCCGCCUGGGCUGGCCAAGCUGCCCAGUGGUCGGCGUUGGUCCUCGGGUCACCAGAACCGCGGAGUGUCGGCGGAUCAGCUGGCGGAAGAGAGGCUCCGGCGCACCCCUACCUGGCGCGCCAAAUGUCGGAUUUCGGGUUCCGGAAAAUCCCUUGAGGUUCAAACACUGGGGUGCGUGAUCUCUCCCUCCCCCUAGCUCGCUCUCUCCAAGAUCGCCAGGCCUAGCGCGUCGAACCAAGAGAACAAAGGGACAUAAGAUUUAUACUGGUUCGGGCCACCGAUGUGGUGUAAUACCCUACUGUUGAGGAUAUAGACCUUAGAGUCACCCGCCAGGAGGGGCCGGGUUACUCAUAUGGUCAUUGCCAGAAGCCCGGUGCUAAGCUUGAAGACGGUGGGCCAAAGAUGGGCUUAAGACCCGGAUACGGCUUAAGGCCCGUAGUUACAAUCAUUAUUAUGGUAGAACUUGUAGUGUAAGGCAAGAGUAAUUGAGAGUCCGAGCCGGACACUCUUAUGAGCCGGCGGGGACUCUGAGAGCUGCUGGGCGUCAGCCUCCCUAUAUAAAGGGACGACCCGGCAGCGGUUUUGGGACAGGAAAGAUCUCAUCAAGAGCCAGGCAUUGCAGCUAAGCUCCCUGGCCCUCGAAACCCUAAUCAAUACCACCUCAACUGGACGUAGGCUUUUACCUUCACCGCAAGGGGCCGAACCAGUAUAACCCUCGUGUUCCUUGUCCCGUUAACCCCUUCAAGCUUCCUAGCGGCGAUGGCUCCACGACUAAGUCCUAGCUUGAGGACAUCUUCCGUGACAAUUCCACGACAGCUGACGCCCACCGUGGGGCCAGCGCACGGUGGAUUUGAGUUCUUGAAGGGCAGCUUCGAAGGGCUCAAGGGAUACGCUGUGGGCCGGAUGACCAAGAGUCGUAGCGGAAAGCUCUACAUCGACGAUGCAAACUGGGGCCCCGACGCCGGCUCAAUUGAGUACGGGUACCGGGUCCCCUUCGGCGGAAUUCAUGUUUUCAUUGGCAAGAUUGGUGAGCUGGGCCCUGAGCCAGAUCUCUGCGUCGUUCUCAUCGAGACGGCUCAGCGUGCACGACCCGCCCGGGCCCGGCCUGCCUUAAGGCAUGCUUUUGUGGGAUGCAUCCAUGGAGGGCCCUCUGAUCAAUCUGGAUCUGGUGAUGAGACGGCCGCCGGCUCUGACGGCGAGUCGUCCACUGAUGAGUCAAACUCGUUGUAUCAACUUCAAGAUGGCAGGCUCAUGGGUUGUUCCGAUGGUGACAGUAUUCCGGACCCGUUUGAGCCGCCAAAUCAGGUUGGAGUCUUUAUGGCCGGUGCACAGCCUGUUCAGAACCCUGCUGCUGGAGCGGGAAACCCGGUGCCCUCACCGGCUCAGGUGCUAAUGGAUCUCACGGACAAGAUGACGGCCCUGUUAACCGCCACGGUUGACCCGGCGGAUCAAGCUCAGCAUGAUGUGGAGGUGGCACCGUUAAAGUUGGAUCUAGUGAAAGCUAAGGAGGAUCUGGCAGCAGAAGGGAUCAGGAUGGCUGCGGAAAGGGCGGCUCUCGACGCCCAAACCUAGUUGAUUCAAGCGCAGUCCUUCCGGCUCACGAUGGAUCAAAACGCGUCCAAUGAGGUCCUGAGAAGGAGGCAUCAAAAGGCCCAAUCUCGACUCCCUCCGGUUUACGAUCCACGAAACCUCUUCAACACGCCAGGUGCAGGGUCUAGUAACCCGCCGGGGGUCAUAGUGCCCGGAUCCGGGACCCCUACUCAGCCACAAGUGAUGGGGCCUCCCCAGAUGCCCCCUGCCCCGCCUCAGUACGUGCCAAUACCACCAGGUCAUUAUGCCAACCCGCUGGAGAACACGGUCGCCGCGGCAGCACGGCUGGCGGCUCUCCCAAUUGACGGCGACUCUCCGACGGCUAUUGAAACCCGCCGGGUCAGGGAACUCCUUCAGACGGCACUGGCGCAGCAAGAGGCGUACUCCUACAGCCGGGACAGGAUCCACUCGACCCCUCGUCCAGGCCGGAGCCCGAGUUACAGCAGACACAUGGUCUCAGCGACCGGCUCAAGUAACGUCCGACGCCAUGAACCGCCCCCUGGCCAUGGCCCGGCUCAUAACGGAGCCUUUCACGCGGCAGGCCAAGACAGAGCGCGGCAAGAGGCGGAACAGGUGCCUCAGCUGACGGCUUACCAAACUCCCCCGGCUUAUCCGACGACUUCCGUCGACGGGGGUAUCCCUACCAGGACUGGGGGUGUCCCUUGUUUAGUGCCAGCUAUCCGCAAUGAACGUCUACCCAAGGACUUCAAAGGCCCUAGGAAGGUGCCUAAUUACACGGCAGACUUACAACCCGCAGCCUGGAUCAAGAGUUAUGAGAUGGCUAUGGAACUACUGGAGGUCAGUGAAGCGGCCAUGGCUAAGUACUUCACCAUGAUGUUAGAUGGGACUGCCCGCACUUGGUUGAAAGGGCUACCACCGAAUUCCAUUGGGUCUUGGGCUGAGCUGAAGGCCCGGUUCAUCCAAAACUUCAAGGAUACCUGUAGGCAGUCUAUGUCAAUUGUGGAUUUGACUAACUGCAAGCAGCAGGAGGGUGAGUCUAAGACACAUUGGGUUCGCCGGGUUAAGGAGAUAAUACAUUCCUCGGAUAAGAUGGAUGUCGGCUCUGCAGUCUUAAUGUUGGAGCAGAAUUGUCGUUUUGUGCCCCUGAAGAUGAAACUCGGGCGGCUUAAGCGCGACUGCAAUGAUAUGGGUACACUGAUGGCGGCUCUGGUCAAGUACGCCGAUUCUGAUGGUACCAAGGACCCCGCUUCAGAUGAUGAAAGGGCAGGGAAGGGAAAGAAGAACGGCAAUGGCAAGGGUCCUCAGCAUAACCCGGGAAACCAAGGAGGAGGCAAGCGCAAGGCCGAUGGCAGCCUAGAGUUUGUAGCCAACGCCAGCUCACAAGGUAAUAACCAGCGGCGCAAGGGGAGGCUUCCUCCCCGAGGCGGCGGGUCAGGCCCGACGCUGGAGCAGCUGUUGAAUGAGCCUUGUCCAAGGCAUGGCUCUAGAGAGAAGCCAGCGACUCAUCUAUGGAAGGAUUGUGCAAUCAUGAAGGCCUUUAAGAAUUACAAUGGCCCGGGCGGCGGCUCAGGCGCCGGCGGCUUUCAUGGCCCGGGCGGCGGCUCAAAUUCUAAUCCUCAGAACGGUCAAGGGGGCUUUAAUCAGCAGUCUGGCCAGGGUCAUCAACAGCAGCAGGGAGGUUAUCAGACCAAUCCAAAGCAGCUUAGCGGUGGACAGUAUCAUGUGUUUACCACCAGUAUGUGUAAGCGAGAUCAGAAGCUUCAUAAGAGGGUUGUGAAUGCUGUUGAGCCGGCGGUUCCACGCUACUUACGGUGGUCUGAGCAGCCUAUAGUGUGGAGUAGGGAGGAUCACCCUCCCCGGGUGGAUAAUCUAGGUCACUUGGCCCUGGUGGUGGCUCCUCAGGUGGGAGGAUAUAAGUUCACUAAGGUGCUCAUGGAUGGAGGCAGCAGCAUCAACAUCCUCUAUUAUGAGACAUUUCGUCGUAUGGGGUUGAUUGAUAAGAAUCUCAGCCAAUCAAAUACUAUUUUCCAUGGUGUGGUACCUGGUAAGUCGGCUUAUCCAGUCGGCAAGAUCGAGUUGGAAGUGGCCUUUGGAGAUGAGCACAACUACAGGGUGGAAAAAUUGACCUUUGAGGUGGUCAAGAUAAGAAGUCCGUACCAUGCCAUAUUUGGGCGGCCGGCUUACGCCAAGUUCAUGGCACGGCCGUGUUACGUGUAUUUACAGCUCAAGAUGCCGGGUCGUAAUGGGACCAUUACGGUUCAUGGAAGCCGGAAGGUGGCCCUGGAGUGUGAGGAAGGCGAUGCAGCUUAUGCAGAAUCUGUUUGUGCAACAGAGGAGUUAAAGUUUUACAAGGACAACGUUGACCCAACAGAUAUGACCUCUCUGAAAAAGCCGACUACGGAGCAUGAGCCGGCAAUGAAAUUCAAGUCGGCUGAUGAGACUAAGCUUGUUGAUUUCGUUCCAGGAGAUUCAUCUCAGCAGUUUAGCAUCAGUGCCAAUCUGGAUCCAAAAUAGGAAAGCGCGCUCAUCGAGUUCAUCCGUGAGAAUAGGGACAUCUUCGCAUGGAAACCUUCUGACAUGCCAGGUGUACCUAGAGAACUCGCUGAGCACACUCUCAAUGUUGACCCGAAAUUUAAGCCGGUCAGGCAGUUCCUUCGACGGUUCAAUGAGGAGAGGCGGAAAGCUAUUGGUGAAGAGGUGGCCCGGCUCUUGGCGGCCGGGUUUAUUGUUGAAGUCUUUCACCCAGAAUGGUUAGCUAACCCGGUCCUCGUGCUCAAGAAGAACGGCACUUGGCGGAUGUGUGUGGACUACACAGACUUAAACAAGGCGUGUCCGGCUGAUCCUUUUGCCCUUCCCCGUAUUGAUCAAAUUAUUGAUGCUACGGCAGGUUGUGCGCGCUUAAGUUUCUUGUAUGCUUAUUCCGGAUAUCAUCAGAUUAAAAUGGCAGUUAAGGACCAGGAGAAGACGGCAUUCAUCACUCCCUUUGGAGCCUUCUGCUAUGUGUCUAUGCCCUUUGGACUCAAGUGUGCACAGGCGACUUACCAGCGUUGUGUACAGAACUGUCUUCAUAACCAGAUUGGGCGCAAUGUUCAUGCUUAUGUGGACGAUAUUGUGGUUAAGUCCAUAAAAGAGGAAACCCUGAUAGAUGAUUUAAGGGAAACCUUUGAUAAUCUCCGGGUCUACAAGAUGAUGCUUAACCCGACCAAGUGUGUUUUUGGUGUUCCUGCAGGCAAACUCUUGGGUUUCUUGGUUUCUAACAGAGGCAUUGAAGCUAACCCGGAGAAUAUCAAAGCCAUCACCUCCCUGGCUAAGCCGGCGUGUAUAAAUGAUGUUCAGCGCUUGGCGGGUCGCAUCGCUGCUUUAAGCCGGUUUAUAAGCCGUUUGGGUGAGAAGGCCAUGCCAUUAUAUCAGUUGAUGAAGAAAACUGAUAACUUUGUCUGGAAUGAUGCAGCUAAUACUGCCUUUGAGGAUUUGAAGAAGCAGCUGGCAGAGCCCCCAGUCCUUGCUGCUCCGGUUGAUAAGGAGCCCUUAUUGCUGUAUGUGGCUGCUAACACACGAGCCGUCAGUGUGGCCGUGGUGGUGGAGCACAAGGAAGAGGGUAAGGAGCAUCCGGUUCAGCGGCCGGUUUAUUAUGUCAGCGAAGUGCUCAUUGAGUCCAAGCAGCGGUAUCCGCAUUGGUAGAAGCUUGUUUGUGGUGUGUUCAUGGCGAGCCGGAAACUUAAGCAUUAUUUCCAGGGUCAUCCCAUCACUGUGGUCAGUUCUGCCCCUCUUGGUGAUAUCAUCCAAAACAGAGAGGCCACAGGGAGAGUGGCUAAGUGGGCUAUAGAGCUUGGACCUCAUGGUCUGAAAUACGUGCCACGCACUGCUGUUAAGUCUCAGGCCUUGGUGGAUUUCAUCAAUGAUUGGACAGAGUCACAAAUGCCCGAGCAAAAGCCGGAUAACACAUACUGGACUAUACACUUUGAUGGGUCCAGGCAGUUGGAGGGCUCGGGGGCUGGAGUCGUGUUGGCUUCCCCUAAGGGUGAUAAGUUCCAUUAUGUGCUACAAUUGAUGUUUCCUUGUACCAACAACACAGCUGAGUACGAGGCCUUGCUCCACGGUCUUCGGAUGGCUAAGGAGAUGAGCUUGAGCCGGGUAAGGUGUUUCGGUGACUCAGACUUGGUGGCUCUACAAGUAUCAGGCAAAUGGGACUCUAAGGACCCUCUCAUGGCGGCUUAUCGCCGCGAAGUUGAUGCCAUUGUUGGGCACUUUCAGGGCUACCAAGUAGAGCACAUUGAUCGCAGGAAGAACGAGGCGGCUGAUGCCCUAAGCCGGCUGGGCUCUCAGCGAAAGCCGGUGCCGCCUAAUACUUUCCUGGAUGUCCUGUAUAACCCUUCUGUUAAGUUGCCUACAGAGGAAGACUUGGCUGUCCCUGACCUGGAGGCACGAUUGGUGGCGGCUCUCCACAUCAUACCGGACUGGACAACGCCCUAUCUGGCUUACAUGACCCGGGGAGAGUUGCCUGAGGAUGAAACAUUGGCCAGACAAAUAACCCGGCGGGCUAAGUCAAUGAUUGUUAUCGAUGGCGAGUUGCAUCACCGCAGUGUUACGGGAGCAUUCCAGCGUUGUGUCUCCCCUGAGGAAGGUCAAGAGAUCUUGCGUGAGAUUCAUGAAGGGGAUUGUGGCCAUCACGCCGGCUCAAAAUCUCUUGUGGCCAAGGCUUUUCGUCAUGGUUUUUAUUGUCUGACGGCUCAUGCUGAUGCGGAGGACUUGGUCAAUAAAUGUGAUGGUUGCCAAAGGUUCUCACGACGGGCUCAUGUGCCGGCUCAGGAGCUGAGGAUGAUCCCAAUUACUUGGCCCUUUGCGGUCUGGGGGCUUGAUAUGGUUGGGCCUUUUAAAAGGUCCAAGGAUAAGAAGACCCACCUCUUGGUGGCAGUUGACAAAUUUACCAAGUGGGUUGAAGCGGAGCCAGUUAGCAAGUGUGAUGCAGCCACGGCGGUUCAAUUUAUGAAAAAGGUGAUUUUUCGCUUUGGCUUUCCGCACAGCAUUAUAACUGACAAUGGCACCAAUCUAUCCAAAGGCGCCAUGGAAGAAUUUUGUCAACGAGAGCAUAUCCGACUUGAUGUUUCCUCAGUGGCUCAUCCUCAAUCCAAUGGUCAAGCUGAGAGAGCUAAUCAGGAGAUUCUGAAGGGCAUCAAGCCCCGUCUUUUGGUCCCUUUGCAACGGACGCCGGGUUGUUGGGUGGAGGAGUUGCCCUCCGUGUUAUGGAGCAUCAACACUACUCCUAACAGGUCUACAGGUUUUACGCCUUUCUUCAUGGUUUAUGGGGCAGAAGCAGUCCUCCCCAGUGACAUCCGUCAUGACUCGCCUCGAGUGGCGGCUUAUGUUGAGGCGGAUAAUGAACAGGCGCGCCAAGAUGCUCUUGACUUGUUGGACGAACAGCGUGAUGUGGCAGCAGCCCGCUCAGCGAUUUACCAACAAGACCUGCGCCGUUAUCAUAGUCGCCGGGUUAAAUCCCGGGUCUUCCAGGAAGGCGAUCUCAUGCUCCGGCUCAUCCAAGAUCAAACAGAUGCGCACAAGCUAUCCCCGCCUUGGGAAGGGCCCUUUGUGGUCAGCAAGAAUUUGCACAACGGGUCAUAUUACCUCAUUGACAUUCGGGAGCACAAAGAUUCACGUAAGUCGGAGGAAGAGACCCGUCGGCCGUGGAACAUAGCUCAGCUUCGGCCUUACUACACUUGAGCCACCGGCUCUCAUAAUGUACAUAUUUCUCUAAGCCAUGUAUAUAUCGUGAUAAGCAAUAAAGCAGGACCUCUGUCCUUUUUUCUCCUCCAAAUGUGCAUGUGUUGUUUUCAUUGCAAGAUUACAUGAUAACUUGAAGGAGGAUCCGGCUUAUGAUCAUAUUAGAAUCUAGCCGUAAGCAAUAAGGUCACUUGGGGGCUUCCUGUUCAAACAUAGGUCGUAUUCGAACCAAAGAGAACAUAGCUGUCGAUACCCAUUUGAUUGGCAAAGUGCCGAGCUCAUUGGGGAAUUUUCUUUGAUCAUAUUUGAAUCUUAGUUUAACCCCUUUGAGAACCGACGUGGAUCGUAUUCGAAUCAGCGUCGUUAAACAAUUCUUAAAGUCAUUUAUGGGCUUCCUGUUCAAACAUGGGUCGUAUUCGAACCAAAGAGAACAUAGAUGUCGGUACCCUCUUGAUUGGCAUCGCCACACCCACUGGGGGCUAUAUGAUCGUAUUCGAAUCCUAGCAUAACCCCUUUGGGCCAGGUCUCUGGUCGUAUUCGAACCGGAAACCCCUAAGUUCUUCUGCUUUAUAGCAAGUUUCUUCUGAUUAUUUCAAAGUGUGUACGGCCGGGUCUCACUUUGCCGGCUUAACUUUGAUUUACAGUGUUAGUUGAACACAAUGGGUGUUAUUAAGACAGGUAAACCAGAGUUGAGGUAUCAACCUUAUUACCCGGGUUAUUUAAACCGGAAGCAUGCUUGCAGGCCGCUAAGUGUGUUAUUACGGCUGUAUUAAGGACAUACUUGAGGACCAGUCUUUUUUGAUUCAUAUCCGGGUUAUAUAUCUAAAACCUAUGAUUCUCAGCGCGGUAAGCCUAGAGACUUGUGAUUUGUCUUAUGCAGGAUAGUCGAAGGCAACUAUUUUGAGCUUAAGGAAAAUACAUGAUUGAUUACGACCCGGAGGAAUAUAAGGAAGACAAUUUCAAUAGACUUCAGCAUUCAAUGCGUGCACGAUGGCACGACACAGUUAAAGUGUUGACCCUAUUCUAUUACAAGACUCGUGGAGUCCAAAAGGGUGAGGCAUUGUUUGAUAAGCCGCCAGCAGAGUUACGACGCUUGCUGGGUUGAAGUCUCCGGCUCGUCCCUCUCUUCUCCUCCGGCUGUUCCCAAGGUCUGGAAAGUCGACGACUUCCAGUCGAUGCCGCUCAGAGCUUCGAAUUGAGCUUCCUCGUCAAUUAACCUGGCCGGGUCAAUCUCUGGGGCGAAGGUGUGCUGACGAGCCGGCGGGAUUAAGCUGAGGGCUUCAUAGCGCGGGGUCGGGAUCCUCUGAUUUUCCGCAUUGUAACCCAGCUGGUACUUGGUCAGAUCUGUGUCGUUUCCAAUAAGGGUGGCCACCGGGCGCACGAUCUUCACGCAGGCGGCAAAGUCUUUUUGGUCGAAGGCCGUGCCGUCUUCCUUCAGACUUGGAUAGCCGAGGGCGAUGUCCGCCGGGUCUAACUCGGGAAGGAAAGCCUUGGCCCGGCUCAGCGCGGCGAUAGCUCCGGCUCUUGCAGAGGCCCGUCGCAGCUCUUGGAUACGUUGAGGCAGAACGGCGAGCCGGCGAAGCACUUCCGCCAGGUGAGUCGGCACCUCGUUGGAUAGGGCCACCACAGCCAAGGCACGCUGUGACCCGGUGUAGAGUUGGUCCACCAGGGUGUACACGGCCUUCAGCUUGGUUACCACACUCUGGUUGAGGUUGGCACUUCUGGGACCUGUUUAACAGAAUAAGAUAAGCCGCCGGCAAGGGUGAGUUAUGAGAUAUAAAGACUACAAACUUGAUGAAAGCCGGUAAAAUGACUUACCGAAGAUUUCGGCAACCAUCUGGGACACUUGGCGCUUUAAGCCGGAGAGUUCGACGGUCUUCUCUGAGAGAGCCUUCUCCGCCUGUUCGGCCCGGUUCACCAGAGCAGCCUUUUCUUCGGCCCAGGCUCUCCGUUCCGCGUCGAAGUCCGUCUUCAGCUUCUCCUGCGCAGCAAUACUGGACACAAAUUUAGCAUUUGCUUUCCGGGUCUCAGUUUCUUGCGUCUUCAGCCGGGCCUUGAGAUCAGAGAUAUCAGUCUCAAACUUCUUGCCAGCAGCCUGCAUAAAUUUCCGGGUUAUAGCAUGAACAGUUAUUAUACAAAUUUAAAGUCCCAAGCGUUUUCCAAGCAAAGACACUUGGCACUUGGGGGCUAAUGCAUAUCGAACGUUCCUAUCUACAAACUACCGGUUCAUGGAAAUAAGCCGGAACUUAAGUCUACAACAUACUCAAUCAUAAGUCGUCGACUUGGGGGCUAGCAUGGUAAAGGUAAUUAUGCAGUAAGUAAGAGGACAGCAGAAUAAUACCAAAGACUUCUGCUGAAUCUGGUUCACCAUGGCAAUCUCUACGUCCCGGCUCUUGUGCACUUGGCUGACGUAGCCGGAGACGAGCUCUCUGAUGCUCAGGUUGGUGUAGUCGGAGAGGUCCAGAUUAACCCGGCGGGGCUGUAGCAGCUCCCCCUUGGCAGAACACUUGGCCAAUGCAGUAGGUCUCCCCGGCUCAACAAAUUUUGUCCGAGUGAUUACCACGUCCGGGUCAUCUGCUGGUUGAGCCGAGCUGGAGGCCUCCGGGUUAACAGAAGCUUCUGCUAUGGGCUUGUUGGUUGGAGCAGCGGCCUCAGGAGCAGAGGCAGCUGGCGGUUCUUGACCUGCUACCUUCGGCUCAAGCAAAUCCGGAUCUUCGACCGGCUUGGUCUUCUUCGCCCUCUUGGUGAGCUUGGCCUGGGCACUGGAAAGACAGAAAGGUUAAGCACAAUAGUGUAAGUAAAGACAAAGUACAACAUGAGGUGAUUAUCAUUACCCGGGCACGAUCUUGAAAGCCGGUAGGCUUGACUGCAUAGAGUCGCCAGAAGAGGGGGAAGUUUCCUGAUAAUUUGAGUCAAAAGAGUUGAGCGGUUGACGUAUAACACCUGCCAAAGGAUGAAAAGGGUACAAUUUUGAGAUCACCUCGGUCCGGCGUUUCCUCGAUGCGUCAGGUAACCCGGAGGAGAGGUCAGUGUUUUUGUCGGUCCGGGUGUGCCGCCGGCUCUCAUGAACCUGUCGCUUCAAAAUAAAUUGAGGGUCUUGAUAAGAUAAAGGAUGUGAAAAGCUUACUUUCCGGGUUACCCUUCGGAUUUUCAGCCUUGGCAAGGGCUCCGAGUCGGAGGAAAGUAUCGUUACCUCUUCAACCACCGGGUUACUUGCUCCGGUGUCGUCCUAUUGAUGAACAAGUAUUGGUAAGGCGGACAGAAAUAAACAGCAGAUACAACAAGGACUUACAGGCUCAGGGGUUACCUCUGACUCGGAGCUGUCGCUUAGUUGCAUCAGCUCUGAAGCAGUAGGUCUGCUUCCUUUCUUGCGAGGGGCGGCUUUCUUGGCGGCUUUCUUCGCCUUCCUGGCCUUCUUGGCUGCCUCGUGGUCAUAUUUGACCUUCCAGAACUUGUCAUCAGCCUGACAAAUACAAGGAUGAUUUCUUAAAGAUUCAGAUGACGGUUAUCUACAGAAGAAGAUAAAAUGUUCAGAUCAGCGGCUUACCGCUGGGGCUGGGUUGAUCUUGCAGAAGGGGGCUAACCCGGUCCUCCCGCAGUCUGCCAGGCUCUCGUUCAAGAGAGCCUUGGUCAUAUCCUCUGCAACAUCUUCAGGAAGAUCAUUGCGGCUGUGUCUCUGGGGGUCAUCCUUUCGGCCCGUGUACUCACACAUUAAGCCGGGGCGACGGCUCAAUGGGAUCACCCGCCAGGAGAUCCAGACCCGGACCAGAUCAAUUCCGUUGAGACCAUUGCCCAGGAGAGCCUUGAUCUUGUUGAUGGUGGGGAGCAGAGGUUGGCGUUCCGCCUGAGUUAACUUGUCAGAUAGUGGGUGUGUUGGCUCCAGACGCGAGGGGCGAAAGCCGGGCAAUGGACUCUCAUCAGCCGGUGACGUGUUUUGGCAGUAGAACCACGUCAGAUUCCAGUCUUUGGGGUGGCUUGGCGGCUCUGCGUAAGGGAAAAGGCAGUCCCUCCGCCGCUGAAUGGAGAUGCCGCCUAGCUCCAAACUUGGCCCGUUGGCGCACUCGUUCUGGCGGUUUAAGUAGAAGAGCUCUCUGAAGAGCGGCAAACUGGGCUCUUCUCCAAGGUAAACCUCGCAGAACACUUGGAAAUUGCAUAUGUUGGACACCGAGCUGGGUCCUAUAUCUUGUGGCCGCAGGUCAAAAAAGUUCAGCACGUCUCUAAAAAACUUUGAGCCGGGUGGUGCGAAGCCCCGGCUCAUGUGAUCCGCAAAAAUGACCACCUCCCCGUCCCUUGGCUGUGGUCUCUCCUCUGAUGGGUCAGGGGCACGGUAGGACAUGACGUCCUUCUUGGGCAGAUAGCCUGACUUGACAAAAUCUGCUAAGGUCUCGUUGGUGACAUUGGACCUCAUCCAAUUGCAAGUGAUGGAGGCUUUAGGAGAUUUGGGAGGCAUGAUGAAAGUCGGCAGCCUAUGAUGAAAGGAAACGUCCGGUUUAAGACGGUGGGCCAAAGAUGGGCUUAAGACCCGGAUACGGCUUAAGGCCCGUAGUUACAAUCAUUAUUAUGGUAGAACUUGUAGUGUAAGGCAAGAGUAAUUGAGAGUCCGAGCCGGACACUCUUAUGAGCCAGCGGGGACUCUGAGAGCUGCUGGGCGUCAGCCUCCCUAUAUAAAGGGACGACCCGGCAACGGUUUUGGGACAGGAAAGAUCUCAUCGAGAGCCAGACAUUGCAGCUAAGCUCCCUGGCCCUCGAAACCCUAAUCAAUACCACCUCAACUGGACGUAGGCUUUUACCUUCACCGCAAGGGGCCGAACCAGUAUAACCCUCGUGUUCCUUGUCCUGUUAACCCCUGCAAGCUUCCUAGCGGCGAUGGCUCCACGACUAAGUCCUAGCUUGAGGACAUCUGCCGUGACAAUUCCACGACACCUACUAUAGUGUGGUGUGGUGGAUUGCCUCUUGGGCUGAGGAUGAACAGUUACAAGGGAAAACAGCCUCCUGAGGAGAGGUGCUCUUGUGCUUGGUGAGCUGGUGUGGUGUCUCUCCAGCUGAUCUCUAUCCGUCCCCUGUCUAUGGUGGUGGCUAGUCCUACUUAUAGAGGCCCUGGUCCUCUUCCCAAAUAUUGAGUGGGAAGGGAUCCCACAAUGGCCAAAUUCGAAGGGAGACAACUAGUACAAGUUAUCCUGACUAAAGGUGGUCUUCGCCUGCCAAAGGCUCUGGUGGUGACGCCGUCUUGGGCUCCACGGUGACCUCCGUCCUGCCAUCCUGCUGGUCUUGGUCUCGUAGCACCGAUAGGGAAACCUUUGCCUGAUGCCUCGGGACUCCUCGCCUGCGCUUGCCUCUUUAGCACCAAAGAGGAAACGAGCACACUGCGCGCGCUGGCGCCCGCCUGGCCUUGGUCGCCAUGGCUUACGUCACGGGAACCUCGCGAGGUGCCCCUUUCCUUGAUCUCUUCGCCCCUCGUGAGCCAGCCUGGUGAGGCCUCCCCCGAGGAGGUCUUGCGUCGUCCGCCUCGCGAGGCUUGGCCCCUCGCAAGGGUCUUGAGUGUUUGAUGGUGAAGAUGGGCCAUACGGGGCCGCUGGUGGAGCCACGCCGUGGGCCGCAGGCAGGCAAGUCUGGGGACCCCCAUUCCCAGAACGCCGAUACACAUGCCCACCAACGAUACGAGAUGCAUCACCGGAACGGGGGCUAGAUGGGAGAACCUUAUUUCAUCUUUAGGGAGUCGUCGCCGUCUCCCCUUCCUAAGUAGGACACAAACCCUAAUAAAACUCGAAAACACAUCUAAAAAGGAAGCCCUCCCACCGGCAAGGGUCGUGAUCCACCGCUUCCCCAUGGCCCUAAGGCCACCGGAGACAAGGCGGACCGGCGCCAGCGGCGGGAGGUGGAGGAACCCUGAUUUUUUAGGAGAUGGGAAUAGUUUGAUACUGUGUAUUGGAAAACAAACGUAUCCGCCGGCCAUCCUAUAUGACCGCCCAUGUGACCACACCCUCAUUUGCAAACGUCAAAUUCAUGCAAACACUUGUACGUCAAUCAUUGAGUACACACAAGAAUGAAUGUGAACGCACAACUAAAAAUUAUUCGGGGAGAAAAAUAAUAGUUUAAGUGUUUAACACAAAAUUUAUUGGAAGUGCUUAAUUCAAACCUAAAAUUCAAUAAUUUCAGUGUGAAUUCACAUAUACUCCACAAAAUUAUUAGGUAAUUGCAUGCGCGCCUGUGUAUCUCAAAGUUAUGUAUGUAUCUCUACAAAGUUCCCAGAAUGUUGUGUGUCUUGUUCCGGGAGGCGAACAUCUACUCCGUACUUCUCAAAAUCAUGUGUGUGGGAUGACCCUUCGCCCACAUCCUCCAAAAUCAUAUCAUGCAAGGUUACACGACGGUUCAUCAUUAUUGAAAUAUAUUGCCCGUCUCUUUUCAUCAUAUCGGUCUUUUGGUUGUAUUGGCUAGAGCAUGCACUUCUACAUAGUAGGCCUGAGGGAGCUACACGUGAGGGAAGUGUUAACGUAUAAAUGUAUUGCCUAGUCUCUUUCAUCAGAUCGGUCUUUUGGAUAAGUUGGCUGGAGCAUGAAUUCAAUAUGGUAUAGUCUUGAGUUCAAGACCCUGCCAAAGCUAUAUUAAAUAAAACGAUUCUGCAGCCUACAUCGAUCUCACAUCCCUAGGCGUGAGGGGGGUGUUUAAAUAUAUUGUCCGUCUCUCUUCAUCGGAUCGGUCUUUUGAUUGCAUUGGCUAGAGCAUGCACUUCUACAUGGUAUUGGAGCCAAGAGGUCUUGAGUUUCAGACUCGGCUGGCUGCAAUUAAAUUGCAGCCCAUUUUCGGUCCACGUUUAGGCCUUAGGGAGCAUGGAGCAUCCACUUCUAGAAUCACCUGCCACAUUGUUUUUGCAUUCCACAUCAUUGCAGCUCCACGAACUAUACCUCGAUGAGCUUGGAGCAUUUCAAAUGUCCUCUCCACAUCCUUUCUAACACCUUCUUGCAUUUGUGCAAAGAGACUUCUUUUAUUGCCUUGGGGAUUGGGUAUGGUCUUCACAAACGCCGUCCAUUAAAGAUAGAUACCAUCUACUAGGUAGUACCCCUAAUGUUCUAGUCAUACCUGUUUACUGUGUAGGUGCAUAUCAGAGCAUCCCCAUCGCAAAGUCUCUUGAACAACGGUUUGCUGAAGCACAUUGAUGUCAUUAUGAGUUUCGAACAUGCCAAAGAAAGGAUAUGUUAAAUCCACAAGUCUUACGAUGACGUUGCUUCAAAUAUGAUGGUGGCCUCCUUGAUGUGACCUUGAUACUGCCUGCACAAACUUAUCAGGCAGCUCUUCCAGUGCCAAUGGAAGCAAUCGACCGGCCCGAGCAUACCUAAAACCCUCUUGAUGCUCUAAUUGCGAAUAGCUUUUUUUGUGUCCUUGGCAUUUGGUUCUCUCAGGAACUCUGAUCCAAACACCUUCACCGCCUCACAGGCAAAUGUCAGAUUUGCGUCAAUGCAUGUGCUCUUUCCCAUCCGGACAAUCUCAUCAACGACAUCUCCGAUUGUAUCAUAUGCAAGCAUCCUCAAACAGUCAUCCAAUUAUGCAUAGGAGAGCAUAAUAUCCUACAUUUUAUCGAACCCUUGAAGUUGAGAAUAUGCUCCUCUUUCUUCUCCAUUUCUUCCUGGAUACUCACCAUCAUGUUAGCAUCUUCGUCAUCAUCGAUAUCUGAAUCCAACGAAUCAAUGAGCUCCUUGAACAUGAAUUCAUUGAGCUCAUUGUAAUCAAACUCUUCAUUUGAUGAAUCCAUCGUUUGCCUAAAAAAUGAUUAAAAUAAUCUAAAAACAUGCCCCGCAUUUCGUCAAACACAUGGAGCGUGAGGUGUAUGUUUGGCAGACUAGGAAGUAGCGAGGCUUAGUCCGAGCAGCGACGGAUCCGGGGCGACAAAGGACGUCCUGAAAGGACGGGAGGCAAUGGUGGCGACACUGUGGGUUGGGAACGAUUGCAGUGCUACGUGGAGACGCAGUUGGGCGAGUGUUGGAGACGAUUAAGAGGCAUUUGAAGUGAGUCCGGCCUGUUGGAUCUGACGUGGCGCGUGUGUCCGGUGCGUCAAGGUGGCCCCAAAUCCGCACCGACAUAUGGGAUGGGUUUAGGGGUGCGGGACAGCCCAGACAUAUGACUACGUUUGGGGGGUUCCUGUUGGGUGGUUGUUUUUGGUCCAGGUGGUGUCUGGAUUGUCUGCCCAGAUGUUUAGCGGGGGGAGUUGGGAUCCGGUUGGAGAUGCUCUUACAUGUUAGUCUUUACUUGGAGAGAUAUAAUGGAAUAGAUUUGAUCCAUCUAUCAUCUUAUGUAAAACUGAUGAGAUUACCUCUUAUAUGCACACCUACAAUAGGAACAAUUAUCCUUCUACCCAAGUCUUGUGAUGCUACAAGAGUGAAGGACUUUCGGACGGUCAGUCUUAUGCAUUCUAUCGCAAAAGAAUGUUUGUAAGUUGUUGUCCCUGCUCGCAAAUGGCCUUCGUAAAAAAAAUCAAUCGAUCCAAGACAAUUUCCAGCAUGUCAAGAAUGCUAUGCAAAAGGUGCACAAAAACAAGGACCCGACUUUAUUGCUGGAAUUGGAAAAUCUUCAAAGGAGAAACUCAACCCGGACAACCCGACAUGGAGACAUACCAUCCUCCAUGUGUCUCCCAGUGAUGCAAAGUAGCACCAUUGAAAUGAGGACAAAACGGAAAUGACGUGUUUCAUGUCUUCGACGACACCGUCGUGUCACCAAUGAGGUUUGGACAAAAACCUAACCCUACCACCACCGGUCAAAAAGGGGGUCUUUGUCCCCUCCUAUCGUCGAAGUAGCGGUCUGAGGGAGAGGGGGUCUAUUAUCCCGCCGAGGAGAAGGUAGAUCACCGUCGUAGCUCCCGAGGUAGAAGGAUGCUCCAGAGAAUGUCUAAUAGAACCUUACAACUUCUCAAAAGAAAAGAGAAGCAACCUAUGAGUUGGUUGCACUGCAUAUCCCAGUGUGAAACAAGUUUUUUAGGAAAAGAAAUGUUGGUUUUGAUCUGACGGCUUAAUAGGCAGUUAGAUCUAUUAGUCUAACAAAAAAGGGAAAAGAUAACGAUAAUGAAAAGGCCCCACGCACCAACGUACGUGGGCUUUUUAUCCCAACUAAGGCGCCCUGAUCGGGGGCACCCAAACCAACUGAUGGUUUAGGUCCCCUGUCGCCAGCGCUAGAUAAAGGGGGGUACGAGAGAGGGUUGGCAGCCUGCGCGGUCACAAUUCUCGUACGGUUUCACUCCCCUCCCGAUAUUCUCUCACCCCAUCCGAUCAGGGGGAGCGCUGCAGCGACGGGAAGACCUACUCCAGCCGUCGCUGCCGUCCCCGGGCAAUCCCGGUGGCGUCCUGAAGGAAUCAGGACGUCGAGGAGAACCUCUACUUCCACUACAUCACCCCUGCAUCACGCCUGCGCCGAGCAGGCGAUCAUGUCCACUCCCGUGACAUGUAAAGGAUCCCUAAACCCUUCUCUGUUCAUGUUGUGAGGUGAUCUAGAAGCAAUUUGAUCCCGCUAAUGGCAUCCCAUAGAUGCAUAAUUAAUCCAACAAUGGUAUCAGUCGCCAAUCUUGAUUGCAAUAGAUACCUUUAUUGUUGAUCAGUAGAUCACUAUCAUGUUUAGAUCAAUGUCAGGUUUAGGGUUCAUGAUCAAGAUUGAAAGUUUUAGCCCUUGGUUAGCCCAAAUAUGCAUGCUACUGUCUUGAUGCCCUCUGUAAAUCAUCAUGUUUUAAUUCUAAUUUGCUACGGAUCACUACUGCCACCUAUGUUCAUCUUUUUUAAUUAAUCUAAGUUAAGAUCUAAUGCUCACCUUCUUGUUAAGUUGAUUAAAAUUGAUCAUGUUUAAGUCCUGUUUUCGUAUGCAUUAGAAAAAUAGAAGGCAGAGGGAUACACUCAAGUCAACAGUAGCAACCCCUCAUGUUUACGAACCCUAGAAUUUAUCCCCAAUUUCGGUAGAACCCUAAUUUUUCAAUUAGGCAUGUUUUUCACCAAUUAAGCACUGAUGAAUACGAUUUUGGGGAGAAUGAGGACAAAUGCUCACCAAAUGCACCGCGUAGCCGCCUUUUCCCUUCGGGGCUCGCACAGCGCCCACCGUUGUGCGAGGGCGGAGACGCCGCGACGCCGUCGUGCCCUGGCCGACGCGCGGAAUGCUCCGGCGCCUUGCCGCCGCUCUUACGGACGCGCACGUGUACGGGCAGUCGCCCUGCACGCCGCCGUCGACCUCUUCAUGACGCGGUGGCCAGCACCCCCUCUUGCCCCCUUGAUGUGCCAUGCGCACAGACGCCGGAGCCACGCUCGACGGAGAAGCGCACGGGAAUGACUCCGCUGCACGCUCCUCCGGCAAGCGCAGCCGCCACGCCGCCAUGGCCGGUGCACCUCGAACCACCGCUGAACGCCGUCGCCGCUCUCGGGAGCGAGAAAUGCGGGGGAGGAGGGGCAGAAUGACCUAGGGUUGGCUCUGUGCAGCUGUUUUGUUCCGACCACGACAGUCUGAUUCGAUCGAGCGGCUCACAGCGACGCGGAGCACCGGCUCGGGCCUUCGGGCGCUCAAUGGGCCAAUUUUGAUCGUGUGCUGCAGCCCAGGUUGCCUUAGCCCAGCGCGUUUUUUUUCUCUAUACGGUUUUCGCUGCUGGGUCGGGCCGUGGUAUAACCGUGGGCAUUUUUGGGCCGAAAUACUUUUGGCUAUUUCUCUAUAUAUUUCCAGAGCGUUUAAGUUCAUAGUUAUUAUGUUUUGCACUGUUUAAAACUGAAAAUGACUAAAAAUAUAAUGAACACAUUAUUAUUCUGGGUAAAAUUGAACCAACGAGAUAUUUUGUUCAGGAUUUAUUAUGUCUUUUCAUGAUGAAUUUUUUAGACAUCAAGAAUAAUGAUAUUUUUCUUAUGUUGAUGUCUAAAUUGAGAAUGAAAUGUCUCUGAUUUUAAUUCGGACCAACGUUGUUUUAUUAUUAUGAGUCAUCACUUAUGAUAUUUUAAUUCCAUGUUUUUUCUGCCCAACGGUGUUUUGACAUGGAGUUAAAAUUAAAUACAUGGCAUGUCUAUUUUAUUUUGCCAACGUAAAAUUUCAUAUUCAUGUCAGUUACUCAUAAACUCUUUCAUGUCCAUUACAGCUUCCGCUGCGUUUACUGUCGAACCGUUGAUAGGUAGUAACUUCCCUCGUUGGAAGAACUCGAUGGAAUUAUGCCUAGCCGUCCAUCAGUUUGAUUAUGCUUUACGGCAGGAUAAACCCGUGGCUCACGUUGCUGGUGUCACGGGGUAUGCUGAACUAAAGAAAACUUAUGAUUCCAAGAUGGAGAUAUGGGAAAAGUCAAAUCACAUUGCUAUGCUUGUGAUGAGAUCAUCCAUAUCACCUGACAUCAUUGGGGCACUACCCAAGAAAGAUACUCCUAAGGAAUUCAUGACAGCCCUGGAGGAGCAAUUCAAAGGCUCUGACAAGGUUUAUGCACAAGAACUUUUUCACAAGCUCCUUGGAAAAUAUAAUAAUGAUGGUGAUGUCAGGGCUCACAUUUUAAAGAUGGUGAAUGCUUGUAACAAAUUGAAGGCAUUACAAUGUGAGCUCAAUGACAAUCUCCUUGUCAUCAUGAUCUUGGACUCCCUCCCUGAAGAGUUUGAUCAAUUUAAGAUUAACUAUAACUCUCUUAAAGAGAAAUGGACAAUCGCGGAGAUAUCUCCAAGGAUUGUCGAGGAAGAAGAGAGGAUUAAGAGGCAACGAAAGGAUCAAGCCUUUUUGGUUGGUUCCUCCAAGAGAAAACACGAUGGAGCAAGCUCUUCGAAGCAACAGCCUCAAAAGAAGUUCUUUAAGAAAAAUUCAUCAAACUCAUAUAAAGCAAAGGAGAAGGUGGACGAUAAGCCUAAAGACACCAAGUGCAACUUCUGCAAGCAUGAGGGUCAUUAUCAGAAAGACUGUCCAGAAUUUCCCAAAUGGUUGAUGAAGAAAGGUACUGAUGAAAUUACUUUCGUUGAUCAAAUGGUAUAUGUUGAUUACUCUAGUACCUCUUGGUGGAUUGAUUCAGGUGCAACUUCUCAUGUUGCCAAUUCUAUGCAGGACUCAAAUAUAAUCCAAACCAUGGCAAGGGGGGCAAGAAGACUUAAGGUGGCAAAUGGAGUCGAAGUUGAUGUUGAAGCCAUAGGGUCAAUCACCUUACAACUCCACACUGGCUUCCGUCUUCAUUUAAAUAAUGUUCUUUAUGUCCCUACCUUAAGUAGGAAUUUGAUUUCUGUCUCUUGCCUAGAUGAUAACAUGUUUGAGAGCAAGUUUGGGAACAAACAAUUUGUUUUGAAUUAUUGUAAUAAGAACGUAGGUCUCGGCGUCAGACGAGGCCAAUUAUAUAUGUUAUCAUUGAAUGAUUCUAUCCUGCAUGUGAGUGAUGUAUGUAAUAUUGAGAAGAAAUGGAAGGGUACGAGUACCUCUUCGAAAUUGUGGCACUGUCAUUUAGGCCACAUUUCGAGGGGGGGAAUUGAAAGACUUAUUAAAAAUGACGUACUCCUUCCAUUAGACUUCUCUGAUGCAGACAAAUGCAUUGACUGUAUAAAAGGUAAAUACGCAAAAACGAUUAAGAAAGGAGCGGUAAGAGCCACGGGUGUCCUUGAACUCAUACACACUGACAUAUGUGGACCCCUUAAUGUUAAGUCUAUGGAUGGUUUUGAUUCGUUCAUUACCUUCACAGACGACUUUUCUCGAUACGGAUAUAUUUAUCCUAUACGUGAUCGAUCGGAAGCUUUGGACAAAUUCAAAGUGUUCAAAGCCGAAGUUGAGAACCAACUAAACGCUAAAAUAAAAGUUGUACGAUCAGAUCGCGGGGGAGAGUAUUAUGGUAGGCAUGCCCCUUAUAGGCAAAUUCCAGGACCUUUUGCUAAGUUUCUCUCUGAGAAUGGAAUUGUUGCCCAGUAUUCAAUGCCUGGUGAACCUCAACAAAAUGGCGUGGCUGAACGCCGAAACCGCACACUUAUGGACAUGGUGCGAAGCAUGCUUAGUCAUGCAAGUUUACCAGUCAGCCUAUGGAUGGAGGCAUUAAAGACGGCCGCACAUGUGCUAAAUCUCGCUCCUACUAAAGCAGCACCGAACACACCUUACGAGAUGUGGACGGGAAAGAAACCGAGCUUGAAUUACUUACGUGUAUGGGGUUGUCCCGCUGAGGCUAGAAUUUUCAAUCCAUAACUUAAGAAAUUAGAUCCAAAGACAGUUAGUUGUUUCUUCAUUGGAUACCCUCAUAGGGGAAAGGGAUAUCAUUUCUAUUGUCCGAGUCACACCACCAAGUAUGUGGAGACUCGACAAGCAGUAUUUUUUGAGGAUAACGAAGCCACCGAAAUAAGGGAGAUCAAUCUUGAGGAGAAACGGGUGUGUGUUCCAUCCCCGACUAUCCAAGAGAUUGUUUUGCCACUACAAAGUGUAGUGGCGUCUCAAGCUAAUCCUCAAUUUAGUACUUCAGUUCCUGAGGCUGAUGGUGAUCCUGAGACUAAUGUCAAUCCAGAACGUGAAGAGGAUCACCAGUCGCGUAAUGAAGAUGACCCUCAGAACAAUGAUGCCCCUCCACCACCUCCUCCUGUGGGCAGGCCAUGUCGUGAGAGAAAGAAAGCCAUAUCAGAUGAUUAUAUCACAUACUUGCUUGAGGAUAUGAAUGAUCUGGGAAAGGUGGAGGAUCCAACCUCUUUUAAGGAAGCCAUUAAAAGCGAAAAUUCGUCCAAGUGGUUGGUUUCCAUGGAAGACGAGUUGAAGUCUAUGGGCUCAAACGACGUUUGGGACUUAGUAGAAGUUCCCGAUGGAGCUAAGAAAGUAGGCUGUAAGUGGGUCUACAAAACCAAGUAUAAUUCCAAAGGGAUGUAGGGGAUCGUUGCAGAAAUUAAAAAAAUUCUACGCAUCACCAAGAUCAAUCUAUGGAGUUUACUAGCAACGAGAGGGGAGGAGUGCAUCUACAUACCCUUGUAGAUCGCGAGCGGAAGCAUUCAAGAGAACGGGGUUGAUGGAGUCGUACUCGUCGUGAUCCAAAUCACCGAUGAUCCUAGCGCCGAACGGACGGCACCUCCGCGUUCAACACACGUACGGAGCGGAGACAUCUCCUCCUUCUUGAUCCAGCAAGGGGGAAGGAGAAGUUGAUGGAGAUCCAUCAGCACGACGGUGUGGUGGUGGAAGCAGCGGGAUUCCAGCAGGACUUCGCCAAGCGCUACUGGAGGAGGAAGAGGUGUCACGGGAGGGAGAGGGAGGCGCCAGGGCUUAGGGUGCGGCUGCCCUCCCUCCCCUCCACUAUAUAUAGGGGCUAGGGGGCGCAUGCCCCCCUUGGAGAUCCCAUCUAGAGGGGGGGCGGCGGCCCCUCGGGGGGCAACGGCCCCCUUAGGGUUUCCAACCAGGGAGGCGCAUGUCCCCUCGGGGGGCAACGGCCCCCUAGGGUUUCCAACCCUAGGCGCCUUGGGCCCUUGGGUGGGGCGCACCAGCCCACCAGGGGCUGGUUCCCACGCCACUUUAGCCCAUGGGGCCCUCCGGGAUAGGUGGCCCUGAGAGGGAGAGGUUGGGGAAGACUCCGUCCAGCAGCAUCACAACUUUAUUUUCCUGUCACGUUGAUUCUCAACCUCACUCUGAAAUUCCUUGAACUUUUCAAAGGUCUCAGACUUGUGUUUCAUCAAGUAGACAUACCCAUAUCUACUCAAGUCAUCAGUGAGGGUUAGAACAUAACGAUAGCCUACGCGAGCCUCAACGCUCAUUGGACCGCACACAUUAGUAUGUAUGAUUUCCAAUAAGUUGGUUGCUCGCUCCAUUGUUCCGGAGAACGGAGUCUUGGUCAUUUUGCCCAUGAGGCAUGGUUCGCACGUGUCAAAUGAUUCAUAAUCAAGAGACUCCAAAAGUCCAUCUGCAUGGAGUUUCUUCAUGCGUUUGACACCAAUGUGACCAAGGCGGCAGUGCCACAAGUAUGUGGGACUAUCAUUAUCAACCUUACAUUUCUUGGCAUUCACACUAUGAAUAUGUGUAACAUCACGUUCAAGAUUCAUUAAGAAUAAACCAUUGACCAGCGGGGCAUGACCAUAAAACAUAUCUCUCAUAUAAAUAGAACAACCAUUAUUCUCGGAUUUAAAUGAGUAGCCAUCUCGCAUCAAACGAGAUCCAGAUACAAUGUUCGUGCUCAAAGCAGGCACUAAAUAACAAUUAUUGAGGUUUAAAACUAAUCCCGUAGGUAAAUGUGGAGGUAGCGUGCCGACGGUGAUCACAUCGACCUUGGAACCAUUCCCGACGUGCAUCGUCACCUCGUCCUUCGCCAGUCUCCGCUUAUUCCGCAGCUCCUGCUUUGAGUUACAAAUAUGAGCAACCGCACCGAUAUCAAAUACCCAGGAGCUACUACGAGCGCUGGUUAGGUACACAUCAAUAACAUGUAUAUCACAUAUACCUUUGGUAUUGCCGGCCUUCUUAUCCGCUAAGUACUUGGGGCAGUUCCGCUUCCAGUGACCGUUUCCCUUGUAAUAAAAGCACUCAGUCUCAGGCUUGGGUCCAUUCUUUGUCUUCGUCCCGGCAGCUUUCUUACCGGGCGCGGCAACUCCCUUGUCGUCUUUCUUGAAGUUUUUCUUACCCUUGCCUUUCUUGAACUUAGUGGUUUUAUUCACCAUCAACACUUGAUGUUCCUUUUUGAUCUCCACCUCCGCUGAUUUCAGCAUUGAAUAUACCACAGGAAUGGUCUUCUCCAUCCCCUGCAUAUUGAAGUUCAUCACAAAGCUCUUGUAGCUAGGUGGGAGCGACUGAAGGAUUCUGUCAACGACCGCGUCAUCCGGGAGAUUAACUCCCAGCUGAGACAAGCGGUUGUGCAACCCAGACAUUUUGAGUAUGUGUUCGCUGACGGAACUAUUCUCCUCCAUCUUACAACUGUAGAACUUGUCGGAGACUUCAUAUCUCUCGACCCGGGCAUGAGCUUGGAAAACCAUUUUCAGCUCUUGGAACAUCUCAUAUGCUCCGUGCUGCUCGAAACGCUUUUGGAGCCCCGGUUCUAAGCUGUAAAGCAUGCCGCACUGAACCAGGGAGUAAUCAUCAACACGUGUUUGCCAGGCGUUCAUAACGUCUUGGUUUGCUGGGACGGGUGCUUCACCUAGCGGUGCUUCAAGGAUAUAUGCUUUCUUGGCAGCUAUGAGGAUGAUCCUCAAGUUUCGGACCCAGUCCGUAUAGUUGCUGCCAUCGUCUUUCAGCUUGGUUUUCUCUAGGAACGCAUUGAAGUUGAGGUUGACAUUAGUGUGGGCCAUUUGAUCUACAAGACAUAUUGUAAAGAUUUUAGACUAAGUUCAUGAUAAUUAAGUUCAUCUAAUCAAAUUAUUAAUGAACUCCCUCUCAGACAGACAUCCCUCUAGUCAUCUAAGUGAUACAUGAUCCGAGUCAACUAGGCCAUGUCCGAUCAUCCCGUGAGACGGACUAUUCAUCAUCGGUGAACAUCUUCAUGUUGAUCGUAUCUGCUAUACGACUCAUGUUCGACCUUUCGGUCUCUUGUGUUCCGAGGCCAUGUCUGUACAUGCUAGGCUCGUCAAGUCAACCUAAGUCUAUUGUGUGUGUAAAUCUGGCUUACACCCGUUGUAUGCGAACGUUAGAACCUAUCACACCCGAUCAUCACGUGGUGCUUCAGAACAACGAACCUUCGCAACGGUGCAUAGUUAGGGGGAACACUUUCUUGAAAUUUUAGCGAGGGAUCAUCUUAUUUAUGCUACCGUCGUUCUAAGAAAAUAAGAUGUAAAACAUGAUAAACAUCACAUGCAAUCAAAUAGUGACAUGAUAUGGCCAAUAUCAUUUUGCUCCUUUUGAUCUCCAUCUUCGGGGCGCCAUGAUCAUCAUCGUCACCGGCAUGACACCAUGAUCUCCAUCAUCAUGAUCUCCAUCAUCGUGUCUUCAUGAAGUUGUCUCGCCAACUAUUACUUCUACUACUAUGGCUAACGGUUAGCAAUAAAGUAAAGUAAUUACAUGACGUUCCAGUUGACACGCAGGUCAUAAAUAAAUUAAGACAACUCCUAUGGCUCCUGCCGGUUGUCAUACUCAUCGACAUGCAAGUUGUGAUUCCUAUUACAAGAACAUGAUCAAUCUCAUACAUCACAUAUAUCAUUCAUCACAUCCUUCUGGCUAUAUCACAUCACAUGACACUUGCUGCAAAAACAAGUUAGACGUGCUCUAAUUGUUGUUGCAAAUUUUUACGUGGCUGCUAUAGGUUUCUAGCAAGAACGUUUCUUACCUACGCCAAAACCACAACGUGAUAUGCCAAUUUCUAUUUACCCUUCAUAAGGACCCUUUUCAUCGAAUCCGAUCCGACUAAAGUGGGAGAGACAGACACCCGCUAGCCACCUUAUGCAACUAGUGCAUGUCAGUCGGUGGAACCUGUCUCACGUAAGCGUACGUGUAAGGUCGGUCCGGGCCGCUUCAUCGCACGAUGGCGCCGAAUCAAGAUAAGACUAGUAACGGCAAGUAAAUUGACAAAAUCGACGCCCACAACAACUUGUGUUCUACUCGUGCAUAGAAACUACGCAUAGACCUAGCUCAUGAUGCCACUGUAGGGGAUCGUUGCAGAAAAUAAAAAAAUUCUACGCAUCACCAAGAUCAAUCUAUGGAGUUUACUAGCAACGAGAGGGGAGGAGUGCAUCUACAUACCCUUGUAGAUCGCGAGCGGAAGCGUUCAAGAGAACGGGGUUGAUGGAGUCGUACUCGUCGUGAUCCAAAUCACCGAUGAUCCUAGCGCCGAACGGACGGCACCUCCGCGUUCAACACACGUACGGAGCGGAGACGUCUCCUCCUUCUUGAUCCAGCAAGGGGGAAGGAGAAGUUGAUGGAGAUCCAGCAGCACGACGGUGUGGUGGUGGAAGCAGCGGGAUUCCAGCAGGGCUUCGCCAAGCGCUACUGGAGGAGGAAGAGGUGUCACGCGAGGGAGAGGGAGGCGCCAGGGCUUAGGGUGCGGCUGCCCUCCCUCCCCUCCACUAUAUAUAGGGGCUGGGGGCGCAUGCCCCCCUUGGAGAUCCCAUCUAGAGGGGGCGGCGGCCCCUCGGGGGGCAACGGCCCCCUUAGGGUUUCCAACCAGGGGGGCGCAUGCCCCCUUGGGGGGCAACGGCCCCCUAGGGUUUCCAACCCUAGGCGCCUUGGGCCCUUGGGUGGGGCGCACCAGCCCACCAGGGGCUGGUUCCCACGCCACUUCAGCCCAUGGGGCCCUCCGGGAUAGGUGGCCCUGAGAGGGAGAGGUUGGGGAAGACUCCGUCCAGCAGCAUCACAACGGCGUGGUGGUGGUGGAGGAGCGUGGCAAUCCUGCAGGGCUUCCCCAAGCACCGCGGGAGAGGAGGAGGAAGAUGGGUAGGGCUGAGCCAUGAGGGAGAUGCGUUCUCGUGUGUAUGGCAGCCCCAAAACCCCAAUAUAUAUAGGGGAGGGGGAGGGCUGCGCCCCCAUCUAGGGUCCCCCCCCCCAAGGGGUGCGGCCAGCCCUAGAUGGGGCUUGGGGGGCGGCCAAGGGGGGAGAGAGAGGGGGGAGCCCCACUAGAUGGGCCUUAGGCCCAUCUGAGCCUAGGGUUUCCCCCUUCCCCCCCUUCCUGCGCCCUGGGCCUCUUGUGGGGGGGCGCACCAGCCCACCUGAGGCUGGUCCCCUCCCACACUUGGCCCACGCAGCCCUCUGGGGCCGGUGGCCCCACCUGGUGGACCCCCGGGACCCUCCCGGUGGUCCCGGUACAUUACCGAUAGCACCCGAAACUUUUCCGGUGACCAAAACAGGACUUCCCAUAUAUAAAUCUUUACCUCCGGACCAUUCCGGAACUCCUCGUGACGUCCCGGAUCUCAUCCGGGACUCCGUACAACAUUCGGUAACCACAUACAAACUUCCUUUAUAACCCUAGCGUCAUCGAACCUUAAGUGUGUAGACCCUACGGGUUCGGGAACCAUGCAGACAUGACCGAGACGUUUUCGGCCAAUAACCAACAGCGGGAUCUGGAUACCCAUGUUGGCUCCCACAUGUUCCACGAUGAUCUCCUCGGAUGAACCACGAGGUCGGGGAUUCAAUCAAUCCCCUAUUCAAUUCCCUUUGUCUAUCGGUAUGCUACUUGCCCGAGAUUCGAUCGUCGGUAUCCCGAUACCUUGUUCAAUCUCGUUACCGGCAAGUCUCUUUACUCGUUCCAUAACUCACAUCAUCCCGUGAUCAACUCCUUGGUCACAUUGUGCACAUUAUGAUGAUGUCCUACCGAGUGGGCCCAGAGAUACCUCUCCGUUUACACGGAGUGACAAAUCCCAGUCUCGAUUCGUGCCAACCCAACAGACACUUUCGGAGAUACCUGUAGUGCACCUUUAUAGCCACCCAAUUACGUUGUGACGUUUGGUACACCCAAAGCAUUCCUACGGUAUCCGGGAGUUGCACAAUCUCAUGGUCUAAGGAAAUGAUACUUGACAUUAGAAAAGCUCUGAGCAAACGAACUACACGAUCUUGUGCUAGGCUUAGGAUUGGGUCUUGUCCAUCACAUCAUUCUCCUAAUGAUGUGAUCCCGUUAUCAACGACAUCCAAUGUCCAUGGUCAGGAAACCGUAACCAUCUAUUGAUCAACGAGCUAGUCAACUAGAGGCUUACUAGGGACAUGGUGUUGUCUAUGUAUCCACACAUGUAUCUGAGUUUCCUAUCAAUACAAUUCUAGCAUGGAUAAUAAAUGAUUAUCAUGAACAAGGAAAUAUAAUAAUAACCUAUUUAUUAUUGCCUCUAGGGCAUAUUUCCAACAGUCUCCCACUUGCACUAGAGUCAAUAAUCUAGUCCACAUCACCAUGUGAUUAACACUCAUAGGUCACAUCACCAUGUGACCAACAUCCAAAGAGUUUACUAGAGUCAACAAUCUAUCUCACAUCACUAUGUGAUUAACACUCAAUGAGUUCUGGUUUGUUCAUGUUAUGCUUGUGAGAGAGGUUAUUAGUCAAUGGGUCUGAACCUUUCAGAUCCGUGUGUGCUUUACGAAUAUCUAUGUCAUCUUGUGGAUGCUACCACGCGCUACUUGGAGCCAUUUCAAAUAAUUGCUCUACUAUACGAAUCCAGUUUACUACUCAGAGUCAUCCGGAUUAGUGUCAAAGUUCGCAUCGACGUAACCCUUUACGACGAACUCCUUUUCACCUCCAUAAUCGAGAAAAUUCCUUAGUCCACUAGAUACUAAGGAUAAGUUCGACCGCUGUCAUGUGAUCCAUUCCCGGAUCACUAUUGUACCCCUUGACCAACUCAUGGCAAGGCACACUUCAUGUGUGGUACACAGCAUAGCAUACUAUAGAGCCUACGUCUAAAGCAUAGGGGACGACCUUCGUCCUUUCUCUCUCUUCUGCUGUGGUCAGGUCUUGAGUCUUACUCAAUACUCACACCUUGUAACACAGCUAAGAACUCCUUCUUUGCUGAUCUAUUUUGAACUCUUUCAAAAUCAUGUCAAGGUGUGCGUUCUUUGAAAGUAUCAUCAGGCGUCUUGAUCUAUCUCUAUAGAUCUUGAUGCCCAAUAUGUAAGCAGCUUUAUCCAGGUCUUCCUUUGAAAAACUCCUUUCAAACAACCCUUUAUGCUUUCCAGAAAUUCUACAUCAUUUCGGAUCAACAAUAUGUCAUUCACAUAUACUUAUCAGAAAUGUUGCAGCGCUCCCACUCACUUUAUUGUAAAUACAAGUUUCUAACAAACUUUGUAUAAACCCAAAAACUUUGAUCACUCCAUCAAAGCGUAUAUUCUGACUCCGAGAUGCUUGCUCUAGUCCAUGGAAGGAUCGCUGGAGCUAGCAUACCUUUUAGCAUCCUUAGGAUCGACAAAAACUUUCUGAUUGUAUCACAUACAACCUUUCCUUACGAAACUGGUAAGGAAACUUAUUUCGACAUCCAUCUGCCAGAUUUCAUAAAUGCAGCUAAUGCUAACAUGAUUCCGACGGACUUAAGCAUCGCUACGGAUGAGAAAAUCUCAUCGUAGUCAACUCCUUGAACUUGUGAAAAUACUCUUUGCCACAAGUCGAGCUUCAUAGACGGUAACAUUACUGUCCACGUCCGUCUUCUUCUUAAAGAUCCAUUUAUCUCGGAUUUCAUGGCUUCUAACCAUUUGUCGGAAUAUGGGCCCACCAUCGCUUCUCCAUAGCUCGUAGGUUCAGUAUUGUCCAACAACAUGAUAUCUCAGACAGGAUCACGUACCACUCUGAAGUAGCACGCAUCCUCGUCGUCCUACGAGGUUUGGUGGUGACUUGAUCCGAAGUUUCAUGAUCACUAUCAUAAGCUUCCACUUCAAUUGGUGUAGGUGCCACAGGAACAACUUCCUGUGCCCUGCUACACACUAGUUGAAGUGACGGUUCAAUAACCUUAUCAAGUCUCCACCAUCCUCCCACUCAAUUCUUUCGAGAGAAACUUUUCCUCGAGAAAGGACCCGUUUCUAGAAGCAAUUACUUUUGCUUCCAGAUCUGAAAUAGGAGGUAUACCCAACUGUUUUGGGUAUUCUAUGAAGAUGCAUUUAUCCGCUUUGGGUUCGAGCUUAUCAGCCUGAAACUUUUUCACAUAAGCAUCGCAGCCCCAAACUUUUAAGAAACGACAACUUAGGUUUCUCUAAACGGUGUCGUCUCAACGGAAUUGCGUGGUGCCCCUUUUAAAGUGAAUGCGGUUAUCUCUAAUGCCUAACCCAUAAACUAUAGUGGUAAUUUGAUAAGAGACAUCAUGGCAUGCACCAUAUCCAACAGGGUGCAGUUAUGAUGUUCGGACACACCAUCACACUGUGGUGUUCCAGGCGGUAUUAAUUGUGAAACACUUUCCACAAUGUCUUAAUUGUGUGCCAAACUCGUAACUCAGAUACUCAUCUCUAUGAUCAUAUCACAGACAUUUUAUCCUCUUGUCACGACGAUCUUCAACUUCACUCUGAAAUUACUUGAACCUUUCAAUAAUUCAGACUUGUGUUUCAUCAAGUAAAUACACUCAGCAUCUACUCAAAUCAUCUGUGAAGUAAGAACAUAACGAUAUCCACUGCAUGCCUCAGCACUCAUUGGACUGCAUACAUCAAAAUGUAUUACUUCCAAUAAGUUGCUCUCUUGUUCCAUCUUACUGAAAACGAGGCCUUUCAGUCAUCUUGCCCAUGUGGUAUGAUUUGCAUGUCUCAAGUGAUUCAAAAUCAAGUGAGUCCAAACGAUCCAUCUGCAUGGAGUUUCUUCAUGCAUAUAUACCAAUAGACAUGGUUCGCAUGUCUCAAUCUUUUCAAAACGACUGAGUCCAAAGAUCCAUCUACAUGGAGCUUAUUCAUGCGUUCUAUACCAAUAUGACUCAAAUGGCAGUGCCACAAGUAUGUGGUACUAUCAUUACUAUUUUAUAUCUUUUGGCACGAACAUGUGUAUCACUGCGAUCGAGAUUCAUUUUAGGUGCAAGACCAUUGAAGGUAUUAUUCAAAUAAAUAGAGUAACCAUUCUUUUCCUUAAAUGAAUAACCGUAUUGCGAUAAACAUAAUCCAAUCAUGCUCAACGCAAACACCAAAUCUCGAUGGUAGAGGGAGCAUGCGCUGCUUGAUCACAUCAACCUUGGAAACACUUCCAACACAUAUCGUCAUCUCACCUUUAGCUAGUCUCCGUUUAUUCCGCAGCUUUUAUUUCGAGUUACUAACACUUAGCAACCGAACCGGUAUCUAAUACCCUGGUGCUGCUAGGAGUACUAGUAAAGUACACAUUCAUAUAAUGUAUAUCCAAUAUACUUCUGUCGACCUUGCCUGCCUUCUCAUCUACCAAGUAUCUAGGGUAGUUCUGCUUCAGUGACCGUUCCCCUCAUUACAGAAGCACUUAGUCUCGGGUUUGGGUUCAACCUUGGGAUUCUUCACUAGAGCAGCAAAUGAUUUGCUGUUUCAUGAAGUAUCCCUUUUGCCCUUGCCCUUCUAGAAACUAGUGGUUUUACUAACCAUCAACAAUUGAUGCUCCUUCUUGAUUUCUACUUUCGCGGUGUCAAACAUCACGAGUUGCUCAAGGAUCAUCAUAUCUAUCCCUGAUAUGUUAUAGUUCAUCACGAAGCUCUAAUAGCUUGGUGGCAGUGACUGUGGAGAAUCAUCACUAUCUCAUCUGGAAGAUUAACUCCCACUUGAUUCAAGUGAUUGUAGUACUCAGACAAUCUGAGCACAUGCUCAACGAUUGAGCUUUUCUCCCUUAGUUUGCAGGCUUAAGAAACUUGUCAGGGGUCUCAUACCUCUUGACGUGGGCACUAGUCUGAAAUCCCAAUUUCAGUCUUCGGAACAUCUCACAUGUUCUGCGACGUUUCAAAACAUCUUUGGUGCCACAAUUCUAAACCGUUAGCAUUACGCACUGAACUAUCACGUAGUCAUCAAAACGUGUAUGUCAGAUGUUUCGCAACAUCUACAGACGACGCUGAGGUUCAGCACACCGAGCGGUGCAUUAAGGACAUAAGCCUUCUGUGCAGCAAUGAGGACAAUCCUCAGUUCACGGACCCAGUCCGCAUAAUUGCUACUAUCAACUUUCAACUAAAUUUUCUCUAGGAACAUAUCUUAAACAGUAGAACUAAAGCGCAAGCUAUGACAUAAUUUGCAAAGACUUUUUGACUAUGUUCAUGAUAAUGAAGUUCAUCUGAUUAUUUAAUGAACUCCCACUCAGAUAGACAUCCCUCUAGUCAUCUAAGUGAUACAUGAUCCGAGUCAAACUAGGCCGUGUCCGAUCAUCACGUGAGACGGACUAGUCAUCAUCGGUGAACAUCUCCAUGUUGAUCGUAUCUACUAUACGACUCAUGUUCGACCUUUCGGUCUCUUGUGUUCCGAGGCCAUGUCUGUACAUGCUAGGCUCGUCAAGUCAACCUAAGUGUUUCGCAUGUGUUCCGAGGCCAUGUCUGUACAUGCUAGGCUCGUCAACACCCGUUGUAUUCGAACGUUAGAAUCUAUCACACCCGAUCAUCACAUGGUGCUUCGAAACAACGAACCUUCGCAACGGUGCACAGUUAGGGGGAACACGUCUCUUGAAAUUUUAGUGAGGGAUCAUCUUAUUUAAGCUACCGUCGUUCUAAGCAAAUAAGAUGCAUAACAUGAUAAACAUCACAUGCAAUCAAAUAGUGACAUGAUAUGGCCAAUAUCAUUUUGCUCCUUUGAUCUCCAUCUUCGGGGCACUAUGAUCAUCUUUGUCACCGGCAUGACACCAUGAUCUCCAUCAUUGUGUCUUCAUGAAGUUGUCACGCCAACGAUUACUUCUACUUCUAUGGCUAACGUGCUUAGCAAUAAAGUAAAGUAAUUUACAUGGCGUUAUUCAAUGACACGCAGGUCAUACAAAAAAUAAAGACAACUCCUAUGGCUCCUGCCGGUUGUCAUACUCAUCGACAUGCAAGUCGUGAUUCCUAUUACAAGAAUAUGAUCAAUCUCAUACAUCACAUAUAUCAUUCAUCACAUCUUUUGGCCAUAUCACAUCACAUAGCACAUGCUGCAAAAACAAGUUAGACGUCCUCUAAUUGUUGUUGCAAGUUUUUACGUGGCUUGUAUAGGUUUCUAGCAAGAACGUUUCUUACCUACGUAAAACCACAACGUGAUAUGCCAAUUUCUAUUUACCCUUCAUAAGGACCCUUUUCAUCGAAUCCGUACCGACUAAAGUGGGAGAGACAGACACCCGCUAGCCACCUUAUGCAACUGGUGCAUGUCAGUCGGUGGAACCUGUCUCACGUAAGCGUACGUGUAAGGUCGGUCCGGGCCGCUUCAUCCCACAAUGCCGCGGAAACAAGAUAAGACUAGUAGCGGCAAGAAGAAUUGGCAACAUCUACGCCCACAACUGCUUUGUGUUCUACUCGUGCAUAGAAACUACGCAUAGACCUAGCUCACGAUGCCACUGUUAGGGAACGUAGCAGAAAUUCAAAAUUUUCUACGCAUCACGAAGAUCAAUCUAUGGAGUAAUCUAGCAACGAGGGGAAGGGGAGUGCAUCUACAUACCAUUGUAGAUCGCGAUGCGGAAGCGUUGCAAGAACGCGGAUGAAGGAGUCGUACUCGUAGCGAUUCAGAUCGCGGUUGAUUCCGAUCUAAUCGCCGAACCACGGCGCCUCCGCGUUCAACACACGUGCAGCCCGGUGACGUCUCCCACGCCUUGAUCCAGCAAGGAGAGAGGGAGAGGUUGGGGAAGACUCCGUCCAGCAGCAGCACGACGGCGUGGUGGUGGUGGAGGAGCGUGGCAAUCCUGCAGGGCUUCGCCAAGCACCGCGGGAGAGGAGGAGGAAGAGGGGUAGGGCUGCGCCAUGAGGGAGAUGCGUUCUCGUGUGUAUGGCAGCCCCAAAACCCCAAUAUAUAUAGGGGAGGGGGAGGGCUGCGCCCCCAUCUAGGGUUCCCCCCCCCCAAGGGGUGCGGCCAGCCCUAGAUGGGGCUUGGGGGCGGCCAAGGGGGGGGGAGAGAGGGGGGCGCCCCACUAGAUGGGCCUUAGGCCCAUCUGAGCCUAGGGUUUCCCCCUUCCCCCCCUUCCUGCGCCCUGGGCCUCUUGUGGGGGGCGCACCAGCCCACCUGGGGCUGGUCCCCUCCCACACUUGGCCCACGCAGCCCUCUGGGGCCGGUGGCCCCACCUGGUGGACCCCCGGGACCCUCCCGGUGGUCCCGGUACAUUACCGAUAGCACCCGAAACUUUUCCGGUGACCAAAACAGGACUUCCCAUAUAUAAAUCUUUACCUCCGGACCAUUCCGGAACUCCUCGUGACGUCCGGGAUCUCAUCCGGGACUCCGAACAACAUUCAGUAACCACAUACAAACUUCCUUUAUAACCCUAGCGUCAUCGAACCUUAAGUGUGUAGACCCUACGGGUUCGGGAACCAUGCAGACAUGACCGAGACGUUCUUCGGCCAAUAACCAACAGCGGGAUCUGGAUACCCAUAUUGGCUCCCACAAGGUCCACGAUGAUCUCAUCGGAUGAACCACGAUGUCGGGGAUUCAAUCAAUCCCGUAUUCAAUUCCCUUUGUCUAUCGGUAUGCUACUUGCCCGAGAUUCGAUCGUCGGUAUCCCGAUACCUUGUUCAAUCUCGUUACCGGCAAGUCUCUUUACUCGUUCCGUAACUCACAUCAUCCCGUGAUCAACUCCUUGGUCACAUUGUGCACAUUAUGAUGAUGUCCUACCGAGUGGGCCCAGAGAUACCUCUCCGUUUACACGGAGUGACAAAUCCCAGUCUCGAUUCUUGCCAACCCAACAGACACUUUCGGAGAUACCUGUAGUGCACCUUUAUAGCCACCCAGUUACGUUGUGACGUUUGGUACACCCAAAGCAUUCCUACGGUAUCCGGGAGUUGCACAAUCUCAUGGUCUAAGGAAAUGAUACUUGACAUUAGAAAAGCUCUGAGCAAACGAACUACACGAUCUUGUGCUAGGCUUAGGAUUGGGUCUUGUCCAUCACAUCAUUCUCCUAAUGAUGUGAUCCCGUUAUCAACGACAUCCAAUGUCCAUGGUCAGGAAACCGUAACCAUCUAUUGAUCAACGAGCUAGUCAACUAGAGGCUUACUAGGGACAUGGUGUUGUCUAUGUAUCCACACAUGUAUCUGAGUUUCCUAUCAAUACAAUUCUAGCAUGGAUAAUAAACGAUUAUCAUGAACAAGGAAAUAUAAUAAUAACCUAUUUAUUAUUGCCUCUAGGGCAUAUUUCCAACAGGCCCCACCCGGUGGACCCCCGGGACCCUUCCGGUGGUCCCGGUACAAUACCGGUGACCCCCGAAACUCUCCCGGUGGCCGAAACUGGACUUCCUAUAUAUAAACCUUUACCUCCGGACCAUUCCGGAACUCCUCGUGAUGUCCGGCAUCUCAUCCGGGACUCCGAACAACUUUCGGUUAACCGCAUACUAAUAUCUCUACAACUCUAGCGUCACCGAACCUUAAGUGUGUAGACCCUACGGGUUCGGGAGACACGUAGACAUGACCGAGACAACUCUCCGGUCAAUAACCAACAGCGGGAUCUGGAUACCCAUGUUGGCUCCCACAUGUUCCACGAUGAUCUCAUCGGAUGAACCACGAUGUCGAGGAUUCAAGCAAUCCUGUAUACAAUUCCCUUUGUCAAUCGGUACGUUACUUGCCCGAGAUUCGAUCGUCGGUAUCCCAAUACCUCGUUCAAUCUCGUUACCGGCAAGUCACUUUACUCGUUCCGUAAUGCAUGAUCCGUGACUAACUACCUAGUCACAUUGAGCUCAUUAUGGUGAUGCAUUACCGAGUGGGCCCAGAGAUACCUCUCCGUCAUACGGAGUGACAAAUCCCAGUCUCGAUCCGUGCCAACCCAACAGACACUUUCGGAGAUACUUGUAGUGCACCUUUAUAGCCACCCAGUUACGUUGUGACGUUUGGUACACCCAAAGCAUUCCUACGGUAUCCGGGAGUUGCACAAUCUCAUGGUCUAAGGAAAUGAUACUUGACAUUAGAAAAGCUUUAGCAAACGAACUACACGAUCUAGUGCUAUGCUUAGGAUUGGGUCUUGUCCAUCACAUCAUUCUCCUAAUGAUGUGAUCCCGUUAUCAAUGACAUCCAAUGUCCAUGGUCAGGAAACCAUAACCAUCUAUUGAUCAACGAGCUAGUCAACUAGAGGCUCACUAGGGACAUGUUAUGGUCUAUGUGUUCACACAUGUAUUACGAUUUCCGGAUAACACAAUUAUAGCAUGAACAAUAGACAAUUGUCAUGAACAAGGAAAUAUAAUAAUAACCAUUUUUUUAUUGCCUCUAGGGCAUAUUUCCAACAAGGGAAUGUCGAACGGUUCAAGGCAAGGCUAGUGGCAAAAGGGUAUACACAGAGAGAAGGCAAUGAUUAUAAGCAAACCUUCUCUCCUGUGUCAACCAAGGAUUCUUUUAGAAUCAUAAUGGCAUUAGUAGCUCAUUACGACCUAGAACUACACCAAAUGGAUGUUAAAACGGCAUUUCUGAAUGGAGACUUAAAAGAAAAUGUUUACAUGGCUCAGCCAGAAGGCUUUGUUGUGGAAGGGAAGGAACAUUUAGCAUGUCGUCUAAAGAAAUCAAUUUAUGGCUUGAAACAAGCUUCAAGAGAGUGGUACCUCAAGUUUGAUAAAAUUAUCAAAACUUUUGGUUUCACCGAAAACGUUGUGGACAACUGCAUAUACGUUAAGUUUAAAGGCAGUAGGUUCACAUUUUUAGUCCUAUAGGUUGAUGACAUAUUGUUGGCAUGUAGCGAUGAGGAUACGCUGCAUGAGACCAAGAAUUUUCUGUCAUCCAGUUUUGAUAUGAAAGAUCUUGGUGAAGCCUCGUAUGUCCUCGGCAUCGAGAUUCACCGAGAUAGGUCCAGAGGAACGUUAGGACUAUCUCAAAAGGCAUACUUUGAGAGAGUACUGAAAAAAUUCAAUAUGCAUAAGUGCUCACCCUCACCUGCUCCUAUAGUUAAGGGCGAUAAGUUUGGGACAUUUCAAUGUCCGAGGAACCAGUAUGAAACUGAUCAGAUGAAGUCGGUUCCUUAUGCUUCAGCUGUCGGAAGUAUCAUGUAUGCUCAAGUGUGUACACGCCCAGAUUUGUGUUUUAUAACUGGGAUGCUUGGCAGAUACCAAUCAAAUCCAGGACCGGACCACUGGAAGGCCGCAAAGAAAGUCUUGCGUUAUUUGCAAGGAACUAAGGAAUUCAUGCUUACAUAUAAAAGAACUGAUAACCUAGAAAUUAUUGGUUAUUCAGACUCUGAUUUUGCCGGAUGUGUGGAUAGUAAGAGAUCCACGUCAGGUUAUAUAUUCACACUCGCGGGAGGAGCUAUAUCGUGGAAAAGCUCCAAACAAACGUUAACUGCUGGAUCUACGAUGCAAGCAGAAUUUGUAGCAUGUUAUGAGGCCACCGGGCAGGCUGUAUGGCUAAAGAAUUUUAUUCCCGGACUUAAAGUGGUUGACAGCAUAUCUAAACCAAUUUUAUUGUACUGCGAUAAUGAACCCGCAGUUUUCUAUACGAGUAACAACAGGUCAAGUAGUGCUGCCAGACACAUUGACAUAAAGUAUCGUGUUGUGAAAGAUAGAAUUCAGGAUCAAACAAUUGAUGUUAAACAUAUAAGAACGAAGCAUAUGCUUGCGGAUCCGCUAACAAAAGGCUUAUCACCCAGUAUUUUUCGUGAGCAUGUUGCCGGCAUGGGACUACUGGAAGCCUUAUGAUUCUGGAAUAAGAGGACCAUUAAAAUAAACCACUCCCCAAUUGUCAAAAUGUUUCCAUUUCGAAAUAGGCGGGUGUGCUAUAAGUGUUGAGGUUCUAUGGGGUUUCGAGCUGUUGUAACACCUCACUUUGAUACAUCAUUCCUAUGUAGAAUGGGCAAAUGAAGUUAAGCCUAACGAUCAAGGGGGAGAAAAAUGUUGGUUUUGAUCUGAUGGCUUAACAGGCAGUUAGAUCUAUUAGUCUAACAAAAAAAGGGAAAAGAUAACGAUAAUGAAAAGGCCCCACGCACCAACGUACGUGGGUUUUUUAUCCCAACUAAGGCGCCCUGAUCGGGGGCACCCAAACCAACUGAUGGUUUAGGUCCCCUGUCGCCAGCGCUAGAUAAAAGGGGGUACGGGAGAGGGUUGGCAGCCUGCGCGAUCACAAUUCUCGUACAGUUUCACUCCCCUCCUGAUAUUCUCUCACCCCAUCCGAUCAGGGGGAGCGCUGCAGCGACGGGAAGACCUACUCCAGCCGCCGCUGCCGUCCCUGGGCAAUCCCGGUGGCGUCCUGAAGGAAUCAAGACGUCAAGGAGAACCUCUGCUUCCACUGCAUCACCCCUGCAUCACGCCUGCACCGAGCAGGCGAUCAUGUCCACUCCCGUGACAUGUAAAGGAUCCCUAAAUCCUUCUCUGUUCAUGUUGUGAGGUGAUCUAGAUGCAAUUUGAUCCUGCUAAUGGCAUCCCAUAGAUGCAUAAUUAAUCCAACAAGAAAAUCUACUGUACAAUUCUCAAAGCAAUGGUACUAUUGUUAGGACAAAAAACUGUUUAAUGCAGAGCCUCAGAUAGUCGUUCUAAGUAUUACAGGCACUUGUUAAUUUUGUAUGUGCCAUAUCAACUCUGAUAGUUGCUCCAAAGGAUUGAUGCGGCGUUCAGAAACAGACCAUUGAAAACAACAGAAAAGCUCACAGUUCAUUCCGCAGUCAAGCCAAAACAAAACAUGGACGAUGUGCUUACCUGAGAGGAAGGGUUGCAUCUCUUCUACAGCUUGCAAGGAGUGCCAAAUACAUUUGCAAAUGAAAGGUUGAUCCCCGCACAACUAUACGAUCUAAAAUGAGAAGCAACUAGAUUCAAAUACUUGAACAAAUGAAAGACUGAUUCAGUACAGCUAGACAAUCUAAACUGGGAAGCAACGAGUGUCAGAUGCUUGAACAAAUAGAAGACUUAUUCAAUGCAGCAACACGAUCUAAACAGAGAAAUCAAACAGAUCAAAUCAGUCAGUCUUAGAAAAGCAAAACACAAUUCAACAGUGGAGCAUUUCGUCAGGAUUCAGAAUCGAAGUGAUUGCAUUGAUUGAACAGAACAAGGUAUUACAUAGCCUACUGAACCCCAUGACAGAAUACAACCGGCGCACGCCAAAUCAGUAAAUCUCAUCUACGACAGCACAUAUCACAGAGCAAACGAGGAAGUUGCCCCACUACACGAAUCUAGCCUCCGAAGCCGUAGAGGGUGCGGCCCUGUCGCUUGAGCGCGUAGACGACGUCCAUGGCGGUGACGGUCUUGCGGCGGGCGUGCUCAGUGUAGGUGACAGCGUCGCGGAUGACGUUCUCGAGGAAGAUCUUGAGGACGCCGCGGGUCUCCUCGUAGAUGAGGCCGGAGAUGCGCUUCACGCCGCCCCUCCUCGCUAGCCUCCGGAUCGCCGGCUUGGUGAUGCCCUGGAUGUUGUCGCGGAGGACCUUCCGGUGGCGCUUGGCGCCGCCCUUGCCCAGCCCCUUGCCGCCCUUGCCGCGCCCGGACAUCGUCGCUGGAUUUGGGAGAAGAAGGGAUUCGUGUGGAUGCUGAAGCUUGGGAUGGAUUUGGGAAUCGGAGGUGACGGCUUUAUAUGGGGCGGAGUUGGGAGGGAAGCCCCGAAAUUUUGGGGAGUUGGAGGCGGGAGGUGUUUGAUCUCUGCUGGGUCGAUCCGUGGGAUGUUGGAGUUCGGCCGUUGGAUUGCGAUCAGCGGGUGGGAUGAGGUGGGAGGCGGGUGGUGCGGAUCGGUGACGUGGCGGAGAUGUGGGCGUAAGUUUUUCUUAGAAAGAAAUGUGGGCUGCUUGUGCUACAAUGAUUUGGGCCAGGCCGAGCGAUAGUGUUGGUAGCCCAUUUUUCAGCGAUAAUGUGGGCUGCUUGUGCUACAAAGAUUUGUGCUAAGUCGUAUUUUCCUAAAAUUUAACCAAAUUUCACAAUAUCAAAUCAAUAUAUUUAGAUUCAUCAUGAAAUAUUUCAAGUUAUAUUUAUUGUGUAUUGUAGUUGUUGAUAUUUUUGUUAUUAUUUAUGUGUACGUUACACACGAUGGAAGGACAAAAAUAUACUUGUGCCAAAAAAAACCUACCCUCGUGUUAGGGUUUUUGCUCAUGUCGAGGUGACUCGACGUUGAGACCCUGUCCGCCUCCGUCGUUCUUCCCAUGUACUCCACCUGGGUCGAGGACCGGUCCAGUAGCACCGUGCAAAAGUCCACCAUUCGUUGGCGACGGAUCGGCGACCACCUCUUGGAAGCGAAGUUGAAGGAGUCUAAGCACGUCGCUAGUGCCCUCGCCGCACCAAGUGCCAAGGGCAAGAGUGCUCUGCAGCUGACAGUUACCGCCAGAAGGACGCGAUGUGUCAGGCGGAUGCAGCAGCCAAGCGGCUGCGCUGUGAGUCCGCAUAGACGGACAAACAUGGUUGAUGCGACCCCUUAGUGGCUUUCCUCCUCCACGACAAUGAUGGCGGCGGUGGGAACGACGGAGGGGGUAAUGACGGUGGUCUCGGAGGUCAUGCCUACAAGAUCACCGUCUGGUACCUCACUUGAGUUUAGUUUUUUUUAAAUCGGCUUAGUCAAACUUUGUUAAAUUUCGUCUUUUUGAUAUAAAUAUAUCAAAAUUUAACAUUGUCCAGUUUGCAUGAAUGUUGACUGCCUUUUCGAAUUGUCCAUUCACCGCGAUGACUGCCUUUUUGGAUUGUCCAUUCACCGCGGCCCCCGACGGACUCCCCACGCAAGCACCGACGUUAUUUUGACUACGAUUAUGGCAACGAAUACUGGAACCGGCGUCCACGUUUGUUGGAACCAGCAAACCUACAAUUGGCAUGCUUCGAGUGGCUAGUCGAGCGAGAAAACAACGUGGCUCGUGCGAGCAUGCAGGGCCUUUGUUGCAACCACCGGUGAAACGUUUUACCACCAUGACGGGGCUGCGUUUGAACCCAGAUGUUGCAAUUGGAGGGGACGAAGCAUCGAUGCGUGAGCGACGCUACCAUGCGCUGGUUGCGGGGCGAGGGGCACGGGCCGGCAAGCAUCAAGGCCGUGGGGUGGGGAGCACGGCGAAGUUCGGUGCAGGAUGCGCCGAGGGGAGCAUGGCGAGCUUGGUGCGAGGUACGGGGGGAGCGAGGUAAGCGAGCUACAAGGGGUUGCACGGGUUGACCCUUUGGGGAAGGAGAUCACAAAUCACGCGGAUGGUCAGCCCAUUCGGACGGCUGCUAGGUGGCCCGCCGAAAAUUGGGCCACUCGCGACACCAAGUGCAUGAUAAAAGGUGUGUAUGUAUAUGUGGCCUUCAGUUGAAAAUAGAAUUAGAUAAAGUCGCAAUCUCCACACCUAGAGUCCAAAAAAACACAUAAUUAACAUAAAUUAUUGUCAGUGCAUAUUUCUCCAUAAGUGGUUUUGAUGAUUGAUCACAGUGCAUUUCGGACUAAUCGUGUGCAUUGAGCAUUUCAGAUAUCUCAUGUCUAGGCACAAGACAACUCGGUGCCCCUCGGAGCCUAUCGAAGACGGCGGUUCUCUACGUUUCUUUUCGGUGGAUUUGAGUCGUAGGAAAGCCGUACUAUUAAGAGGCGGUCCGCUUCGGAAAGGUUAGGGUGGAAUCAACACGUACACAUUUGUUCCUUUGCACCACAUUUCCUUCGCUUCGAUGGAGCACCGUCCGUUUAUCCUUGUCUCUGUGAUAUGAAGGUUGCCGAAUGUUAAAGCCUUUGUGGCAUGCGUUAGUACUACUCAAGGGAGCAGUAGUACCGCAGGGGCAUGCGGUAGUACCGCUCAAGCGAGCAGUAGUACCGCCCAGCGGUAGUACCGCUCCUGGUGAGCGGUAGUACCGCUGCCUCCAACCCUGACGCUGACGCAUGCGGAAGUAGGCGCGGAUGUAAUUUUUUACUUCCGCCCCUUACGGCGGUAGCAUUAUAAGAUGAUCCCUCACUAAAUUUCAAGGUAUGAGUGUUCUCCCUGAGUUCUACGUGAUGAUCGGGUGUGAUAAGCUCUACGUUCACAUACAACGGGUGCAAGCCAGUUUUGCACGUGCAAAAUACUCGGGUUAAACUUCACGAGCCUAGCAUAUGCAAAUAUGGCCUGGGUACACUGAAACCGAAAGGUCGAACGUGAAUUAUGUAGUAGAUAUGAUCAACAUAGAGAUGUUCACCAUUGAAAACUAUUCCAUCUCACGUGAUGAUCAGACAUGGUUUAGUUGAUAUGGAUCACGUGAUCAUUUAGAUGACUCGAGGGAUGUCUAUCUAAGUGGGAGUUCUUAAGUAAUAUGAUUAAUUGAACUUAAAUUUAUCAUGAACUUAGUCCUGAUAGUAUUUGCAUAUCUAUGUUGUACAUCAAUAGCUUGCUUAUAGCUUCCCCAUUUUAUUUAUGAUUUGUUUCUAGAGAAAACUAAGUUGAAAGAUGAUAGUAGCAAUGAUGCGGACUAGGUCCGUGAUCUGAGGAUUAUCCUCAUUGCUGCAUAGAAGAAUUAUGUCCUUGAUGCACCGCUAGGUGACAUAACUAUUGCAGGAGCAGAUGCAGACGUUAUGAACAUUUGACAAUCUCGGUAUGAUGACUACUUGAUAGUUUAGUGCACCAUGCUUUACGGCUUGGAAGCGGGACUUCAAAAAUGUUUCGAACGACAUGGAACAUAUGAGAUGUUCCAAGAGUUGAAAUUGGUAUUUCAGACUCAUGCCCGUGUUAAGAGGUAUGAGACCUCUGACAAGUACUUUGCCUACAAGAUGGAGGAGAAUAACUCAACCAGUGAGCAUGUGCUCAAAAUGUCUGAGUACUACAAUCGCUUGAAUCAAGUGGGAGUUAAUCUUCCAGAUAAGAUAGUGAUUGACAGAAUUCUCUAGUCACUAUCACCAUGUUAUUGGAACUUCGUGAUGAACUAUAAUAUGCAAGGGAUAACAAAAACGAUUCCUGAACUCUUCGCGAUGCUAAAAUCGGCGAUGGUAGAAAUCAAUAAAAAGCAUCAAGUGUUGAUGGUUAACAAGAACACUAGUUUCAAGAAAAGGGGCAAAGGAAAAGAAAGGGAACUUCAAGAAAGAAUGGCAAGCAAGUUGCUACUCCCAUGAAGAAACCCAAAGCUAGACCUAAGCCUGAAUCUGAGUGCUUCAACUGCAAAGGAAAUGGUCACUAGAAGUGGAACUACCCUAGAUACUUGGCGAAUAAGAAGGAUGGCAGAGUGAACAAAGGUAUAUUUUGUUGGGGAUCGUUGCAGAAAUUAAAAAAUUUCUACGAAUCACCAAGAUCAAUCUAUGGAGAGACUAGCAAUGAGAGAGAGGUGAGUGCAUGUUCAUACCCUUGAAGAUCGCGACACGGAAGUGUUACAAGAACGCGGAUGAAGGAGUCGUACUCACAGCGAUUCAGAUCGCUGUUGAUUCCGAUCUAAGCGCCGAACAACGGCGCCUCCGCGUUCAACACACGUACAGCCCGGGGACGUCUCCUCCUUCUUGAUCCAGCAAGGGGGAAGGAGAAUUUGGGGAAGAACUCUGGCAGCACGACAGCGUGGUGGUGGAGCUCGCAGUUCUCCGGCAGGGCUUCGCCAAGCUCAACGGAGGAGGAGGGAGUGUUGGAGAGGGGGAGGGCUGCGCCUUGGAUGUGGUGCUGCUGCCCUCCCUCCACCCCUCUAUUUAUAGGGCGGAGGGGGAAGGGGGCCGGCCCCUCUAGAUGAGAUCUAGAGGGGGGCGGCGGCCAAGGGGAGGGGCUUGCCCCCCAAGCCAAGGGGGCGCCCCCUUUAGGGUUCCCCCCCAACCCUAGGCGCAUGGGCCCUAGGGGGGAUGGCGCCCGGCCCACUUAGGGGCUGGUUCCCUUCCACAUAUAGCCCACAGGGCCCUCCGGGGCAGGUGGACCCUCCCGGUGGACCCCCGGAACCCCUUCGGUGGUCCCGGUACAAUACCGAUAAACUCCUGAACACUUCCGAUGACCGUAUGAUGACUUCCCAUAUAUAAAUCUUCACCUCCUGACCAUUUCGGAACUCCUCGUGACGUCCAUGAAACAUUCGGUAACUGCAUACUAUUUCCCAUAACAAAUCUAGCGUCACCGAACCUUAAGUGUGUAGACCCUACGGGUUCGGGAAUCAUGCAGACAUGACAGAGACAUCUCUUCGGCCAAUAACCAAUAGCGGGAUCUGGAUACCCAUGUUGGCUCCCACAUGUUCCAUGAUGAUCUCAUCGGAUGAACCACGAUGUCGGGAAUUCAAUCAAUCCCGUACACAAUUCCCUUUGUCUACCGGUAUGAUACUUGCCCGAGAUUCGAUCGUCGGUAUCCCUAUACCUUGUUCAAUCUCGUUACCGGCAAGUCUCUUUACUCGUUCUGUAACACGUCAUCCCGUGAUCAACUCCUUGGUCACAUUGAGCUCAUUAUGAUGAUGUCUUACCGAGUGGGCCCAGAGAUACCUCUCCGUCAGACGGAGUGACAAAUCCCAAUCUCGAUUCGUGCCAACCCAACAGAUACUUUCAGAGAUACCCGUAGUGCACCUUUAUAGCCACCCAGUUACGUUGUGACGUUUGGCACACCCAAAGCAUUCCUACGGUAUCUGGGAGUUGCACAAUCUCAUGGUCUAAGGAAAUGGUACUUGACGUUAGAAAAGCUUUAGCAGACGAACUAUACGAUCUUGUGCUAUGCUUAGGACUGGGUCUUGUCCAUCACAUCAUUCUCCUAAUGAUGUGAUCCCGUUAUCAACGACAUCUAAUGUCCAUGGUCAGGAAACCGUAACCAUCUAUUGAUCAAUGAGCUAGUCAACUAGAGGCUCACUAGGGACAUGUCGUGGUCUAUGUAUUCACACAUGUAUUACAAUUUCCGGAUAACAAUUAUAGCAUGAACAAUAGACAAUUAUCAUGAACAAGGAAAUAUAAUAAUAACCAUUUUAUUAUUGCCUCUAGGGCAUAUUUCCAACAGUCUCCCACUUGCACUAGAGUCAAUAAUCUAGUUACAUUGUGAUGAAUCGGACACUCAUAGAGUUCUGGUGUUGAUCAUGUUUUGCACAUGGAAGAGGUUUAGUCAACGGAUCUGCGACAUUCAGGUCCGUAUGCACUUUACAAAUCUCUAUGUCUCCAUCUUGAACAUUUUCACGAAUGGAGUUGAAGCGACGCUUGAUAUGCCUGGUCUUCUUGUGGAACCUGGGCUCCUUGGCAAGGGCAAUAGCUCCAGUGUUGUCACAGAAGAGAAUCAUCGGGCCUGGCGCAUUGGGAAUAACUCCUAGGUCGGUAAUGAACUCCUUCAUCCAGAUUGCUUCAUGUGCUGCCUCCGAGGCUGCCAUUUACUCCGCUUCACAUGUAGAUCCCGUCACGACGCUUUGCUUGCAACUGCACCAACUGACUGCCCCACCAUUCAAAAUAUACACGUAUCCGGUUUGUGACUUGGACUCAUCCAGAUCUGUGUCAAAGCUAGCAUCAACGUAACCCUUUACGACGAGCCCUUCGACACCUCCAUAAAUGAGAAACAUAUCCUUAGUCCUUUUCAGGUACUUCAGGAUAUUCUUGACCGCUGUCUAGUGUUCCAUGCCGGGAUUACUUUGGUACCUUCCUACCAAACUUACGGCAAGGUUUACAUCAGGUCUGGUACACAACAUGGCAUACAUAAUAGACCCUAUGGCCGAGGCAUAGGGGAUGACACUCAUCUUUUCUCUAUCUUCUGCCGUGGUCGGGCAUUGAGCCGUGCUCAAUCUCACACCUUGCAAUACAGGCAAAAACCCCUUCUUGGACUGAUCCAUAUUGAACUUCUUCAAUAUCUUGUCAAGGUAUGUGCUUUGUGAAAGACCAAUGAGGCGUCUCGAUCUAUCUCUAUAGAUCUUGAUGCCUAAUAUAUAAGCAGCUUCUCCAAGGUCCUUCAUUGAAAAACACUUAUUCAAGUAGGCCUUUAUGCUUUCCAAGAGUUCUAUGCCAUUUCCCAUCAAUAGUAUGUCAUCCACAUAUAAUAUGAGAAAUGCUACAGAGCUCCCACUCACUUUCUUGUAAACACAGGCUUCUCCAUAAAUCUGUGUAAACCCAAACGCAUUGAUCAUGUCAUCAAAGCGAAUGUUCCAACUCCGAGAUGCUUGCACCAGCCCAUAGAUUGAGCGCUGGAGCUUGCAUACCUUGUCAGCAUUCUUAGGAUCGACAAAACCUUCCGGCUGCAUCAUAUACAAUUCUUCCUUAAGGAAACCAUUAAGGAAUGCCUUUUGACGUCCAUUUGCCAUAUCUCAUAAUCAUAGAAUGCGGCAAUUGCUAACAUGAUUCGGACGGACUUCUGCUUCGCUACUGGUGAGAAAGUGUCAUCGUAGUCAACCCCUUGAACUUGUCGAUAACCCUUAGCGACAAGUCGAGCCUUAUAGAUGGUCACAUUACCAUCCGCGUCUGUCUUCUUCUUAAAGAUCCAUUUAUUUUCUAUGGCUCGCCGAUCAUCGGGCAAGUCAGUCAAAGUCCAUACUUCAUUUUCAUAUAUGGAUCCUAUCUCGGAUUUCAUGGCUUCAAGCCAUUUGUUGGAAUCCGGGCCCGCCAUCGCUUCUUCAUAGUUCGAAGGUUCACCAUUGUCUAACAACAUGAUUUCCAGGACAGGGUUGCCGUACUACUCUGGUGCGGAACGUGUCCUUGUGGACCUACGAAGUUCAGUAGCAACUUGAUCCGAAGUUCCUUGAUCAUCAUCAUUAAAUUUCUCUCUAGUCGGUGCAGGCAACACAGAAACAUUUUCUUGAGCUGCGCUACUUUCCGGUUCAAGAGGCAGUACUUCAUCAAGUUCUACUUUCCUCCCACUUACUUCUUUCGAGAGAAACUCUUUCUCUAGAAAGGACCCAUUCUUGGCAACAAAGAUCUUGACUUCGGAUCUGAGGUAGAAGGUAUACCCAAUAGUUUCCUUAGGGUAUCCUAUGAAGACGCAUUUUUUUGACUUGGGUUCAAGCUUUUCAGGUUGAAGUUUCUUGACAUAAGCAUCGCAUCCCCAAACUUUCAGAAACGACAGCUUAGGUUUCUUCCCAAACCAUAAUUCAUAUGGUGUCGUCUCAACGGAUUUCGACGGAGCCCUAUUUAAAGUGAAUGCGGCAGUCUCUAAAGCAUAACCCCAAAAUGAUAGCGGUAGAUCGGUAAGAGACAUCAUAGAUCGCACCAUAUCUAAUAGAGUGCGAUUACGACGUUCGGACACACCAUUACGCUGAGGUGUUCCAGGCGGCGUGAGUUGUGAAACAAUUCCACAUUUCCUUAAGUGCGUGCCAAAUUCGUGACUCAAAUAUUCCCCUCCUUGAUCUGAUCGUAAGAACUUCAUUUUCCUGUCACGUUGAUUCUCAACCUCACUCUGAAAUUCCUUGAACUUUUCAAAGGUCUCAAACUUGUGUUUCAUUAAGUAGACAUACCCAUAUCUACUUAAGUCAUCAGUGAGGGUGAGAACAUAAUGAUAACCACCGCGAGCCUCAACGCUCAUUGGACCGCACACAUCAGUAUGUAUGAUUUCCAAUAAGUUGGUUGCUCGCUCCAUUGUUCCGGAGAACGGAGUCUUGGUCAUUUUGCCCAUGAGGCAUGGUUCGCACGUGUCAAAUGAUUCAUAAUCAAGAGACUCCAAAAGUCCAUCUGCAUGGAGUUUCUUCAUGCGUUUGACACCAAUGUGACCAAGGCGGCAGUGCCACAAGUAUGUGGGACUAUCAUUAUCAACCUUACAUCGUUUGGCAUUCACACUAUGAAUAUGUGUAACAUCACGUUCGAGAUAAGAAUAAACCAUUGACCAACGGGGCAUGACCAUAAAACAUAUCUCUCAUAUAAAUAGAACAAUCAUUAUUCUCAGAUUUAAAUGAGUAGCCAUCUCGCAUUAAGCGAGAUCCAGAUACAAUGUUCAUGCUCAAAGCUGGCACUAAAUAACAAUUAUUGAGGUUUAAAACUAAUCCCUUAGGUAAAUGUAGAGGUAGCGUGCCGACGGCGAUCACAUCGACCUUGGAACCAUUCCCGACGCGCAUUGCCACCUCGUCCUUCGCCAGUCUCCGCUUAUUCCGCAGCUCCUGUUUUGAGUUACAAAUAUGAGCAACCGCACCGGUAUCAAAUACCCAGCAGCUACUACGAGUGCUGGUAAGGUACACAUCAAUAACAUGUAUAUCAUAUAUACCUUUGGUAUUGCCGGCCUUCUUAUCCGCUAAGUACUUGGGGUAGUUCCGCUUCCAGUGACUAUUUGCCUUGCAAUAAAAGCACUCAGUCUCAAGCUUGGGUCCAUUCUUUGGCUUCGUCCCGGCAGCUUGCUUACCGGGCGCGGCAACUCCCUUGCUAUCCUUCUUGAAGUUCUUUUUACCCUUGCCUUUCUUGAACUUAGUGGUUUUAUUCACCAUCAACACUUGAUGUUCCUUUUUUAUCUCCACCUCCGCUGAUUUCAGCAUUGAAUAUACCUCAGGAAUGGUUUUUUUCCAUCUCCUGCAUAUUGAAGUUCAUCACAAAGCUCUUGUAGCUAGGUGGAAGCGACUAAAGGAUUCUGUCAACGACCGCGUCAUUCGGGAGAUUAACUCCCAGCUGAGACAAGCGGUUGUGCAACCCAGACAUUUUGAGUAUGUGCUCGCUGACAGAACUAUUCUCCUCCAUCUUACAACUGUAAAACUUGUCGGAGACUUCAUAUCUCUCGACUCGGGCGUGAGCUUGGAAAACCAUUUUCAGCUCUUGGAACAUCUCAUAUGCUCCGUGUUGCUCAAAAUGCUUUUGGAGCCCCAGUUCUAAGCUGUAAAGCAUGUCGCACUGAACCAGGGAGUAAUCAUCACUACGCGACUGCUAGGUGUUCAUAACGUCUUGAGUUGCUGGGAAAACAGGUGUGUCACCUAGCGGUGCUUCAAGGACAUAUGCUUUCUUGGCAGCUAUGAGGAUAAUCCUCACGUUACGGACCCAGUCCGUGUAGUUUCUACCAUCGUCUUUCAGCUUGGUUUUCUCUUGGAACGCGUUGAAGUUGAGGGCAACAUUAGCGUGGGCCAUUUCAUCUACAAGACAUAUUGUAAAGAUUUUAGACCAAGUUCAUGAUAAUUAAGUUCAUCUAAUCAAAUUAUUCAAUGAACUCCCACUUAGAUAGACAUCCCUCUAGCCAUCUAAGUGAUACAUGAUCCGAAUCGACUAGGCCGUGUCUGAUCAUCACGUGAGACGGACUAGUCAUCAACGGUGAACAUCUCCAUGUUGAUCGUAUCUUCUAUACGACUCAUGUUCGACCUUUCGGUCUUCCGUGUUCCGAGGCCAUGUCUGUACAUGCUAGGCUCGUCAAGUCAACCUAAGUGUAUUGCGUGUGUAAAUCUGGCUUACACCCGUUGUAUGUGAACGUUAGAACCUAUCAUCACGUGGUUCUUCGGAACAACGGACCUUAGCAACGGUGCACAGUUAGGGGGAACACUUUCUUGAAAUUAUUGCGAGGGGAAGCUACCGUCGUUCUAAGCAAAUAAGAUGUAAAACAUGAUAAACAUCACAUGCAAUCAAAUAGUGACAUGAUAUGGCCAAUAUCAUUUUUUUGCUCCUUUUGAUCUCCAUCUUCGGGGCGCCAUGAUCAUCAUCGUCACCGGCAUGACACCAUGAUCUCCAUCAUCGUGAGUUGUCUUGCCAACUAUAACUUCUACUACUAUGGCUAAUGGUUAGGAAUAAAGUAAAGUAAUUACAUGGCGUUUUCAGUGACACACAGGUCAUACAAUAAAUUAAGACAACUCCUAUGGCUCCUGCCGGUUGUCAUACUCAUCGACAUGCAAGUCGUGAUUCCUAUUACAAGAACAUGAUCAAUCUCAUACAUCACAUAUAUCAUUCAUCACAUCCUUUUGGCCAUAUCACAUCACACGACAUAUGCUGCAAGAACAAGUUAGAUGUCCUCUAAUUGUUGUUGCAAGUUUUUACGUGGCUGCUAUAGGUUUCUAGCAAGAACGUUUCUUACCUACGCCAAAACCACAACGUGAUAUGCCAAUUUCUAUUUACCCUUCAUAAGGACCCUUUUCAUCGAAUACGAUCCGACUAAAGUGGGAGAGACAGACACCCGCUAGCCACCUUAUGCAACUGGUGCAUGUCAGUCGGUGGAACCUGUCUCACGUAAGCGUACAUGUAAGGUCGGUCCGGGCCGCUUCAUCCCACAAUGCCGCUGAAUCAAGAUAGGACCAGUAACGACAAGUAAAUUGACAAAAUCGACGCCCACAAUAACUUGUGUACUACUACUCGUGCAUAGAAACUACGCAUAGACCUAGCUCUGAUACCACUGUUGGGGAUCGUUGCAGAAAUUAAAAAAUUUCUACGCAUCACCAAGAUCAAUCUAUGGAGAGACUAGCAACGAGAGAGAGGGGAGUGCAUCUUCAUACCCUUGAAGAUCGCGACACGGAAGCGUUACAAGAACGCCGAUGAAGGAGUCGUACUCGCAGCGAUUCAGAUCGCGGUUGAUUCCGAUCUAAGCGCCGAACAACGGCACCUCCGCGUUCAACACACGUACAGCCCGGGGACGUCUCCUCCUUCUUGAUCCAGCAAGGGGGAAGGAUAAGUUGGGGAAGAACUCCGGCAGCACGAUGACGUGGUGGUGGAGCUCGCAGUUCUCCGGCAGGGCUUCGCCAAGCUCAACGGAGGAGGAGUGGGUGUUGGAGAGGGGGAGGGCUGCGCCUUGGAUGUGGUGUUGCUGCCCUCCCUCCACCCCUCUAUUUAUAGGGCGGAGGGGGAAGGGGGCCGGCCCCUCUAGAUGAGAUCUAGAGGGGGGGCGACGGCCAAGGGGAGGGGGCUUGCCCCCCAAGCCAAGGGGGGCGCCCCCUUUAGGGUUCCCCCCAACCCUAGGCGCAUGGGCCCUAGGGGGAUGGCGCCCAACCCACUUAGGGGCUGGUUCCCUUCCACAUACAGCCCACAGGGCCCUCCGGGGCAGGUGGACCCUCCCGGUGGACCCCCGGAACCCCUUCGGUGGUCCUGGUACAAUACCGAUAAACCCCCGAACACUUCCGGUGACCGUAUGAUGACUUCCCAUAUAUAAAUCUUCACCUCCGGACCAUUCCUGAACUCCUCGUGACAUCCGGGAUCUCAUCCGGGACUCUUAACAACAUUCGGUAACUGCAUACUAUUUCCGAUAACAACUCUAGCGUCACCGAACCUUAAGUGUGUAGACCUACGGGUUCGGGAAUCAUGCAGACAUGACCGAUACAUCUCUCCGGCCAAUAACCAACAACGGGAUCUGGAUACCCAUGUUGGCUCCCACAUGUUCCACGAUGAUCUCAUCGGAUGAACCACGAUGUCGGGGAUUCAAUCAAUCCCGUACACAAUUCCCUUUGUCUACCGGUAUGAUACUUGCCCGAGAUUCGAUCGUCGGUAUCCCUAUACCUUGUUCAAUCUCGUUACUAGCAAGUCUCUUUACUCGUUCUGUAACACAUCAUCCCGUGAUCAACUCCUUGGUCACAUUGAGAUCAUUAUGAUGAUGUCUUACCCAGUGGGCCCAGAGAUACCUCUCCGUCAUACGGAGUGACAAAUCCCAAUCUCGAUUCGUGCCAACCCAACAGAUACUUUCGGAGAUACCCGUAGUGCACCUUUAUAGCCACCCCGUUACGUUGUGACGUUUGGCACACCCAAAGCAUUCCUACGGUAUCCGGGAGUUGCACAAUCUCAUGGUCUAAGGAAAUGAUACUUGACAUUAGAAAAGCUUUAGCAGACGAACUAUACGAUCUUGUGCUAUGCUUAGGAUUGGGUCUUGUCCAUCACAUCAUUCUCCUAAUGAUGUGACCCCGUUAUCAACGACAUCUAAUGUCCAUGGUCAGGAUACCGUAACCAUCUAUUGAUCAACGAGCUAGUUAACUAGAGUCUCACUAGGGACAUGUCGUGGUCUAUGUAUUCACACAUGUAUUACGAUUUCCACAUAACACAAUUAUAGCAUGAACAAUAGACAAUUAUCAUGAACAAGGAAAUAUAAUAGUAACCAUUUUAUUAUUGCCUCUAGGGCAUAUUUCCAACAUAUUUGAUAUACAUGGUAUUUAUGUGUAGUUUACUAGUGUUUAUAGCAACCCCUCGGUAUUUGAUACUCGUUCAAUUGCUAAGAGUAGUAACUCGAAACAUGAGUUGCAAAAUAAACAGAGACUAGUUAAGGGCGAGGUGACGAUGUGUGUUGGAAGUGAUUCCAAGGUUGAUAAGAUCACCAUCGCACACUCCCUUUACCUUCGGGAUUAGUGUUGAACCUAAAAUAAAUGUUAUUGGGUGUUUGCUUUGAGCAUGAAUAUGAUUGGAUCAUGUUUAUUGCAAUAUGAUUAUUCAUUUAAGUCAAAGAAUAAUUGUUGUUCUAUUUACAUGAAUAAAACCUUCUAUGGUCAUACACUCAAUAUAAAUGGUUUAUUGAAUCUCGAUCAUGGUGAUACACAUAUUCAUAAUAUUGAUGCCAAAAGAUGCAAAGUUGAUAAUAUGAUAGUGCAACAUAUUUGUGGCACUGCCGUUUAGGUCAUAUUGGUAUGAAGCGCAUAAGAAACUCCAUACGGAUGGACUUCUGGAAUCACUUGAUUAUGAAUCAUUUGAUGCUUGCGAACCAUGCCUCAUGGGCAAGAUGACUAAGACUCCGUUCUCCGGAAUAAUGGAGCGAGCCACUGACUUAUUGGAAAUAAUACAUACCGAUGUAUGCAGUCCGAUGAGUGUUGAGGCUCGCGGCGGGUAUCAUUAUUCUAACCUUCACAAAUGAUUUGAGCAGAUAUGGGUAUAUCUACUUAAUGAAACAUAAGUCUAAAACAUUUGAAAAGUUCAAAGGAUUUCAGAGUGAAGUAGAAAAUCAUUGUAACAAAAAAAUAAAGUUUCUAUGAUCUGAUCACAGAGGCAAAUAUUUGAGUUACGAGUUUGGCCUUCAUUUAAAACAAUGUGGAAUAGUUUCUCAACUCACGCCACCUGGAACACCACAGCGUAAUGGUGUGUCCGAACGUCAUAACCCUACUUUACUAGAUAUGAUACGAUCUAUGAUGUCUCUUACCGAUUUACCACUAUCAUUUUGGGGUUAUGCAUUAGAGACAACUGCAUUCACGUUAAAUAGGGCACCAUCUAAAUCCGUUCAGAUGACACCUUAUGAACUAUGGUUUGGCAAGAAACCUAAGCUGUCAUUUCUUAAAAGUUUGGAGUUGCGAUGCUUAUGUGAAAAAAUUUCAAACCGAUAAGCUCGAACCUAAAUCGGAGAAGUGCGUCUUCAUAGGAUACCCAAAAAGAAACUGUUGGGUACACUUUCUAUCACAGAUCCGAAGGCAAGAUAUUUGUUGCUAAGAGUGGAUCCUUUCUAGAGAAGGAGUUUCUCUCGAAAGAAGUGAGUGGGAGGAAAGUAGAACUUGAUGAGGUAGUUGUACCUUCUCUCGAGUUGGAGAGUAGUUCAUCACAGAAAUCAGUUCCAGUGAUGCCUACACCAAUUAGUGAGGAAGUUAAUGAUGAUGAUCAUGAAACUUCAGAUAAAGUUACUACCGAACCUCUUAGGUCAACUAGAGUACGUUUCGCAUCAGAGUGGUACGGUAAUCCUGUUCUGGAAGUCAUGUUACUAGACCAUGACGAACCUGUGAACUAUGAGGAAGCGAUGAUGAGCCCAGAUUUCGCAAAAUGGCUUGAGGCCAUGAAAUCUGAGAUGGGAUCCAUGUAUGAAGAACAAAGUGUGGACUUUGGUUGACUUGCCCGAUGAUCGGCAAGCCAUUGGAAAUAAAUGGAUCUUCAAGAGGAAGACGGACGCUGAUAGUAGUGUUACUAUCUACAAAGAUCGAAUUGUCGCAUAAAGUUUUCGACAAGUUCAAGGUGUUGACUACGAUGAGAUUUUCUCACUCGUAGCGAUGCUUAAGUCUGUCCGAAUCAUGUUAGCAAUUGCCACAUUUUAUGAAAUAUGGCAAAUGGAUGUCAAAACUGCAUUCCUUAAUGGAUAUAUUAAAGAAGAGUUGUAUAUGAUGCAACAAGAAGGUUUUGUCAAUCCUAAAGGUGCUAAUAAAGUGUGCAAGCUCCAGCGAUCCAUCUAUGGACUGGUGCAAGCAUCUCGGAGUUGGAAUAUACGCUUUGAUGAGUUGAUCAAAGCAUAUAGUUUUAUACAGACUUGCGGUGAAGCCUGUAUUUACAAGAAAGUGAGUGGGAGCACUACAACCUUUCUGAUAAGUAUAUGUGAAUGACAUAUUGUUGAUCGGAAAUGAUGUAGAAUUUUCUGGAAAGCAUAACAGAGUGUUUGAAAGGAGUUUUUCAAAGGAAGACCUCGAUGAAGCUGCUUACAUACUGAGCAUCAAGAUCUAUAGAUAUAGAUCAAGACGCUUGAUAAGUUUUUUCAAUGAGUACAUACCUUGACAAGUUUUUGAAGUAGUUCAAAAUGGAACAGUCAAAUAAGGAGUUCUUGCCUGUGUUGCAAGGUGUGAAGUUGAGUAAAGACUCAAAAACCGACCACGGCAGAAAAUAGAAAGAGAAUGAAAAGUCAUUCCCUAUGCCUCAGUCAUAGGUUCUAUAAAGUAUGCUAUGCUAUGUACCAGACCUAUUGUGUACCUCACCACGAGUUUGGCAAGAGGGUACAAUAGUAAUCCAGGAGUGGAUCACUGAACAGCGAUCAAAAUUAUCCUUAGUGGAAUAAGGACAUGUUUCUCGGUGAUGGAGGUGGCAAAAAGUUCAUCAUAAAGGGUUACGUCGAUGCAAGCUUUGACACUGAUCCGGAUGACUCUAAGUCACAAUCUGGAUACAUAUUGAAAGUGGGAGCAAUUAGCUAGAGUAGCUCUGUGCAUAGCAUUGUAGACAUAAAAAAUUUGCAAAAUAUGUACGGCUCUGAAUGUGGUAGACCCGUUGAUUAAACUUCUCUCACAAGCAAAACAUGAUCACACCUUAAAACCCUUUGGGUGUUAGUCACAUGGAGAUGUGAACUAAUCACAUAAAGAUGUGAACUAUUGGUGUUAAAUCACAUGACUAUGUGAACUAGAUUAUUGGCUCUAGUGCAAGUGGGAGACUGAAGGAAAUAUGCCCUAGAGGCAAUAAUAAAGUUGUUAUUUACAUUUCCUUAAAUCAUGAUAAAUGUUUAUUAUUCAUGCUAUAAUUAUAUUAACCGGAAACUUAGUACGUGUGUGAAUACAUAGACAAAACAGAGUGUCCCUAGUAUGCCUCUACUUGACUAGCUCGUUAAUCAAAGAUGGUUAAGUUUCCUGACCAUAGACAUGUGUUGUCAUUUGAUGAACGGGAUCACAUCAUUAGAAGAAUGAUGCGAUGGACAAGACCCAUCCGUUAGCUUAGCAUGUUGAUCGUUCAGUUUUAUUGCUAUUGCUUUCUUCAUGACUUAUACAUAUUCCUUUGACUAUGAGAUUAUGCAACUCCCGAAUACCGGAGGAACGCCUUGUAUGCUAUCAAACGUCACAACGUAACUGGGUGUCUCCGAAGUUGUUUGUUGGGUUGGCAUAGAUCGAGAUUAGGAUUUGUCACUCCGAGUAUCGAAGAGGUAUCUCUGGGCCCUCUCGGUAAUGCACAUCACUGUAAGCCUUGCAAGCAAUGUGACUAAUGAGUUAGUUGCAGGAUGAUGCAUUAUGGAACGAGUAAAGAGACUUGCCGGUAACAAGAUUGAACUAGGUAUGAGGAUACCGACGAUCGGAUCUCGGGCAAGUAACAUGCCGAUGACAAAGGGAAUGACGUAUGUUGUUAUGCGGUUUGACUGAUAAAUAUCUUCGUAGAAUAUGUAGGAACCAAUAUGAGCAUCCAGGUUCCGCUAUUGGUUAUUGACCGAAGAUGUGUCUCGGUCAUGUCUACAUAGUUCUCGAACCCGUAGGGUCCGCACACUUAACGUUCGAUGACGAUUUGUAUUAUGAGUUGUGUGUUUUGGUGACCGAAGUUUGUUCGGAGUCCCGGAUGAGAUCACAGACAUGAUGAGGAGUCUCUAAAUGGUCGAGAGGUAAAGAUUGAUAUAUUGGAAGGUAGUAUUCGGACACCGGAAGGGUUCCGGAGUUUAUCGGGUACAUACCAGAGUACCGGAGGGGUUACCGGAACCCCCCGGGGAAAGAUAUGGGCCAUAUGGGCCAUAGGAGGGAGGCUAACCAGCCCACAAGGGACUGGUGCGCCCCCUACUAGGGAGGAGGCCGAAUUGGUUUAGGUAAGGGGGCGCCACCCCCCUUUCCUUCUCCUACUCCCUCUCCUUCCCCCUUUCCACCUCCAUGAGAAGGAAAAGAAGGGGGGGGGGAUCCUACUAGGACUAGGAGUCCUAGUAGGACUCCCCCCUUAUGGCGCGCCCCUAGGGCCGGCCUCCUCCCUCUCCCUCCUUUAUAUACGUGGGCAUGGCACCCCUUGGAGACACAAUAAUGGUUCCAAGCCGUGUGCGGCGUCUCUCUCCAUAGUUUGCUGCUCCGAUCAUAUUCACGUAGCACUUAGGCGAAGCCCUGGGCGGAUCACAUCACCAUCACCGUCAUCACGCCGUCGUGCUGACGAAACUCUCGCUCGACCCUCUGCUAGAUCAAGAGUUCGAGGGACGUCAUCGAGCUGGACGCGUGCUGAACAUGGAGGUGCCGUACGUUCGGUACUUGGAUCAGUUGGAUCGUGAAGACGUUCGACUACAUCAACCGCAUUAACCUAACGCUUCUGCUUUCGGUCUACGAGGGUACAUGGACACACUCUCCCCCUCUCGUUUCUAUGCAUCUCCUAGAUAGAUCUUGCGUGAGCGUAGGAUUUUUUUUGAAAUUGCAUGCUACAUUCCCCAACACCAACAUCAAAACUACCAUCACUACUAAUCCUUCCUUGACGGAUUGCAUUGAUGAAAGUGAAGGGACGAAGGAGGAGGAGAAUGAAUUUGAGUCUUUCAUGAGUAAGCUCAAAGGUAAAACCAAGAAGCACUUUGUUGCUCUCUUGGAACAACUUGGUGAAGCCAAUGACAUGAUCGAGGCUCACGAAGAGACCAUCUCUAAGAUGGAAGGGCAUAGUCGUGACUAUGCCGAUGAGAUUUCGGAUCUCUCUAAUGCGCUUGAGGAAGAGCGUGGUCAUCGUUUGGCUCUUGUGGAGUCACACAUCGAUGAUCAUGCUGAAUUAAAGAAAGAUCUUGAUCAUGCUCUUGUUCUCUCUCGUGUGCUCAAUUCUGAGAAGGCCAAACUUGGGGUUGACCAUGCUAGACUCAGGGAGGAGUUUGAUCUACUUGACAAGGCUCACAAGGCCUUGAAGAGUGCUCAUGCUAACCUCAAAGAGUCUCAUGAUCAACUCCAAGUGAAGCUAACCAAGGAGAAAGCCACAUCUCCUCAUAUGGUUUUAAUUGAUAAUGCAAAUGCUACUAACCCGUAUUGUGAGCAUGUGCACCUUGUGGAGGAGAAUGCCAAGUUGAAGGAGCAACUUGAGAAAGGCCUUGUGUCUUGCAUACAAGGUGAGAAGAGCCUCAACGACCUUUUGAGCAAUCAAAAGGAAGUUGUGGGCAAGGAGGGGAUUGGGUUUGCACCCAAGUCCAAGAAGAAGAGGAAGAAUGACAAGACCAAACAACCUCCUCCUCUCAAGAAAAACGUUUGUGAAGGAGGGAGAGGGUACUCCUAAGGAGAAGAAGAACAAUGCGAAGGGUGGUGGUGUCAAGAAGGGCAAUGCCACUCCUUCCAACAAAGCCGGCGACUUUAACCCUUCUUAUGUGUUGUGCCGUGCUAGUGAUGGACAUGUUUAUGCCAAAAAAUUUGGUUCUUCUUAUGAGUACAUUGAAUGGUCUAUUUGGGUUCCUAAGACCCUUGUUGCUAAAAUCAAAGGACCCAUUACAAAAUGGGUACCUAAAACCAAGCAUUGAUCUCUUGUAGGUGUUUGCUUCCUGUGGGGGAUCAUGGUUGCUCGAUAGUGGAGCCACAAGUCAUAUGACCGAAAGCAAGGACUUGGUGGUGGACGUGCACAAGGUUUCAUCUAUGCCCACCAAUGUCGAAUGGGGUGAUGCCUCAUCUUCUAAGGUAUUGGGUCUUAGCAAGGUUGUCAUUUCUCAUGAUCUCACGAUCAAGAAAUUCAUGCUUGUUGAGUCCCUUGGAUACAACUUACUUUUCGUUCGUCAACUUGCACUCAUGGGCUUUGCCACUUUCUUUGAUAUUGAUACCGUGGCCCUCUUGUGGAGCAAGACUCUUAAAGUAGCCUUUGUUGGGCAUGUCGAGAACGGUCUUUAUGUGAUUAACUUUUUGGAGCGACCCACUAAGACUGCGACAUGCCUAAUGGAUAAAGUUAACAUGGGAUGGCUUUGGCAUCGCCAUUUAGCCCACAUCAAUAUGAGACCUUUGCAAAGUAUUCUCAAGGGGGACCAUGUCCGUGGACUAACAAAUGUUAGUUUUGCCAAAGAUCGUGCUUGCAGUGCUUGUAUCGAAGGAAAGCUACAUGAGAAGGCUCACCCUCCCAUGACUAUCAUCUACUUGACGAGGCCCUUGGAGCUCCUUCACUUGGAUUUCUUUGGGCCUCCAUCCUUUGACAGUCUUGGGGUAGAAAGUAUUGCUUGGUGAUUGUGGAUGAUUAUUCAAGAUACACUUGGGUAUAUUUCUUCAAGAGGAAGAGUGAGACCCAACAAACCGUCAUCGACUUUGAAAAUGAAGCACAAUGGCAACACAAUGCAAAGAUUUUGAUGAUAAGAAGUGACAACGGCACCGAGUUCAAGAACUACACCUUGGAUGAGUUUCUCAGUGAUGAGGAGAUCAAGCAUCAAUAUUCCGCACCUUACACCCCUCAACAAAAUGGUGUAGCAGAGAGGAAGAACCAAACAUUGAUGGACGUGGCAAGGACCAUGAUGGCGGGUUCAAGUCUCCGUACAACUUUUGGGCCGAAGCCAUCAACACCGCUUGUCAUGCAUCCAAUCGGCUCUAUCUCCGCAAAGGCUUGAACAAGACUCCAUAUGAGAUACUUACCGGCAACAAGCCCAACCUCAAGUACUUCCGGGUGUUCGGUUGUAAGUGUUUCAUUCUCAAGGAAGGUGUUCAUUUGUCUAAAUUUUAAGCUAGAGCUUAUGAGGGCAUAUUUGUUGGUUAUGCUACAAACUCUCAUGCUUACCAUGUCCUCAACAAGUCCACGGGACUCAUUGAGGAGACAUGUAACAUGGAGUUUGAUGAGAAUAAUGGCUCCCAAGUGGAGCAAAGUGGUACUUGUGAUGUAGGUGAUGAAAUUCCUCCCCAAGCCAUAAGAAGAAUGGGUGUUGGCAAUAUCCUACCCAUUGAGGAACCCCUUGUGGCCGAAGGAGAAGGACAAUGUUCCACUCAAGUGGAACCAUCAUCAACUUAAGACCUACACGUUUCCGAAGAACAAAGUGAAGGCCCUCAACCAAAUGAACAAGAUCAAGGGCAAGAUCAACCUCAAGAUGGUGGUGAUCCACCAAGUGAUGCCCAGGGUCAAGUUCUUGCUACCGAGCAAGUUGAAGAUCAAGUGCAAGCUCAAGACGACGCUCAUGAUGAUCAAAUUAUCACUCCUCAACUCUCCCUUGAGGAGCGAUUGGAGCGUCGUGCCGCCAAGAUAGCGUCCAAGCUCACUACCAAAGAUCAUCUCAUGAAGAAUGUGCUAGGAAGCUUAAGAAAGGGGGUAAGCACUUGUAGAAAAUUAGCAAACUAUUAUGAACAUCAUGUGUUUGUUUCUUGUGUUGAAGCCCAAAAGGUCUAUGAGGCGCUCGAGGAUCCGGAUUGGCUUAAUGCCAUGCAUGAAGAACUCAAUUACUUCGAUCACAACAAGGUGUGGAGAUUGGUGCCAAGGCCAAAGGAGAACCAUAAUGUUAUUGGAACCAAAUGGAUAUUCAAGAACAAGCAAGCUGCUCACGGGAUUAUCAUUCGCAACAAAGCUUGUUUGGUGGCACAAGGCUACUCUCAAGUCGAGGGUAUCGACUAUGGUGAAACCUUUGCUCCCGUUGCUCACCUUGAAUCUAUUUGUUUGCUGAUUGCUUAUGCUUCUCAUCAUAACUUCAAGUUGCAACAAAUGGAUGUGAAGAGUGCUUUUCUUAAUGGUCCUAUUAAUGAGUUGGUGUAUGUCAAACAACCCCCUGUAGGAGAUAUGCCCUGAAGGCAAUAAUAAAUGAUAUUAUUUAUCUCCGAGUUCAUAAUUAUGUUUAUGUUCCAUGCUAUAACUGCUAUGGUUCUCGAGUCUGCAAUAACCACGAGGCUCGGAGGAAGACUCAUAUGCAUGUGUGGAAUAAUAAACGGUAAAAUGUAUUCCUAGUCUGGCCUCUAAAACUAGCUCAAGUGUUGCAUGAUGGUUAUGUUUUCCUGAUCAUGGGCAUGUCUAUGUCAGCAACCUUGAGGGCAUAAUGUUAAGAGAACAUUUGUGUUGAAUCGACCCGGCAUGAUGUUAUGCUAUGAGAUUCAUUCGUCACAAGUAUAUUGGUACAUAACACAGAGAUGGUUAACGUUUGCAUGAUUCCUUAGACCAUGAGAGUAUCGAGUUUCUUCAUGCUUGCUAACUUUGGGGUUUGUUAAACGUCAUCCGUAAAUGGGUGGCUAUUACGGCGGCUUACGGGUUCAUGGAAGAGUGUGUCAAGUAACUUGAUAGCUCAAGAUUGGGAUUUGCUCCUUCGACGAUGGAGAGAUAUCUCUGGGCCCUCUCGGUGUUACGGUAUCCAUCAUCGUCUGGCCAGACACUUUGUGAUUUGAUCACGGGGAUGCCGGAACACGAUAACGAGAAAAGAGAACAAUACCGGUAACGAGGUAACUAGCAUAGUGGACAAGUUGUUGAUCCACGGGAAUGCCAACAUGUCUCACCUCGGGUAUUUGUAACAUAUCGCGAAGCAACAGGAAUAGCACACGGCAACUGGAGGUUCACUCGAAUAUUUAUUCGUGUGGGUAUAGGGGUCAAUAUGGGUGUCCACGGCUCCGAUGUUGAUCAUUGAUCGGAAGGGGUUCCGGGUCAUGUCUAUACUUCACCGAACCUAUAGGGUCACACGCUUAAGGGUCAUCUAUCUGCUGAAUACUAGACAGGGAGUCUGAGAGAAAAUCACCGAAAAAGUUUCGGACACCGAAAAGUUUCGGACAGCGGAAUCGUACCGCAAAGAGAGGUCAUCGGAUAAGUUUCGAUGAUACCGAAAAGUUGUUUCGGGAUACACCAUUAAGUCAAAUUGGUUUGGGCACAUGCCUGAUAAUUCUUGGAGGAUGCCAGAAUCAUUCUGGAAGCUUUUUGGAAUUUUCUGAGAUAAAAACCGGAAAAGUUCCGGAGCUGCCGGAGCCACUUCAGAUGCGUUUCGCAGAUGAAAAUCACUAAAACCGGAAUUGUUUCGGAAUGCGUUGAAAAUCAUUUUAGUGGGUACUGGAAAUGUUCUUAGCCCACAUAACUAUUUUCAGUUCGAUCAGACGCUGAAAAAUGUCGUCGUGAAUAGUGAAAAUCAGCUUUAUGGUUACUUUAUGGAAAGCCACCUUUUGGGGCUUUGCUCCAAAAGAUCUUGGGGAUGACAUGGAUGGAUAGGAGCCAUUUUUUGGGCCCCUCAUGGGGGUGUGGCCGGCCACAUGGGGUAUCCCCCCUUGGGGACCCUCUUGUUCCUUGGUUUCACUCCUAGGUCCUUGUGGAAGGACUUCAUUCAUGCGCAUUUUGGGUUUUUUGUGAAACUACCCUACCCCCUUGGGAUUUCCUAUAAAUAGAGGUGGAGGGGCAGCCCUCCACACUCAUCCCCUUGCUCUCAUACACAUGCCAUGCAUUAUCUGGCUUCUUCUCUCCCUCCCACGAAAAGAGUUUCGUAGAGCCAUAAGGCUGUCUGGGUUCCGGCAGGAACUAGUUCUGGACGGCGAAGCCCUGCCGGAUAGAUGACACCGUAUGUGUGCAACUCUAUAGAGAGAUCGUAGUUUCGGUCUUAGUUCGUGAGUGCCUCCCGAAGGGCUGUCCGUGUGACCGUCCGAGUUUCGAAGGUCCUCCCGAAGGGCUGUCCGAGUGACCGUUCGAGUUUCGAAGGUCCUCCCGAAGGGCUAUCCGCGACACCGUCCGGGGGGGGGGGCUGUUCGACCGCCUCCUGGAGGGCUGUCUGAGGAGCAGAUGAGGGUAUACAUCCUCGCGGUUGGGAGGUUGUAAAUCCUAGCUGCGGGGAUCUGCACCGCCGAUCGUCAUCGACUCUACUUCCCGCUGCGCUACGAGUCGGUAACGAAAAAGAUCAAACCAUGUAUGCAGUCUCCAUAGUGGUCCUGGGCUGGUGCGUAGGUCGGAAAUUUUUUGUUUUCUGCUGCGUUCCCCUACGGUGGCAUCAAGAGCCGUGCUAUGCGUAGAUGCAGGUUUCGAUCUGAAUACAUGGAGAUGUAUGGGUAUUGCAUAAUAUAAUUAGGUAGUAGAUGAGA
rnacentral:lncRNA from 1 species